UAACAUUCUUACAGGUCUCUAAAAACAACAUCACGCCUAAUUUCAAGGAGAAAUUGGGUUUCUAUGAGAAGCAGAUUGUAGGUUUUCUAAACCCAAGCAGAUACAGGAAGCCUAUUCCUAAUCUACAGCAAGGACAACCUCCCCAACCUCGUAUUCAACCUAUGCAGCAACCCCAAUCUCAAGUUCCUCAAUUGCAGUCCCAUGAAAAUCAACUGAUUCCCCAGUUGCAAUCAAUGAAUACGCAAGGUUCUGUACCACAGAUGCAGCAGAACAAUAUGUCAAGCUUGCUGCAUAAUUCCCUUUCAACUUUAUCUGGGGAUUCGACGUCACAAUCAAACAUGAUGAAUCCAAUACAACCAGGCUCCAAUUUAGAUUCUGGACAAGGAAAUGCACUGAGCUCAUUGCAGCAGACACCUGUAGGAUCUGUACAAAAGAAUCUCGUGAGCAUUUCCCAACCAACCAAAGUUAACACAUUGUCAACACAAAGUGGGGCGAGUAUGCUGCAGCCAAAUAUUCCCCUUCAGUCGAAUUCCAAUAUGAUUCAACACCAGCAUCUAAAACAGCAGCAGCAGCAGCAUGAACAACAGAUGCUACAAACACAACAGCUUAAACGAUUGCAGCAACACCAGAAUUUAAUGCAGAAUCAACAGAUGCAGCAGCAGCAAUUACACCAGCAAGCUCCGUCUCCUAUGCCAGGAGAUUCUGACAAACCAGUUUCUGGUAUUUCCUCACUCUUAAAUACUGGAAAUAUUGUACACCAACCAUCUGUUGCACAAGCACCGGCUCCAUCCCUUGCAAUUGGCACUCCUGGGAUAUCUGCAUCACCUUUGCUUGCAGAGUUUACCAGUCCUGAUGGUGCUCAUGGCGGUGCUUUGACAACUGUUUCUGGCAAGUCAAAUGUUACAGAGCAAUCACUUGAGUGCUUGAUUAAAGCGGUUAGUGAUGCUCUCCUUUUGGUUUUACUCCACCCCACCCUUAUUUUGGAGGUUUCUGAAAAAGAAAGAAACUUCUUUGUGAAUGAGAUGGUGAUGCUGUAAUUUUUUUUCCCAGGUGAAAUCUCUGUCUCCCAAAGCACUUAGUGCAUCUGUCGGUGACAUUGGCUCCGUUGUCAGUAUGAUUGACAGAAUUGCUGGUUCUGCAGCUGGUAAUGGAUCUAGAGCUGCAGCUGGUGAGGAUUUGGUAGCAAUGACAGGAUGUCAUCUUCUUUCGUUUUUGUCUUUUUUAUUUUUCACGUGUUUCUCACAACAUGGGAACUCGAGGGAAUAAAAAGUGCUGGGAAGUAAUUUUUGUUGGAACGUCUUGUGUAACAUCUUCUUUCGAUGAUGACCUCUUGGAUGUUUUGGUGAUAUCUCUACAUCCAAAAUCAUAUAGACCGCUACUGCUGGCACUUGCAGUAGCCAAUGAGCACUGAUAUAUAUUGCAGAGUGAGAUAAGGUUAACUCGUUGCAUUUUCAUAAAUAAAAGGGAUUUCUCUUCUUUUCUUUGUCAAUUACAGUGCAUGUGUAAAAGUUUUCUUACUCAGAGUAAAUGCUAUUGUAAUGUUUUCACAGAGACUCCCCUGUUUUGCAACUAAUUCACUUCUGAAUAUAUCUGGGAAACAGAAAGGCAAUCAACAAAGAGUAAGGCAUCUUCUGAAGAAACAAAGAAAUUUAAUACCCUAAACUAAGCAGCAGGUAGAAGGCAAAAACUGAGCACAAAUUUUCAGGAAGGGACAAAAAAAAUAAAAAAGAAAGCAGAGAAAAAUACAGACUCAAAUUCAACAACACCCAUUUUCUUUCCAUUGGAACACUUUAAAUAGUUUAUUAAAUAAAGCAUAUAAAAAAAUCAACUUAAUGAUCAAUUCUCUAUAAUUUCGGCAUUACUAAAAACAUCCAAACUAAUAAACUAUUAGUUAUUAUAGUCAUUUUAAUAAACAUUUUAGUUAUGAAUUCACCAAACAUUUUGAACAAUUCAUAUUGAUGAAUUAACAUGUCAAUUUUAGAUUUUUUGACUUACUAGUUCCUUCAUGAAUUACUUCUAAAGCAUGCUAUAUAUCUCUAAGCAUUUUUAUAGAAUAUAAUUCUAUCAAAUUCACUUUUACCCAAUGUAUAAUAUAAAAUAUUCAUGGCUUUAACAUCCAUAAAAAAUAAUUUUUUAUCAUUUUAUGUAUAUUCACUUCUAGUUUUAGAAAUCUCAAUACCAUUUUCAAUUUUGAUAGGUUUAGGAGAUCUAUUUUGUACGGAUAGCCACAAAUUAAAAUCAAUAGAUUGACAAUAAACUAUCAUACAACAAUUUAUUACUUGCUCUUUGGUGAUAGGAAUGUGAUUGUAAUAUUAUUUUUCAAGCUUACUCAAUCUCUUAUUCUUGAUAGCAUAACCAAUAAUAAAUGGCGAGCCAAAAUUUAUAUGUUACUCUCUGUAAGAAUUUUGACUGCAUAAAUGUAAAAGAAAAUAGUUUUAAAAAGACUAAAAGUUUUCUUCAUUAUAAAAACCAUGUCAGAAUUGUCUCUUUUUAUAGGCAAUUCUGACACUUAAUUUUAAAAUAACUUUUAAGACAAAAGGUUACAAUUUUCUAGUUUAAAACUACACAAUUAUAUUUCAAGUAGAGUUUUAACAAACACAACUUUUCAUUCACACCUUAACAAUCCCUCCACAUGAUAAAAAUUGUUUGAUCAUAAUAAAAUACAAAGUAGACAUGAAAAUAAAGAGUAGGAGCGAAAAGUCAUUGCAUCGAGCAAGAUAACUUUUGGCCUUGAACCUUUCAUAGUUAAAACUAUUGGAUUCACUCGGCUAAUCAGCAAACAUGAUAUUUUGAGUUGUUUAGCCUUUUGUGAGAAACCAGAUAAUAUAGAUUACACAUUUCAUUUUCUUACAAUUUUGGUUCUCACGGUUGUGUUCAUUUUGGCCUCGAAUACGUCUUGAUUUCAAAGAGCUUUAAAGAAUUUGCAUUUUCAAUCCUGAUAGAAGUGGCCUUAUUUCACACUCACAUAUGUGAUUCUUAUUAAGAGUAUCAUGUAAUACCUCACUUGAAUUUCUCAAGCUAUAAAAGUCAUUAAAAGCUUAGCUUAUCCUAUUUUCAUUGCAGAUAGCACUUUAUAUCAUAUGAAUGGGUAAGAGGGCUAUUAUUAAAUGACAUGUGAUUUGGUUGCUUCUUUGAAUCUAGAUCCUGGGAUCUCCAGUAAACUAGGUUGGGUCGCUAUCAUGACAAUUCAUUGAACUGUGUCUUAAUCUCAUUCCCCUCGAUGAUUAUUGACUUGCUCUAUUGUUAAGCAUUUUAUUAGUAAAUUAAUGAUAUUAUCAUUUAACUUUACAUGGUUAAUAAAGAUAAUCUCAUUUUAGAUCAACUAUCUUACAAUAUUAACAAUUGUGUCAAUACUUUAUGUGUGUGUGUGUGUGUAAGCAUGGUUAUAUUUCAUAUCAGCAUCAUAAUAAUAGCAAAUGUGAAGUAUGUAUUCAAGCAAAGAUGACAAAGAAGCCUUUUCCUAAAGUAGAAAGGAAUUCUCAAUUACUUGAGUUGAUCCAUUCUGAUAUAUGUGAAAUAAAUGGUAUGUUAACAAGGGGUGGGAAAAGAUAUUUCAUAACUUUCAUUGAUGAUUAUUCUCGUUUUACCUGUGUUUCCUUAUUAAAAACUAAAGAUGAAGCCUUUGGAAAAUUCAAAGAAUUCAAGAAAAUGGUAGAAAAUCAAAAGGAAAGGCAAAUUAAAGUUCUUAGAAGUGAUAGAGGUGGAUAAUAUUUUUCUAAGGAGUUUUCUACAUUUUGUGAGGAAAACAAAAUAAUCCAUCAAAUGACAGCACCUUAUACACAACAUAAUGGACUUGCUGAAAGGAAAAAUAGGACCUUAAUGAAUAUGGUCAAUGCCAUGCUUUUGAAUGAUAAAUUACCAAAUAAUUUAUGGGGUGCAGUCUUACUUACUACAUGUCACAUUCAUAAUAGAGUACUAUUUAAAAAAUCAAAUGUUUCUCCCUAUGAAGCAUGGAACGGUAGAAAAUCAAAUCUGAAUGAUUUUAAUGUGUGGGGGUGUGUAGCUUUUUGUAAAAGUUCUGAUCCUCAAAGAACAAAAUUAGGACCCAGAGGUCUUAAGAGUGUUUUUGUUAGUUAUGCACAAAAUUCAAAGGCUUAUAGACUUUUGGAUUUAGAAACUAAUGUGAUUAUUGAAUCUAUACAUGUUGAAUUUAUCAAAAAUAAAUUCAUAAGUGAUUCAAAUGUGUAAGAACCAAAUCUAAAAGUAAUGACUCCUAGCUCAACAUUAAGUGAAAAAUAUAAAAACCUAGAAGUAAUAGGUUCAACUGAACCUAGAAGAAGUCAAAGAGUUAGAAAGGAAAAACACAUAUAUACAGAUUUUAUUUCUACUUAUUCAAUUGUAUUUUUAGUGGAAGGUGAUAGAAAUACAAUAUUAAAAAAGACACCUAUGAUCUUAAAUAUGGAAGAUGAUCCAAAGACAUUUGGUCAAGCUAUGUCUUCUAGGGAUGUUGCUUUUUGGAAAGAAGCGGUAAAUGAUGAAAUGGAUUCAAUAUUGUCUAACAAUACUUGGGUCCUAGUAGAUUUACCUCCAGGUUCUAAGCUAAUAGGAUGUAAGUGGGUGUUUAGAAGAAAAUACAAUACCGAUGGUUCUAUACAAACCUUCAAGGCAAGAUUGGUUGCCAAAGGUUUUACUCAAAAGGAGGGUGUUGAUUAUUUUGACACUUAUUCUCUGGUGGCAAGAAUUACAUCAAUUAGAGUUUUAUUUGCAUUAGCAUCAAUUUAUAAAUUGUAUGUUCAUCAAAUGGAUGUAAAGACGGCUUUCCUAAAUGGAGAUUUAAAGGAGGAAGUGUAUAUGGAGCAACCUGAGGGUUUUAUACUUCCUGGAAAUGAAGAAAAAGUCUGUAAAUUGAUAAAGUCUUUAUAUGGUUUAAAACAAGCUCCGAAACAAUGGCAUGAAAAGUUUGACAAAGCAAUUUUGUUGAAUGGUUUUCAUCACAAUGGUGCUGAUAAGUGUAUGUAUUCCAAAUUUACAAAAUAUUUUGGUGUGAUUAUUUAUCUCUAUGUAGAUGACAUGUUAAUAUUUAGCACCAAUAUGAUUGGAAUUGUUGGAACCAAAAAGUAUCUCACUUAUAUCUUUAAAAUGAAAGAUCUUGGUGAAGUAGAUACAAUUUUAGGUAUCAAAGUUAAGAAACAUGGUAGUGACUAUGCACUUAAUCAGUCAGAUUAUAUUCAGAAAAUGCUCGAUAAGUUUAAGCAUCUCAAUAUAAAGAAGGCUAAUACCCCAUUUGACUAUAGUAUGAAGUUAAAUGAUUAUUAUGAUAAAGCUGUAUCACAACUAGAAUAUGCUAGUGCCAUUAGAAGUCUUAUGUAUGAUAUUCAUUGUACAAGACCAUAUAUAGCUUUUGCUAUAUGCAAGUUAUCAAGAUAUAUAAGCAAGCCGAAUACAGAUCAUUAGAAGGCUAUUGCAAGAGUCUUUGGUUACCUAAAAAGAACAAUCAAUUGAGGUCUAUUUUAUUCUGAUUUUCCAGCUGUGAUGGAAGGAUAUAGUGAUGCAAGUUGGAUGACUAGUUCAAAUGAUAAUAAGUCCACAUCAUGAUGGAUUUUCUCACUUGGAGGAGGUGCAAUAUCUUGGGCAUCUAAGAAACAAACAUGCAUCUCUCAUUCUACCAUGGAAUCAUAAUUUAUUGUUAUGGCUGCUGCAAGUAAAGAAGUAGAAUGACUAAGAAAUAUGUUGUUUGAUAUUAAGUUGUGGCCACAACCUAUGUCAGCUAUUUCUUUAUACUGCGAUAGUGAAGCAACUAUGUCUCGAGCUUAUAGUAACAUUUACAAUGGUAAGUCAAGACAUAUAAGCAUUUGACAUGGAUAUAUUCGAGAGUUGAUUACAAAUGGUGUAAUCACCAUUGUCUAUGUGAAAUCUAUGAAUAAUUUAGCGGAUCCGCUCAUAAAAGGACUAUCUAAAGACAUGGUACGAAAAAUAACUAAUGGAAUGGGGUUGAAACCUGUUUUUAAAGAUACCAGUAAUAGGAACCCAACUUCGGAUCAACAAGAAGCUUAUCUCUUAGUUUAAUGGGUAAUAAUAAGUUACUGUUUUGUAUAUGUUAGACACUGAUAAUUAAUUUGAGUCCCUAUUCUGAUAGUAUUCAGUGUAUUCUAUUACAUAAAGGAGGAUGAGCAUAGGCUCUUCAUGGAAUUUGAAGUUCGUGUCUAAUGUAAUAGAGACAUGUAUAAUUCCACCUAUAUGAAUAUAAAAGUGAUGCCGCUUUUGACAAGAGUUAGGGUUUUUUCUUGUAAAUAUUCAUAAAAAAAAUUAAAAUUAAGAUUUUAGCACAUGACCAUAAUAGUGCUAAACAGUUGUAAACCUCUUUAAGAGUUUGGAUAGUAUUAUGUGUGUAGUAUCUUUUAUUCUACAACAAAAGUUUUGGUUUAAUCUGCGGACACCAAUAACUUUAGUAGGAUUCAAGUUCUAACACUAAUUGAAGUUUUAAAAUGCAAAAUACCUUCUUGUAAGCAUAAUUCUAUAAAGUGAAAAGACCUUCAUUACAAACUAGUGGGGGAUUGUUGGUGUAGUUUGUAAAUGAAUAAAGAAAAGAUGUUUAUCUCACAUUGGAAAGAAACACUCCCUCCUAAUGUUUCUAUGUGUGGGUUUCUAUUGUGUAGUAAAUUAAGCCAUGGUGGACAAACUCUCCUAUUUGGCUUUCUAAUGUUAUUAUAUGGAUAUUUAUAAUAUCAAAAAAUAGCAUUUGGAACUUGAAACUUGGAUCUUAAUAUGAACAGUCAUAUUGUUUCAUCAAUAGUCAUAUUGUUUGAUGAACAGUCAUAUUGUUUCAUCAAUAGUCAUAUUGUUUGAUGAACAAUCAUACUGUUUCAUCGUUAUGUUUUAAGUCUAUAAAAGCAUGUUACUAUACAGAAAAGAGGCACAACAAAAAACAUACAUUCUUUUCUUGGUCUUAUCUUCUCAUUCUUUUAGAGGUUUAGAGGGCUUAGUUGUAUCCUGGAGGUAUUGUCUCUAUGUGGGACAAAUAAACACCUUAAAAAUAGUGUUUUCACGCCUCUAAGCCAACUCCAUAUUUGUUUCCAUCCUAAACAUUCAUAUCAAGAAACAUUGCGCCACGCCUGCUAAACGUCCACGAAAGAGUCGCCGACCGUUAUUCCCGCAUUAAAGUCCAUGCAUGGUCGCCUCAUUAUCUGGAGACGACCGCAUGGCAUUCUCUGGCUAUAAAAACCAGAGAAAGGCCAUGACAAAGAGGAGGGGGGGACAAAACAAAAGACAGGAGAAAAGAGGCAGGAGAGAGAGAGAGAGAGACCGAGAGAGAGGGGGCCGAAAACACAAACCAGAGAAAAAAAACCGGAGGAGUAACCCAGGGAAGAACACAGAAAAAACCAGGGGAACACUGGAGAACAAAUGAGACAGAAAUAGAGAGAAAUUGCUAGCCAACGCAUGAGCACCAACUAGCCUCGUCUCCGGUUGCACCACCCCCUGAAUAGACGGACGCGAAGGAGAACAGGGGAGUAAACGAAGAGAGGACAUAACACCGGGAAACCGAAAACUGAUAGAAAACCAGAAGAAAAGGAAGAACCACAGAGAGACGAACAACACAGGAGCUGAGAACGAACGAAAAAAAGAGAGAGAGAAGACAGAGAGAAAAAGCAGAGGCGUAAGGUGAAACAGAGAAGAACGACCAGAAAUAAACCAAAAGAAAACAGAAGUGAAGGGGAAGUUUUGGCCAGCCACCACACCUUCUUCGUCAUCCAGACCAGGUAAGUUCUCUCUUCUUCGUAAUUAUAAUUACAUAGGUAUUGUACAUAUGCAAAUUUAAUUCACUACUAUAAUUCACCGGUUUGUGCAUGCACGCGUGAAUCAGUUCACACAUGCCUGUUGUCCAGCUGGGUCACUGGCUUGGGUCAGUGACCAGGCUGGGCUGCUGGGUUUAGCCCAGCCUGACCGAGCUGAGCUGGAUCUAGCCCCCAAAAAAAAUUUAAAAAGGAAAAUAUAAAAAAAAACUAGGCAUGGGCCUCGGGCCUAGGUGGCCUAAUCCCCUUUAUUUAAGUCCCUUUUAUUUUGAUAUUCAACCAAAAUGACCAACUUUUCCCUCAUAUUGUUUUUAGGGUAUUUCACUGUAUAUUUGAUCUGUAGAUUUUUACUGCGAAAUUCGGUGUACGAUACUUUUUUUUUAAAAAAAUAUGCAUGCAUAUAUUUAAAUUCAUUUUAUUGGUUUAUUCACCAACGCUAGAGUCAGGAAUACAAUUUAUUUUGUUUUUGCUACGUAAUAUUUAUCAAUGCCAGAGUUGGAAGUAUCUGUAGUCGAAUAUUCACUGACGCUAGAGUCAGGAAUAUUACAAGCAAACCAUCAUAGCAUAAAUCAACAAACUCUUAAUAAUUUAAGACAAAACCAACAAUGCAGCUUAUCUCAGGUAGGGUGUGCUAGGGGUGUUAAUAUCUUCCCUACCCAUAACCAGUCUUGUACCAUAAAAUCUCUAUUGACUAGUUAGGGUUUCUAAUGACCAUAAUACUAGGUGGCGUCUCCUUAAACCAAACCUUUUUCCCAUAAAAGAACAAGAUGCCAGAAAUCUGUUCUUUUCAAGAAUUUUUAAGGUCAUCGCGAUGUCGGGUGCGACAAUACCCAAAACAAUUGCCUUGCUAAUGGGGAUAAAGUUGUCUUUCUUAAGGGAUCUAAAAGUUAUUUGUAUAUUGAUUGGGGAUAAUUUAGUAGGUUCACUCCUUUUUUCAUAUUAAAACUACAUCAUUGCCCUUGCAAUAAAAAAACAAGUGGCCUUUUGUUUUGGGUCUAUUUUGUCUUUUCUAUUUUAUUUGCACAAUAAAAUGACAUCAAUACCCUCGAGAGUUCAAAAAUAUUGACACUUGACGAGAGGUAUUUUUUAGUCUUUUUCAUGUUUUGUGUACUGUAAAAUGACAAAGUUAACCUUAGAAUAAAAUAAAUCUAAAGCUAGUGUGGGAUAACAUUUUCAUCUUUGCAAUAUAGCUUUUUGUAAUAUUUAGAUGCUUUUAGGGGCUAUUUAGUAAUUUAAAGUAUUGAAAUAUUAAUAAAUCAAUAAAAAAGCUGACAUAUGCGUAGCACGUGUCAGCGCGUGAUAAUCCACCACGUCAUUCAGGAGACUAAUAAACUAACCUAAACUCGUUCUUGCCCAACAGCGAGCCACAAACAAUACUCUUUUGAAUAUUAGAAGCAUGAACCACAUUGUUCAUAAUCGACUCUUUCAUAAAUGUCAUCCUUAACAUCACCUUUUUCUGGCCUAGGAUUUUGCACACUAAGAGCCUAUUUGACGUUGCAGUUGAAUCGUUGUUUUUCCAUUUUGAAAAAAAUUAUUCUUGCUUCAAUUGUUUUUGCGUUCUUGGAUUGUUAUGAUGUGUUAAUGUUAAAAAUGAAUUAAAAAAUAUAUUUUGAUACAUUUCCAAGUAAAAAACACUUUACAACGCAACCGCUACCACACUUUUAAACAAUCACUAAGAAGUUAUCCAGGAAUAAUUGUUCUCCAUUUGCAGUUGUUGCAUACUCAAAAAAAUAUUAUGUCAAAACAUACAUGACAGGUGGCUCCAAUAUCAAUCCACCACUUUUUAAGAUUGUGCACCAGGUUUGCUUCUGACAUAACUACAACAAGCUUUGCAGCUUUCUCAUCAACAUUCUCAAUGAUUUUGUUUUGUGCAUUUUUUCCUUACAGAUAUGCCUUUGCUUUUUACAAACAAAACAAGUUUCUUUGAACUUCUUUUUGCCGACACUAUUACCAUUAGAACUCUUGAGAGAACUUGCUUCAUAUUUAAGUUCACCAGGUUAAGAAUGUUUAGGAAUCGGGUUUGCCAUCGAGACCGCAAAGAUUACCAGGUUAAAUUAUUUUGGUUUUUUCCCCGCAUGAUAGAAUGUUUAGGAAUCGGGUUUGCCAUCGAGACCGCAAAGAUUACCAGGUUAAGAAGUACAUUGAAAUUAUUAACAAUAGAUUUAUCCAUUUAUUAUCUCAAUAACAAGAUUAACUUUAUAAUUAUAUAUCACACUUAUAUAAUCUGAAAUAAUAUUAAUUAAAAUGAAUCCCAAAAAUUUAACACACUAAUUCUGCAAAAAACAAAUUUAAUAAACAAUUUAACUUUGCAACUAUGUAUUUAUUUAUUUGUUUUUCUAUGAGACUCAAUUUUUUUUUUAAUAAUCAUCAAGAGUAUAUUGAAAAGGCCAUAAAGCCAAUAGACAGUGAAAUUUUUAACAGAAACUCAAUGUAAUUUUCAACAAAAACUAUAACAAUACAAAUAAUUACAAAUAUUUUUCUUUCAACAUCAACAUAAGAAAACAAUAUGCACUCUUCUAAAGUUAUGAUAAAAAAAAUCUGAUUGAUACUUAUGUUGUUUUAUGAUUAAAGUAACAAUAGCAUCUAAAGAGAAUGAAUUAGGUGUUGCACUAAUUAUGUCAAAAUAAUGCAAGUAAACACACUAAACACAUAUAACACAAAAACCAACAAUAUAAUUCAAGUGCUUAAAGUAAAUAUAUAAGAAAAAAGAGAUUGCAAACUCGAUUUUUAACGUGAUUCGGUAAGCUUACAUCCACAUCUCAAGUACUAAUCAUACUUAAGUAUUGUACUUUUUUACUAAUCCAAGUGAAAGAUACAUUGCCCUUGAUGAAUUCACACCAAGAAAUUACACCACUUGAUGAAUUUUUCUCUUUAAGAUUUUUCUCCUAGAAUUCCGGUUAAAUAGAAUUGCACUUAAUAUAUAUUAUUUCACCAUAAUUAUUAUCCAGAUAUGCAACUUUUUUUCUUUCCGAUCAUCUGUUUUCUUUUUUUCAUAUCAAUACAACAACAAAGGAAAAUACCAUGCAAUAUAAAAUGUAUUUCCCUGUAGAAUCAAUGCAACAAGUUUACAGACAACAGACGACAAGGAAUUUAACAUAGUCAUGGAAUUUAACUGAAGAUAUAUACACUUUACUUUCUCUAUUAAAAUUAAACUAUUUUUUUUAAUCUAUGUCAAUAUAUAAUCAAUUUGGUCUUGAAGAUAUAUAAAUAUACACAGAACAAAUAUGUUAGAAAAUAAAUUGUUUAAGAUUGUUAGAGCACCUUAAAUAGUUCAUAAAAUUAUUCUUCCCUUUUACUAUAAUGAUGAAGUACAAGGGUUGUUGAUGAUGACCUCUUGGAUGGCUACAUGAAGCUUGUUCCGUUUUAAAUUUCAAGGUUAAUCUAUUGCUAUGAGCAUACGUGUCUCAAUUUAAAACUCGAGUUGCAACUGAACUUAAAUGAAUGGUGUUGGAUUUGGGCCUUCUAUUUGUUUUAACUUCUACAGGGUUGAAAUGAUAGUGAUCUUAAAGUAGAAAAGCAGCAGACAAAAAUCAAUUAACCACAAUGGUGCAUGGUUUCCUAGUUUCUCAGCAUAAAGUUGAAUGUUUUGUUGACCUUUCUACAUCAAAAAUCAUAUAGACAGCUACUGCUGGCACUUGCAGUGGCCAAUGCAUACUGUAGAGUAUAUAUUGCAGUGUGAGAUAAGGUUAACUCGUUGCAUUUUCAUAUAUUGAAAGGAUUUCUCUUCUUUUCUUUGUCAAUUACAGCACAUGCAUAGAAGUGUUCUUCCUCAGAGUAAAUGCUAUAGUAAUGUUUUCACGGACUCCCCUGGUUUGCAACUGAUUCACUUAUAUAUCUUGGAACAUAGCCAUAAAUGAAAGGUUCUUCUAGUUCAAGAAAAUUAACCAUGAAGCUCGUAACUAGAAUUUUUAGACAGAAGGGUGGCCAAGCGAACUCCUAUACUCCGUACGUCUGGAAUAAUACAGGGAAAGGGUGUUUAUGUAUUUUGAUGUCUUAUAUUACUUGACCAACUCUUGCUUAUCUCAUUAUUUGUUUUAAUUUUUUGCUAAUAAUUCCACACAUUUCUGAUAUGGUGUGGUUUUUGAGUUCAGGGUUCUUGCUCAUUGCUGCUAACUUCUCUAUACUUGCCUGGUCAUUAAAAAUGAAACGUAAUGAUUUGCAUAUGCUGAAUGGAGACAUUAAAGAGGCAUCUUCUGUUUUCUGGUCAGGAGGGAUUACAAGAACUCAAGAAAUUUUCCAUAUGUUUUGAGGAAAAGAUUUAUACUACCACUACCAAUCAGGUAUUUGCCUAAUGUGAGGUUUAAUAAUUACGAUAUUAUCUAGACAUUAAUAUACACACGCAUUUAUGCUUGUACAAAUGUGUGUGUAGUGUGCCUACACUUCCUCACCGUUCAUUCUGUAUGCAAGGCUGAUUGGGAGUUCACAUUAUUUUGUUAAUUCUCUUGACAAGUGUUUUAUUUAGAGUGACCAAGUUCAAGUACAAGGGAAGAGUGCAAAAAGCAAAUAGCGAAUCAAUACAUAAAUAAUUAAAUAAAAAGAGAGGAAACAAAAGUAUAUCAUAGAGAAGAUGAAAUGAUAGAGCAUAUAUCCAUUUUCCUCCUCUUGUAACAUGGAUUGCUCUGAGAUCUGAUGUUUUGUUAUUAAUAUCUGAUUUCAGUCUGAUUAUAUAUCUACGAAAAAUAUCUCUGGAGAUGCUUUCGAUGGAGAUCAGGUCUCAAAAUGCCAUGCCCACUGUCCCCAUGGAUCCAGCAGGUAAUAAUGCACCCGAGCAUUGAAUUUCUAAACAUCUUACCUUUUGUUUUUCUUCUCACAUUGUUAUCAAACUCUUUUACAUUUUAUUGCUGUAUAUUGCUAUGUAUAUCGCCUUGCUAGAAAAAUCUCAUGAUCACCUCCACGAUGCUAAUUCUAUAAUGCAUGUGAAGUGUUUCAUCCUUAACUUGUUAAGAACAAGGACUAUGAUGCAUUGCUAUUUUAUAUUUUAUGAUUGAGAUGGUAGAUUUUAAAGAUUUUCCUGUUUAGGAGAUAAAAGUAAGAUGUCACUUUUUUGCUUUUCUUCCGAGAGAGUAUUUGAUCCUUUUUUCGUAUAAAAUAAUGCUGGCAUGCAUUGAAUUUCCAAACAGCUUAGCUUUUGUUUUGUUUGUCGCAUUGUUAUCAAACUCUUUUACAUUUUAUUGCGGUAUAUUGCUAUGUGUAGGGCAUGCUUUAAUCAAAAAGUUGAGUAAUUGAUGAAUGCUAGGCAUGAAAAUGACAUAUUAUUUUUGUUUUCUGUCUCCUCCUUUUCUUUCCCCCACCUCAAAAAUUGUCAUGUUAUUUUUGUUUUCAGCCGCCUCUUCUUCCCCAAACCUUUAAAAUUGUUUAUAUUUGCUUUGGAAGCAUGACAAACUUCAUUGCCUCUCAGCUUAAGGAGAUUGCAGCAGGUCUCGAAGCUUCUGGGCAUUAGUUUAUCUGGGUAGUUAGAAGAAACAAAAAGAGUCAAGAAGACAAGGAAGAUUGUUUACCUAAAGGAUUUGAGGAAAGAAUGGAAGGCAAAGGGCUAUUAUCAGAGGAUGGACACUCCAAGUUUUGAUUCUUGGUCAUGAAGCAAUAGGUGCAUUUGUGACUCAUUGAGGAUGGAACUCAACUCUUGAAGGCAUAAGGCAAAUAUUUGCUGAGCAAUUCUAUAAUGAGAAGUUGGUGACUGAUGUUUUAAAAAAUGGAGUUAAGGAAUGGCUUAGAGUGCAGAGAUCAUGUUAAAAGUGAAGCUGUAGAGAAGGCAAUCACUCAAAUUAUGAUGGGUGAAGAAGCAGAGGAAAUGAGAGAGAAGAAAGCUGAACAAGGGAACGCAGUAGAUGAAGAAUAUGAGUUUACUGCAUUUACUGUCAAGAAUACAAACGUGAGCACUAAAAACUAAUUUGUACAGGAUACUCUUUAUAUAUAGAGUAGUAAUUAACUUCAUCACUUAUUUCUUUCUAUGAAUACAAUAUUCCUUAUUUAUAUAUAUUGAUUUGUUUCUUAUAUGAGGUAGCUGUAGUUUCCUUCUAUGAAAGAUCUGCCAUGGCUGUAGUUUCCUUCUUUGAGAAGUAGCCGUUGGUUGAGGUAGCUGUUGAUUCCUGUGAUUUCCAUGUAUGGUUAAUUACCAUUCUGAAUAGUAGCCGUUGGAGGUGUUAAUUCAGAAUGGUUGCUGACGAGAGUGAGGAUCCUGUGGUGGUGCUGCUGCUGUCUCCUGCUGCUGCUGCAGAGGUGUGUUGUUGCUGUUAAUACCCUCCCUCAAACGUUGCCGAGGUUGGAGGCAAAGUUUGCGCUGAAAACGAAGAAGAGUAGCUUUGGACACCGGCUUAGUAAACAGAUCAGCAAUCUGAUGUGUAGUGGGAAUAUGAUGUGUAAUAAGUUUCCCAAGAGCUACGCGUUCGCGUAUAAAAUGAUAAUCAAGUUCAAUAUGCUUGCUGCGAGCAUGGAAAAUAGGAUUGACCGUCAUAUGGAGCGCACUGAGAUUAUCACAAUAGAGCACUGGUGGAGAUAGCAAGGGAAUGUGUAAAUCAUGAAGGAUGUAGGUCAACCAGGUAAGUUCUGCAGCCGUGUUGGCCAUAGCACGAUAUUCAGCUUCAGUGCUAGAGCGUGAAAUAGUAUGUUGUUUCUUGGCACACCAGGAGAUGAGAUUACAGCCAAGGAAGACACAGUAGCCAGUGGUAGAACGUCGUGUAGUAAGACAGCCAGCCCAAUCAGCAUCUGAAAAAGCAGAGAAAUUAAGAUUAGUAUUAGAAGUGAAGUGCAGACCAUUAUUAAUAGUACCUUGACAUAUCGUAAGAUACGGCGGACCAUUUUUAAGUUGACAGUUGUAGGAGCAUGCAUGAAUUGAGAGACAUAAUUAACACUAAAAGAGAGAUCUGGUCGAGUAAGGGUGAGAUACUGGAGGGAGCCAACAAGCCCCCGGAAGAAACUGACAUCCGCUAAAGGAGGAGCAUUGGAGGAGGCUUUAGUUCGUGCUUCAAGUGGUGUAGUCAUGGGUUUACAGUCAACCAUUUCAGCACGUUCUAGAAUUGUAAAGGCAUAAUGUGAUUGUGAUAAAUGAAGUCCAUUUGGCGUGGGCGAAAUUUCGAUGCCAAGAAAAUGAUGAGUAGGGCCUAAGUCCUUCAUGGCAAAUUCUUGACUGAGUAGAGUAAUGAAAUCUGCAACAAGUGUAUCUAUAGUUCCUGUAAGAAGUAUAUCAUCAACAUAAAGUAGGAGAAUAAGAGAACCAUGAUCAGAAUGAAAAGUAAAUAGAGAAGGAUCUGCCAAGCUGCAUAGGAAACCGUAUUUGAGGAGAAAGGAACUAAAACGAUCAAACCAAGCACGAGGUGCUUGUUUAAGGCCAUAGAGGGCACGUUGGAGCUUGCAGACAUGCUGUGGACGUUGAGGAUCUGAGAGUCCUGGUGGCUGUUCCAUGUAGAGAUUUUCAGAAAUCAAACCAUGUAGAAACACAUUUUUCACAUCAAGCUGCCGUAGGGGCCAAUGAUGAACAAGAGCUAUAGUGAUAAUUAGCCGAAUGGUGCCAGGCUUUACAACGGGAGAGAAUGUUUCAGUGUAGUCUAGGCCAUCAAUCUGGUGGUAUCCUUUGGCAACAACACGGGCUUUGAGACGCUCCAAGCUGCCAUCAGAUUUGAGUUUGGUUUUAAACACCCAUUUGGAACCUAUGAUAUGCAUAUCGGUGGUACGAGGUACCAAUUUCCAUGUCUGAUUUUGGUGUAAGGAUGUAAGUUCAUCCUCCAUUGCUGCUUUCCAUCCUGGAUGAGCUAGUGCAGCUCACACAGAUCGCGGUUCAUGCGGUAUUCCAGCAGAGAUGACAGAUGUUAAUGCAUACUUGGGAUUUGGUUUUAUGAUGCCAUGCUGGGACCGAGUGGUCAUGGUGCGAAGAGCUGAAGUAGAGGAAUUGGGAACAAACUCAUCUGCGGAGGCAUCACUACAAGGAGGUUGUGCAGCUUGGUGUAGCGCACGUUGUGAACGAGUAACCAUAGAGUGAGGAGCUGAAUUUGGGUGGUCUUGCUGCUGCAGAGUAGUUAAGUUCUCAGAGAGUGGUUGCUGGGAAAUAUCAGGGCAGAGAUUGUGGGCAAUCUCCUGCUGAGUGGGAGCUGCCACCUGCUGAAUAUCAUUCUCCGAACUAUGGUGUUGUAGUGAGGAAGAGGGUUCUAUAGAUGGAUCAGUGGGAGAACCAGAAUUAGAGAGAUCUGAUACGUGCAUGAAGAUACAUGCAAACCGCAACAAACCAGAAGGUGGCAGUAGCGCACGUGGUACGUGGAAGACACUUGGACGUGGAUCAUGCUUGGUCGCCAGAUUGUUAGUGGGGUUUGUUAUGGAAUUAGUCAUUCUCCAGUUAUUUUUAGUAUUAACAGUUAAUAAGGAUUCCUCGGAGGAUCCCUUGUUUGUUUCCCAUUUUCUAGAUAGUUUCCCAAAUUCUAGCAUUGUUUGUUAUUCAAUUCAUGUAUAAAAGGGCCUGGUGGCAUCCAAUAAAGGUAUCGAAAAUUAUCCAAUACUGUCUCCUCUCUUACUUCUCUGCUUCUCUUCUCACUCCCUAAAUUCAACCUAUCAGUGGUAUCAGAGCCAGGUUACACAGUUGUCAUGGAUACUCGCGGAAAAAGUAAUGCUGAAUUCCGGACUGAGGUCAAUGACGCCUUAGCUAGGCAUGAGUCUAGCUUUGAUCAGGUGAAUGCUGCCCUUCAAGCAGUAUUAACCGAACUACAAGCCAUCCGCACCCAAAAACACCCAAACACUAACCCUCCCGAAAUCAAUCCCUUUGCAUCAGAAUCAUCAUCCCAGUUACAUAGUUCUCGCAACCCAAACACCACUGGUCAAACACACUCCCACCUCAAACUCUCAUUCCCUCGUUUUGAUGGCAGUGAGCCCACAGGUUGGGUGUACAAAGCCGAACAGUACUUCGAAUUUCAGGACAUUGACUCGGCCCAGCAGGUCCAAUUGGCCUCCUUCCAUCUAGAUGGAAUUGCUCUCCAAUGGCACCGAUGGCUGACCAAGUUUCGGGGACCCCUUCUGUGGAACGAGUUCGUGCAAGCCCUUUUGCAACGAUUCGGACCCACAGACUACGAAGACCCAUCGGAAUCGCUCACUCGUCUCAGACAAACUACCUCUGUAGCAGCUUACCAAGAGGCUUUUGAGAGGCUCUCCCAUCAAGUUGAUGGACUACCGGAAGGUUUUUUAAUAGGAUGUUUUGUUGCAGGGCUGCGAGAUGAAAUUCGUAUUGAUGUCAAGAUUAAACAUCCCCACACACUGGCAGAAGCAAUUGGAGUUGCCCGACUGAUUGAGGAGCGCAAUCUACUGCAAAGGAAGACCCAUCUUCCAAUUCGGUCUUCUUCCAUGAAUUUACCCUCCAGGGCACCAGCAAAUUCAGUAGCUGGAGUGUUGGGACCACCCCCAUCACAAAGACCAAACCUAUCACCAACAUCAUUCCGGAGGAUCACCACUCAAGAAGCUCGGGAACGAAGGGAAAAAGGGGCUGUGUUUCUAUUGCGAUGAGAAAUUCAAGCCAGGCCAUCGCUGUGAACAACCACAAUUGUUUAUGAUCGAAGACAGCUCCAACACCAGCCUUGAUGAAGAAAUAACAGAUACUGAGGACAUCAUCAAUUCAGAGGACAUGCCCGAAAUCUCAUUCCAUGCUAUCGCAGGUGCUGAACACCCUCAAACCUUACGGGUGUUGGGUCAAUUGGGCAACAAAAAGGUGACCGUGCUCAUUGACGGAGGCAGCACGCAUAACUUCAUUGAUCAGGUGGUGGUAACCAAAUUUGGGAUACCCAUUAAUCGCAGCCAGCGAUUUCAGGUAAUGGUGGCUAAUAGAGAGAAAAUCACUUGUACUGGGCAAUGUCAGAGCCUCACAUUAAUCAUUCAGGGCAUAGCCAUCACUGCCAAUUACUGUGUUCUACCGGUCAUGGCUUGUCAAGUGGUACUGGGUGUGCAGUGGCUUGAGACACUGGGUCCGAUUGAAAUGGAUUUCAAAAAGCUCACUAUGAGCUACAAAACGCAUGGAGAGAAACACACCUUUUACGGGUUGAAGCACACGGGUCAUGCUGCCUUCACAGAGAAGGAGUUUCAUGGGUUACAAGGGAAUGGAUUCUUCCUUCAAAUCAUUCCCUCACAUCCCAUCAUUGACAGUAGCAGCCAUCCACCGGAGCUUAAGGCCCUUCUAUCCGAAUUCUCGCAGGUGUUUGAGGAGCCCACGGGUCUGGCUCCCCAGAGAGCCAAAGACCACCACAUACCUCUACAACCCAAUUCUGGCCCAGUAAGUGUGAGACCCUACCGCUACCCGUAUUACCAGAAAACCGAGAUAGAAAAAAUGGUGCAAGACUUGUUGAAGUCUGAAUUGAUACGCCCCAGUAAUAGCCCAUUCUCCUCUCCUGUUUUGCUAGUCAAAAAGGCGGAUGGGGCUUGGCGUUUUUGUGUGGAUUAUCGCGCUUUGAAUGAAAUCACCAUCAAAGACAAAUAUCCAAUUCCCGUAAUUGAUGAGCUCCUAGAUGAGCUGCAUGGGUCUCGUUACUAUUCCAAAUUGGACCUACGAUCCGGCUAUCACCAAAUCCGGGUACGAGACGACGACAUACCUAAAACAGCAUUCAGAACUCAUGAAGGCCAUUACGAGUUCGUUGUCAUGCCAUUUGGUCUAACCAAUGCUCCUGCAACCUUCCAAAGUCUUAUGAAUGAUCUUUUUCGUCCCCACCUCAGGAAGUUUAUUUUGGUUUUUUUUGACGAUAUUCUGGUUUAUUCCAAAUCGUGGGAAGACCAUUUAACCCAUUUGCACACUGUUUUGAAGAUUCUAGCAGAUAAUACACUCUUUGCAAAGGAGUCCAAGUGCAGAUUCGGGGUUACAUAGGUUGACUACCUAGGCCAUGCUAUUUCAAACCAAGGAGUAUCGGUGGAUCCUACCAAAAUUCAAGCAGUGGUUGAGUGGCCUACCCCUACGACAGCCAAGGGGGUCCGCGGAUUCUUGGGCCUGGCCGGCUAUUACAGAAAGUUCAUCCGCCAUUUUGGAGGAAUAGCCGCACCACUUACCCGAUUGCUGACCAAGGAUGGGUUUCAGUGGAGUGCAGAAGCUGAUUUGGCUUUUCAACGUCUGAAGGAAGCCUUAACCCAGUCCCCGGUCUUACGCAUGCCAGAUUUCUCUCAACGAUUUGUGGUCGAGUGUGAUGCCAGUGGGAUCGGAAUUGGUGCAAUACUUUCCCAACAGAAUCAACCCGUGGCAUACUUUAGUGAAGCACUAAAAGGGUCUUCUUUGACACUAUCCACUUAUGAGAAAGAAAUGUUGGCCAUCGUCAAGGCAAUUCGUAAGUGGCGACCAUAUCUGCUUGGUAAACCAUUCACAGUUCGCACGGACCAGAGGAGUCUCAAAUAUCUCCUGGAGCAGAGGAUUACUACCCCAGCACAGACACGUUGGCUUCCUAAAAUUCUCGGCUAUGACUAUGUAAUCGAGUACAAGAAAGGGAGCGAGAACCAAGGGGCAGACUCACUGUCCAGAGUAGUGGAAUUUCAGUUUUUGUCCAUCUCGUUCCCAAAGGCAGAGUGGUGGCCAACUCUGCAACAGGAGGUGCAACAGGAUCCAUUUUAUGCCAACUUCAAAUCAACGGACCCCUUCAUGGUUCAAAGAGACGGAGUGUGGUUCAAGAAGGGUAAGGUGUUUUUAAGCCCGAAUUCUACUCUUAUCCCUCUACUUUUGGCAGACUGUCAUGCCACGCCGAUUGGUGGACACUUUGGGUUCCAUAAAACACUCGCACGCAUUAAGCAAGACUUUACCUGGCCCAGAGUUCACGUCACAGUGAAGGAAUUCUUGCAGCAAUGUACCACAUGUCAACGCUUCAAAAAAGAUUGCAUGAAGCCAGCUGGGCUGCUGCAACCCCUACCUGUGCCUUCCAAAGUUUGGACUGAUAUCUUCAUGGACUUCAUCAAAGGAUUGCCUUCCUCCCAAGGGUAUACUUGUGUAAUGGUGGUAGUGGAUCGCCUGUCCAAAUAUGCCCAUCUCAUUUCGUUGAAGCAUCCCUACACAGCAAUCACGGUGGCCAAAGCCUUCAUCUCCUGCGUCGUCCGCCUGCAUGGUAUUCCAGCCUCUAUUGUGAGCGAUCGUGACAAGGUGUUUAUUAGCUCCUUCUGGCGCACCCUCUUUCAGUCCCAAGGCACUCAGCUGUGCAUGAGCUCAGCUUACCAUCCUCAGUCGGAUGGUCAGACUGAAGUUGUCAACCGCAUCCUCGAACAGUAUUUGCGGUGCUUUGCAGGUGACCAGCCACGUAAAUGGUUCGACUGGAUUCCAUGGGCAGAGUUCAGCUACAAUACCUCGCUCCACUCUGCCACUAAGAUGACGCCAUUUGAGGUGGUUUAUGGUGUUCCCCCUCCUAGUUUACUCACCUAUGUUCCCGGUACCUCAAAUGUUCAAGCCGUGGAUGAGCAUCUGCGCGAUAGAGACUGUCUCCUUCGUGAGCUGAGGAGGAAUCUGUUGAUUGCCCAGAACAGGAUGAAGAGCCAAGCUGAUCAACAUCGCAGGGAUGUCUCCUUUGACGUUGGAGAUUAUGUGUAUUUAAAGCUCCAACCUUACCGUCAAUCCUCAGUGGCAUUUCGUAGCUCAAUGAAGUUAGCCCCACGGUUCUUUGGGCCUUACCAGGUCCUAGCUAAAGUCGGAACAGUUUCCUACAAAUUAGCACUGCCACAGGAUUCCCAAAUCCAUAACGUGUUUCAUGUUAGCUUGCUACGGAAAUACUUUGGGCCCCUCCCUCCUACAUCAACAGUGGUGAGCCUUCCUCCUAUUUCAGAAUCAGCCAAUAUUCUUCCACAACCUGAGGCUGUCCUGGACCGACGAGUAGUUAACAAUGGGAAAUAUCAUCCAAAACAUGAAAUUUUGGUCAAAUGGGAUGGUGCACCAGUGGAAGAUGCUACUUGGGAGAAUGAAAGGCGUUUUAUCAAGACCUAUCCCACCUUCAUCCUUGCGGACAAGGAUUCUUAAGGGGGAAGGAUUGAUACGUGCAUGAAGAUACAUGCAAACCGCAACAAACCAGAAGGUGGCAGUAGCGCACGUGGUACGUGGAAGACACUUGGACGUGGAUCAUGCUUGGUCGCCAGAUUGUUAGUGGGGUUUGUUAUGGAAUUAGUCAUUCUCCAGUUAUUUUUAGUAUUAACAGUUAAUAAGGAUUCCUCGGAGGAUCCCUUGUUUGUUUCCCAUUUUCUAGAUAGUUUCCCAAAUUCUAGCAUUGUUUGUUAUUCAAUUCAUGUAUAAAAGGGCCUGGUGGCAUCCAAUAAAGGUAUCGAAAAUUAUCCAAUACUGUCUCCUCUCUUACUUCUCUGCUUCUCUUCUCACUCCCUAAAUUCAACCUAUCAAGAUCAUGAAGGGAUUGUACAGCCGCAGAGUUAGUGAUAUCAGGUGAAGAAGUGUGCACUGUCUCCUGCUGGAAUGUCUCCGGCUGAGUAAUUGAAGUGUCAGACUGCUGCUGAAGCUGUUGGCGGGCUGGAGUACUGUCACCAUGGAGUUGCAGAGCAACAUCAGCGGGAGAAAUAUCUGUAAAGCACACUGUCUCCUGCUGGAAUGUCUCCGGCUGAGUAAUUGAAGUGUCAUACUGCUGCUGAAGCUGUUGGCGGGCUGGAGUACUGUCACCAUGGAGUUGCAGAGCAACAUCAGCUGGAGAAAUAUCUGUAAAGCACGCUGGUGUAUCUGAGGUCAUAGUAGGAAGCAGGGGUAUGGGCAGUGAGCUGCUGCAUGGUGGCGUUGCUGGUGUUUCAGAGAUAUCUGUAGGAGAGCGUGAAGCAAGGAUAGUUAGCCAAGAAUCAAAUAUGCUAAGGACAUGAUUAGAAUGAUCAAUAUUUGUGGUGAUAUUAUUUUGUUUAUACGGAAGGAUAGAUUCACUAAAAACCACAUGUCGUGAGACAAAAAAAUUUUUGCUUGUUGGAUGAAAGCAUUUAUAUCCCUUAUGUUGAUCACUAUAUCCUACAAAAAUACAUGGAACACUUUUUGGAUCAAAUUUAUUUCGUCUUGUAUCCCAAGUGUAAGGGAAACAUCGGGAGCCAAAAAUACGAAGAGAUGAAUAAAUAGGGUGGUUACCAUGUAAGCGGAAGUAUGGAGUGUCAUAGUUAAGAGCAGAAGAGGGCAGUCUAUUAAUGAGAUAAACAGCAGUUGUGAAGGCUUCAACCCAUAAAAAUAAAGGAGUACCACUAUGGAAUAACAUUGUCAUACCUAGUUCUCUUAUAAUUCUGUGUCGCCUUUCAACCAUACCUGUUUGUUCAGGAGUGUAAGGACAAGAUACCUGGUGAACAAUUCCUGUGGAGCGAAAAUGACUUGAUAAUUUUGAGUUAAUAAAUUCUCCUCCUCCAUCUGAGUGAAAGACUUUGAUCUGUUUAUUGAAUUGCCUACUAACAUACUUUUCAAAUGCUAUAAACACUGUUAGAAAAUCAAAUUUGUUAUGAAGAGGAAUUAUCCAUGUAUAUUUAGAGAAAUCAUCUACUAGGCAAGCAUAAUAUUUGAAUUUUCCAAUAGAUAAAACAGGGGCAGGUCCCCAUAAAUCACAAUGUAUUUUUUCAAAAACAUCAGUACUUGAAUGUUCAGAAUGCGAAAAAGGUAAGUUGCUAAGUUUUCCUAAUUGACAACUAUCACAAAGGUGCUCAGUCUUCAUAGCUCCUGUGACGUCAAUCAAUCCUGUAUUUUUUAAUAGCUGCACUGCAGAAGCUUGAGGAUGUCCUAGGCGUUGAUGCCAAACUGCUGCUGAUCCAGUUUUAAAACGAUAAGAAAAAUGUAAUUCUGGCGAGUUGUGCAAGACAUAAAGAUCACCCUUACGUCUACCUGUGAUCAGAGGUUGUCCUGUUUUCCGUUCCUUAACACAAAAAUCAACGUCAGAAAACUCACAGUUCACAGGAAAUUGUUUGGUAAGCUGACUUACUGAAAGUAAAUUUUUAGUUAAUUCAGGAACAAGAAGAACAUCAUUAAUAUGUAAUUUAGUAUUGUUUUGUUUAAUAAAUGAAUCUCCAAUACCAAUAAUCGGUAGAGACGAUCCAUUUCCAAUAACCACAGAAUCAGUUCCAAAAUACUUACGAACAUCAGUUAACAUACCUGGCUUACUUGUCAUGUGAUUCGAUGCACCAGUGUCUGAUGUCCAUUCCGUGUCAACCACGGUGCUUCCCAAAUAGCGGUUGCUCUUUUGCAAUAUUAGAAGCAUGAACCACAAACAAUACUCUUUUGAAUAUUAGAAGCAUGAACCACAUUGUUCAUAAUCGACUCUUUCAUAAAUGUCAUCCUUAACAUCACCUUUUUCUAGCCUAGGAUUUUGCACACUAAGAGCCUAUUUGACGUUGCAGUUGAAUCGUUGUUUUUCCAUUUUGAAAAAAAUUAUUCUUGCUUCAAUUGUUUUUGCGUUCUUGGAUUGUUAUGAUGUGUUAAUGUUAAAAAUGAAUUAAAAAAUAUAUUUUGAUAUAUUUCCAAGUGAAAAACACUUUACAACGCAACCGCUACCACACUUUUAAACAAUCACUAAGAAGUUAUCCAGGAAUAAUUGUUCUCCAUUUGCAGUUGUUGCAUACUCAAAAAAAUAUUAUGUCAAAACAUACAUGACAGGUGGCUCCAAUAUCAAUCCACCACUUUUUAAGAUUGUGCACCAGGUUUGCUUCUGACAUAACUACAACAAGCUUUGCAGCUUUCUCAUCAACAUUCUCAAUGAUUUUGUUUUGUGCAUUUUUUCCUUACAGAUAUGCCUUUGCUUUUUACAAACAAAACAAGUUUCUUUGAACUUCUUUUUGCCGACACUAUUACCAUUAGAACUCUUGAGAGAACUUGCUUCAUAUUUAAGUUCACCAGGUUAAGAAUGUUUAGGAAUCGGGUUUGCCAUCGAGACCGCAAAGAUUACCAGGUUAAAUUAUUUUGGUUUUUUCCCCGCAUGAUAGAAUGUUUAGGAAUCGGGUUUGCCAUCGAGACCGCAAAGAUUACCAGGUUAAGAAGUACAUUGAAAUUAUUAACAAUAGAUUUAUCCAUUUAUUAUCUCAAUAACAAGAUUAACUUUAUAAUUAUAUAUCACACUUAUAUAAUCUGAAAUAAUAUUAAUUAAAAUGAAUCCCAAAAAUUUAACACACUAAUUCUGCAAAAAACAAAUUUAAUAAACAAUUUAACUUUGCAACUAUGUAUUUAUUUAUUUGUUUUUCUAUGAGACUCAAUUUUUUUUUUAAUAAUCAUCAAGAGUAUAUUGAAAAGGCCAUAAAGCCAAUAGACAGUGAAAUUUUUAACAGAAACUCAAUGUAAUUUUCAACAAAAACUAUAACAAUACAAAUAAUUACAAAUAUUUUUCUUUCAACAUCAACAUAAGAAAACAAUAUGCACUCUUCUAAAGUUAUGAUAAAAAAAAUCUGAUUGAUACUUAUGUUGUUUUAUGAUUAAAGUAACAAUAGCAUCUAAAGAGAAUGAAUUAGGUGUUGCACUAAUUAUGUCAAAAUAAUGCAAGUAAACACACUAAACACAUAUAACACAAAAACCAACAAUAUAAUUCAAGUGCUUAAAGUAAAUAUAUAAGAAAAAAGAGAUUGCAAACUCGAUUUUUAACGUGAUUCGGUAAGCUUACAUCCACAUCUCAAGUACUAAUCAUACUUAAGUAUUGUACUUUUUUACUAAUCCAAGUGAAAGAUACAUUGCCCUUGAUGAAUUCACACCAAGAAAUUACACCACUUGAUGAAUUUUUCUCUUUAAGAUUUUUCUCCUAGAAUUCCGGUUAAAUAGAAUUGCACUUAAUAUAUAUUAUUUCACCAUAAUUAUUAUCCAGAUAUGCAACUUUUUUUCUUUCCGAUCAUCUGUUUUCUUUUUUUCAUAUCAAUACAACAACAAAGGAAAAUACCAUGCAAUAUAAAAUGUAUUUCCCUGUAGAAUCAAUGCAACAAGUUUACAGACAACAGACGACAAGGAAUUUAACAUAGUCAUGGAAUUUAACUGAAGAUAUAUACACUUUACUUUCUCUAUUAAAAUUAAACUAUUUUUUUUAAUCUAUGUCAAUAUAUAAUCAAUUUGGUCUUGAAGAUAUAUAAAUAUACACAGAACAAAUAUGUUAGAAAAUAAAUUGUUUAAGAUUGUUAGAGCACCUUAAAUAGUUCAUAAAAUUAUUCUUCCCUUUUACUAUAAUGAUGAAGUACAAGGGUUGUUGAUGAUGACCUCUUGGAUGGCUACAUGAAGCUUGUUCCGUUUUAAAUUUCAAGGUUAAUCUAUUGCUAUGAGCAUACGUGUCUCAAUUUAAAACUCGAGUUGCAACUGAACUUAAAUGAAUGGUGUUGGAUUUGGGCCUUCUAUUUGUUUUAACUUCUACAGGGUUGAAAUGAUAGUGAUCUUAAAGUAGAAAAGCAGCAGACAAAAAUCAAUUAACCAUAAUGGUGCAUGGUUUCCUAGUUUCUCAGCAUAAAGUUGAAUGUUUUGUUGACCUUUCUACAUCAAAAAUCAUAUAGACAGCUACUGCUGGCACUUGCAGUGGCCAAUGCAUACUGUAGAGUAUAUAUUGCAGUGUGAGAUAAGGUUAACUCGUUGCAUUUUCAUAUAUUGAAAGGAUUUCUCUUCUUUUCUUUGUCAAUUACAGCACAUGCAUAUAAGUGUUCUUCCUCAGAGUAAAUGCUAUAGUAAUGUUUUCACGGACUCCCCUGGUUUGCAACUGAUUCACUUAUAUAUCUUGGAACAUAGCCAUAAAUGAAAGGUUCUUCUAGUUCAAGAAAAUUAACCAUGAAGCUCGUAACUAGAAUUUUUAGACAGAAGGGUGGCCAAGCGAACUCCUAUACUCCGUACGUCUGGAAUAAUACAGGGAAAGGGUGUUUAUGUAUUUUGAUGUCUUAUAUUACUUGACCAACUCUUGCUUAUCUCAUUAUUUGUUUUAAUUUUUUGCUAAUAAUUCCACACAUUUCUGAUAUGGUGUGGUUUUUGAGUUCAGGGUUCUUGCUCAUUGCUGCUAACUUCUCUAUACUUGCCUGGUCAUUAAAAAUGAAACGUAAUGAUUUGCAUAUGCUGAAUGGAGACAUUAAAGAGGCAUCUUCUGUUUUCUGGUCAGGAGGGAUUACAAGAACUCAAGAAAUUUUCCAUAUGUUUUGAGGAAAAGAUUUAUACUACCACUACCAAUCAGGUAUUUGCCUAAUGUGAGGUUUAAUAAUUACGAUAUUAUCUAGACAUUAAUAUACACACGCAUUUAUGCUUGUACAAAUGUGUGUGUAGUGUAGUGUGCCUACACUUCCUCACCGUUCAUUCUGUAUGCAAGGCUGAUUGGGAGUUCACAUUAUUUUGUUAAUUCUCUUGACAAGUGUUUUAUUUAGAGUGACCAAGUUCAAGUACAAGGGAAGAGUGCAAAAAGCAAAUAGCGAAUCAAUACAUAAAUAAUUAAAUAAAAAGAGAGGAAACAAAAGUAUAUCAUAGAGAAGAUGAAAUGAUAGAGCAUAUAUCCAUUUUCCUCCUCUUGUAACAUGGAUUGCUCUGAGAUCUGAUGUUUUGUUAUUAAUAUCUGAUUUCAGUCUGAUUAUAUAUCUACGAAAAAUAUCUCUGGAGAUGCUUUCGAUGGAGAUCAGGUCUCAAAAUGCCAUGCCCACUGUCCCCAUGGAUCCAGCAGGUAAUAAUGCACCCGAGCAUUGAAUUUCUAAACAUCUUACCUUUUGUUUUUCUUCUCACAUUGUUAUCAAACUCUUUUACAUUUUAUUGCUGUAUAUUGCUAUGUAUAUCGCCUUGCUAGAAAAAUCUCAUGAUCACCUCCACGAUGCUAAUUCUAUAAUGCAUGUGAAGUGUUUCAUCCUUAACUUGUUAAGAACAAGGACUAUGAUGCAUUGCUAUUUUAUAUUUUAUGAUUGAGAUGGUAGAUUUUAAAGAUUUUCCUGUUUAGGAGAUAAAAGUAAGAUGUCACUUUUUUGCUUUUCUUCCGAGAGAGUAUUUGAUCCUUUUUUCGUAUAAAAUAAUGCUGGCAUGCAUUGAAUUUCCAAACAGCUUAGCUUUUGUUUUGUUUGUCGCAUUGUUAUCAAACUCUUUUACAUUUUAUUGCGGUAUAUUGCUAUGUGUAGGGCAUGCUUUAAUCAAAAAGUUGAGUAAUUGAUGAAUGCUAGGCAUGAAAAUGACAUAUUAUUUUUGUUUUCUGUCUCCUCCUUUUCUUUCCCCCACCUCAAAAAUUGUCAUGUUAUUUUUGUUUUCAGCCGCCUCUUCUUCCCCAAACCUUUAAAAUUGUUUAUAUUUGCUUUGGAAGCAUGACAAACUUCAUUGCCUCUCAGCUUAAGGAGAUUGCAGCAGGUCUCGAAGCUUCUGGGCAUUAGUUUAUCUGGGUAGUUAGAAGAAACAAAAAGAGUCAAGAAGACAAGGAAGAUUGUUUACCUAAAGGAUUUGAGGAAAGAAUGGAAGGCAAAGGGCUAUUAUCAGAGGAUGGACACUCCAAGUUUUGAUUCUUGGUCAUGAAGCAAUAGGUGCAUUUGUGACUCAUUGAGGAUGGAACUCAACUCUUGAAGGCAUAAGGCAAAUAUUUGCUGAGCAAUUCUAUAAUGAGAAGUUGGUGACUGAUGUUUUAAAAAAUGGAGUUAAGGAAUGGCUUAGAGUGCAGAGAUCAUGUUAAAAGUGAAGCUGUAGAGAAGGCAAUCACUCAAAUUAUGAUGGGUGAAGAAGCAGAGGAAAUGAGAGAGAAGAAAGCUGAACAAGGGAACGCAGUAGAUGAAGAAUAUGAGUUUACUGCAUUUACUGUCAAGAAUACAAACGUGAGCACUAAAAACUAAUUUGUACAGGAUACUCUUUAUAUAUAGAGUAGUAAUUAACUUCAUCACUUAUUUCUUUCUAUGAAUACAAUAUUCCUUAUUUAUAUAUAUUGAUUUGUUUCUUAUAUGAGGUAGCUGUAGUUUCCUUCUAUGAAAGAUCUGCCAUGGCUGUAGUUUCCUUCUUUGAGAAGUAGCCGUUGGUUGAGGUAGCUGUUGAUUCCUGUGAUUUCCAUGUAUGGUUAAUUACCAUUCUGAAUAGUAGCCGUUGGAGGUGUUAAUUCAGAAUGGUUGCUGACGAGAGUGAGGAUCCUGUGGUGGUGCUGCUGCUGUCUCCUGCUGCUGCUGCAGAGGUGUGUUGUUGCUGUUAAUAAUGAGGACUAGAGCAAAGAAGCUUUCAGUGCUUUGAUUUAAUAACUGCCAAGAAUGGAAGGCUGUUGAAGAUGGUGGAUCUUCUUGCUCCAAUUUCAAUGCUUUGAUUGAAUAACUGAGGUGGGGUAGCCCUUGAAACAGAGGCAUAGAACAUUUUGUUACUACUUAGUAGUGGUUUUGGCAAUUUAUUUUCAGAUAAGUCUUGAGAGUUGAAAGAGUAAUCACAGACGAGUCAAUGACCAAUCCAAAUCAGUUCCCUUCCUAAUGGUUCAGGAAUGACAAGUCCAGCUUAUUUAUUGAGCCCAAAUAACUUUUCAAAUAAAAAGGUUGAACUUAGAGACAGUACACUACAAAUUAAGCACCUAAUAGCUAGACAUACAAGACAAACAAUCAUCACAAACUAGGAACAAUCGUCUUCCCAGUAACAAAUUCACCUUCUCAAGUUGGAGAACUUGCGAAAACUAGCCACUACAAAAUAGUAGCAAGUAUCUAUGCAGUCUUCGAUGAAGUACGACCACCUGCGUCGCCAAUAUGGAUCGAUGUAAAGAACUACUACAAUUAUCAUCACCACAACUGUGUAACAUACACCGAAAUUGAUGUAGAAAAACUCCAUGUCUAUGAAACCAUCAUCUCCUUGUUCAUCAUAAGGCACUGGCUGUGAUGGCACUGGUUGUGAUGGCACUGGCUGUGAUGGCACUGCUUCCUCACUACAAUUGUUUCGCAAUGGAGGUCCACACAAAAAAGGAUUUCCUUCGUAACAACUUUCAUCAAAGGUCCCAAACUGAUAUUUUCUCUCGGGUGUGUUACCUGACAAGUUAUUAUGCGCCACACUAAAAACUUCCAGUGUGGUAAUAUCAGUAAGUUGUGGAGGGAUGACACCAUUCAAGUUGUUGUAAGAAAGAUCCAAACUCUCAAUCUGCUUUAGGUUUGAGAAUGUUGCAGGGAUAGAUCCAGUGAGAUUGUUGUGUGAUAAGUUUAAUGACAGUAUCUUACUUAAGUCUCCAAAUUCUGGUGGGAUUGCUCCUACGAAGUUGUUAUUGGAGAGAUCAAUACCAGACAUGUAGCUGAGAGUCUUCCCCUUGUAACGAUAAUACAUAUUUUUAGUUGUAAAUUCUAUCACUUCUUCUGUAAAGUUAAGCAGAAAACCCUUUCUCAAGUUGUACAUACUCUCCACUAGUGGUGGACCCAUUGUUUCAUAAUAAGCUUUUUCUAUGGACCUUGAUAGAACAUCAGCUCCGAGAUCUGCGAGCGUUUUCUGGGAACUUUCCUUGAAAGUAAGAUUGCCCAAACAGGAGGGUAGUGGACCAGAGAGUUGGUUUUGUGAAACAUCCAAAAUGCUUAAUUGUUCUAACAAGCAUAAUUGAACAGGGAGCUCACCAUCAAAGUGAUUAGCCCUCAGAAGAAGAACACUCAAUGAUGAAAGAUUGCCAAUCCAAUUUGGAAAGGAGCCGGUGAAGUUGUUAUCUCGAAGAUCCAUCGUAACCAGGGAAGAGUUGUUAUAAAAUCCAUAUGUUAAUGGACCGCUCAAUCUAUUUUCAGAUAGAUGCACAUGGGUUAUUUGUGGUGGACUGAAACAAGAUGGUAUAUAUCCAGACAAGUUGUUCUCAGAAAGGUCCAAAUAUUCAAGCUGGUUAAGCUUACAAAAGUCUCUUAGGAUCGGACCCUUAAAAUAGUUUUUGGACAAAUCAAUUGCGAUAAGGCCUGUAGAAUUGACUAACCACCUUGGAAGCAUGCCUGAAAAUUGAUUGUCACUCAAAUCCAAUGUUGACCACAUUUUCCACCCAUAUAAUAGAAAAUCUGAUAUCUGACCCCAAAAGUUGUUACCGUGUAGGUAGAGAUAUUCUAAGGUAGAAGAAUUGAAUACUGAGGUUGGUAAUUGCCCACCCAAAUUAUUGUUUGACAGCUUGAGAAACCAUAUUGUUGUUAGUUGUUCUAGUUUUACUAUAGACAAUUGAUUGUUGGAUAAAUCUAAAAUUUUCAAAGAGCUAAUAUUUCCUAAACAAGAAGGAAUACAACCUGUGAAUCCAUUAUUGGCCAUCCUUAAGCUCCACAUAUUUGGAAAGAUCAAACAAAUAUCUUUAGGAAUUUGACCGUUCAUGUUGUUGUUGGAAAUAUCUAAUUCGGUCAUAUUCAGAUAUGGGUGAUCUUGCAACUGUAAAGUACCGACAAAGGAGUUGUUGCUUAGAUAUAGUUGCUCCAAUCGUGUAUUGUUCUUAAGCAACCAUGAUGGAAACAUUGCGGUGAUGUUGUUGUGGGAGAGAUCAAGGACUCUUAUGUCGUAUUGGUAAUAAAGGAAGUCGGGAAUUUUUACAUUUAGUGCUUCUGUUGUUUUUGACAAUCGGAAAAAUACUAGUUGGAACUUUGGAAUCAAAUUAUCAAAGGCAGCAGGUUCUGUUACUAGCUUGUUGUUCUCACUGGAGAAGAACUUGAGGCUUGAGUGGUUCAUAAAAGGCUUCAUUGAAAUGGGAACUUCAAAGAGGUUAUUUGAUAGUGAGAGGAAUUCAAGGGAUGUGAGGUUGGUAAGAGGACCGGAGGCAAUAUUUCCAGUAAACUGGUUUUCAGAAACAUCUAAUAGUUGUAGAGAUGACAAGUUCCCCAAACAAUCUGGGAGUGAACCUCCUAAAUUAUUUCCAGAGAGAUCUAACUGCCUCAGAUUCUUUAAUUCACACCAACCUGUACAAUUUAUCUUGAAACAGUCAAAACAGUGUUGAAAGAAUCUUUUAUUGAUGAUAGUUGUUAAUUUACCUUGAGCGGGUAGGGUGCCAUGGAGGUCACAUUCAGCAACAGACAAAACUUUAAGAUCAGGCAAUGCUCCAAUGUUCUGGAGAAAGUUUAUUGGGAGAGAAGUACGAUCUAGAUACAAUUCUUCAAGGGUGCUAGAAUUGAAGAAAGUCCCUGUGAAAAAGAAAGAAGAAGAGAUAUGAUGAAAAUUGUGGUCGUACAGAAUAGCCAUUCCAUUUAAUAUUAUUAAUUAAGAUUUUAAGAAACUAAACUAUGAUUAACCUUGACUUAAAUUAGUAUCCUUGAGAGAAAGGGUCUUCCUUAAACCUAUGAUGUGUAGAAUUGAAAGCAGGCAAUCAAGUAAGUAGUGAAAUUAAGUGUUAUCUUGAUCGAGUUUUUAAACCUAUGAUAAAGAACUGAUAUUGAAUAGUGAGAUGAUUUUUGGAUAGAAACAACAAAUUGCCUGAAAAAUCCAGAGAUAUUGCCUGAUAAAUUUAAAUUUAAAGACUUUACCAUUGACGGUCGUCGAUCCUAGCAACAUAUUGCCUGAUAAAUUUAAAGACUUGAGAUAAGAAAGCCCACGCAGAUGUGAUAAAAUGCUGUCGUUGAAUAUAUUAUAGCUCAGGUCCAGGUUAUCGAGUUUCUCCAAAUGUGAUGAUAUGAUCUCAAAACCUGCAAGAGAGUUGUUUCUAUAAGCAAGUCAUAAUUACAUAAUAACUUUAAUCAAACAUGAUGAAAUACUAUCGUUGAUUAUUAAAUGAAUAUAAAGUCCUCAAUUUUCAUAGAAGGAGAUAUGAGAAGGAGAAAAGAAAAUGUUUCGAAGCUAAAUAAUUAAAAGGUUACCAUAGAAGCUACCUGAUCCUGUCAAUCCAUUGCCUGAUAGAUCCAAAGACUUGAGAGUGGAAAGCCCAGUCAUGCAUGACAAAAUGCUUUUAUCAUUAUUAAAUCGGUUAUCACUUAGGUCAAGAUUCCUCAGAUUUGAUGAUAGGACUUCGAAGCCUGGAAGAGAAUCAUCAAAGCAAGAUAAUUGACAUUAAACACCAAUCAACCUUGAUUUAUUUUAUGAUUAUAAGUGCAGAAACAUUGAACUAACCUUCAUUCUCCAAGCAACCAACCAAUCCAUUAAAUCGCAAUUCGAGACUUUGCAAUUCUUUAAAAGGCAGAAACAAAGAUGCGUUGAGAACCCAAUCGCCAAAGCUCUGAUCCCUUGCUCCACUAAGAGAGAGUUCGAUCACUCGCCUUGUAGUGUUAUCACACUCGAUCCCAUCCCACUCACAACAAUUACUACUGUCCACCCAAUGUCUCAAGGAAAAGCCAUCUGGGUCGAUCAAAGAUUGGAUCUCCAAGAGACCAAUUCUCUCUUCCUCCAAACAUCCAUAACAACGACCAUACCAUUCGCCAACCAAAGUCAAUAAUAUUGCUAGCAACAUCCAAGCCCCCAUUCUUUUCAUCAUCAUCUUAGAUAAUUCUAUGUGACAUCAAGAACGUAGAAUAUUGUUGUUUGUUAUGUGCCUUUGGGCAACCAUAGAGGUCCUAUUUAUACUACACUGUGGCCAUUUCCGUGACUUUGAGAUGUUUUCUUUAUUUAAUUUCCAUGACUUUAUCUGCAUAUCUUGUGCAGGUUCGGUGUUUUGAGAUUUGAAUAUUAUUUUAUUUCUUUUUGGAAUAUUCUUGGAUUUGAAUAUUAUUUUAUUUUAUUGUUUAGCACUUAGUCUAUUUGCAUUUAAUUAUAUUUUGGUUACUAAUUAUUCAAUUUAUAAAAAAAUAAAAUAAAAAAAUUGUUGCAGUACUUCAACAUAACAUAUAUUUGUUUUUAUGGUGGGAAAGGUAUUCUUGACUUGUUUUUAUUACAUUUCAAUAUUAAAUAUAUUUUUUUCAAUCGAGUCAAAGAUAUACAAUUUAUAUUAGAAUGAGAAGACUAAUCAAUUUCUCUAGUUUUCUCCCUAAUUAUAAAAUACAUCUAAGAUAAAAGGAAUUUAUUUCUUGAAAUUAAUGCAUUAAAAAAUAUAAAAAUAUUUUUUAAAAAUUAAAAUAGUAGUAAAAGAAAAUUUAGUUUUUGAUUGAAGUGUAAACUAGUGGUCAAUGAACAAAAAGAAACUUUAUUGAUUAUCUAAUGAGUUACUUCUCCAAAAAGAAUAUAUAUAUUAUUGAAUAUCUAAAGGAAACGAUUCAUGAAACUCCGCCUAAUAUAUAUAUAUAUAACAGAGAAAUUGUCGAUAAUAGCAAUCAUUUUCUUAUCUCUUGUAUCAUUCAUAUCUUCCACAAAUCUUAAGUAAUUGAUGAGAAAGAUCGUGAACGCGGAUGCUUGACUUGUUGUGUGGCAUUUUGAUUUUUAAACACAACCAUGCAGUGAUUUCCUGGUGAUUUCCUUAUGCAUACUGGUGGUCCUUCAGAAUCUUGGAGGACCACCACAAGCCAAUCUAAAAAAAUGCUAAAAGUAAUCUUGAGGGUUGUAACUUAACUGGUCAGGUCCUGAGUUUGUUCCCCGAAGAUCACCAGUUCGAGUCCCACAAACCUCAGAGCCACUUGAGGCUUACAUGAUCAUUAACUUCAGGGCUCGUGGGAUUAGUCGAGAUGCACGCAAGCUGACCCGAACACCCACGUUAAUAAAAAAAAAUGCUAAAAGUCAAAACACACAAGCCAUAUAAAAAUCACACGACAGCCAAUUGCCUUAUCUUGUGAAAAAAAGAUCAAAAAAAAAAAAAACAUUCUCUUAGGUAUGCAAUGACUGCCUAUCUUCUCAUGGGGAGCAAAAAUCAGUAGCCUCCCAUGGAAUCCUAAUAAACCUUUCUCUGUGCUCUUCUAAGAUAUUAAAAAUGUCAAACAUACAUCAAUAAUCAAGAUUUGGGUCCUAGAUCAGACAAGUUAGCUUAUGUUGACUGGUGUUAAUCUAAAAUUGUAUCAUUUUAAGAAGAAAAAAAACUGUGUAGUUAAAAAAAAAAAACUAGUUUUUGACUGAGUUGAUUAGGUUCUUGGUUGAUUUAUCUGGUCGAUGAGGCUUGAUUGGGUCAACUCUCACUUGGUUUUUUCUAAACCUGAAUCCGGUCAGAUUCCAGAUUAAAAUGGUAGGCUUGAAUUAAAUUUAAUAACGCUGAUUAAAACCACAUUGUAGAAAAAAAAAUUGAAUUGCAUAAAAGUAAUUAACCGAAAACUUAUAUUCCUUCUUAUUGUCAAAGAACCAUCUCAACCCUUAAGCUAUUAGGUGAGGUCCCAAGAUAUGAUUUAUAUUAUUCUUUAACACACUCCCUCAAGUGAAAGCCCUUUGGGCUUGAAACUUGCAAAUGUCUACAUUACCUUGUGCUUGAUUUUUAUCAAAUUAAUGGGGGGUGAGAUUCGAACUCGUGACCGCUUGGUCAUCAAAGCUCUGAUAUUAUAUCAAAUAAUCACCUCAACCCAAAUUAAAACUUAAACUAUUAGAUGAGAUCCCAAGUUAUGAUUUAUAUUAUUCUCUAAGAACCCAUAUCAGUUUUUUUUAAGGAAAAGUAUGAAUCAAAGGUUAACGCUAGGCAGCUCACUUUGCAUGACAAUGACGGAUAUAGAAGACUUGCUACUUUCUUUAUGGAAAUAACGUGUGGAAAAUCAUGCCUUAAUGUUGAUGGUGAUGGCAAAAACAACCAGUAUCGUUGAUAAAAUGAACCACAAAUGAUAUUAUUUCUAAAAUACUUUUUUUCAUUGUCAUGACAACAAGUCUUCUUCUUUUUCUUUCUAAAGAGUCUAUUUUUUGUAACACAACCAACAAGUAAAAUGGAUAGGAAUUUGCAGUGUGAGAUGGGUCUGUGAGACUUUUGCCAUCUGCAUUUUUUCCAUGAUAUAGGCCAGUGAGAUAGUCCAUGAAACCAUUGCCCUGUAAGCAUUUAUGAGUUCGUGAGACCAUUUCCAUCUGCACAUUGGUCCCUGAAACCGUUGCCAUCAUGCAUUUUUUCCACGAGAUGGGUUCGUGGAACAUACUUUGGUUUAAUUGGGAAUGCUGUUAUUGAUUGAAAACUUUCUAAUUAAAAUAAAUUUGAUUAUUUGAUUGGAAGAAAUCCUUAAAUGUUAUUAACACAAGAAAUCAAUUUAUUUUCUUAAGAAAAAAAUAUUGUAACCAUAUAAGUAAUUUAUUUAUUUAUUUUAAUGAAAUAUAAAAUAGUUUUAAAUAAUCUUGUGGUAUAUUUCUUGUCUUUAAGAGCUAUGAACUUAUAUCUCAAAACUUGAAAACUAAUAUAAAGAUAUUAAGUGAUCAUUGAGUGUGUGUGUAUGUAUAUAAUCCUUUUCAAAACAAAAAGGAUUUUGAUGGAGAUCAGGACAUUGCAACAAAUUAUCCACGAGAUGGGUCGGUGAUACCAUUGUCAUCAUGUAAUUUUUCCCACGAGAUGGGGUCGUACGCUUGGGGCUCUAAAAGCUAUGGUUUUUAAUUUCAUCAGGUAUAUUUUAUUUCAAUUCUAAAAAUGAAAUAAAUUAGAAGAUAUUUCAUCUUGUUUAGAAUAUUAUCUCCUUACAUGCAUGAAUUUCACCUAAAUUUUGACCAGAAUAUAUCGGUUCUAUUCCGGCCAUUCUAUUAUGUCCAAAUAAUGUUUUGUUUUGCUUUUAUAUAUAUAAAAAAUAUAAUUUAUUUUUAUGAUAUCAAUUAUACCUUUCAAUUUGACUAUUAGAUUAGACUGAAAUUUUAUAAUCUCUUAAUAUGUAUUUAUAUCACAAGUUAAAAUUUUAGAGCAAUCAGAGUUUAGAAAGACUUGUGAAAUUACUGUUGAUAUUUUCAUAAUUUUAUUUAAAUUCAUAAUUUUUUUUUGAAAUGUUAUUUUUUGUGUUUUUUUAGAUUGAUUUUUUUUAAUUUUAUAAUUUAAUAAUAAAUUUAUUAAAAAUUAAAAUUCAUAAUUUAUUUUUAUUUAUUUUAUUUAAAAUUAUUAUAUUCUCAUUACUCAUAUCACGAAAAAAACCUUUGCUUUAAUUGGGAAUGCUGUUACAAGUAAUUGGACUCCGUGGGAUGGGAGACCGUUGCCAUCAUGCAUUUUUUUUCCACAGCAUGGGUCCGUAAAGUCCUCUAUAAAAGCUUAAACCUCCUUACUAUCCUCUAUAUCAAUUGAUCAGCAUUUAUAAGAUGGGGCUGUUCCUUCUGAUGCUGAUGGUUUUAGUAAUGAUGGUUUCUUGCAAGGAUGGCUGCCUCUUGGAGUAUAUUGACUUGAGAAUUAAUUGUUUUGAUAACAGUAUUUUAUUAUUUGUGGAGUUAUUUCUAUUUUUUAAAUUAUUAUAUUUAGAUUAUAAUAGAGUGAAAGAGUUAAUAGGUUUAAGAGAUUAGGAAAAAGCUAAUAUUAAUUAUAGUUAGGGACCAAACUGGAAUUUUUGCAUAUUUUUAAGGGUCAAAUUGUAAUUUUAUUAAAUUGAUGAAGGACCAAAAUGAAAAUAUCAUAUUUAUAACUAUACUGGAAUUUUGCCCAUAUUUCUUCUUUAAUUUUGCCUAGAAUCUCGGAUUAUGCUCUAGGGACCAAUCUGUAAUUUUUUUCAAAGUUUGGGGAUUAAACUGAAAUUUUCACAAAUUGAGGUACCAAGCUGAAAUUUUUUCAUCUUCAACCUCAUACCCAGAUUUUUCACAAAUCACCUAUUGAUAUAUCAAGAUUUUUAACUAGAUGAGGGUUUAGGUCAUAGAUUGGCCUAAUACUCAGAUCAAGAUUUGGAUCAAGUUAGCUUAUUGACUAGUGUUAAUAAAAAAUUGUAUUAUUUUAAGAUUUAAUUUAAUCAAAUAGAUUCAACUCCCAUGCCAUUCCACAAUUAAUUUAUUUUAUUAUGAUUUAGUGUUAUGUUAACCAGGCAACAUUUAAUUACCAUGAUAUAAAAUACAAAAAUAGUGGGAACAUAAAAAACAUGCUUUUAUAUAUUUUUUAUUUUAAAAGUACAAAUUUUACUCUAAGACUAUUGUAAAAAGAUAUUUAUUUUAAAUUUAUUUAUAUUUUUAUAAUUCAAAAAUUAAAAAUAAAACAGAAUUAAUCCAUACUCAUCUAAAAACAAUUAACUCUAACAUCAUUAUUUUAUAACAAAACUAGCAAAGAUAAUUUAUUAAUCACUAAGUUUUCUGGUUAUAAAUACAUUAGUAAUUGUCUUCGUCUCUUUUGUAUUUCUAACUAUUAACGAAUUGAAUAUAUAUAAUAAAUACCGAGUGAAAGAAUAAAUUUAGUUGUAUAAUGUACUAAAUAUUAAAUAGGUGACUUUAGAAUCACCAAGCAGUGAAUCACACGGGAAGAUUGAAAGAAUAAUUAAAGUGAUUUUAGUAACCGACAAGUUGACCCCAAGUCAAAAGUCUUUUGUGGAAAAACAUGAAUAAAAGGUUGAGGGUAAGGUCAUUGCUAUCAAGCGUUUUUUUCUACGAGAUGGGUCCGUUACACCAUUUCCGCUCAAGCUUGAGAAGUGAUGAUAUAUGCUUUAUUUUCAACUUGUAUAAAAAAUAAAUUUUAAUGUAGUGUGUUAGUGUUAAAUAAUUAUCUUAAUCUAAUAGUUUAAGCUGUUAGAUAAGGUCUCAAGAUAUGAUUUAUAUUAUUCUCUAACACACCUCUCAAGUAAAAACCCUUUGGACUUGAAACUUGUUCAGGUUCACAUUACCUUGUGUUUAAUUUUUAUCAAAUAAAUGAAGAUGGUGAGAUUCAAACUCGUAACUGUUUGGUCAUCAAGGCUCUGGUACCAUGUUAAAGAAUCAUCCCAACCCAAUAGCUUAAGCUGUUAGGUAAGGUCCCAAGAUAUAAUUUAUAUUAUUCUCUAAUACACCUCCUACUUUGUGUUUAAUUUUUAUCAAAUAAAUAGGGAUAGUGAGAUUCGAACUCGUGACCGCUUGGUCAUCAAGGCUCUGAUACCAUGUCUAAAAACUAUCUCAACCUAAUAGCUUAAACUGUUAGGUGAGGUCUUAGGAUAUGAUUUAUAUUAUUCUCUAACAAUAUUUUCUUCACUUUCUAUAUAGUUUUACCUUACACUAAUAUUGUCAGAAAAUGAUAUAUAGUUCUUGUGUUAUCCUUCAAGAUUUCAAUUGAAAAGGAGGGUCGUAAAAAAUUUAAUUUUUAUAAACAUACCCUUAACUUAAUUUGGAUGUGGAUAAUUGUUUGCAAUAUAUUUACAUCCAAUAUAAACAAUUCAUCAAUGAUCAAGUCGGCAUUGGUUAGCUAAAAUAUUGAAAAUACUUACUCUUUUUUUUUUUUUGGCCAUGCAGUUCCUAUAUAUAUAUAUAUAUAUAUAUAUAUAUAUAUAUAUAUAUAUAUUAGUUGAAAUUUCAUGAUGUCCAUUAAUCCUUUUAAAUUAAAGUCAAGUUAUUAAUUAUAUCCUAUAAAUUUCUAGAAAAACUAAUUCUCUCAAAUUUCGUCGUCUUUUUUACUAACUAUAGAAGGCGAUUGCUACAAACUAAAAUUUCAAGAUGAAAUUGAGAAAUCUGAAGGAGCAAACUGAGAAUCUACCAAAAUCUGACCAAGUCGUUUCACUAGUGGUUUCAAUUAAAAAGCUGAGAGGCAGGCAAUUUCCCAGAAACCCUCUUGGACCCCAUAAAUGAAAUAAUGACACAUGCCGGGGAACAUAGAAAAAUGAGCCUAUAAUCGAAUGAUCAAUACCGGCGAAAGAAAUCAAAUGGAGUAUAAGGUGAAGAGUAAGCCAUCGACAGCACUUUGGAGGCUAUAAUCGAAUCAGCUGCUUCUAUAUAUGCAAUGGGUCGCAUCCCAACUUGCAGACCUGAUAUGAAAUUGUUAUGAUGUUCGUUCUGUAACUAUCAAAACUCACUUAAUUCUGUAGUUUCCAUCUCUUUUUUACUUAACAUGUGAUGUUUGAGAGUGAAGGUAACUAUUGCUUUUUAAAAUAAAAUAUAAUUUAUGUGGUAUCUGAAUACAUAGGAACAAUAUCUGUGUGCCUCAUGCAUGCUUUUCAAAAUCAAGUUUGGGGUUUUUUACACCCAAAAAUCUAUUUUUCAAUUAUGUUUUCACCAAAACAAAAGCAACUAAAAAUCACUUAAUUAAAAGAUCAAAGUGAAUCUAUUUACUUUCUCAUACAAAAAUCAGUCCAAAAAUAAAAAAUAACUUAAAACCUAAAUUUUCUGAUAUCAUAUCUACUUUUUCAUGUAAUUUUAAGGUGAACACUCGAAUAAAACUACUUUUAUCUAAUGGACUAUUGACACAAAGAUUGACUAUUUUGAGGGCCAAAAUUGAUUUUAACCGAGAUUUUAUCUUUUUACCACUAGAAUUUAGCUACUCUCUUUUCUCUUUGAAACUAAAAAAAUAAAAAUAAAAAAAUGACCUUUUGAGUCAAAAUUGAAUCUUACAAAAUUAUAGGGAUUGAAGAUCUAUCAAUUGGAAGUAAGAAAAUCCAAGCUAACUUUUCGCAUUAAUUUUGAAAAAGCCACCUAGUGCCUUUGUUUUUUUCACUUUGAUCCCUUAACUCUCAAUCAUGCCCUUCAUCAAUAAAUUGAAAGAAAUUUAUUGGCGAAAUAAAUUUAUUUCGAAGCCCUUCAUCCUUUGCAAAAUUUACAAGAACAUACCUGAAAGUCCUUGUUGAGAAUCUUGGAGAUAGAGCAAAAUAGAGUGGCAAACAUUGAUACAAUGAACUGAACUUGCAGGACAAGGUCAAAAGUCAUGGCCUUGCCAGCCUUCAAGAAAGUAAACUCCAAUGCAGGCAUUAGAAACCCAUGAAGAGCUGCACCACCAAUAUUCAUGAAGAAACCCAAAAUAUAUUUUCCUUUAGACUCCCACUUGGUCUAUCUCCGUUCAUGUGAAAUACAAGAAUAAUAGACCCAAGGGUCAUCAAAAUCACCGCGUUUAUUCAGUAAUGUGUGAAGCCACUGAGCUAAAGAAUAAAUAAUCCAAGAAAAUUCCACCAAUUACCAUUAAUGUAAGGAAUUCCUGCUUCUUUUUUAGAAGAUCUUCUGGUUGUAUUUGGUUAAUAUCUCAUGCAGAAGAGACACAAAUAUAUAAAAGACAAACAAGUUUAAUUAAAGAGAUAGAAACAUAAAAUAAAUAUGUUUAUAAGAUAAUUUUAGAGUAAAUUUCUAUAUAUAUUUUCAAAUAAAAAACACAAAGAGACAUGUUCAGUACUUGUAUCAUAAGUUUUAUUAUCAUCAAACGUUUGCCUUUCACUACUUUUGCAUGUCUAUAAAGGAAUUUGAUUUCAUUCAAAACACAAUCUAAUAAUUUUGUAGAGAUAAAGAAGACAAGCACGUCGCAAACUGAUCAAUGGCCAUUGAAGUAGACAAAACAGUACUGACUAGCACCACCAGCUUUUACUUGCAUUUGGCUUGAAAGACGAGUGGACUACAUCAAGCAAAUAACAAAAAAAAGCAUGUAAAGAACUAUGAUUAAUUUAAUAAAAAGUAUCUUGCAGUAUUAGAAGGUUUCAGUGAUAUGCCUAUUAAAACAUAUUUGUCAAGUGAUUCUUUAUCCUACAUUGGUUAUAUAUUUAUUCGACGUGGUGGUACUAUUUGUCGUGAAUCCACAAAUACUAUUCAUCAUCAUAGUGUUCAUCUACAUGCAGAUCACUAUGGAUUGAAGCAGUAAUAUUUUUAAAAAAAUUUCAAUUUGGUUCUUAAAAUUUUAUUUCACAUGAUUUUAGCUCUUUUAAACCCAAAUUAUCACUCAAUUGCAUAUUUUUUUGGGAGAGAUGGUUGAAUUAAAAAACAUAGGACUGAAGUGAAAAAACAGGUGAAAUAGAUGGUGACCUUGAAAUUUCUCUUAAAAGUUCAUUUUUAUCCCCCAUAUUUUUUUUAGCUCUUAGGUGACCGGUCCCUUUAAUUUUUAAAAAUUUAAUUUUAAUAUUAAACUUUAUUUUUUUUAUUUUUCAGACUUUUUUAUGGGAGGAGAGAGAAAGUUGUCGUUGGUGAUGAUUUCAGCCAUUGAAAUAAUCAAUUUUUGUCUCAAAUAAUUCCAUCUAAAGAGAAGAGUUUGAAUUAAGUGUUUUGUUUUACCUUGAAAAUACCUAAAAAAUAGAUCCGAGCUCAAGAAGAUUUUUGAAUUCAGGUUGAUAUCAGAUUUUAAGGUGUUUUUUUUGUGUUUUUUUUAGUCCAUUAAUUGUUUAACAAGAUUUCUAAGGUAUUUUUUAGGAGUUUUAAAUAACAAAUAGAUUAAAAAUAAGUUUUUAGAUAAAAAAAUAUAAACAUCAGUUUUCCCGCUACAACAAUGGAUGGAAUCUAGAAAUCUAGAUGACACAUUAUCUUUUUUAAAAAAAAAAAACAGUGUCUGACCCCUUAGCUUAGAAAAUAAAAGCCCUUUGAUUAGCAGGCUUGUCAAUGUCUAAUCUCAUUCUUUCUUUCUUUUUUAAUUAGUACCUUUUUUAUAUAAUUUUUUAUUUUAUGUUUUACUAAUACAUCAUCUAUUGUUUUGGCUUAUUUAGAAUUUUUUAAAAUGAAAAUAGUUUAUUUAAUUAUAUUGAUUGUAUUUAAUUUUUAAAAAGGUUGAUAUGAUUUAUCUGUAAUUUUUUAUAUAAAUAUUUAUAUAUGGAUUAAAUUUACCUUUAAAAAAUUAAUUAAUUAUUUAUUAUAAUAUUUUUAAUAUGUACAGCCUUGUAUAAUAUUUUUUUCUCUCUUAUUUUAUUUAAUAAAUCUUAUAUUCUGGACAUAUCAGUAUGGUUGGUUAGGUUUGGUUUUGGGGUGAAAAAAGAAAAAUCCAACCACAUCAAAUUAAAUGUUAUGGUUUGUUUUAAUUCAAUUCAUUUUUUUAUUAAGAAACCCAAUUUCAUUCUUGGGUUUUUUAGUUGAUUUUUGUAGAUAGACUCUGAUGUAAUAGGCAUGGUUGUUUUUGAGGUUUUUUUAGUUUUUUAUUUUAAAAAAGCAAUUGUUUGGUUUCAUUCAGUUUAAUUUUUUUUAAUCUCUUAAAUCUAAAGCCAAUUUAAGAUCUUUUAAAACUUUCUAAUCGGUUUUUUUUUUAAUUUUAUAUUGGUUUUUUUUUUCAAUUAAUUUUAUGAUAAGAAUCUCGUUAUAAGAAGUAAAAGGAAAAAAAAAAAAAAACAAUUACAUGUCGCAGCCAUGUUUUCACAUGGCCUCCGUAAAGUUCGAACAUUAACAUGGUCUCUAGACAAUAAGAACCUGUUUGUAAGUUUAGCAGAAUUAUUUUUUAAAAUAUUUUCUAGUUUAAAAUAUAUUAUAAUAAUAUCUAGUUAAUUAUUUUUAACAUCAAUAUAUUAAAACGGUCUAAAAAUACUAAAUAAUUAAUUAAGUUUUUUUAUAAAAAAAAACCGGUUCAACUACGGGGCUAAGGAUGUGUUUGGAAGUAUGGUAGUAGUAAUUUUUCAAAGUGAUUGUACUUGAAAAUGUAUCAAAAUAAUAUUUUUUAUUUUUUAAAAAUUAUUUUGACAUCAGCCCAUUAAAACAAUACUCACAAAAUUGAGCAUCAACCUAAAAAUAAACACUUAUUUGAGACAAUUAUCCCUCGAAAGCAAACAAAAAGUAAUAAUGCAGUUCAUUUCCUAACCAAUUCAAUGUUAAAUGAUAAAAUCAAAAUAUUAAAAAUAAUUAAAAGACAAAAAAAACAUAUUAUAAUGGUGGGUAAACUCGUCAAACUUGUGAAUCGGGUAAGUCGAGCUAAUAUGACAAACCUGUAAAUUGGAUCAUUGACUCCAUUGGAAUUAUAAUUUGUUUUUUAAAGCUAUUUUCUUAGUUAACUAUAUGAUAAUAAAAAUAGAUAAUUACAAAAUCAAACACCAACUUAAUACCAAAAUGUUUUUAGAUCAUGAUAACCUCAUAAAAUGUGAAACAAAACCAAUUAUGAAACUAAAUUCACAAUUAAUCCAGUAUCCAAGGAUGAAAAAAAAAACUGAUUUAAAAAAGUUAAUCUUGUCAACUAGCCAAAUAUAUCCAUGGAAUUUAUAAAGUUUAAUAACAUAAUUUUUUCUAAAAAUUAUUUUUUUAACUAUAUAAGGAAAAAAUAGACUAUAAAAAAGUCAAGUUUAAUUAUAAAAAAAAAACCCCACCAAACUUGUAAACUAGGGCAACUUAGAUUACCUAGCAAACUCACAAACCAUGUUAACCUUAUAGAAAUGUAAAAUAAAAGAAACAAAUUAUAAAGUUAAAUUCUCAACCAUCUCAAUAUUAAAAGAUAAAAUUGAUAAAAAAAAAAUUUGAGAAAAAAAUCAUAACAAAAAUUAAAAAAACAAAAACAAAAAUGAAAGAAAGCAAAACAUUAUGGAUUACUAUUGUCAUUCACAAUACAAUGUGUGUGGGUGAACAAUGAUUUUCUCACACCCUUUAAUUUUUGUUAUUUUAUAAAGUUUAAUAACAUGACUUUUCUCUAAAAGUUUUUUAAUUAUAUGAGAAAAAAAUAGACUAUUAAAAAAGUCAAGUUCGAUUUUAAAAAAAAAUACAACCCACCAAACUCGUAAACCAGGGAACCCUAGGGUACUUUGGCAAACUCAUAAACUACACUAAUCCCAUAUAAAGGAAAAAAAAACAAACAAAUUACGAAACUCAUUUCUCAACCAUCUCAAUUUUAAAAAAUAAUAUUGACAAAAAUAGAUUUUAAAAAAAAUCAUAAUAAAAUUUCAAAAAAAAAGAAAAAAAAAAGCAAGACACGGUGGAUUAUUAUUGUAAUACAUAGUGUAAUGUGUGCUGGGUAAACAAUGGUUUCCCCUACAUCCUUUAAUUUUUAUUACUUCAUAAAAUUUAAUAAUAUGGUUUUUCUCUAAAAUUAUACUAUAAAAAAGCCAAGUUCAAUUAAAAAAAAACCUCACCAAAUCCAUAAACUGGGGUACCCUGAGUUACCUCGACAAAAUCGCAAACCACAUAGAAAGAAAAAAUAAAAAGAAAAAAAAUUAAAUUUAAAUUCUCAACUAUCUCAAUAUUAAAAAUGAAAUCAAUAAAAAUAAUUUUUUUUAAAAAUCAUAUAUAAGAAAAACAAUGAAAAGGAAAACAUCAUGUGUUCAAGGGAAAAAAAAAACAAAUAAUAUGAGGAAAUAUUAUAGCAAUCUAUAAUGUUUUAUGAGAAUAAUUGCAGUGCUAUCCCCAUAUAUUUUAAUUUUUCUUAUGAUAAUAAUAAUUAUAGUCUCUCAUGUCUCACAACUUUAUUUGUUUUUCUUGAAUAAGUGCUAAUGUUCUUUGAGGGGUCCAAGCACCAUAUAUUGAAAGAAAGAACUAGUUCAAAUUGAAGCACUAUUAGUUUUAGAAGCACCAUGAAGAUUCAGGCGUGUAAAGAUAUCAAAGGCUCCUGCCACAUGUCAAAAGAUUAGAGAAUGAAAUUGUUAGAAUACUGUUAGUAACUGUUAGUAUUGUUUGUCAGUUAAGAGAAUUAGUUAGCAUUGUUUCAGUGAAAUAAAAAGAGAAUAGAUAACGUGCAUAACCUUUCUACUAUAGCAUAUAUAAACAUGUCAGAUAAGAGAACUGUAAUCAAUUAAUAAAAGAAUCAGUGCUAAAGUUCUUCUUCUUCUUCUUCUCUGUUUAACAGAAUCACUCUCUGCUUUUCUUCAUCUUUAUUCUCUGUUUUUCUUCAUCUCUAUUCCUUUUCUGUGUAAAUCUUACUGUCCUCACAAGGCCCACAUCUUGCUUAUAAUACCCAAGAUCCUAGCACCUUGUAUUUAUAAACGCUAGACACAGCUGCUGUUUCAAUGAAUAAUUCUCCACGCUAUUAUUGAUAAAUAUUGUGUGCUAUAUAUACAGCAGUGUGGAAAUUCAGUUUAGGAAAAAUAUAAAUGGUAAUGCUAAAACUAUGCUAUUACAAUAUACAGCUGCAGAAUUCAAGUUUGGAAUCGGCUCCAAAUAUAGCGUUAAUGGCAGAAUCUUUGCCAUGAUUUUCGGCUACACCUUCUCUGUUUUGAUUUGAGCAGAUUCUCUGCUAGUUUCCCUGAUAGUAUUUAAAUGAAAGAAAAAGAGAAGGGCAAAAGACUGCCAUGAGGCAACCUCAAGUAUCAUACACCUCUGUUUUUGUCCUUUUCAUUUUUCACGUGUUUCUCACAAGAAGCGAACAUAAAGUGCUGGAAGGAAUUUUUUGUUGCAGCGUGAGAUAAGUUUAACUCAUUGCAUUUUCAUAAAUUAAAGGGCUUUGUCUUCUUUUCUUUGUCAAUUACAGUGCAUGUAUAAAAGUUUUAUUGCUCAGAGUAAAUGCUAUUGUAAUGUUUUCGCAGAGACUCCCCUGCUUUGCAACCAAUUCACUUAUAUAUCUUGGAGCAUAGUCAUAGCCAUAAAUGGAAGGUUCUUCCGGUUCAAGAAAAUUAACCACGAAGCUCGUAACUAGAAUUUAGAGUGACCAAGGUCUUUUUCAAGAACAAGGGAAGUGUGCAAAAUGCAAAUAACGAAUCAAUACAUAAAUAAUUAAGUAAAAAGAGAGGACACAGAAGUAUAUCCUCAGACGAUGAAAAUACAGAAAGCCUAGCAUAUUAGAAAGAGCAUUUAUCCAUUUUCCCCCUUCUCUUGUAACAUGGACUGCUAAGAAAUCUAAUGUUUUGUUAUUGAUACGUGAGUUCAGUCUGAUUAUCUGUUGUGCAUACUGGACCGAAAGCAAACACAAAUAAAACACAAACAAGCAGAUUUACGUGGUUCCCCAAAACCGGGUACGUCCACGGAGGCAGCAGAUUGUAUAUUAUUGGAGGAAUGAUACAAACACUCAACUCAACCCAGUACAAUCCCACAAAACCCAGUGUUUCACUCUUACACUCGGUGUUUCUCUCAAAUCUGCACUCUUUCACUCUCACAGUUGCACUAUUUUCUUCUGCACACUUGCACUCACACUGCACUCUCUCGUUCCUCUCUUCUAUCUUCUAUCUUUCACACACAUUUACAGGAGAAAGGAAAGCAUAAAUAUAAUGGAUGAAAAGGAGAGGGUGGUUGAAAAGGAGAGAGUGGUUGAUGGUUGUUGAGAAAAAAUAUUGACAAUUAGCAAAUGUUGACAAUUUGCUACAAAUCUCCACCUUGGCAAGAUUUUUCCAUUCAAUCCUCGUGAACAAUCAAUGCUACCUCCAAUGCGUCAUAUGACGCUGCACCCUGAAGGUGCUCAACACCGAGAGAUGUUGACCAAGUCCAAACAAUGUUGGAACUUGAUCCCUGAGACACAUUUUGUGAGCAUGUCAGCUGGAUUAUAUGCGGUACCAAUCUUCUGUAGCAGAAUAUCCCCUUCAUCCACAAUUUCUCGAACAAAAUGAAAUCGAACAUCGAUGUGCUUGGUGCGGGAAUGAUGAACCUGAUUCUUUGCAAGACAAAUAGCACUUUGACUAUCACAAUGGACAUCCACGUGCUCUUGAACAAUUCCCAAAUCUUCAAUCAACCCAUGUAACCAAAUAGCUUCCUUGAAAGCUUCCGUUACUGCCAUGUACUCUGCCUCAGUUGUUGACAAAGCUACUGUUGAUUGUAACGUUGACCUCCAACUUACAGGCCCUUUAGCAAGUGUAAACACGUAGCCUGUUGUGGAACGACGUUUGUCUAAGUCACCAGCAUAGUCCGAGUCCACAUAACCAACUAAAUUUUGCCCAAGUCUAUCAUCCCUCUCAAACUUCAAACCAAUAUCAGUUGUGCCAUGAAUGUACCGUAGAAUCCACUUAACUGCCUGCCAGUGACCCUUUCCCGGAUCAUGCAUAUACCUGCUCACCAUACUGACAGCAUGUGAAAUAUCUGGUCUCGUACAAACCAUUGCAUACAUUAAUGCACCAACUGUAUUUGCAUAAGGAAUUUGAGCCAUAUGCUUGCGCUCUUCCUCUGUGCGUGGAGACAUUGAAGCACUUAGCUUAAAAUGAGGAGCUAAAGGUGUGCUUACAGGCUUGGUCUUACCAUCUACCCCAAAUCUCUGUAGAAUUUUCUUCAAGUAUUGGGUCUGUGUCAAACAGACUGUGCCUUUUCUUCUGUCUCUCUGAAUCUCCAUGCCAAGAAUCUUCUUAGCUUCUCCAAGGUCCUUCAUUUCAAACUCAGUGCUCAGUUGAGCUUUCAGUCUAUCAAUCUCCACCUUGCUCUUCGAUGCGAUCAACAUAUCAUCCACAUAUAAGAGCAAAUAGAUGAAAGAACCAUCAAGAAGUUUGCGAAAAUAUACACAGUGAUCAAACUGACUCCGUGUGUAUCCAUGUUCUGCCAUGAACUUAUCAAAUCGCUUAUACCACUGGCGAGGAGAUUGUUUCAAUCCGUAUAAUGACUUCUUCAGUUUACAAGCCCAAUUCUCUUUCCCAGUGACUUUGAAACCAUCUGGCUGAGACAUGUAAAUUUCCUCUUCCAAAUCUCCAUGUAGGAAGGCAGUUUUCACAUCAAGUUGGGCUAACUCCAAAUCAAACUGUGCAACCAAGGCUAACAGAAUACGGAUUGAUGAAUGCUUAACAACUGGAGAGAAUACCUCAUUAUAAUCUAUCCCCUCCUUCUGAGCAUAGCCUUUUGCUACCAAUCUCGCUUUGAAUCGGAUGUUGUCUUUUCCAGGAUUACCUUCCUUCUUGGCAUAUACCCACUUGCAACCAAUUGUCUUCUUUCCUUUAGGGAGUUGUACCAAAUCCCAAGUCUGAUUCUUAUGGAGAGAUUUCAUCUCUUCAUCCAUUGCCUCUUUCCAUUUUGCACUUUCUACACUCUGUACUGCUUCUUUGUAGGUGUAGGGGAUUCCAUCAUCAAUCACCGGAAGUGCAUAAGCCACCAUGUUACAAUACCGAGCAGGUUUCUUGAUAACCCUUUUUGGUUUACUCGUUGCAAUGGAUUCUUGUUGUGUGGUUGCUGGAGUUGUUGCAUCCUCUUCAUCUGAACUUUCAUCUGAAUCUCCUUCAGUAGAGAUUGUCUGAACAGUCUUUAUAGGGAUGACUGAAGUCUCCAACUCCACCUGUUGUGCAUCACCAGACUGUUUUUCCUUCUCCUGUGAUUUCUCUUGCUGUAACAUGCCAGACUCAUCAAAAGUGACAUCUCUACUCAAGAUCACUUUCUUUGAUUCAGAACACCAGAGUCUGUAGCCUUUUACUCCUCCACUAAAGCCCAAAAAUAUAGCUUUCUUGGCUCUAGGAUCUAGCUUGGACUCAGUAACAUGAUAAUAUGCUGAGCAACCAAAUAUACGCAUAGAGUCAUAAUCAUUUGCAGGAGAGCCUGACCAUACCUCUAAGGGGGUUCUUCCAUUUAAUGCUGCUGAAGGUAACCGGUUAACAAUAUGACGAGCAUAACUUAAUGCCUCGCCCCAGAACACUUUGCUUAGUCCCGAAUGUGAUAGCAUACAUCGGACUUUCUCCACCAAUGUGCGGUUCAUGCGUUCUGCUACUCCAUUCUGUUGUGGUGUUUUGCGAACAGUAAAAUGUCGCUUGAUCCCUUCAUUCUGACAAACUUCAAAGAAAGGAUCUGAAGUGUACUCACCACCAUUAUCUGACCGAAGAGUCUUAACCCUCCUUCCAGUUUGAGUCUCCACCAUUUUCUUCCAUUUCAGAAAGAUAUCAAGGACCUCAUCCUUGUGUUUCAUCAUGUACACCCAUACUCGUCUUGAGAAAUCAUCAAUAAAAGUAACAAACCAACGAUUACCUCCAAGAGAUUCAUUCUUUGAAGGUCCCCAUACAUCUGUGUGAACAUAAUCUAGGAUCCCUUUUGUGUUGUGUACUGCAGUGCCAAACUUGACCCUUGUCUGUUUUCCAAGAACACAAUGCUCACAGAACCCAUGCUUCCCAGUCUUGGCGCCUUUUAAUAGACCUUGCUUGACUAAUCCUUGCAAAGCCUUUUCACCAGCAUGCCCUAAGCGCAUGUGCCAAAGUCUGGAAUUAUCUGCUUCAUCAUCUUCUAUACUUUUGGAAACAGCUGCUGUACCAGUAACUGUAGAUCCAUCCAGGAAAUAUAAGUUUCUUAUCCUCGUGCCUCUUAAGACAACUAAUGCACCACGAAUUGCUUUCAGGACUCCACCAUGCAUGAUAAUCUUAUAACCACUGGAUUCUAGGACUCCAAGUGAGAAGAGAUUUUUCUUCAAGUCAGGUACAUACCGUACAUCUGUUAGUGUCUUGACUACCCCAUUAUGCAUCUUCAGAUGGAUAGUCCCAAUCCCUUUGAUCUCACAAACAUCAUCAUUACCCAUCAACACAACUCCUCCAUCGAACUCCUCGAGUCUCGAGAAUAAGUGCUUGUUAGGGCACAUGUGAUAGGAACAUGCAGAAUCAAGAAUCCAUUCACCAGAAUGGUUUUCUGGUGAUGAGACCAUGAAUGCAGAGUCUCGUUCAUCCUCAUCCCGUGCAACGUUCACAGUUGGUUCAUCUUUUUCCUUGUUGCCCUUGAUUGGACAAUCUUUCUUCCAGUGCCCUUUUUUGUGACAAAAGGCACACUCAUCUUUUGCAAGAUAUCGUCUGUUUGAUGAUUCUCCUCUGGAUUUUGAGCGAGAUCUCCCUCGCCCUCGAAAUCUUCUGGGGUUUGUUCUGCCUCUAACUGUCAAUGCUUCUGACGUUGACUCCUUGUGAACAAUCUGGUCCUUCUUUCGGUACUCAUUAUUCACCAAAGCAUUGGACACAUCAAUGAAUUUAAUCUUUUCUUUACCAUACAGUAAAGUGGUGACGAGAUGUUCAUAUGUGUCAGGCAGUGAAUUCAAUAAUAGCAGAGCUUUAUCUUCAUCAUCAAUUUCCACAUCUAAAUUCUUCAAAUCAGCUAUCAUUUUAUUGAAAUCAUUUAGAUGCUCAUUCAUAGAAGUACCUUUCUUGUGCUGAAAACGGAAGAUCCUUUUCUUCAGGUAGAGACGAUUCUCUAUACUCUUCUUCAUAAACUUGUCCUCCAGUGCUUGCCAUAAUUCCUUUGCAGAGUUUUGUUCUGAAAAGGCGUACUUCUGAUCCUUUACAAGACAAAGUCGGAUGGAACUGCAGGCCAACCGAUUUAUCCUUUCCCAGCUUUUAUCAUCCAAAUCCUCCGGUUGAUCUUCUAAAGUGAAAUCCAAAUUCAUUUGGACAAGCAUAUCCAUGACUUCACAUUUCCACAUGCCAAAAUUACCUUUCCCAUCAAACUUCUCCACCUCAAAUUUGGUAUUCGAUACCGGGAUGUAUUGUGGAGGUAUACUAGCAUUCCCCGCUGAUUUUUCUUCUGGAAUAUCAGCCAUUAGGACGUCUUUGGAUUACAAAUGGACUCCUGAAAUUGUUAAAACACGCACUUUUAUGCUCAAAAGAGCCAAAACAGUAACUUCGGUGUGCUGUUUCACAAAACGGACAUCACGGUUGCGUCCGGAAUGGUUGAAAAUGCUAGGAACCAACUUGACUCGGCCAAAAAACAGGUCAAAAAUCACUGAGUUGGCCAAAAAACCAAUCUGACCGAGUUGACUCAGGGAAGGAAUAUUCUGUCUCUGAUAAAGAAUAUUCUGUCACGGGAAUAUUCUGUUACUGGUAACGGAAUAUUCUUAUUCUGUCAAGAGAAUAUUCUGUCACUGUUAGAUGACAUGUCUGAUGACGUGGCUGAUGACAGGGCGAUGUGGACCCUCUGUUGAUGACGUGGAUGAUGACUCAGCGCCUACGUGUCGGAUGACGUGGCUGUCUUCUCAGGCGAGAAUUCCGGCAAUGACUGGUUUUUCCGGCAGAUUUCCGGCGAAACUUCGGCGAGCUCUACAGGGCUCGUUUCAACUCCGAUUUCGAUGAUCUUUAUAUCGCCGGACUCGUAUGGACGAGAGGAAUCUCCUCAGCUGGUCAAAAGCAAGAUCUGAGAACUUUGAAAAUUCUGCAACUUUGAACAGAGAGCUGAAAAACGUGUUUUUUCAGUGUUCUAGCUUCCCUAAUGCUCUGAUACCAAUUUGUUGUGCAUACUGGACCGAAAGCAAACACAAAUAAAACACAAACAAGCAGAUUUACGUGGUUCCCCAAAACCGGGUACGUCCACGGAGGCAGCAGAUUGUAUAUUAUUGGAGGAAUGAUACAAACACUCAACUCAACCCAGUACAAUCCCACAAAACCCAGUGUUUCACUCUUACACUCGGUGUUUCUCUCAAAUCUGCACUCUUUCACUCUCACAGUUGCACUAUUUUCUUCUGCACACUUGCACUCACACUGCACUCUCUCGUUCCUCUCUUCUAUCUUCUAUCUUUCACACACAUUUACAGGAGAAAGGAAAGCAUAAAUAUAAUGGAUGAAAAGGAGAGGGUGGUUGAAAAGGAGAGAGUGGUUGAUGGUUGUUGAGAAAAAAUAUUGACAAUUAGCAAAUGUUGACAAUUUGCUACAUUAUCUGCGUAAAAUAUCUCUGGAGAUGCUUUCGAUGGAGAUUAGGUCUCAAAACGCUAUGCCCACUGCCCCCAUGGAUCCAGAGCGUGAAAAUGAAGCCGAGCAUUGAAUUUCUAAACAUCAUUUCCUUUUGUUUUAUAUUUCGCAUUGUUACCAAACUCUUUUACAUUUUAUUGCUGCAUAUAUUGCUAUGUAUAUACCAUGCUUUAAUCAAAACCUAUAAUGCAGGAAUAUCUGCAGAUGGCCAUUCCCAAAGGGAAAACUAAUCUUCCCUAGAAUAUUACAAAGUGCCAUUUCUACAGUGAGAAUAGCGUUUCGUUUUGGUUGUUUUGUUGAUGAUAACUAGAUCUUAAAACUAAUCCCUGUACUUUUACAUGAUGCUAUAAACUGGUCCCUUUUAUUAGUAAAAUGUUGAGCCAGUCAAUUGAUUAUUUAAAAAUCUUGAGGGAUUAAUUUGUUUGUUUCACAAAAAAAGACACUGAUUAAAUAAAAAAAUUAUCAUCAUAUGCAUGAGUGUUUACUUGUCCAACAACAGUUUGCAAGGGGCAGAUCCUUGGAUGGAUAUUAGAGGUGAGCAAAAAAACCAAUAAACAGAUUAAACAAAGAAAACAAAAAACAAAUAACCGAAAAAACCGAACCGAAAAAAAACUGAAUUAACUGAUUAAAAAAUCACAAAAAAAUUCCGGUUCGGUUUGGUUUCGGUUUCUAAAGUCUGAAACAGAUUGAACCAAACCGGUUAAACCAUGCCAGCACUUAAAAAAAAAAAGUAUAAAUAUGAUGUUUUUUCUAACACUAAACCUAAAGUAACAUUCAGUCGCGACCCCCGCCCCCCCUUCCCUUUGCUCUCUACAUCUCUUCUCUUUGAUUUUUCUUCAUGCUCCACAAUUGUUACUUGUUAAGCUCCUGCUCCAUGCUCCUAAAGGUCCUAAACCAACGCCCCCCCCCCCCCUUCUCUGCCUCUCAUCAUCUUCUCACAACCCCUCCUUUUUUCUCCCUUUUUCUCUCUGCCUCUCAUCUCUCCCCGUAGCCCCCCCUCCUUUUCUCUCUAUCUCUCAUCUCUGCAUCUUAUCUUCUCCACUUCAAGUUUGUGGGCACUGGGCAGAUAAAAAAAAGAGAUGGCUUUUUGAUGAUUAAGAUUCUAACUCCACUUCAAGUCCAUCCCUGCAUCUUGUGGGUUUUUGCUUUUUUUUUAUUAUGCUAUAAUUUGCUUGUAGUUUGUGGGCAAAUAUGUUUUUCAAAUAUGUCUUGGUCAUGUAAAUUGGAAUAAGUUUCUGAAUAACAAAAAUGAGAUUUGCUUUUCGGUUUUAUCGGUUGUCAUAACCCAAUUUUUUACCCUUUUAUUUUAAUUUUAUGAUAAAAAGAAAAAAUGAUGAAAAAAUAUAUAUAUAUAAUAAUGAUGAAAAAAAUAAAAAUGAAAUAAAUGAAGAAUGAAUUAAAAUUUGGGUUAAUGGCAACAUGAUUGGACGCUUAAAGAUUUAAUUUUUGACUUGUCUAAUUAAUCAAAUCAAUUGUUUAAUUGGAGAAUUGAUAAGUUUUGGGACUUAAUUAAGCUUGAAAUUAAUUUAAUUAAUCCAAUCAAGGGUUUAAUUGGAGAAUUGAUAAGUUUUGAGACUUAAUUAAGCUUGAAAUUAAUUUAAUUCAUCCAAUCAAGGGUUUAAUUGGAGAAUUGAUAAGUUUUAAACUUAAUUGGACUUUGGAUUUAAUUAAAUUAAUGAAAUCAGGGACUUAAUUGAAGAAAUAGCAAAGUUUGGGGUUAAUUGGGAGUCCCAAUUGUGAAAUUAAAAUCCAAGGAUUACAUUGAAAAAGGCGCGCAAAUGCAGGGGGCCAAUUACAGUUUAAACCAGGGGUUUAAUUACAAGACUUUCAAAACUGCAUGGAUCAAAACGAAAAAUGGCCGAACGACGUCGUUUUGAAGAUGUUGUUCAUCUUCUUCUCCUUUAUGCCAGUGACCGUUUCCGCAGUAAUGGAGGGAGGAACAUUGCAGCAGUAAUCGUCGUCCGUUGGCUUCAGUUAUGAGCGCCUUAAUGGUGGCCGACUGUUAGCCUACCGCCCGUUAUCAACCCGCCAAGGCCUAUAUAAACCGAGCAGCACCGAAGAGGAGCGAGGUUAGAGGGAGAGAGAGAGAGAGAAAAGAAACCGAAAAGAAGAGAAACACAACCAAAGCACACAAUUUUUAGGUUCAUCUCCAGAACUCCCAUACCAGAACUAGGCUUCCCUCACCAGUUCUGACUUAAGAAAAACGAGAGAGAAAACCGGCCGAAAGAGAGAGAGACGGUGUUCUGAAAAACAGAGCAAAAGAAACGAAGAAAAAUAAACCAAAACAGAGACGCAGGAAAGGAAUACAACAUGAAAACCAGAAGGAGUAAGAAGAAAUUCGAAGGCAGAAGCGUCGUCCUCAGCAAUCACGAACAAAUUCCCUGCAAACGAACCAGGUAAGUCUUCUGCUCUGUUUCCCUCGCUUUGCCUUAUUUCAUUUUCGACGUCCGUGUUUAAUUCAAUAACAGGGCCAUGUACGCGUGAUUUAGAUCACGCGUGCCUAGUGUGGCCCAGCCAGGUCACUGGCUUGGGCCAGUGACCGGGCUGGGCUGGCUGGGUCUAGCCCAGCCCAUGUGGGCUGAGCUGGGCACAGCCCCAAAAACAUAAAAAAUAGAAAAAUAGAAAAAUAGAAAAAAAAUAAUAAUAAUAAAAAAAUAAAAAAGUAAAAAAGGUAGAAAAAAUAAAAAAUGUGUAUGCAUAAAUAAAAAUAAUAUGAAUUUAUUGGUGUAUUCAUUGACGCCAGAGUCAGGAAUAAAAAUACCGGUUUAAAUUUAUAUUAUUUUUAUUCAUUGUAUUUUAUUUUAUUUAGCUAGAAAAUAAAAAAAUAUGUGCAUGUGUAAAAAAUAAUUUUUUUUAUGUGAAUAUUCACUUGCGCCAGAGUCAGGAAUAUUAUAAGAAAAUUAUCAUAGCAUAAACUAAUAAAUAUUUAGCAAUUUAAGACAAAACUAGCAAUGCAGUCUGCCUCAGGCAGAACGUUUAAGGGGUGAUAAUAUCUUCCCUUUUACGUAAUCAAUCCCGAGCCAUAGAAUCUCUGAUGACCAGUUAGGGUUCCUAGUGACCGUAAUACUAGGUGGCGACUCCUUAUACAAGACCUUUUCCCCUAAAAGAACAAGAUGCCAGAAAUCUGUUCUUUUUUCACAAUCUAGAAUUAUUUGUGGGCCGCCGUGAUGUCGGGUGCGACAUCGGUUUUUGAACAACAAAAGUCGAACCGAACCGAACCGAAACCAAUAAAUUUGAACCGGUUUCGGUUCGGUUUUGAUUUUAAAUUUUAAAAUUAAUAAUGUCGGUUUGGUUAAUUUUUUCAUGUAAAAAUUGAACCGAACCGAACCGAAAAUGAUCACCCCUAGGGAAUAUGUCUUCUCUUGAAUUCUUGAACCUAUCAGGGGACAAUUUCUCUGGUCUUUUACUGCCUAGAUUCAGCAAUUCCUCAAAAUUGAGAUAUGUUUAUUUGUCUAGAAAUAAAUUGCAAGGACCAAGCGCAAUAAAAUUUUAUGAUUCCUUUGAGAUAUUAGCCUUAGAUCUUUCCCAUAAUGAUUUAACUAGUAGGAUUCCAGAAUGGAUUGACAGGUUAUCUAACUUGAGAUUUCUACUUUUGAUUUAUAACAAUCUUGAAGGUAAAAUCCCAAUUCAAUUAUGCAAGUUCGACCAAUUAACCUUGAUUGAUCUAUCUCACAAUUAUCUUUCUGGUAACAUCCUCUCUUGUAUGAUAUUUACUCAUCCUUUCCCUAUUCAAUACAAUUCUCGUGAUUUUGUGUCCUUAUCACAACAACCUUUCGAGUUUACAAUGAAGAAUGUAUCUCUUUUUAAUAGAGGCAACAUUAUCUGGAAUUUCACUGGAAUUGAUGUCUUAUGCAACAAUUUCACAGGAGAGAUUCCCCGUGAAAUUGGAAGCCUCAGCAUGAUCAAGGUAUUGAAUCAUUCCCACAACAUUCUAACUGGACCAAUUCUAUCAAUAUUUUCAAACUUAAAGGAAAUAAAGAGCUUGGAUCUUUCCUACAACAAAUUGGAUGGAAAAUCCCAUCUUGACUAUAGAAUUUUUCAGUGUGGCACACAAUAAUCUGUCUAGCAAGACUCUUGCAAGAGUUGCACAAUUUGCCAUGUUGAAGAGAAUUGCUACAAGGGCAACCCUUUUCUUUGUGGAGAACCGCUACCCAAAAUAUGUGGUGCAGCUAUGCCACCAUCACCAAUGCCAACUUCAACGAACAAUGAGGAUCAUGGUGGCUUCAAUAAUCUGUUUGAAGAGAGCUGCUACAAGGACAACCCUUUUGCAUGUGAGCUUUAAGGUUGCAUAGAUCAUGGUGUUGUUGGUGAUAGGUGCAAUUCUGUACAUAAAUUCAUAUUGGUGACAAGCUUGAUUUCACUUUAUUGAGGUGAGCAUCAAUAAUUACUAUUAUUUUCUUGUGGAGAAUCUUUCCAUUUUAUCUAAGUUUGGAUUUUCAUAGCCUUUUAUCUUGAUGGUACUAAGCCUUGGUGCAUUGUUUUGGAUUUUAGUUUCAAGAUUUAAAUAAGUUUAUAUUGAUUUUCAUAUGAGUUUUGUUUUUGUUUUUAGCUUCUAUGUGAUAUAUAAUAAUCAAGUUUUUUUUUUUUUUUAAAGGUUAUCUAAGUUUUUUUAGCUGUUUUUUUUAUGCUUUUUAGGAUUUUUUUUUUUGCUUUUUUCUUUAUUUUUUUUAAUUAAUUUUUUUCGUUUAGUUUAGUUUGUUAAUGUUAAAUUUCUUUCUAUUUAGUUAUUAGACUUUCAUGACACAUAUCUCGAGUUUCACGGGUUAACCUGGUUUCACGGGUGAACCCAGUUAAUUCCGGGUUGACCCGUCAAUUUUUUAUUAUUAUUAUUUUCAUAAAUAUUUUUUUUUAAUUUAGUUUGUUAAUGUUAAUUUUUUUUUAUUUAGUUAUCAGACUUUCAUGACACAAAUACUGGGUUUAACAGAUUAACAUGGUUUGACGAGUUAACCCGAAUUUUUUUUCUUUUUAAUUAAUUUUUUUUGUUUAGUUCAGUUUGUUAAUAUUCACUUUUUUUUAUUUAGUUACCAGACAUUCAUGACACAGAUCCCGGGUUUAACGGGUUAACUUGGUUUGACGAGUUAACAUGAAUUUUAUUUUAUUUUUUGCUUUUUUUUUCUUUUUAAUUAUUUUUUUUCGUUUUGUUUUGUUUAGUUUGUUAAUGUUAAAUUUCUUUCUAUUUAGUUUUUUUUCUUCUUAGAGGUUUUUUUUCUUUUAUUUGUUAUUUUUAAUUAAUUUUAUUUAAUUAAUUUAGUUUAUUAAUAUUAAAUUUUUUUCUAAGUAGUUCUCGACUGAUGCCUUUAGUUUUUUUUUUAUGCCUUUGACUGUGAACUGCACAGUGCAGUCCACUGUGAAAAGGCUGAUGCUUUUUUUUAAUUAAUUUUUUUUGUUUAAUUUAAAUUGUUAAUGUUAAAUUUUUUUCUAUUUAGUUAUCAAACUUUCAUUACACGGAUUCUGGGUUUGACAGGUUAACCUGGUUUGACGAGUUAGCCUAGUUAAUUCUGGGUUAACCCAUUAAUUUGUUUUUUUCUUUUUAACUAUCAAGCUUUCACGAUGCAAAUUCAAUGUAUGACGGGUUAACCUGGUUUGAAGGGUUAACCCAAUUAAUUCAUUUUUUUUUUCAUUAGUUUUUUUUUCCUGUUAGUUUUUUUUUAACUAAUUUAUUAAAUUAUCACACUUUUAUGACACAACCUUGCAGCCAGACCCAUGUCCAAUGUUAUUGGGUCUGGUAUUGCAAUCCAGACAUUUUUAUGCUAAGGGUUAACCCAAGUUUAAUGUUAUUAUUAAUAUUAUAAACAUUACUCUUAGAUCAGGCGUUGCAACCAAACCUGAGACUCUUGGGUAUAACUUUGUAAAAAAACCUAAUACUUUUAGAUCUUAACUAUUUUUAAAAUGCAAAAAAUAAUUGACCUGCGGCAUCGCGCGGGGCAUGUAACUAGUAGAUUACUAAAGGGGAUCGAUUUUGAUUAUGAUUUGGUGUGGGAAAUUCUCUGCGUGCCUACAUAGAGUGUGGCUUCUUGAAACUCCAAAAAAUAUAUAUAGGUGUUUGCCUAAACCAGUAUUGGGCAGAUAAAGAUAAGCCAGGAUUGCCGAGGAAGAGGCUGUUCAGGUAGUCCGAACAGGGAUCUAUAAUCAUUAGUUAUAUAAUCAACCCUAAUCAGAAUUUCCCAAGAAAGAAUUAACUAAAGACUUCAGUUAAUGCUGAUGAACACGAGUAAAGGAUUUGCUAAAGACAAAACCAUGUAUUUAAGAACCAUUGCUAAGCUACAGGUUCUGGAGCCACAAACCACUCACAUUUACUGGGGUUGAUCCCAAAUUGAGACAAAUCUAUUUGUCCGGUUCGGAGAACCUUCAAACAAAAAGAAGAGUUAAACCUUGUAAAAUUGACUAUAUAUCAUCAAAAGGACAAGAAACACACAGGAAACCUCAUAAUUACCUCAGAAUGCACCGACGUAAAACACACAGGAAAUCCCAACACAUCAUAAGACAACAAAAGAAAACAUAUAUUUAGCAGAAUAAAAAGGUUGUACAAUUCUUUCACAGCUUACAGUACGUAUAGAAUAAGCAUUAAUAAUUACCUUCAUCUGGAUCACCCGAACUACCUGCAACAUGUAUCAUCACAUCACGCGGGCCACCCUAAGUACAACAAACAAGGAUAUGGUCACUUGCACUAUCUAAGCAGAACACACCUCCAGCACCAAUAUUACUCAGGAUUCUUUGCAAGUCUUCCAAUUUCACUGGUUCUGAUGAAGAGUUUACAUCACUCAUUACUUCUGCACCAAGGUCUGGGACAACUGAGUUUCCAGUCCUGAGAGCGAUGAGCAAAAAUCUCAUCGGAAUAAAAGAAAAUGGCCACGUAAUAUAUACCUGGCCAUUUGUUUUUGGUAACAAAAGUGCUCCUUAACCUUUUUGAAGUUAUUUUAGAAUGAAUUACAAGCAUUAAACAUUUAUAUAUAUGGACAAACACCGAGUUUAUGCAAGUCUGUGCAAGGGCAAUAUGGGGUGAAGGAUUUGACAUGGGCUAAGGUGGGUGAGAUGUUUUUGUCAAGAAAUGAUUUUGGAAAAUUUCUUGAUAUUUCAUGAAUAAAUAAGAUAUGAGUCUUUAUCAAGGAAAGAACAUAGGCUCUCCAAGAUGAUUGACCAGAAGGAGAGAAGGGAGGCUCAUUCUGCUCCACUGACUCUUAGUCUCAAAGAACAAAAAAUUACAUAGCUCUAUAUCCUUACUCUUACUUGCUAUAUCAACUCUUAGAGUUGAAGUAUCAUCUUUGACUAUGCUUCUUUGUUAUAAUAAAUAUACCUUGAUGAGAUAUUAUCUUCAAGCAUGUCUUCAAAAACUUGGAAAGGAGUAGAAGCAUCAGGCUCUUCUUCAUCAACUACACCAAAUUGUUUGCAUUUAAGAGAUCGGGGGAGGGGGGCAGAAGAUUAGACUUUGCAUUUAAAUAUAAGCCAAGAUGAUUAGGAACAAAAUAAUGACGAGUAGCAUGGCUAACAAAGGACUCAAAACACAAAAUUGUUUACCAAAUGGACGAUUAAUAUAAUAGUUGAAAGAGCUACAUAAUUGUGAAUCAUCUUUAGCUUUUGGCUCCUGCAAACAUGUUACACAAUUUUCCAAAAUCAUGCAGCUAACAGCUGAGUCAAUGUUACACAUAAGAGAGUGAAAAACGCAGAAAGUGAACCUGACCUGCACCCAAAUGAAAAACUUUCGAUCAUCUGUAUUGAAUUUCAAGAUGUAAACUCUUCCCAAAGCUUGAUUAACCUGAAUAACCCAAGGAAUUAUGAAUCUAUGAUAUUACAAUCAAUUAUUAGAGUCAAAUAUCUUCCAUCUAAGAAAAAACUAGGAGAGAAAAGUGUACCUUCUCAAAAACAGCAUCUUCAGAAAAAAAUAAUAUGAUCCUGUCAAUCAACGCGUCAAGAAAAAGCUACCAAAGUUCUCACCUCAAAAGAAUAUUAACAAAACAAACAACAGAAAAAAAAAUAAAAACCAAAGUUGGAAGGGAGAAACAAAAUCCCCAGGCUCAAAAACAUAAUAAUAACUAGGAUACAUCUUCCACAGCAUUCAAAUUCCUAUCAAGCCACUGGAAAUGAAGCAAACCCUCAUCACCCUGGAACAAUUCAAAAAUUUCGACUUCAAACAGGAAACAAGAUGCUAGAAACACUCUAUCUAGUACUUAAGAUAAACCAAAACAAUAGAAUUAACUAAAAAUCUUUACACAGACACGAACUCUAUAUAACACAAAAAAAAAAAACCAAAAGACACCAGUUUACCCUUCCAAUGCGAACAAGUCCUUUUCGAGAAUCAGGAACAAACUUUUUUCCAACGAAAACCAUUUUACCAGCACGAAACUCCAACAUAAUUUCCUACCAACAAAACAACCACAACACCAUAACAUAACCCCACCAAGAAAAACAUACUUGUACAUCCAACAAAGCAAUUACAGGCUCUAAUUAAAAAGAAACAGAGAUUUUAAGCAAAACCCACAAUUUUAAAAGUGAUUUUAUUUACCUGCAUUGCUGAAAUAUCUACAGUUGAUGAAGAACCCAUUUUUCGCAUACUUCCUCUAAAGCUUCCUUUUUUUCAACACUGCAAAAAACAAAAAACAAAAAAAAGAAGGACAAAUCAAAUACCCAAAUCAGAAACAAUAACAGAAAAAAAAUAAAAGAAAAUCCAAAGCUGGAAGUUGUAAUCAGGAGGAGAACCAGACAAUUUCAGAUAGAAUGACAUUUUAUCAAGAAUUGAACUGGGCAUUCAGUUAAUUAAAUAGGUUGUAAUCAGGUGAGAGUAGUGUCAACAACAUGUUUAGUUUUCCUCUCGGAAGUGCCAUUCUGCACAAGUCAGUGUUUUAAAAAUAUUUUUAAAAAAAUUUUAAUUUGUUUUUUUAGUGGUUUUAAUUUAUUUUCAUGUAUUAAUAUUAAAAAUAAUUUUAAAAAAUAAAAAAUAUAUUAUUUCAAUUUAUUUUAAAAUAAAAAAAACUUAAAAAAUACUGUUAACACAGUAUUAAACAAACUCUAAUCCUAUAACCAGAUGAACAACGUUAAGAUAUUUGUUUUUUGUUUUUCUUUUUUUUGAUAAUGAGACUGUCGUAAACAAUCUUGCCUAAUGAUUGUUAAGAAAUGAAAGAGGCAAUGCAUGGCUAAACCAAUGGAAGCUAAAAAGCUAAUGUUAUCCCUAGUAAGCAAUUGUUGCCGCAAUGACAUAUGCCUCGUUAGAGAUAUAUUUGAAUUUACAUAUUAUUAUUAUCAUAUAUUUUGUAUUGUCGUUUAAAAAAUAAAUAUUUUCCUUAUAUAGAGUAGAAUGUUUUUAAUUUUAUCAUUUAAAAUUUAUAUAUUUUUUAAAAAAUUAAUACAAUAUACAGUUAAUUAAACAUCUAUAAAUUAAUAUCAUUGAGAACAUGAAAUUUAUUAAUUAAUUAAGAUGUUAUUUAGUAAAUAAAUUUAUACACUUAUACAUUAAUCAAUAAAAAAUUUUCUUUUUCAAAAACAUUGAACUCAAUACAUGCAUCGUGUAUAAUAUUAUCUAAUCAUCAAAUUAUGAAUUAUCAUAAUUCUAUAUAUUUAUUUAAAUAAAACAAGUUCAAGAAUUAAUGUAAUCAAUCUUAUUAAUUAAUAAAAUUCAUGUAUGUAUUAACAUACAAGCAAAAAAUCUAUAAAAAGAAUAUACAAGUGAGCCAAACAACAAUAUAUAUUAAAAACGAACAAGAGGUCGAAUUAAUAUCCAUUAACUAAUAGUAAAAUUAAGAAGAUGAUACCAAAGAGACACAAAAUCACAAAAAAGCAUUUAACAUUUCAGAGAAAGAAGCCUGCAACACCCAUUAAGGAAAAGAGAGAAGGGAAAGAAAUGUGGAUUAAUUCAUACAGAGGCUCACCUUGUUCCAGACCAGCGCGAGACUGUAGACGAACCAAGAGCAAAAAAUGCAGGAGAGAUAAUCAUGAGAGAAACAAAUUCAUAUAUCCACGAAUAUGUACAAUAUUUGAAACCUAUAAUGCAAGAAUAGCUGCAGAUGUACAUUAAUAUUUUUAAUUUAAAGAAUCAAUUAAUUAUUUAAAAAACUUGAGGGAUUAAUUUGUUUGUUUCACAAAAAAUAGACACUGGUUAUAUAAAAUUUUACUUAAAUUUUUAUCAUCAUAUUUUAAAAGAAACCAGUUUAUGUUUUGCGCAACACGAAAAAUCAUAUAUGCUUAAGUAACUAUUUGGCAUCUUAAACUCAAUUUAGUAAAUUAAUUUUAAUUUUUUUCUAUCCGGCUCUUUUCCUAUAUCAAAUUUAAAAUUAACCAACAUAAAAAUUAUCCUCAAAUGAUACAGUCAAUAUGAUAGGUUUACAAAAAUAUAUUAAAUUGAUUCUAAUUUCAUGGCUUAACUCUUCAAACCCACUACUCGAAUAAUAGACUCCAUCUAGUUGUAAUUAUUAUUUUGUUUUUUAAUUAUUUUUUAUUGAAUAAUAUGAUAACAAUAUCAAUUCAAAAUCAACUAAAUAUUAAAGGAUAAAAUAAAAAAAAUAAAAAAAAUUCAAUAGAAAAAAAAAGGAGAAGAAUGGUAGAGUUUAAAAACAAAUAAACAAUAUGACGUCAUUGUUAGAGCACCUGAAAUUACUGUUCCUUUUUACUAUAAUGAUGAAGUUUCCACAUAAUAUAAAACAUGCUUAUAAAUUAAUAACCGAAAUAAAAAUUAAAUUGAGACGACAAUCAAUUCUUUAACUUUAAAACGAUUUAUUAACAAUAGAAUUGAGAAGGCCCGCCACAGAUCAAGAGGACAGCUUCAAUGAAGCCAUCCCAGCCAAUGCAGGUGAUUACCCGUCGGUUGAAGUCUCAUCGCGCGCCUAGCACCAGCCAAACCGCCUCAAUCUGAACAUGCACCAGACAAAGUUCAUGAAAAGACGCCAGGGAGCCUCAGCAGCUGAGAAGAAAGUGCGGGAACACCCACCGCACGAGAAGAAACGUGAAAAGCAGAGAGGGAGCGCGGUAAAGAUUGUCAAGCCACGGGAUUCACACACAGUGCACCGAGUUUUAAUGAGCACUCUUAGUUUUUUUUUAUAUAUAUAUAUAUAAAAUUCUUUUAGUUUUAGUUUUAGUUUUAGUUUGUUAGUUAUGAACAGUGAAGCAGCACCAGAAUACAGUUCUUUUAGUUUGUUAGCGAAUCUGGAAAAGAAUAAAGUCAUCUGUCAAGCUCUGUUCACUUUGGUCCGACAUUCCUCACCUCUCCCCACCUGAGCUCUCUCUCUUUCCCUCCUCCGCUUUCAGAAACCGCCGCCGCCACCACCUCAACCAAUAAGGCUUCAAAUCUCACCCAGAUGCUUCCUUUUCUAUUAUGUUUUUGUUUUUUAAAAUUUACGUCUGCUUUUUCAUUUAUUUAAUUGAAAUUACUAUCCAGAGAGAGAAAUUCGAUUUUAAUAAGUAAAUUAAAAAGAUAUAUAAUCGAACCCGAUGAAAUCGCUGCUCGUGAACGCAACUCGAAGAAAGGCGCAAUCAGCCGACUAUACUAUGGGUGGAGCAUUUAAUAUGGUCAGGGUUAUUGUGUUGUCUAUUCAAAGAAAGAUGUGCCUGUAAAUUUGUUAAGUUGAUUCUUAUCAGUCUACUCUUUAGAGUUGAUGAUAACAUGAAAUACUCGUUGUUAAUGCUCGUUGUUUUCUUCUUCUUUUUUCCUAGAUUAAAACAUCCUAGACAAUCUCUUUGGGAUGGUUUAGUAUUUCUGGCCUCUUCAUCUUCUAUUUGUGCUAUGGUUUUUAGUCUGCUGAUAUUGUUGAUAUUCAUUGGGGAUUGAAAGGCCUCGUUUUAUGACUUUGUUUUGUCUUCUUCUUAUUUCUUUAUUCUUUUGGGGAUGCGGCAUUUUCCUCUUUCAGAGAAAUAAAUAUAUACAUAAAUAACAAGAACAGGACGGGAAGGAGAGGGGGUUUUGACAAUAAGUAUUUGCUUAGAAGGGAAUGCUUCUUUGGUUUAGAAGCACCAUGAAGAUUCAGGCCCAAAUCUUUGCUUAGAAUGCCCGAAAUAAAUAUAUCACACACUUCUUUUUUUGUUUUUUGUUUUUCAUCUUUUCAUGUGUUUCUCACAAGACGUCACUUUCUUGCUUUUCUUUCGAGAGAGUAUUUGAUCCUUUUUUUGUAUAAAAUAAUGCUGCCAUUCAUUGAAUUUCCAAACAUCUUACCUUUUGUUUUGUUUGUCGCAUUGUUAUCAAACUCUUUUCCAUUUUAUUGCGGCAUAUUGCUACGUGUAUGGCAUGCUUUAAUCAAAAAGUUGAGUAAUUGAUGAAUGUUAGGCAAGAAAAUUACAGAUUAUUUUUGUUUUCUGCCUCCUCCUUCUCUUUCCCCCACCCCGAAAAUUGUCAUAUUUUUUUUUCAGCCGCCUCUUCUUCCCCCAACCCUAAAAAUUGUUUAUAUUUGCUUUGGAAGCAUGGCAAACUUCACUGCCUCUCAGCUUAAGGAGAUUGCAGCAGGUCUCGAAGCUUCUGGGCAUCAAUUUAUCCGGGUAUUUAGAAGAAGAAAAAAAAGAGUCAAGAAGACAAGGAAGAUUGUUUACCUCAAGGAUUUGAGGAAAGAAUGGAAGGCAAAGGGCUAUUAUCAGAGGAUGGACACUCCAAGUUUUGAUUCUUGAUCAUGAAGCAAUAAGUGCAUUUGUGACUCAUUGAGGAUGGAACUCAACUCUUGAAGGCAUAAGGCCAAUAUGUGCUGAGCAAUUCUAUAAUGAAAAGUUGGUGACUGAUGUUUUAAAAAAUGGAGUUAAGGAAUGGCCUAGAGUGCAUGGAGAUCAUGUUAAAAGUGAAGCUGUAGAGAAGUCAAAUUAUGAUGGGUGAAGAAGCAGAGGAAAUGAGGAGUAGAGCAAAGAAGCUAGGAGAAACGGCCAGGAAGGCUGUUGAAGAAGGUGGAUCUUCUUGCUCUGAUUUCAAUGCUUUGAUCGAAUAACUGAGGUGGGGUCGCCAUUGAAACAAAGGCAGAAGUAAGUGUUGUCACUCGUGCAUAGAAUAUUUUGUUUCUACUUAGUAGUGGUUUUGGCAAUAUAGACAAGUCUUGAGAGUUGAAAGAGUAAUCACAGCCGAGUCAAUGACCAGUCCAAAUCAGUUCCCUUCCUACUAGUUCAGGAAUGACAAGUCCAGCUUAUAUAUUUAGCCCAAAUAACUAAUCAAAUAGAAAGGCUGAGCUUAGAGGCAGUACACUACAAAAUAAGUACCCAAUGUCUUAGAGACAAACAAUCAUCACAAACUAGGAAAGACCGUCUCCCCAGUAACAAAUUCACCUUCUGAAGUUGGAGAACUUGCGAAAACUAGCCACCACAAAAUAGUAGCAAGUAUCUAAAUUAUUUCCAGAGAGAUCUAACUGCUUCAAUUCACACCAACUUGUAUAAUUUAUCUCUAAACAGUCAAAAUAGUGUUAAAAGAAUCUUUUAUUGAUGAUGUGAUUAUAUUUGUUAAUUUACCUUGAGCGGGUAAAGUGACAUAGAGGUCACAUUCACCAAUAGACAAAACUUGAAGAGCAGGCAAUGCUCCAAUGUUAUGGAAAAAGUUUAUUAGGAGAGAAGUACGAUCUAGAUACAAUUCUUCAAGGGUGCUAGAAUUGAAGAAAGUCCCUGUAAAAAAGAAACAAAAAGAAAAAAGAUAUGAUGAAAAUGGUGGUGGUACAUAAUAGGCAUUCCAUUCAAUAUUAUUAAUUAAGAUUUUAAGAAACUAAACUAUGAUUAACCUUGAUUUAAAUUAGUAUCCUUGAGAGAAAGGGUCUUCAGGGAUGGCAAUGACUGCAGGAAGUCCGGCUUCCUUAAACCUAUGAUGUGUACAAUUGAAAACAGGCAAUCAAGAAAGUAGUGAAAUUAAGUGCUAUCUUGAUUGAGUUUUUAAACCUAUGAUAAAGAACUGAUGUUGAAUAGUGAGAUGAAUUUUGGAUAGAAACAACAAAUUGCCUGAAAAAUCCAGAGAUUUCACAACUUUACCAUAGACAGUCGUCGAUCCUAGCAACAUAUCGCCUGAUAAAUUUAAAGACUUGAGAUAAGAAAAUCCACGCAGAUGUGAUAAAAUGUUGUCGUUGAAUAUAUUAUAGCUCAGGUCUAGAUUCUCGAGUUUCCUCAAAUGAUAUAUGAUCUCAAAACCUGCAAGAGAAACUAAAGAUAAUUAGAAUUGAUGAGAUGCUGUUGUUCAAUUGAUAUAUGAUUCUCAAAUUAUACAUACAUAUACACACACACACACACACACACACACAUAUAUAUAUAUAUAUAUAUAUAUAUAUAUAUAUAUAUAUAUAUAUAUAUAUAUAUAUAUAUAAUUGAUAUUUAUAAAAGCAUUAACUGUAGAGGAAUAUUUGGUACUUUGUUUCCCAAUAAAAAAUAGAUUUUUCUGCAAAGUAGCACCAAAAAAAAAACUGUUCAAAACUUAUAUAAGAAAUUAUACAGUUAGCGAGUCACAGAUGAUGAAUCUUAAAAAAAAUUGGCAAUAAUAACAGUACUCUAUUGCUAUUAAUUAACUUAAAUAUUCAAAACUUAAAAAUAGUUUUUAAAUUUAUCCAUGCCAAUUUAUCUUAAGAGAGUCGCAAUCUGUGACUAGUUAAAUUAUAUUGUUUCUGUAAAUAAAUUUUGAAUUGUGUUAUUUUUUGUUCUAGGUGCUAUUUUGCAAAAAAAAAAAAAACCUCCAAAUAAAAUAAUAAGAUUAACGUUUAAGUUGUCUAUUGUUCUUGGAUUUGUAGGUAUAACAACAGAAGAUAGCAAUCAAAAGCGAUGGUGACAUGGUAGAGCUUUGAGUUAUUGCUGUGUUCUAAUGAUGAAGAUGUAGGAAAACGAUCUCCCUUCUGCUGUCUGGAGCUGGGCUUCCUCUCCCUGUAAGAACAAUCAACAUCUUAUCUGCGUUGUUGUUAGUGGCCACUUCAUCGACCCAUUAGUGGGUGGAUUUUAAGCUUAAAAAGGAUUUUUUUUAUAAAAAAAAAAAGGGAAGAGAGAGGGGGGGCGCAUCAUCACGUGAAAGCAAGGAGCUUGCCACCCAUUAUAGAGUGUGGGGCACUCUUGCAUCUAAGAAUAAAUGAUCCUGAGGUUGUUCUGGUGAUGGGUAUUGGCCAUUACAUAAAGCUUCGACAAGCCCUUUUAGCUGCCUGUUAUUAGAAUUUGUAUAAUGAGCAUUCAAACUUAAACUUCUUUAAAUGGGAUGAAAACGAGUGAAAAUCAAGAAGUUGGAGGUGUUCAUCUCUAAUGCAUAGCUAAAGAUCCUUUGUAAGAAAAUACAGCUAAAGACAGUGUGUGUGUGUGUACCAGAGAAAUUGUCGAUAAUAGCCAUCAUUUUCUUUGUCUCUUGUGUCAUAUCUUCCAAAAAUCUUAAAGUAAUUGAUGAAAAAGUGGAUACACCUCUUUGUCUUCUUUAUAGCACUGCUGGCCACUGUGAGUUAAAGCAUUAAAAGGUCGUGAACGCGGAUGCUUGACGAGCGAGUGUUUACUUGUUAAUUUUUUUAGAAGGAAUCUGGAAAAGAAUAAAGUCAUCUAUUUCACUUUGGGACAACAUUCCUCACCUCUCCCCGCCCUCCCUCCCUCCCUCUUCCGCCUCUCGGAAACCGCCGCAUCCAAUAAGGCUUCAGAUUUCUGCCAGGUGCUUCCUUUUCUAUCAUGCUUUUGUUUUUAAAAUUUAUGGGUGUUUUCAUUUAUUUUAUUGUAAUUAUUAUUCAGAGACAGAAAUCCAUUUUAAUAAGUAAAUUAAAAAAAACAAAUAAGCGAUCCGAUGAAAUCUCUGCUAGUGAACGCAAUUCGAUUUUAAUAUGUAAAUUAAAAAAGUAUAUAAUCGGAUCCGAUGAAAUCGCUGCUCGUGAACGCAAUUCAAAGAAACGCACAAUCAGCCGAUUCUAAUAUUUUCUUUUUCAACCCCACCCUAAUUUACAUGAUAUUAUCCGAUUUUUCUCACAGUUAUUGUUGUAAUAAUCAAGCCCUGAAUUCUUGAACCCAAAUUUAUUUUAUUUUAUUUUUUAGUUUUAUUUUUAAGUGGAGAAUAGAAAUCAAUUCAAAUCUUUUAGGCUCGAUCGAUAAUUUGUUAAUUAGUUUAUGCAGCAGCUGGAGUGGAAGAGAUAUUACUGCCGGAAUGGCCGAAAAAUGAGCUGUUUGGUUGAUUCUUCUUUUUUGGAAUUUACUGAAUUCUUCAAAAUUAUUGUGUUUUUAACAACAAUACGAUAUCCUUGGGUUUCAUGCUCGCUCACACAUGGAAAAAAGAAAGAAAGAACAGAACUUUAAAUUUUAUAAUUUGGUCAAGUUAAUGCUCGUCGUUUUCUUCAUUUUCCUAGCUUAAAACAUCCUAGACAAUCUCUUUGGGAUGGGUUAUUGUUUGUGGCCUCUUCAUGUUCUAUUUGCUGGGGUAUUUAGAGUACUGCUGAUUGAAAAGCCUUGUUUUAUUGCACGUUAGAAAAGUUAAUACAUACAUAAAUAACAAGAACAGGGGCCGGGGGGGGGGGUGUUGGGGUUUGACGGUAUGUAUUUGCUUGCGAGUAAAAAUUGGUAAGCACUUGAAAAAGGUCCUGUGCUGAAUCUAAAUUGGUAAGAUGUUAUAUACUGAUAUCUAGAAAGAUAACUUAAUCUAUCUAUUGAAGUAAAGCAUUUAAAUACGUAUACAAUGUUUUUGGAAUAUUAAAUAUCUAUUUGAUCAGAAUCUGUGAACCUCUAAAACCACAAUGAAUACAAAUGCAAGUUUGUCAUUGUAAACAUUGCAUCGAUGAUGUAUCACAAGUGUUGCUAGAAAACAUCAAGUUAAAAUUGAAGCACCAUGAGUUUCUCUAUGGCUUGGUUUACCAACACUCACCAUCUGUUGGUGCGGCAAGUUAUGAACUAGCUGGCUAGUUUUUUGCUUCCUUGGUUUUAGAAGCACCAUGAAGAUUCAGGUCCAAAUCUUGCUUAUAAUACCCGAAUACCCAAGAUCCUAGCACCUUGCCUUGAAUGGUCGUGUAUAUUUGUUAUGGCUGUUCAGAUUUUAUGCAUCCAUAUUUGGGAGAAUUCUUUAAUAAAGUACAUGCUAUUAGAUGGAAGUUCUCUUUAAAUCUAUUCAAGUCUGAAUAAACUGAUAUUCCAAUUUUCAUGACUUUGAUGUGCUCUUACUCUUCUGCUGUUCCUGACUUUCUUUUUAAGGUCUAUUCUAACGUGCAAUAUUAUUUAUUUAUUUAUUUAUUGUCAUGAUAGAAGUGAUUUUUUUUGGUUGGCCAAAACCCCUUGGAUGCCAAUAAUUGGAGGUCCACUGCCCCAGGCGGAGAACAUGUCAUUGACACGGGUGAUUGGAGAAUUCAAUUGCAGCCUGACUCACGGAAAAGAAUAGUCGACAAAAUGUAAGUACGUGUUUCCUAAUAUGUGCAAGUGCUGCAAAAUAGUAAAUUUUUUAUUUAUAUGAAAGAAAAGUAGAAGGGCAAAAGGUUAAUUAAAAUUAGCUGGACUGCCAUGAGGCAACCUCAAGUAUCACACACCUCUUUUUUUUGUUUUUCAUCUUUUCGCUUGUUUCUCACAAGAAGCAAACUUGAGGGAACGUAAAGUGCUGGGAAGUGAUUUUUGUUGGAACUUCUUGUGUAACAUCUUCUUUUGACGAUGACCUCUUGGAUGGCUGCAUGAAGCUUGUUCCGCUUUAAAUUUCAAGGUUAAUCUAUUGCUAUGAGCAUUGGUGUUUCAAUUUCAACCUUGAGUUGCAACUGAACUUAAAUGAAUAGUGUUGGAUUUGGGCCUUCUAUUUGCUUUAACUUCUACAGGAUUGAAAUGAUAGUGAUCUUAAAGUAGAAAAGCAGCAGACAAAAAUCAAUUAGCCACAAUAGUGUAUGGUUUCCUAGUUUCUCAGUAUAAAGUUGAAUGUUUUGGUGAUAUCUCCACAUCCAAAAUCAUAUAGACAGCUACUGUUGGCACUUGCAGUAGCCAAUGAGCACUGUAGAGUAUAUAUAUUGCAGCGUGAGAUAAGGUUAACUCAUUGCAUUUUCAUAAAUUAAAGGGAUUUCUCUUCUUUUCUUUGUCAAUUACAGUGCAUGUAUAAAAGUUUUCUACAGUGCACUGUAGAGUAAAUGCUAUUGUAAUGUUUUCACAGAGUUCCCCUGGUUUGCAACUAAUGCACUUAUAUAUCUUGGAGCAUAGCCAUAGCCAUAAAUGAAAGGUUCUUCUGGUUCAAGAAAAUUAACCAUGAAGCUCGUAACUAGAAUUUUAGACAGAAGGUUGGCCAAGUAAACUCUUACCUCUGGAAUAAUACGGGGAAACGAAGUAAAAAUAGAUGUCUGUAUUUUGAUGCCAUUUAUUACUUUACUAACACUCGGCUAUAUCAUUAUUUGUUUUUACUUUUUGCUAAUGAUUUUGUUGUAUACAUUUCUGAUAUUAGUGUGGUGUAUGAGUUCACAGUUUUUUCUCACUACUGCUAACUUCUCUAUACCUGCCUUGUCAUUAAAAAUUAAAUGCAAUGUUUUACAUGUGCAGAAUGGAGACAUUAAAGAGGCAUCUUCCGUUUUCUGGUCAGGAGGGAUUACAAGAACUCAAGAAAAUUGCCGUACGGUUUGAGGAAAAGAUUUAUACUGCCGCCACCAAUCAGGUAUUCGGCUAAUGCUAGGUUCAAUAAUUUUGAUAUUCUCUGGACAUGAAUAUACACAUGCAUAAGUUUGUGGAUUUAUGCAUGUACACGUGUGUGUAGUGUGUCCACACUUCCUCACUGGUCAUUCUGUAGAAGUUCUUAUCUUUCCGUUAAUUCUCUUGACAAGUGUUUUAUUUAGAGUGACCAAGGUCCUUUUCAAGUACAAGGGAAGUGUGCAAAAAGCAAAUAACGAAUCAAUACAUAAAUAAUUAAAUAAAAAGAGGAGACACAGAAGUAUAUCCUCACAGAAGAUGCAAAUACAGAAAGCCUAGCAUAUUAGAAAGAGCAUAUAUCUCUUUUCCCCCUUCUCUUGUAACAUGGACUGCUCAGAGAUCUAAUGUUUUGUUAUUGAUAUCUGAUUUCAGUCUGAUUAUCUGCGUAAAAUAUCUCUGAAGAUGCUUACAAUGGAGACCAAGUCUCAAAAUACCAUACCCACUGGCAAUGGUAACAAACCCCUGGAUCCAGGAGGUAAUAAUGCAGCCAAGCAUUGAAUUUCUAAACAUCCUUACCUUUUGUUUUAUAUUUUGCAUUAUUAUCAAACUCUUUUACAUUUUAUUGCUGCAUCCUUACUCUUUUACCAUUAGGGAAAUAAUUUCUAAAAAUUACAGAUUAUUUUUGCCCCCCCCCCCCCCCCCCCCCCCCCGCCAGCCCCAAAAUUGUCAAAUGGCACUUUUAUGCUUUGAGUCAAAACCACCUUAAUUAUUUCCCUCAUAACUUUAUGUGUGAACUGUCAUUGUUUCAUUUGUUUUUCUUGUUCAAUGCCUUCUUUUUUUCCUUUGACAUGGUUAUCCUUUUUGCCUUUUAUCUUGAACAGCAUCUCAUAGUAUGCCGCCUCAAGUUCACAACCAAGGGCAGUCGCUCCCUAUCUCAUUGUCCAGUAAUCAGCCUCAAGCACGUCAGCAGUUAUCACAAAACAUGCAGAAUAGUAUGUCAUCUAAUGGAGUUCAAAGUUCUGCUGGUUUACAAUCAGCAAUGCCUUCUGUCUCCAGUUUAACCCAGACUAUCGCAAACACUGUUGGACAGAAUGCUAACAUGCAGAGUAUCUCUGGUGUUUCACAGAACCCAGUUGGGAAUUUAAUGGGACAAGGGAUUCCCUCCAAUAUGUUUGUCAAUUCUCAGAGACAAAUGCCAGGCAGGCAACAGGUUGUUCCUCCACAGCAACAGCAGCAGUCCCAAAAUCCUCAGCAGUAUCUUUAUCAGCAGCAGAUACAACAACAGCUUUUAAAGCAGAAGCUUCAACAGGGAAAUCAUCCACACUCACUUGUGCAAUCUCACAUCCACCACCAGCAGCAGCAGCAAAACUUGUUACAGCCAAAUCAGUUGCAAUCUGGUUUGCAAACAUCAACUGUUAUGCAGCCUUCAAUGAUGCAAACCGUCUCUGGCCUUCAACAGAACCAACCAUCUUCUGUUCAACAGUCAACACAACCAAUGCACCAGCAACAUCCACAAUCAGUCCUUAGGCAGCAGCAGCAACAACCUCAACAGUCUGCUGGUAUUCAUCAGCAGCAAACACCAAUGAUGCAGCAGCCACUAUUGCCUCCACAACAGCAGCUAAUGGGGCAACAAUCAAAUACCACUAACAUGUCGCAAAAUCAGUUAAUUGGACAGCAAAACAUUGUUGGGGACUUGCAGCAGCAGCAGCAGAGAUUGCUAGGGCAGCAGAAUAACCUUCAAAAUCUGCAGCAGCAGCAGCAGCAGUUAAUGGCUCAACAAAAUAACCUCUCAAGUAUGCAUCAGCAACAGUUGGGCCCUCAAAGUAAUGUCACUGGUUUACAGCAACAGCAGUUGCUUGGAGCUCAGCCUGGUAACUCAAGCAUGCAAUCUAAUCAGCACUCUCUACACAUGCUGCAACAGCCCAAGGUUACGCUGCAGCAGCAAGCACAACAAAGUGGAAGUGCUUUGUUGCCGAAUCAAGGGCAGCAGUCACACUCACAGCUGCCACAGCAGCAAUUGAUGGCACAGAUUCAAUCACAGCCUGGACAGCUGCAACAGCAAUCAAAUCCAUUACAACGUGAUCUGCAGCAAAGGCUUCAAGCAUCAGGCUCCUUGCUUCAACAGCCGAAUGUGAUUGAUCAGCAAAAGCAGUUAUAUCAACCUCAAAGAGCCCUUCCAGAAACGUCCUCAAGUAAGUUUUUGUCAUCCUUGCAGCUUUCUAGCCUUGCUCCAACUUUAAUUUUGCAGCUUUGUGCUUUCAUGUUAGAUUAUAACAUAUUUAUUUAAAUUUCUUGAAAAUACAAUAAUGGUUCAAGUCAGUAAUGCUCUUUUUGGUAGCUUUAUGAGCUACGGCUGCCACUUAUGGCAUCAGAAAUGCCACUGCUAUUGGAGCCAUUGUAAUCACACAUACAUUUGUUACGACAUCAUGCCAUCCAGUGCAUUGCACCAACUAUUCACCUCUCAUAAUGGUUCAAGUCAGCAAUGCUCUUUUGGUAGCUUUAUGUUCUACUGAUGCCACUGCUAUUGAAACCAUUGCAAUCACACUCGUUUGUUACCACAUCAUGCCCUCCAGCUCAUCGCACCAAUUGUUCACCUCUCAUUUUGAAUUUAACAGACAUGAAUUUUAAAAAUAUAUGUAUAACUGGACAAUGCAUUUGACACUAGGGUAACUAAUCAUCAGCCAAUUGAUUUUUAUGGGAAGAAAGAAAUUAGCAAGUGGACUAACUCUGAGGCACUUAAGGUUUGGUGUGCUGAUAAAUCAUUGAGCCUUUUUUUUUAAUAUAUAAUGAUCACUUGUUGGGGGGGGGGGGGGGGGGGAAGCAUUUUAAAGGGUCUCUCUGUCUAUUUGAAUGAUUACAUAACGUUGAGAUGGAGUUCCUAGUACUCCAAGUCCAAAAAGGACUUGUAUUCCUAUGUAAGAAAAUACCAAUGGUCCUAUCUGGGAUAGGGAAAACCUAUUAAAGCUCCUUAUUCUUUAGGAACAAUAAAAUACUAAAUAGAAAUAAAACCAAGACCUACAAUAUUCCAUAAUUUUCAGCAAGUGUGAAAAUUACAGAAAUACCCUUGUGUGCAGAAAACAUUCAUAAAAUACAUGAAUUCUAAUCUUUUGUUGGCUGUAUCAAAAUUUUUGUAGCAUCCCUAGAUUCUACAGCAGAGAUUGGACAUGCAAAUGGUGCUGAUUGGCAAGAGGAGAUCUACCAAAAGGUAAUUUCUGUAGUUUACUGUUCAUUAGAUGAAGUUCAUGUAUGUCAUUGUCUUGCAAGAUUUCAAUGGAAAAGGUCUCCUGGAAUUUGGUACAAGGGAGUUUUAUUCAGCUAUGGUUGUGAUUAGUUAGGAAGCAUUGUAAGUUCCAUGAUUGCAGCAACUAAGAAACGAUAAAUUACUGAUAAGAUGAUUAAAGGUAAAUAAUCAGAUUUCUAGGUCAAGAGGGUUAUUUUCUUGGUACUGACACGACAAUUUUUUCUAUUGCAAAUCUCUCCCUUUCAAUUUUUUCCCUGUAUUUCCAUACAUUUAUUGUGUGGUGAAUUAUUAUUUUAUUAUUUCCAAUAAGUCCAAUUGACAAUACUUCUUACUGUAAUAGACAGACUUGAAAACAAGAGUGAACUGUUUCUGAAUAGUCAUCGUUAUAUUUGGUUAAGUGAACAGUUAUUUUCAGGAUUACAAUCAAAUUUGUUCUGAAACAUGUGACAAUGGAAGAAAGGAAAAUAAGUGGACCUAAUCCAUUGAAUCAUGACCAUGUCCAGUAUUGUUGAAUUUUAUAGAAAACGAGGUUGAAAUUCUGAAUCGUUUAAUGGCUGUAGUUGCAAUUCAUAACUGCAUAUUUGAUGAGGUCAAUUUUUUUGUGCCUGGGAGGGUACUAAAACGGGAAUAGGAGUGGUUGUUGAUAAUUAGGAUAUAAGGGUUAUAAAUCUAAAGUUAUAAGGCUAAGAAGUGUUUACCAAAGUCGUGACAUCCAUUGACUUGAGUUAGAACAAUAGAAAACAAUGGUGAGUAGUUUGCCGUGAGACAAAGUAACUGAACUUGACCAACCCCUGAAUCUUGUCUGAAGGGGUAACUACACAAUCCUUUGCAUGCAAUCAAUAACGAUAUUCUCUUUUGAGUUUUCGGCAUUGAUUCCACUUUGCUAUUUUUAUCUCAAACAAUAUAUGCUGUCCUCUGCCAUUUUAUUUAUUUAUUUAUUUAUCAAUUCUCUCAAGUUUGCUUAUGUUUCUUUCUGACUCUGGCACGUGAAGAAAUCAAGCAUAUGAUUGAUAAUGUCUUGCUGGUUAUAUGUACUUCCUAGAUCAAAGUUAUGAAGGAAACGUAUUUGCCUGAAAUAAAUGAAAUGUACCAGAGAAUUGCUACCAAGUUACAGCAGGUAAAUUGUCUUUGUAAUUUUUUCCGAUUUAUUUGCCCACACAUAUUCAUAAACCCCCACAGUUGAGCUUUUGUAUUAAUUUGUUUUCCCCAUCAGCAUUGCUUGUCACUGUAUCAUCUGCACUAAUUACCUCCCCCACCCCCAACCACCCCACAACCAUGCAUUGACACAGAAGAAUUGGAAUAGAAACAUUUUUUUCACUUAUGUUUUACUAGUUUUGCUAGAAAGGAUCAAUGCAAUUUUUAAUUCUCGUGUAUGUUAACUUUGCUUUCCAGCAUGACCCUCUUCCGCAACAACCGAAGUCAGAACAGCUUGAAAAGCUGAAGGUAUUCAAGGUCAUGUUGGAGCGCUUGAUAACAUUCUUACAGGUCUCUAAAAACAACAUCACACCUAAUUUCAAGGAGAAAUUGGGUUUCUAUGAGAAGCAGAUUGUAGGUUUUCUAAACCCAAGCAGAUACAGGAAGCCUAUUCCUAAUCUACAGCAAGGACAACCUCCCCAACCUCGUAUUCAACCUAUGCAGCAACCCCAAUCUCAAGUUCCUCAAUUGCAGUCCCAUGAAAAUCAACUGAUUCCCCAGUUGCAAUCAAUGAAUACGCAAGGUUCUGUACCACAGAUGCAGCAGAACAAUAUGUCAAGCUUGCUGCAUAAUUCCCUUUCAACUUUAUCUGGGGAUUCGACGUCACAAUCAAACAUGAUGAAUCCAAUACAACCAGGCUCCAAUUUAGAUUCUGGACAAGGAAAUGCACUGAGCUCAUUGCAGCAGACACCUGUAGGAUCUGUACAACAGAAUCUCGUGAGCAUUUCCCAACCAACCAAAGUUAACACAUUGUCAACACAAAGUGGGGGGAGUAUGCUGCAGCCAAAUAUUCCCCUUCAGUCGAAUUCCAAUAUGAUUCAACACCAGCAUCUAAAACAGCAGCAGCAGCAGCAGCAUGAACAACAGAUGCUACAAACACAACAGCUUAAACGAUUCCAGCAACACCAGAAUUUAAUGCAGAAUCAACAGAUGCAGCAGCAGCAAUUACACCAGCAAGCUCCGUCUCCUAUGCCAGGAGAUUCUGACAAACCAGUUUCUGGUAUUUCCUCACUCUUAGAUACUGGAAAUAUUGUACACCAACCAUCUGUUGCACAAGCACUGGCUCCAUCCCUUGCAAUUGGCACUCCUGGGAUAUCUGCAUCACCUUUGCUUGCAGAGUUUACCAGUCCUGAUGGUGCUCAUGGCGGUGCUUUGACAACUGUUUCUGGCAAGUCAAAUGUUACAGAGCAAUCACUUGAGUGCUUGAUUAAAGCGGUUAGUGAUGCUCUCCUUUUGGUUUUACUCCACCCCACCCUUAUUUUGGAGGUUUCUGAAAAAGAAAGAAACUUCUUUGUGAAUGAGAUGGUGAUGCUGCAAUUUUUUUUCCCAGGUGAAAUCUCUGUCUCCCAAAGCACUUAGUGCAUCUGUCGGUGACAUUGGCUCCGUUGUCAGUAUGAUUGACAGAAUUGCUGGUUCUGCAGCUGGUAAUGGAUCUAGAGCUGCAGCUGGUGAGGAUUUGGUAGCAAUGACAGGAUGUCAUCUUCUUUCGUUUUUGUCUUUUUUAUUUUUCACGUGUUUCUCACAAGAUGGGAACUCGAGGGAAUAAAAAGUGCUGGGAAGUAAUUUUUGUUGGAACGUCUUGUGUAACAUCUUCUUUCGAUGAUGACCUUUUGGAUGGCUGCAUGAAGCUUGUUCCGCUUUAAAUUUCAAGGUUAAUCUAUUUCAAUUUGAAACUUGAGUUGCAACUGAACUUAAAUGAAAAGUGUUGGAUUUGGGCCUCUAUUUGUUUUAACUUGUACAGGGUUGAAGUGAUAGUGAUCUUAAAAGUACAAAAGCAGCAGACAAAAAUCAAUUAGCCACAAUAUAUAGUGUAUGGUUUCCUACUUUCUCAGUAUAAAGUUGAAUGUUUUGGUGAUAUAAUCUCUACAUCCAAAAUCAUAUAGACAGCUACUGCUGGCACUUGCAGUAGCCAAUGUUAACCAAAAUCAUAUAAUCUUAAAGUUGAAUGUUGUAUUUUCAUAAAUUAAAGGGAUUUCUCUUCUUUUCUUUGUCAAUUACAGUGCAUCAUAAUAAGUUUUCUUACUCAGUAAAUGCUAUUGUAAUUUUUUCACAGAGACUCCCCUGUUUUGCAACUAAUUCACUUCUGAAUAAAUCUGGGAAACAGAAAGGCAAUCAACAAAGAGUAAGGCAUCUUCUGAAGAAACAAAGAAAUUUAAUACCAUAAACUAAGCAGCACGUAGAAGGCAAAAACUGAGCACAAAUUUUCAGGAAGGGACAAACGAAAAAAACCAAAAAGAAAGCAAAGAAAAAUACAGACUCAAAUUCACAACACCCAUUUUCUUUCCAUUGGAACACUUUAAAUAGUUUAUUAAAUUUAUAAUGAUCUGAUUUCUACGCAUAUAAAAAAAUCAACUAAAUGAUCAAUUCUCUAUAAUUUCGGCAUUACUAAAAACAUCCAAACUAAUAAACAAUUAGUUAUUUUACUCAUUUUAAUAAACAUUUUAGUUAUGAAUUCACCAAACAUUUUGAACAAUUCAUAUUGAUGAAUUAACAUUUAAAUUUUAGAUUUUUUGAUUUAUUAUUUCCUUCGUGAGUUACUUCUAAAGUAUGCUAUAUAUCUUUAAGCAUUUUUAUAGAAUAUAAUUCUAUCAAAUUCACUUUUACCCAAUGCAUAAUAUAAAGUAUUCAUGGCUUUAACAUCCAUAAAAAAUAACUUUUUAUCAUUGUCCGUAUAUUCCCUUUUAGUUUUAGAAAUCUCAAUACCAUUUUUAAUUUGAUAGGUCUAGGAGAUCUAUUUUGUAUGGAUAGCCACAAAUUAAAAUCAAUAAAUUGAUAAUAAAUUAUCAUUAAACAAUUUAUUACUUGCUCUUUGGUAAUAAGAAUGUGAUUGUAAUAUUAUUUUGUAUGGAUAGUUUUAUCUAUCUAUUAUCUCAAUAACAAGAUUAACUUUGCAAUUAUAUAUCACACUUAUAUAAUCUCAAAUAAUAUUAAUUAAAAUGAAUCACAAAAAUUUAACACAGUAAUUCUGCAAAAAAAAUAAAAACAAUUUAAUAAACAAUUUAACUUUGCAAUUAUGUUUUUAUUUGUUUGUUUUUCUAUGAGACACAAUGGAAUUUUCAAUAGAAACUACAACAAUACAAAUAAUUACAAAUAUUUUUCUUUCAACAUCAACAUAAAAAAACAUUAUGCACUUUUCGAUACUUACGUAAUUCUAGGAUUAAAGAAACAAUAACAUCUAAGGGGGGUGAAUUGGGUGUUGCACUAAUUAUAUCAAAUAAUGGUGUUGCACUAAUUAUAUCAAAUAAUGCAAUAAUUAACAAUAUAAUUAAAGUGUUUAAAGUAAAUAGAUAAGGAAAUAGAUAUUACAAACUCGGUUUUUAAUGUGAUUCGGUAAGCCUACAUCUACACCUCAAGUACUAACCGUACUUGAGUAUUGUACUCUUUUACCAAUCCAAGUGAAAUAUACAAAUGCCCUUGAUAAAUCCACACCGAGAAAUUAUACCACUUGAAGUUUUUUCUCUUGGUGACAAUACAUCACUAAUGCUAGGAGUUUAUCCAAACUCACAAAUGUUUACAAUUAUAAUUUGUUUGCAACAAGAUUCACUCUCUCAUAAAGUAAAUUGUACAAUUGAAAACUAUAAUCUUUAUAACUCACUCGAUAGCACUCAAGAUGAUUGAAAGUGUGUAAAUAUAAUGAGUGUGAGACAUUAUACUCAUGUGUUAGAAUAUAAAGAUUUAAUUUAGCACAACUUAAAAGCAUGUUAUGAUUGAUGAUUUCUAAUUGAUUUUUUUUUAAAAUAACUUCUAUGUUAUAUAUGUUUGGAAUCUCUCUUUUAUUUGUUAUAUAUAUAUAUAUAAACUAAUUGUUUAUAGUUGUUGAGAUGUCUCUAACAGCUAAAGUAAUCUAUAUGCAACUUAAACAAAAGAAUUCCAAUUAAAUGGAAUUGCACUUAACAUGUAUUAUUUCAAAUGCAACAAUUGCAUAGAUAACAGACAACAAGGAAUUUAACAGAAGAUAUAUACACUUUACUUUUCCUACUAAAAUUAAACUAUUGGAAUUUAACAUAGUCAUAAUCAAUUUGUUCUUGUGAGAUUAUCUAUUACAUGUAUAACAAAUAUAUUAGAAAAUAAAUUGUUUUAAGAUUGUUAGAACACCUUAAAUAGUUCAUAAAAUUAUUGUUCCAUUUUACUAUAAUAAUCAAGUUUCCACAUAAUAUAAAUCAUGCAUAUAAAUUAAUAAUCAAAAUAAAAAUUAAAUUAAGAUAACAAUCAAUUUUUUAACUUUAAAAUAAUUUAUCAUCUAUUUUCUAAUACUAAUAGUAUGAUUGUAAUAUUAUUUUUUAAUUUAUUUAAUAAUUUAAUUUUGAUAGCACAACCAAAAAUAAAUAAUGAACCAAAAUUUAUAUGAUAUUUUUUAUAAAAAAUUUGAUAAAAAAAAUAUAAAAACAAAAAUAAUGUCUCAAUUAGAAUAAUUUUUUCAUUAAUGAGAAGGCCCACCACAGACCAAGAGGACAGCUUCAAUGAAGCCAAUGCAGGUGAUUACCCGUCGGCUAACAUCUCCUCGCGCGCCUAGCACCAGCUAAACCGCCUCAAUCUGAACAUGCACCAGACAAAGUCUAUGAAAAGACGCCAGGGAGCCUCAGCAGCCGAGAAGAAAGCACGGGAACACCCACCGCGCGAGAAGAAACGCGAAAAACAGGAGACGGAGCGCGGUAAAGACUGAAGCCACAGGAUUCACAUACAGUGAAGCACUCUUAGUUUUAUAUAUAUAUAAUUCUUUUAGUUUGUUAGUUAUGAACAGUGAAGCAGCACAAGAAUACAAUUCUCCUGUUUGUUUGCUGGAAAAUAGUUUUUUUUAGAAAGUGAAUUAUUUUCCGAUGUUUGGUAGUGUAAUGGAAAAUAAGUUAGAAAACAUUUUUCAGUGUUUGGUUAUGUCAUGGAAAAUGAGUUGGAAAAUAACUUAUUAAUAUUUUAUUUUUUUCAAUUUUAUUAAAAUAAUAAAGAAUAAAUCUUACAAAUUAAAAAGUUGAAUGAAAAUAAAAUUGAAAAAAAAUAUAAUUUCAUAAAUUAUCUUAAAUAAAAUAAAUAAUAAUCAAAAUAAUAAAAAUCAAAUCUAAAAAAUAAAAAAUUUGAUCGCUUCAUUAAUUUCUCGUUAGGAAAAUGUUGAGCUUCUCAGCAAUAUUUCCUUACCUUGUGCCGCUAACUUGACGGUAAAAUGUGAUUAAAGGAUCAAUUAAUUAUUUAAAUCAACUUGAGGGAUUAAUCUGUUUGUUUAACAAAAAUACAGACACUAGUUAAAUAGAAUUUAACUCAAAUUUUAAUCAUCAUAUGCGUGCGUGUGCGUGUGCGCACGCGUGCGAGCGAGGGUUUACUCGUUAAUUUUUUUAGAAGGAAUCUGGAAAAGAAUAAAGUCAUCUAUUUCACUUUGGUCCAACAUCCCUCAAAGGCGCAGCUGUGCAUCUAGUUAGGAAGAACAUUUUAUAACUCACCUCAAGGUCGAGCAUGGUCAGGGUUAUUGUGUUGUCUAUUCCGAGGAAGAUGUGGCGUUCAAUCCAUGUGAAUCGCACGACUUGUCCAUAUCUUUCUUAUUGAUUACAAAUAGCAUUGAGAAUUAAAGAAUAUUAUCUUAAUAAGUUCCAAUUUAUUCUACAAAACUAUAUAUAAAGAUGUGACAAAAAGAUGUAUACAAAUUAGUUAUUUAUUGUUUGUAAGUAUUAUUGUAUUGCAAAGACAAAAAUAAGAUGCAACUUAUGGCGUGGUCGUCCAACCUGGUUCUGGUUUUGAUCCUGUUCAAAAUCUAUUUUGUUGAAUUGUUGAUCUACUUGUGAGUUAUUGGGUUAACUAGAUCAAUUUUUUAAACAAAACAAUGCCAUUUUAAAAAAAAAAUUGGUUCUGACAUAGAAAUAUAAUAUUAGAAACUUAAACCUUAUUGAUUAGCAAAAACUCAAUGGGAAAUUUAGUUUUGAAAUAGAUUGUUGUAAAAUCAAAUAUGAAUUGAUAACCAGAAAGUUUGCUUAAAAUUGCAAUAACCUUAUAGAAGAAAGCAAACAUAAAUAGAAUUAUUAAAUUCAAUGGAGUUCAUAUAACCAGGAUCACGAGUUUAGCGAGUUAAGCCAUGAAACCCUAAUCGAUCAAAUAUGUCGCCGUUUCAAUUAAAAAAAAUACAUCUUAAAAAGAAUUAAGCUAAACCACGUUUCUACCUAUUAUCUGGGUUGUCUUUAGACUUGUCAAGUCGACUGAGCCAUAUUAGGACAACUUCCAUAUAAUUAAAUUUGAAACUCGAGCUAGAUAAGAAAUCAGGUCAGGAAAUUUUAAUAUUGAUUUGUUGAAUCGGAUUUAAUAACAAUGCCAAAGAUCUGAAUAUUUAUUUUUUACUCAAUUUUUUUUAGGUCCUGUUUGUUUGAUGGAAACAGUUUUUUUUUAGAAAGUGAAUUCCUGUAAAGUGAAUUAUUUUCUGAUGUUUGGUAGUGUGAUGGAAAAUAAAUUAGAAAAUAUUUUCCAGUGUUUGGUUAUGUUAUGAAAAAUGAGUUGAAAAAUAGCUUAUUAAUAUUUUAUUUUUUUUCAAGUUUAUUAAAAAAACGAGGAAUAAAUCUUACAAAUUAAAAAGUUGAAUGAGAAUGAAAUUGAAAAAAAUAAUCUAAUUUUAUAAAUUAUUUCAAAUAAAAUAAAUAAUAAUCAAAAUAAUAGAGAUCAAAUCUAACAAAUAAAAAAAUUGAAAGAUGAUGAAAUUAAAAUAAUAAUAAUUACAAUUUCAUAAAUUAUUUCAAAUAAAAUAAAUAACAAUUAAAAGAAUAAGGACCAAAUUUGAUAGAUAAAAAAUUUCAAUUAAAAAAAUGAUAAGACAAAAGCAAAUAACAAUCAUAAAAAUAAGGACCACAGUUAAUAUAAAAAUCAAAUUAAAUCAAAUUUUAAGGAAGGAAAUUAAAAAAAAAGAUUCAAACAAAAUAUAUAUCAAUUAAAAGUUUGAAGACUAAAUUUGAUAUAAUCAGCAAAUAAUAUGAUAUUUCUAAAUUUUUCACAACUUCUGGAAAAUGUUUUCCGUCCAAAAUAAAAGGAAAAUACUUUCCUGAAAAUCGAGUUAAAUUUUUCUUUGACUGUAAAGUGUUUUCCAUUGACCAACUUUUUUAAUGACAAACAAACACAUGAAUGUUUGGAAAGUGGUUUCUAGAAAAUUAUUUUCCAGGCAAACAAACACCCCCUUAAUUCAAUCACUAAAGAGUUAUCCAAGAAUAAUUAUUCUCCACUAGCAGUUGUUGCAUACUAAAUUUUUUUUGUCAAAACAUACAUGAUAGGUGGCUUCAAUAUCAAUCCACCAUUUUUUAGGAUUUUCCAUGAAGUUUACUUCUAAUAUAACUACAACAAGCUUAGUAGCUUUCUCAUCAACAUUCUCAAUCAUAUGCUAAGAAAUCAUGGUUUUGUUGAGCUUUGUUAUCAUCAUAGGCUUGAUGAUGGAAGGAUUAUUGCUUCAUCAUGCUUUAUAUUUAAGUUCACGCCACUCAAAUUAUUUUGGUUUUUUCCCCACAUGAAGAAUGUUUAGGAAUCGGGUUUGCCAUCUAAACCACAAAGAUUACUAGGUUAACAAGUACAUCGAAAUCAUUAACAAUAGUUUUAUCCAUCUAUUAUCUCAAUAAUAAAAUUAACUUUGCAAUUAUAUAUCACGCUUAUAUAAUCUCAAAUAAUAUUAAUUAAAAUGAAUCACAAAAAUUUAACACACUAAUUGUGCAAAAAAACAAUUUAAUAAACAAUUUAACUUUGCAAUUGUGUAUUUAUUUAUUUGUUUUUCUAUAAGACACAAUGUAAUUUUCAAUAGAAACUAUAACAAUACAAAUAAUUAUAAAUAUUUGUCUUUUGACAUCAACAUAAGAAAACAUUAUGCACUUUUUUAAAGUUACGAUAAAAACAAAUCUGAUUGAUACUUAUGAUAUUCUAGGAUUAAAGCAAUAAUAACAUCUAAUAGAGAUAAAUUAGGUGUCAAACUAAUUAUGUCAAAUAAUACAAAUAAACAUGCUAAACACAUAUAAUAUAAUAAUCAACAAUAUAAUUAAAAUGCUUAAAAUAAAUAGAUAAGAAAAGAGAGAUUACAAACUCGGUUUUUAACAUGGUUCAGUAAGUCUACAACCACAUCUCAAGUACUAAUCGUAAUUGAGUAUUGUAUUCUUUUACUAACCAAUAAUAUAUUAUUUCACCAGUAAUUAUUAUCCAAUAUGCAACUUUUUUUUCCAAUCUUCUGUUUUUUUUUUCCAUAUCAAUCCAACAAUAAAGAAAAUAACAUGUAACAUAAAAUUUCUUUCCCCGUAGAAUCAAUGCAACAAGUAUACAGAUACCACACAACAAACAAUUUAACAAGUCAUGUAAUUUAACAGAAGAUAUAUUUACUUUGCUUUUCCUACUAAAUUUAAACAACUUUUUUGUAAUCUAUGUCAACAUAUAAAACAUAUAUAUAAAUCAAUAAAAAAAAUAAAAAAUAGGUAGAGGUAAUGAUUAAUUUUUUAGCUUUAAAAUUUUUUAUCAUCGCCUCUUUAUGCUAGUAAUGUAAUUGCAAUAUUAUUUUAAAUUAAUUUAAUAUUUUAUUUUUGAUAACAUAACCAAAAAUAAACAGCGAACCAGAAUUUAUAUAGAGUUUCCUAUAAAAAUUUUGAUAAAAAAAAAUAUAAUAGAAAUAAGUUUAUAAAAACAAAAACAAUGUCUCAGUUAGAAUAAUUUUUUCAUUAAUGAGAAGGCCUGCCACAGACCAAGAGGAGAGCUUCAAUGAAGCCAUCCCAGCCGAUGCAGGUGAUUACUCAUCGGCUGACAUCUCCUCGCAUGCCUAGCACCAGCCAAACCGCCUCAAUCUGACAUGCACCAGACAAAGUCGAUGAAAAGACGCCAGGGAGCCUCAGCAGGCGAGAAGAAAGCGCGGGAACACCCACCGCGCGAGAAGAAACACGAAAAACAGAGACGGAGCGCGGUAAAGAUUGUGAAGCCACAGGAUUCACACAUAGUGCACCGUGUUUUAAUGAGUUAUAUGUAUAUAUAUAUAUAUAAUUAUUUUAGUUUAGUUUUAGUUUGUUAGUUAUGAACAGUGAAGCAGCACCAGAAUACAAUUCUUUUAGUUUGUUAGCGAAUUUGGAAAGAAUAAAGUCAUCUGUCAAGCUCUGUUCACUUUGGUCCGACAUUCUUCACCUCUCCCCACCUGAGCUCUCUCUCUUUCCCUCCUCCGCUCUAGGAAGCCGCCACCACCUCAACCAAUAAGGCUUCAAAUCUCCACCAGGUGCUUCCUUUUCUAUCAUGUUUUUUAUUUUUAAAAUUUACAUCUGUGUUUUCAUUUAUUUAACUGAAAUUCUUAUCCAGAGAGAUAAAUUCGAUUUUAAUAAGUAAAUUAAAAAGAUAUAUAAUCGGAUCGAUGAAAUCGUUGUUCGUGAACGCAACUCGAAGAAAGGCGUAAUCAGCCGAUUCUACUGUGGGUGGAGCAUUUAGUAUGGUCAGGGUUAUUGUGUUGUUUAUUCAAAGAAAGACAUGCCUGUAAAUUUGUUAAGUUGAUUCUUAUCAGUCUGCUCUUUAGAGUUAAUGAUAACAUGAAAUAUUCAUUGUUAAUGCUCGUUGUUUUCUUCGUCUUUUUCCUAGACUAAAACAUCCUAGACAGUCUCUUUGGGAUGGGUUAGUGUUUCUGGCCUCUUCAUCUUCAAUUUGUGCUGUGGUGAAAGGCCUCGUUUUAUGACUUUGUUUUGUAUUCUUCUUAUUUCUUUAUUCUUUUGGGGAUGUGGUGUUUUCCUCUUUCUAUUACACUAUUUACUCCCUACAAUAUUUAUUUUUUCAGAGAAGUAAAUAUAUGCAUAAAUAACAAAAACAGGAGGGGAAGGGGAAUGGGGUUUGAUAGUAAGUAUUUGCUUAGAAGGGAAUGCUUCUUCGGUUUAGAAGCACCAUGAAGAUUCUUUGCUUUGAAUGGCCGAAUACCCAGGAUCCUAGCACCUAGGCCUGAAUGUUUGUGUAUAUUUGUUAUGCAUCCAUAUUUGGCUGAAUUCUUUAAUAAAGUACAUGAUAUUAGACGGAAGUUCUUUUUAAAUCUAUUCAAGUCUGAAUAAACUGAUAUUCCAUUUUUCAUGUUCUUGAUGUGCUUUUGCUCUUCUUGUCGUUCCUGACUUUCUUUUAAGGGUCUAUUCUAACAUGCAAUAUGAUUUUUUUUUUCUUUUUGGUUGGCCAACUGUCCUAGGCGGAGAACCUAUCAUAGACACGGGUGAUUGGAGAAUUCAAUUGCAGCCUGACUCAUGGAAAAGAAUAAGCGACAAAAUGUAUGUGCAAGUGCUGCAAAAUAGUAAAUUUUUUUAUUUAUAUGAAAGAAAAGGAGAAUGGCAAAGGGUUAAUUAAAAUCAACAAGAUAGCCAUGAGGCAACCUCAAGUAUCACACACCUUUUUUUUUUUUCAUCUUUUAAUGUGUUUCUCACGAGAAGAAAACUUGAGGGAACAUAAAGUGAUGGGAAGUAAUUUUUGUUGGAAUUUCUUGUGUAAUCUCUUCUUUUGAUGAUGACCUCUUGGAUGGCUGCAUGAAGCUUGUUCCGCUUUUAAUUUCAAUUUAAAACUCGAGUUGCAAUUGAACUUAAAUGAAUGGUGUUGGAUUUAGGCCUUCUAUUUGUUUUAACUUCUACAGGGUUGAAAUGAUAGUGAUCUUAAAGUUGAAAAGCAACAGACAAAAAUCAAUUAGCCACAGUGGUGCAUGGUUUCGUAGUUUCUCAGCAUAAAGUUGAAUGUUUUGUUGACCUCUCUACAUCCAAAAUCAUAUAGACAGCUACUUCUGGCACUUGCAUUGGUCAAUGAAUACUGUAAAGUAUAUAUUGCAGUGUGAGAUAAGGUUAACUCGUUGCAUUUUCAUAUAUUGAAAAGAUUUGUCUUCUUUUCUUUGUCAAUUACAGCAAAUGUGUAGAAGUUACUCAGAGUAAAUGCUAUUGUAAUGUUUUCACAUACUCCCCUGCUUUGCAACUAAGUCACUAAUAUAUGAAGCUCGUAGCUAGAAUUUUUAGAUAGAAGGGUGGCCAAGUAAACUCCUAUAAUAUGUACCUCUGGAAUAAUACAGGGAAAAGAUGUCUAUGUAUUUUGAUGUCUUAUAAUACUUGACCAACUCUUGCUUAUCUUGUUGUUACCCAUUUUUUAGUUCACAUAAAAAUGAGAAAAUACAAAAAACAAAUAUCAAAAGAAAUCCAAAAAAUAAUAGGAGCGAGAAAAGGAUUGCUGGAAUGCCGAAAAAAAAAUGCCAAAAUUGGUUGAGGAGAUUCAAAAAUGCAAAAGGUUGAAAUUUGACAGUGAGAGUCCUGUUGAUGAGGAAAAUUCAAUUUGAGAAAGAAAAGUCCAAAAUCAGAUGUUUAUGGACUCAAUUAAAUUUUAUCCAAGGUUUAAUUGAAUUUAUAGAGGGUUUGAUUGCAAGAAAAUUGAUUUUGUAAGUCAAUUUAGGCUUUUAUCGGAAGAAAUUAAAGUUCUGGGGUCCAAUUAUAAUUUUAAAGAGUUGAUUUGGUCAAAUCAGGGGCUUAAUUGCAUAAUUAUUGAAGUUUGAUGGCCAAUUAGGGACUUAAUUGAAAUAAUUUGAGACCAAGGAUCAAACCAGAAAAGGCGCUAACAUUAAGGGAUCCAAUUACAAUUUUGUCAGGGGGGUUUGAUUAUAAAACAGCGAAAACUUCAAGGGCCAAAUUAGAAGAACCCAAGCGGCGCCGUUUCCACCAUUAAUGGUCUUCAAACAGCUGUGAAUCGGUGACGAUAAUGGAAGGAGACGUUAGCAGCAAUUAUGGAAAAUAUUCUCAAUUCAAUGGGGCUGGUAUCGCGGCUGACAUCCCUCGUCACCGUGAUGGGCGCCGGCUUACCAAUAUUGCUGGCGUCCUCUGGCUAUAAAAGCCAGAGGAAGAGCUGCACCAAAAAUAAAAGGAGGUGAGAGAGAGGAGAGGCUACAGUGAAGAAAAAAAAAGGGGAGUGAGACAGUUUAUGAGAACGUAAGAAAAGUGAGAGGGUGGAGAAAUAGCGAGCAAGCAUAAGGGAGAGAAGAGGAAGGAGAGAAAGAAGCAAACCGAACGGGAACAGAGGACACGGUGAAGCAGAGAACCCAGCACCACCAUCGUCUUCGUCUUCUCAAAAUCAGGUAUGUUCGAUGCCCUUCUCCGUUUCCUUGCAAAAUGAGAUGAUGCAUGUUAGUAUGUAAAAUACAGAAAGAAAAUAUAAGGAAACCGACACCAGAAAUCGCCAGUUACAAUGCUCUGUUUUGUUUUCCUUUUUCAUUCUCGCACUGCAACAAAGAUGGUUAACAGAGCGAAGGUAAUUUAAUUACCUUCGCCCUGUUCAUACAAGCCUAAAUAUAUUAUGGUGCCAUUAGAUAAAAAUAUGCCUUGCAGUCUAGAUGGUCAGCUUACCUGGCUCUCAUCCGAGAGACCCGGUUUCAAGUCCCAACAAGGGAAUUCCUUUUUGAAGGUGGUCACUGGCAUGGGCCAGUGACCAUGCUGGGCUAGCUGAAUCCAGCCCAGCUACGCAGGUUGGCUGGGGUCCAGCCCAGCCAUAUGGGCCGGGUUGGGCCCAGCAAUAAAAAAUAAAAGAAUAAAAAUAAAUAAAAAUUCAAAAAAAUUAUUUAAAUAUCUGUGAUUUUCCGUCAAUUUUUACUGCAUUUUAAUUAAUACGGUUUGUAUUUUUAUACUGUAAAGAUACAAAUCCGGUAUUAAAAUACCAUAUUUUGGUCCAAACAUUAAAAAAGAAGUUUUGUUUUCAUACAUACGGCUAAGUCUCUCAAAAAUAAAAAAUCAUAUUGUAUUUUCAUACAACAAAGAAAAUUUCAAAAAAUAUGUAUUAGCAUGCAUUUUGGCUUUAAUAACCAGUUUAUUAAAGUCACGAGAACUAGGCCAAUAUUUCAAAAAUUCUAAAAAAUUUAUUUUGUUUUCUUUUAAUAUCGGGGGCCGGGUUAUGAUCUUAUACGUAAGACGUGUUCCAGAUAUUAAAUUUUCUUUGUUGGCAUUAGACCGGUUAGGUUUUACCCGAUAAGAUAAGGAUCUCUUUACCGAAGAGAACUUUUCUUAAACCAUAAACGGACCAACAAAUAGAAAGCACAACAUGACCUUAGAUUUUAUCAGACAAUAAAACAAUGCAGCUUACCUUAGGUAGGGCGUAUUUGGGGUGCUAAUACCUUCCCUUUACGCAACCAAUCCUCGUACCCGAUCUCUGAGACCAGUUAGGGUUCCUAGUGACCAAAAUACUAGGUGACGACUUUCAUUCUAUUUUUUCACUGAUAAAAGACAAGAAUACCUUGUCUCCACACAUUUGCCACAUUUUUAGAUAAGAUAAGAUAGAAUUCGAGGGUGGAUGUUUUCGCCGCGACGCCGCACACGUGCGACAUAUCUCAUUAUUUGUUUUUACUUUUUGCUAAUGAUUCCACACAUUUCUGAAAUUGGUGUGGUUUAUGAGUUCAGGGUUCUUGCUUGCUGCUGCUAACUUCUCUAUACUUGCCUGGUCAUUAAAAAUGAAACGUAAUGAUUUGCAUGUGCAGAAUGGAGACAUUAAAGAGGGAUCUUCUGUUUUCUAGUCAGAAGGGAUUACAAGAACUCAAGAAAUAUGCCAUACGUUUUGAGGAAAAGAUUUAUAUUACCGCCACGAAUCAGGGUUCAAUAAUUAUGAUAUUCUCUUGACAUGAAUAUACACAUGCAUUUAUGCAUGUACAAAUGUGUGUGUAGUGUGCCUCCACUUCCUCACCGUGCAUUCUGUAUGCAAGGCUGAUUGGGAGUUCGCAUGUUUUUGUUAAUUCUCUUGACAAGUGUUUUAUCUAGAGUGACCAAGUUCAAGUACAAGGGAAGUGUGCAAAAAGAAAAUAGCAAAUCAAUACAUAAAUAAUUAAAUAAAAAGAGAGGAAACAGAAGUAUAUCCUCACAAACGAUGAAAUGAUAGAGCAUAUAUCCAUUUUCCUCCUCUUGUAACAUGGAUUGCUCUGAGAUCUAAUGUUUUGUUAUUAAUAUAUGAUUUCAGUAUGAUUAUCUGCGUAAAAUAUCUCUGGAGAUGCUUUCAAUGGAGAUCAGGUCUCAAAAUACCAUGCCCACUGCCCCCAUGGAUCCAGCAGGUUAUAAUGCAGCCGAGCAUUGAAUUUGUAAACAUCUUACCUUUUGUUUUGUUUGUCGCAUUGUAAUCAAACUCUUUUACAUUUUAUUGCGGCAUAUUGCUAUGUGUUUAGCAUGCUUUAAUCAAAAAGUUGAGUAAUUGAUGAAUGUUAGGCAAGAAUAUUACAGAUUGUUUUUGUUUUCUGCCUCCUCCUUUUCUUUCCUCCACCUUGAAAAUUGUCAUAUUAUUUUUGUUUUCAGUCGCCUCUUCUUCCCCCAUCCCUGAAAAUUGUCAGAGGACAUUUUUAUGCUUUGAAUCAAAUCCAUCCUAAUUUUUUCGCUCAUAACUUUAUGUGUGAACUGCAUAUGUUUCAUUUGUCUUCCUUGUUCAGUGCCUUCUUUUUUUCUGUGACAUGGUUUUCCCUUUUGCCUUUUAUCUUGAACAGCAUCCCAUAGUAUGCGCCCUGAAGUUCAGAAUCAAGGGCUGUUUCUCCCUAUCCUAUUGUCCACUGAUCAGUCUCAAGCAUGUCAGCAGUUGGUAUCACAGAACAUGCAGAAUUGCAUGGCAUCUAAUGGAGUUCAAAGUUAUGCUGGUUUACAAGCGGCACUGCCUCCUGUCUCUGGUGUAACCCUGACUAACCCCAACACUGUUGUCCAGAAUCCUAACAUGCAGAGUAUCCCUGGUGUUUCACAGAACUCAGUGGGGAAUUCAAUGGGACAAGGGAUUCCCUACACUAUGUUUGCCAAUUCUCAGAGACAAAUGCCAGGUAAUGCUCUUUUUGGUAGCUUUAUGUGCCACUGCUUCCCUUUAUGGCAUUAGAAAUGCCACUGCUAUUGGAACUAUUGCAAUCACACAUGCAUUUGUAACCACACGAUGCCCUACAGUGCGGUGCACCAACUGUUCACCUCUCAUAAUGGUUCAAGUCAGCAAUGCUCUUUUAGGUAGCUUUAUGUGCCACUGCUGCCACUUGUGGCAUUAGUAAUGCCAUUGCUAUUGAAACCAUUGCAAUCACACACGUAUUUGUUACCACAUCAUACCCUCCAGUGCAUUGCACCAGCUAUUCGCCCUCUCAUUCUGCAUUUAUAUGAUCACAUAACAUUUAUAUGAAGUUCUUAAUACAAAAAGGACUUGUAUUCCUAUAUAGGAAAAUACUAAUAGUCCUAUCUAGAAUAGAAAAAACCUAAUGAAGCUCGCUAUACUUUGGGAAUAAUUAAAUACUAAAUGGAAAAUAAAACUGAGACUCGUAAUAUUUCAUAAUUUUCAGCAAGCGUUAAAAUUAUAGAAAUACCCUUGUAUAUGGAAAACACACAAAAAUACAUGAAUUCUAAUAUUUUGUUGUCCGCAUUGAAAUUUUUGUAGCAUCCCUAUAUUCUACAGCACAGACUGGACAUGCAAAAGGCGCUGAUUGGCAAGAGGAGAUCUAUCAGAAGGUAAUUUCUGUGAUUUACUGUUCAUUAGAUGGAGUUCAUGUUUGCCAUAGUCUUGCAAGAUUUCAAUGGAAAAAGGUCUCAAGAAAAUAAGUGGGACUUAUUCCAUUGAAUCAUGACCACAUCCAGUAUUGUUGAAUUUUACAGAAAAUGAGGUUGAAAUUCUGAAUGUCUCAAGUCAUAGCUGCAUGUUUAAUAAGGAGAUUUUUUUUUUGUGCUUAGGAGAGUUUUAAAACGGGAAUAAGAAUGGUUGUUGAUAAGGACAAUUUUUUUUGUGCUGAGGAGACCAAUAUUUGCUGAGCAAUUCUAUAAUGAAAAGUUGGCGACUGAUGUUUUAAAAAUUGGAGUUAAGGAAUGGCUUAGAGUGCAUGGAGAUCAUGUUAAAAGUGAAGCUGUAGAGAAGGCAAUCACUCAAAUUAUGAUGGGUGAAGAAGCAGAGGAAAUGAGUAGCAGAGCAAAGAAACGGCCAGGAAGGCUGUUGAAGAAGGUGGAUCUUCUUGCUCCGAUUUCAAUGCUUUGAUUGAAUAACUGAGGUGGGGUCGCCCUUGAAACAAAGACAUAGAACAUUUUGUUUAUACUUUAGUAGUGGUUGUGGCAAUUUAUUUUCGGACAAGUCUUGAGAGUUGAAAGAGUAAUCACACCCGAGUCAAUGACCAAUCCAAAUCAGUUUCCUUCCUAAUGAUUCAGGAAUGAGAAGUCCAGCUUAUAUAUUUAACCCAAAUAACUAAUCAAAUAGAAAGGCUGAGCUUAGAGAUAGUACACUACAUAUUGCCAAUAACUAGAUAAACAAUCAUCACAAACUAGGAACGACCGUCUCCCCAAUAACAAAUUCACCUUCUGAAGUUAGAGAACUUGCGAAAACUAGCCACCACAAAAUAGUAGCAAGUAUCUAUGCAGUCUUCGAUGAAGUACAACCACCUGCGUCGCCAAUAUGGAUUGAUGUAGAGAACUGCUGCAAUCGUCAUCACCACAACUGUGUAACAUACACCGAAACUGAUGUAGAAAAACUCCAUAUCUAUGAAACCAUCAUCUCCUUGUUCAUCAUUAGGCACUGGCUGUGACACCACUGCCUUCUCACUACAAUUGUUUGGCAAUGGAGGUCCACACAAGAAAGGAUUUCCUUCGUAACAGCUUUCAUCGAAGGUCCCAAACUGAUAUAUUCUCUCGGGUGUCUUGCCUGACAAGUUAUUGUGCGCCACACUAAAAACUUCCAGUGUGGUAACUUCAGUAAAUUGUGGAGGGAUGGCACCAUUCAAGUUGUUGUAAGAAAGAUCCAAACUCUCAAUAUGCAUUAGGUUUGAGAAUGUUGCAGGGAUAGAUCCAGUGAGAUUGUUGUGUGAUAAGUUUACUGACAGUAUCUUACUUAAGUUUCCAAAUUCUGGUGGGAUUGCUCCGAUGAAGUUGUUAUUGGAGAGAUCAAUACCAAACAUGUAGUUGAGAACUUUCCCCUUGUACCCAUAAUACAUAUUUUUAGUUGUAAAUUCUGUCACUUCUUCUGUAAAGUUAAACAAAAAAAAAUUUCUCAAGUUGUCCACACUAUCCACUAGUGGUGGGCCCAUUAUUUCAUAAUAAGCUUUUUCUAUGGACUCUGAUAUAAAACCAUAUGCGACUUCCAAUAUCGCUUUCUUGUCACUUUUCUUGAAAGUAAGAUUGCCUAAACAGGAGGGUAGUGGACCAGAGAGCUGGUUGUGUGAAACAUCCAAAAUGCUUAAUUGUUCUAACAAGCAUAACUGAAUAGGGAGCUCACCAUCAAAGUGAUUAGCCCUCAGAAGAAGAACACUCAAUGAUGAAAGAUUGCCAAUCCAAUUUGGAAUGGAGCCGGUGAAGCUGUUUUCUCGAAGAUCCAUCGUAACCAGGUAAGAGCUGUUAAAAAAUGCAUAUGUUAAUGGACCGCUCAGUCUAUUUUUCGAUAGAUGCACAUGGGUUAUUUGUGGUGGACUAAAACAAGAUGGUAUAUAUCCAGACAAGUUGUUCUCAGAAAGGUCCAAAUAUUCAAGCUGGUCAAACUUACAAAAAUCUCUUGGGAUCGGACCCUUAAAAUGGUUUCCGGACAAAUCAAUUACUCCAAGGAUCGAAAAAUUAACGAAGCUCCUUGGAAGCAUGCCCGAAAAUUGAUUGUUACUCAAAUCUAAUACAUUCCAUACAUUCCACCUAUAUAAUGGAAAAUCUGAUAUCUGACCCCAAAAGUUGUUACCAUUUAGGUAAAGAAAAUUCAGGCGAGAAGAAUUGAACACCGAGGUCGGUAUUUUCCCACCCAAAUUGUUGUUUGACAGCUUGAGAACCCAUAUUGUUGUUAGUUGUUCUAGUUUUACUGUAGACAAUUGAUUGUUGGAUAAAUCUAAAAAUGAAAGAGAGCUAAUAUUUCCUAAACAGGAAGGAAUACAACCUGUGAAUCCAUUCUUAGCCAUCCUUAAGGUGUGUAGAUUUGGAAAGAUCAAACAAAUAUCUUUUGGAAUUUGACCGUUCAUGUUGUUGUUGGAUAUAUCUAAAUUGGUCAUAUUCGGAUGGAGGUGAUCUUGCAACUGCAAAGCACCAAUAAAGGAGUUGUCGCUCAGAUAUAGUUGUUCCAAUCGUGUAUUGUUCUUAAGCAACCACGAUGGAAACAUUCCAGUGAUGUUGUUGUGGGAGAGAUCAAGGGCUCUUAAGUCUAAUUGGUAAUAGAGGAAGUCGGGAAUUACAUUGAGUGCUUCCGAUGUUGGACUACUUGACAAGCGGAAAAAGACUAGUUGGAACUUUGGAAUCAAAUUAUCAAAGGCAGCAGGUUCUGUUACUAGCUUGUUGUUCUCACUGGAGAAGAACUUGAGGCUUGAGUGGUUCAUAAAAGGCUUUAUUGAAAUGGGAACUUCAAAGAGGUUAUUUGAUAGUGAGAGGAAUUCAAGGGAUAUGAGGUUGGUAAGAGGACCGAAAGCAAUAUUUCCAGUAAACUGGUUUUCAGAAACAUCUAAUAGUUGUAAAGAUGACAUGUUCCCCAAACAAUCUGGGAGUGAACCUCCUAAAUUAUUUCUAGAGAGAUGUAACUGCUUCAGAUUCUUCAAUUCACACCAACCUGUACAAUUUAUCUUGAAAUAGUCAAAAUAGUGUUGGAAGAAUCUUUUGUUGAUGAUGUAAUUAUAGGCGGAUGGAGAGUUGUUAAUUUACCUUGAGCAGGUAGGGUGCCAUGGAGGUCACAUUCACCAACAGACAAAACUUUAAGAGCAGGCAAUGCUCCAAUGUUCUGGAGAAAGUUUAUUGGGAGAGAAGUAUUAUCUAGAUGCAAUUCUUCAAGGGUGCUCGAAUUGAACAAAGUCCCUAUGAAAAAGAAAGAAGAAGAGAUAUGAUGAAAAUAGUGGUGGUACAGAAUAUAUAGCCAUUCCAUUCAAUAUUAUUAAUUAAGAUUUUAAGAAACUAAACUAUUAACCUUGACUUAAAUUAGUAUCCUUGAGAGAAAGGGUCUUCAGGGAUGGCAAUGAACACAAUGACUGUAGGAAGUCCAGCUUCCUUGAACCUAUGAUGUGUAGAAUUGAAAACAGGCAAUCAAGUAAGUAGUGAAAUUAAGUGUUAUCUUGAUCGAGUUCUUAAAGCUAUGAUAAAGAACUGGUACUUUUGUAGUGAGAUGAUUUUUUGAUAGAAACAACAAAUUGCCCAAAUAAUAGAAGAUGCCAAGAGAUAUUCACAACUUUACCAUUGACAGCCGUCGAUCCUAGCAACAUAUUGCCUGAUAAAUUUAAAGACUUGAGGGAUGAAAGUCCACUCGGAUGUGAUAAAAUGCUGUCGUUGAAUAUAUUAUAGCUCAGGUCCAGGUUCUCGAGUUUCCCCAAAUGUGAUGAUAUGAUCUCAAAACCUGCAAGGAGUUGUUUCUAAGAGUAAGUCAUAAUUAUGAGCUCACGAUAUGCAUAAUAUAUAGAAACUAAAGAUAAUUAGAAUUGAUGAGAUGUUGUUCAAUUGAUAUAUGAUUCUCAAAUUAUACAUAAAAAGAAUGAUAUAUGAACGCAUAUUUAAUUAUAUAAUAGAUUAAGAAAUAAUUUAUGGAUAAGAUCAAAGCUCCAUAGAUAUUAAUCUUCAUAGAUGAAAUUAAAGCGCAAUCAAACAUGAUGAAAUGCUAUCGUUGAUUUUUAAAUAUAUAUAAAGUCCUCAAUUUUCUUGAUAAACAGAAUGCAACUUACUAUUGAUAGAUCCUGUCAGCUGAUUGUUUGACAGAUCCAAAGACUUGAGAGAUGAAAACCCAGUUAGAGAUGGAAAAAUGCUAUCGUUGUAUUGAUUCCGUCUUAGAUGAAGGUUCUCAAGCUUUUUCAACCUUGAUGACAAGACUUUGAGACCUGCAUGAUGUUCCUCAAAAGCAUAGAAAUGAUACAUGAACGCAUAUUUAAUUAUAAAAUAGGUUGUGCACGCUUCUAAGAUUAAGAUACAAUUUUUAAAUAUCAUUCUAAUUUUGAUCAUUGGAAAAAAAAAAACAAUUUACGGUUAUAAAGUCGCUAAAGAUGGAAGCUAAGUUAUGAUAGACUUACAAAACAAAAUAAAGAAACUUAUAAUUAAGAUCUCAUCGGUAAUUAAAACAAGAAUAAUAAUCGAUCCAUGUAAGUUCAAAUAUUGCCUAAUUUUGAAAAACUAAUUAAUUAGUUAUGAUAGUUUCAAAAACUAACUGCCUCUGUAAGAUGCUAAAUGCCUCUCUCGUUGGCUGUCUAGUGAUUUGUAUUGGAUAGUUUUUUUUUGAAUUGAUGUUAAGAUCCAAGUUUUAAUAAUUACAAUUUUCUUAAUUAUAUAUAAUAUUAUAGGAGAGAGCUUCUUAUUAUGUUAUUCAAAACCCAUUCAAACUCAAAUUCAUAAAAAAAAAUACUUAGAGUUGUGUUCGACUAAGGAUCUCAAGACAGAAAAAACAUAUAUAAAAAUAUAUUUAUUUAAAAAGAUAAAUAUAAAAUAUAUAUUUAUAGGAGAGUUUUGAAGUGAACUUCUGAUUGCUAAUUUAAUCUAAAUAUUACAACACUUUUGGCAUAAAAGGGCCAAAAUAAGAAUAAAAUAUAUGCCUCUUUACGUAGAUAUAAAGUUCUCAUUUUUGUUGAUAAAGAAACAAUAUAAUUAAGAGAAUGUCAUGUGAAGCAUUUAGGUAGAAACUGUGUAUUAUACCUGAUCCUGUCAACUCAUUGUACGACAGAUCCAAAGACUUGAGGGAUGAAAAUCCAGUAAGAGAUGGAAAAAUGCUAUCGUUGCAAUGAUUCCAACUUAGAAGAAGGUUCUCCAGCUUUUUCAACCUUGAGGACAAGACUUUGAGACCUAAAUAGCAGCUACCUCCUGAUCAUUUAAAUGCGUAGAAAAAAAUGAUAUGAGAAGGAGAAAAGAAAAGGUUUCGAAGCUAAAUAAUUAAAAGGUUACCAUAGAAGCUACCUCCUGAUCCAGCUGUCAACCCAUUCUCUGAUAGAUCCAAAGACUUGAGAGUGGAAAGGUUACCAUUGAAACAUGACAAAAUGCUUUUAUCAUUAUUAAAUCCGUUAUAACUUAGGUCAAGUUUCCUCAGUUUUGAUGAUAGGACUUCGAAGCCUGGAAAGAGCAAGAUAAUUGACAUUAAACACCAACCAACCUUCAUUUAUUUUAUGAUUAUAUUUAAGUGCACAAACAUUGAACUAACCUUCAUUCUCCAAGCAACCAACCAAUCCAUUACCUUCCAAUUCAAGACUUUGCAAUUCUUUAAAAGGCUGAAACAAAGAUGCGUUGAGAACCCAAUCGCCCAAGCUCUCGUCCCUUGAUCCUCUAAGAGAGAGUUGGAUCACUCGCCUUGUAGUGUUAUCACACUCGAUCCUAUGCCACUCACAACAAUUACUACCGUCCACCCAAUCUCUCAAGGAAACGCCAUCUGGGUCGAUCGAAGAUUGGAUCUCCAAGAGACCAAUCCUCUCUUCCUCCAAACACCCAUAACAACGACCAUACCAUUCGCCAACCAAAGUCAAUAAUGCUAGCAACAUCCAACUCCCCAUUCUUUUCAUCAUCAUCUACGUAGAAUAUUGUUGUUUGUUAUGUGUCUUUGGGCAACCAUAGAGGUCCUAUUUAUACUACAAUUUUGGCCAUUUCCAUGAUUUUAUCUGCAUAUCUUAUGCAGGUUCUAUGUUUUGAGAUUUGAAUAUUAUUUUAUUUCCUUUUGGAAUAUUCUUGGAUUCGAAUAUUAUUUUAUUUUACUGUUUAGCACUUAGUCUAUUUGCAUUUAAUUAUAUUUUGGUUACUAAUUAUCCAAUUUUAAAAAAAUAAAAAAUAAAAAUUGUUGCAACAUUUCAAUUUUUUUAUCGACAUUCAUGUGUGAUUUCACGUAAGAUCUUUUUAAAUUUAUAAUUGUACUUUUCUCGUUAUAAUUUAGAAUUAUUUAGGAGCCUACUUGCAUGGUGUCAUCACUAUUAUAUAUAAUUAAAUACAUAAAUUAUCAAUAAUAAUAAAUUCGGAAUAAUUAUAAAUCUUAUCCCUGUGGAUUGUGUGGCUACAGUAUGAUAUACAAAAACUUCAAAUAUAUAUAAAUAAAAGAAUGCUAAAAGUGACAUUCUCUUGGGUGACCACCACAAGCCCAUCUAAAACACACAAGCCAUAUAAAAAUCACACGACAGCCAAUUACCUUAUCUUGUGAGAAAAAAGAUUAAAAAAAAAAAAAGCAUUUUCUUGGGUGUGCAAUGACUGCCAAUCUUUCUCGUUAUGACAUUCAAUGCUCUGUAAGAAGUUGCAUGAUGCUCUUCUCAUGGGGAGCAAAAAUCAGUAGCCUCCCAUGGAAUCCUCAUAAACCUUUCUCUAUGCUCUUCUAAGAUAUUAAAAAUGUCAAACAUACAUAAAUAAUAAGAAAAACAAUAAAAAAAGAAAGCUAUACAAAUAGAGCUUCCAACAAAAAGACUAGGAAGUUGUUUACUGAAAAUUGAGAUUCAUAAUUUGUUUUGAUUUGUUUUGAUUUGUUUUGAGUUAUUAUGGUCUCAUGACCCGGGUCACAGAUUUAAAGGUUAAUCUAGAUUGACCCGGGUCGAUUAAUCCAAUAUGUUGUUGUUUCGAUAUACUUUUUUUAAAAAAAUAUGUCAUCUUGAUUUUUUUCAAGUGAAACUAUAUUUUUACCAGUCGUCCAGACAAUCUUUGAGCCCAUCGAAUCGAUCGGGUUAUAUCAAUUUAACUCUUAUUUUUUUAUUUAUAUUUGAAAUUUAAAUUGCAUAAUUUUUUACUUAUUUUUUUAUAUAGGUGGUUAUGAGUUACAAAAAUUAAGCAAUUUCGAGUAUAUUGACAUGAGAAUUAAUGGUUUCGAUAACAAUAUUCUAUCAUUUGUAGAGGGAUUUUCAUCUUUUAAAUCACUAUAUUUAGAUUAUAAUAGACUGGAAGGGUUAAUAGAUUUAAAAUGUUAGUUUUUUUAUAUACUUAUUUUUUCUCUAUUAAAUUUAAUUUCAAAAGAACACAAUUUUCGAUAACAGUAUUCUAUCAUGCAAUUUUUGUUUUGUUUCAAAAGAACACAAUCGCCCAAGCGGAAAUCCCUUGCAUAGAAAAGAGAGAGUUGGAUCACUCGCCUUGUACGUAGUGUUAUCACACUCGAUCCUAGGCCACUCACAACAAUUACUACUGUCCACCCAAUCUCUCAAGAAAAAGCCAUCUGGGUCGAUCAAAGCUUUGAUCUCCAAGAGACCAAUCCUCUCUUCCUCCAAACACCCAUAACAACGACCAUGCCAUUCGCCAACCAAAGUCAAUAAUGCUAGCAACAUCCAACCCCCCAUUCUUUUCAUCAUCAUCUACGUAAAAUAUUGUUGUUUGUUAUGUGCUUUUGGGCAACCAUAGAGGUCCUAUUUAGACUACAAUUUUGGCCAUUUCCAUGAUUUUAUCUGCAUAUCUUAUGCAGGUUCUAUGUUUUGAGAUUUGAAUAUUAUUUUAUUUCUUUUUGGAAUAUUCUUGGAUUUGAAUAUUAUUAUUAUUUUAUUGUUUAGCACUUAGUCUAUUUGUAUUUAAUUAUAUUUUGGUUACUAAUUAUCCAAUUUAUAAAAAAAAAUAAAAAAUAAAAUAAUUGUUGCAGUACUUCAGCAUUGUUAUCGACAUUCGUGUGUGAUUCCGUAUAAGAUCUUUUUAAUUUAAUUGUACUUCUCUCGUCAUAAUUUAGAAUCAUUUAGAACCCUAUUUGUGUUAUGACUAUCAUAUAUAUAAUUAAAUACAUAAAUUAUCAAUAAUAGUAAACUCAGAAUAAUUAUAAAUCUUAUCCCAGUGGAUUGUGUGGCUACAGUAUUUUAUACUUCAAAAUAUAUAUAUAUAUAUAAAAGUUAGAGCUGCUUUUGUUUUUAUGUUCGGAAAGGUAUUCUUGACUUGUUUUUAUUACAUUUCAAUAUUAUUAUUUUUUUUCAAUCGAGUCAAAGAUAUACCAUUUAUAUUAGAAUGAGAAGACUAAUCAAUUUCUCUAGUUUUCUCCCUAUUUAUAAAAUACAUCUGGUUUUUGAAGUCCAGAUUUUAGGAUAAAAGGAAUUUAUUUCUUGAAAUUAAUGCAUUAAACAAUAUAAAGAUAUUUUUUAAAAAUUAAAAUAGUAGUAAAAGUAAAUUUAGUUUUUGAUUGAAGUGUAAACUAGUGGUAAAUGAACAAAAAAAAAAAACUUUCUUGAUUAUCUAAUGGAAACUCCGCCUAAUAUAUAUAUAAUAGCAAUCAUUUUCUUAUCUCUUGUAUCAUUCAUAUCUUCCACAAAUCUUAAGUAAUUGAUGAGAAAGUGGAUAUUGCCAAGAAAGGUCGUGAACGCGGAUGCUUGACUUGCUGCGUGGCAUUUUGAUUUUUAAACACAACACUACUUUCUUUGUGGAAAUAACGCUACUUUGCAUGAAGAUGAUGGAUAUAGAAGACUUGCUACUUGUUUUAUGGAAAUAACGUAUGGAAAAUUAUGCUUUAAUUUUAAUGAUGAUAGCAAAAUCAAACAGUAUUGUUGAUAAAAUGAGCCAUAAAUAAUAUUAUUUCUAUUGUCAUGACAAUAAGUUUUUUUUUUUUUUUUUCUAAAGAGUCUAUUUUUCCUCUAGGAGAGGCCGCGAGACGUCCUCUUCCAACCAUCAUGCAUUUUUUCUACGAGAUGGGUUCAUGGAAAUACUUUGGUUUAAUUGGGAAUGCUGUUAUUGAUUGAAAUAUUUUUAAUUAAAAUAAAUUUGAUUAUUUGAUUGGAAAAAAAAUAUUGUAACCAAGUAAUUUAUUUAUUUAUUUUAAUGAAAUAUAAAAUAGUUUUAAAUCUUGUGGUAUAUUUCUUGUCUUUAAGAGCUAUGAACUUAUAUCUCAAAACUUGAAAACUAAUAUAAAGAUAUUAAGUGAUCAUUGAGUGUGUGUGUGUGUAUAAUCCUUUUCAAAACAAAAAGGAUUUUGAUGGAGAUUAGGACAUUGCAACAAAUUAUCCACCACUAGAUGGGUCAAUGAUACCAUUGUCAUCAUGCAAUUUUUCCCACGAGAUGGGGCCGUACGCUUGGGGCUCUAAAAGCUAUGGUUUUAAUUUCAUUAUGUCACAUCUAGAAUGGCAGGUAUAUUUUAUUUCAAUUUAAACAAUGGAAUAAAUUAGAAGAUAUUUCAUCUCGCUUAAAAUCUUAUCUUCUUAUAUGAUUUCACCUAAAUUCUGGCUGGAAUGUUUAAGUUAUAUUCUAGCUAUUCUGUUAUGGCCAAAUGAUAUUUUGUUUUACUUUUAUAAAAAAUUAAAAUAUAGUUUAGUUUUUGUAUUUAUUUUCUGGUUAUAUUUAAUUUGUCAUCAAUAUUCAUAACGUAAAUUGCUAUGCAUUUCGAAUCUUGAAAGGAUUGAAAGAUGGAAAACAGAAAAGAAAGAGAGACCCCCAGUUCAAAAGAAAAAGAAAAAAAAACAAUAGUAAAAGAAAGAGAAGAGAACAAAAGUGAAGCAGUUUUUACUAACUAUAUAAAUUUUAUAAUUAUUAAUAUUAAAUUCAAAAUAUGUACAUAAUGCAAAUAUGUAAACAUAUCAUGUGGUUUAAAGAAAUGAUUUUUAUAAAGAUAUAUGUCUUAACAAUAUUAAUCAACUCUUAAUAUUUUUCAUUUUAUAAAUAUUAAAAGUAAAUAUUAAAACCUAUUAUAUUAAUUUGUGAAGGUAUUUACUCGGAUGCGAAUUAUAUUUCUAAUUUUUUAUUAAAAAAAAAUUCUACAUACUACAACUAGCCUAAGAAAGUCAUUUUCAUCUAAAAAAAAGUAGAAAAAAUUGAAUUGCAUAAAAGCAUCACUAUAAAUGUUAUACUCCGAAAAUAUCUUCUUUCCUUGAUAAAAUUCCCUAAACUACUGUAUGUCUCUAACAGUGAAAAUAUCACUAUAAUUUACAGUCACCUUAUUUAAUCGAAAGAAAACUUUAAAGAUGCACCUCCAUCUAGUGUAUUUAAAAAGAUUUAACAAAUUACUUUACACGUGCUAUGCUACAAGUUACAUAUUUUUUCAAUGUAAACAAAAAUUAUAUAGGUAUUUUUAACAUUUUUCUAUUAAAAAAAACUAAAACAUAUAAAAAUUAACCAAUUUAUAAUUAAUUAAUUAAUUGAGAAUUUGAGCUCCUUAGAAAAGUUGUUUAUGGACUUUUGUUUUCCGGAGAAAGCUCCUUUAAAACCCUUGAGCACCACCUUCUUUAAAACUUCUAUCUUUGCCAUAACUGAGGGGCUCUGUAUUUUUUUUAAGGUGAAUUAACAAGUUACAACUCAACUCUGUAUUUUUUUUUUUAGUUUAAUGUGGGUGUCUGGGUCAACUUACGCGUACCUCGACUAAUUCCACGGGCCCUGAAAUUAAUGACCAUAUAAACCUACAGUGGCCAUCAUAUGAACAAUCACAGGACUAGGGCUCGAACUUGAGACAAAAAAAAAAAGCAAAUUUUUUAAUCUUAAAUUCUUACCACUGGAUCACUAUCUAAAUUGUUACCUUGUAUCUAAUCUAGAUGUGUCUGUGACUGUGCUUGAUGUUCUCAUAACCAUUAAGAUGGUUCGAACCCAAAUAAAUAGAAACAAAUUUAUUUUCUGUUAUUCUCCGAAUUCCUAGAUAGAAUUUGCUUGGAAAUGAUGAGCUACCACUCCCUUUUGACUUUGCUGGCCUCCCAAAUAAAUAAAGAAUUCCGCUUGAUAGAAUUUUCUUGGAAAUGAUGAGAAUAUUUUAUAAUUUUCUGGUUGACGCCAGCUGUCAACAACUGUCUUACAUUCCCUUGGCAUCGUGUUCCAUGCCCUUGCAAAAUAUUAAAGGCUCCAAUGCCUCUCUCGCAAUAAGAUUAUUUUUUUUAUUUGUCCCCGAAUACAUGUGUCAUUUAUCGAAAUAAUUAAUUUAAUCACACACAUAAAAAAAAAAAAAAAUUUAAAUAGGCGGCUUUAGAAUCAGCAAGCAGUGAAUCACACGGGAAGAUUGAAAGAAUAAUUAAAGUGAUUUUACUAACAUUGUAAAAAAAAUUGAAUUGCAUAAGAGUAAUUAACCGACAGGUUGACCCAAAGUCAAAGUCUUCUGUGGAAAAACAUGAAUAGAAGAUUGAUGGGCGUUGCGUGAUAGCAAAAGAUUUGAGAUCUGCACAGCAGGUUUUGAAUUCGAGUCAGGGCGUGCAUCUCUUGUAAAAGCUUGGGAUAGCCGGGAUUUUACUGUCUCAUCUGGGCCCAUAAAGUGCGCUUUCCAAGGAAAUGAGGUUCCCUCGAAUCCAUAAAAAAAAAAAAAGUAAUACCAUUGCUAUCAAGCGUUUUUUCUACGAGAUGGUCCGUUCCCCCAUUUCCCCUCAAGCUUGAGAAGGGAUGAUAUAUAUAUGCUUUAAUUUCAACUUGUAUAAAAAAUAAAUCUUAAUGUAGUGUGUUAGAAUGCAACCACCGAUUCAUUAUUUUUAAUGGCUGGUCAUUUAAACUUGGGUGUUUUUUCGGUAUUAAUAUAUAUAUUCCUCAAUUAUCAUAAAAAAAUUAAGAAAAAACUAAUAAUAAGAUUAAAAAUAAAUGUUUUAUUUAUCGAAAUAAUUAUUAAAAGUAAGGUAUACUCAAGGUAUAUGUGGGACGAUAAAAAAAUAACAAAAAAAUCAAUUUACAAAAAAAAUCAUAGAUUUAGUUUUCCUAAAUUUUAAAUGUAGUGCAACAUUAGCCUUUCAAGAAAUAGAUAAUCUUCCUCUUUGAAGGAAUUAAUUAGUGGGUUGGAAAAAUGUCGUCUUUUGCUCUAAUAUUUUCUUCGCUUUCUCUAUAGUUUUACCAUACACUAAUAUUGUCAGAAAAUGAUACAUACUUCUUGUGUUAUCCUUCAAGAAUUCAAUUGAAAAGGAGGGUUGUAAAAAAUUUAAUUUUUAUAAACAUACCCUUAACUUAAUUUGGAUGUGGAUAAUUGUUUGCAAUAUAUUUACAUCCAAUAUAAACAAUUCAUCAAUGAUCAAGUAGGCAGUGGUUAGCUAAAAUAUUGAAAAUACUUACUCUCUUUGUUUUUUAGUCAUGCAGUUCCACUAUUGUAUGUUAUUUUUGUUUAGCUAAAAAUAUCAAAAAAUAUUAAUUUGGAGUAAAAAAAAAAAAAAAAUUUAAUUUUUUUAAAAAUAUUUUUGAAACAUAAAAACAAACAGUGCUAAAAGACAUAGAAACAGUUACCCAAAUCAAUUUAUUUUUUUAAAAAAUAAAAAUAGAAUACUAUACAAAUGGAGCUUCCAACAAAAAGAUAUGGGAAGUUCGAGGGAAAAAAUGAUUAGUUAAUUCAAAACACCAGGAGUAAGUAAUAAUUACAAAACACGAUACCGAAACCAAAUUGAAAAGUGAGCAAAAUACAAAACUGGUUACAUGUAUCGAAAGGAACUGGAACCAAUUUCUCCACCACUGGAUGUCCCUUUUGUUCAGUCUAUGUUUGGUGCAAUCACCUAAAGCUAGAAACAAAAACAGCGCCUUAGUCUAUGUUUGGUGCAUUUUUUCCACGAGAUGGGUUCGUGGAAAAACUUUGGUUUAAUUGGGAAUGCUGUUAUUGGUUAGAAACUUUUUAAUUAAAAUAAAUUUGAUUAUUUGAUUGGAAAAAUCCUUAAAUGUUAUUAACACAUGAAAUCAAUUUAUUCUCUUAAGAAAAAAAUAGUUUUACAUCUUGUGGUAUAUAUGUCAAGCAUUUUUUUUCCCUCAAGAUGGGUUCGACAGACAAUCACCAUCAUGCAUUUAUGAGUCCAUGAGACCAUUGUCAUCUGCACAUUGGUCCCCUAUAGCGUUGCUUUUCCUCAAGACCAUUUCCAUCAUGCAUUUAUGAGUUAGUGAGACCAUUUCCAACUGCACAUUGGUCCCUGAAACCGUUGCCAUCAUGCAUUUUUCCUCGAUGAGAGGUCGUGAGACGUCCACUUCCAACCAUCAUGCAUUUUUUUCACGAGAUGAGGCCGUACGUUUGGGGCUCUAAAAGCUAUAUAUAUUAGAAAUAUUAUUUGAAAAUAAAUUAUUUUUUAUUUUUAAAAAUAAAAUUCUUCUAUACAAAAGAUUUUUAUAAGUAUAAUUUAAUUUAUUCAGUUUUUUAAAUAAAGUUAAUCUAUCGCAAGAGUACACGAAAUAAGUAUUUUUCCGUCAUGCAUUUUUUUUCCUCAAGACCAUUUCCAUCAUGCAUUUAUGAGUCUGGGAGACCAUUUCCAUCAUGCAUUUAUGAGUUGCUGAGACCAUUUCCAUCUGCACAUUAGUCUCUGAGACCGUUGCCAUCAUGCAUUUUUCCUCGAGGAGAGGCCGUGAGACUUCCUCUUCCAACCAUCAUGCAUUUUUUCCACGAGAUGGGUUCGUGGAAAAACUUUGGUUUAAUUAGGAAUGCUGUUAUUGAUUGGAAACUUUUUAAUUAAAAUAAAUUUGAUUAUUUGAUUGGAAAAAUCCUUAAAUGUUAUUAACACAUGAAAUCAACUUAUUCUCUUAAGAAAAAAACAGUUUUAAAUCUUGUUGCCGUCAUGCAUUUUUUUUUCCUCAAGAUGGGUUCGACAGACAAUCACCAUCAUGCAUUUAUAAGUCCAUGAGACCAUUGUCAUCUGCACUUUGGUCCCCUAUAGCGUUGCUUUUCCUCAAGACCAUUUCCAUCAUGCAUUUAUGAGUCCAGGAGACCAUUUCCAACUGCACAUUGGUCCCUGAGACCGUUGCCAUCAUGCAUUUUUUCCACGAGAUGGGUUCGUGGAAAUAAUUUGGUUUAAUUGGGAAUGCUUUACUGUAUUUGUUUUCUGGUUAUAUUUAAUUUUUCAUCAAUAUUCCUAAGCACGUAUUUUGAAUCAUGAAAAGCACGUGGAAAAGAGAGGGAUGGUGAAAAUGACAUGUAAAGGGACUGUUUGGCAGUGCGCAUAGAAAAGGGAAAGUGUCAUUGCCAUUUUGAGUGGUGUGUUUGCAUUUGAUUUGUUAAUUUCGAGUUUUGUCAAAGAGUGAUUACUAGUCAUCAAGCAUUUUAUUAAUUUAAUUUAUCCUGUCAAGUGAAGGGCCAAACCUGUCAUUCAUUGCCAGUCACAGUCACAAGUCUUGGUCUUACCAUUUUACUAUCUAUUAAUUAAUUAAUUGUUUGAUUAAUCAACGAAACUGUGCGUUUCUCUUGUGAUUUCUCGAAGACGGCCAUGAAUAUAUAUAUAUAUAUAUACAACUUUUCAAAACAAAAAGGAUUUUGAUGGAGAGGACAUUGAAACAAAUUAUCCUCGUGAUACCAUUGUCAUCAUUCAAUUUUUUCCACGAGAUCAGGCCGUAUGCUUGGGGCUCUAAAAGAUAUUAUUUCUAAUUUUAUUAUAUCACAUCUAGAAUAACAAGUAUAUUUUAUUUCAAUUUAAAAAAUAGAAUAAAUUAAAAGAUAUUUCAUUUUUAAAAUUUUAUUUUGUUUUAUGAAUUUCACCUAAAUUCUGACUAGAAUAUUUUGAUUAUAUUCCAGCCAUUUUAUUAUGAUAAAAUAAUAUUUUGUUUUGCUUUUAUAAAAAAAAUAUAAUCUAAUUUUACAGUAUCAAUCAUAUCUUUCAAUUCGACUGCUGGAUUGGACUAAAAUUUUACGAGGAAUCUCCUAACAUAUAUUUAUAUCGCAAAUUAAAAUUUUAAGGCAAUCAGAGUUUAGAAAAAUUUUGCGAAAUUACCGAUGAUAUUUUCAUAAUUUUAUUUAAAUUCAUAAUUUUGUUAGGAAAUAUUAUUUUUUGUUUCUUUUUUAGAUUGAAUUAUUUCUAAAGUACUUCUUGUCAUUGUCAUGACAAUAAAUCUUCUUCUUUUUCUUUUUAAAAAGUCUAUUUUUUGUAACACAACCAACAUGUAAGAUGGAUGGGAAUUUGCAGUGUGAGAUGGGUUUGUGAGACUUUGGCCAUCUCCAAUUUUUUCCACGCCAUUGAGAUGGUCUAUAAGACCAUUGCCCCGUAAGCAUUUAUGAGUUCGUGAGACCAUUUCCAUUUGCACAUUGGUCCCUGAGACCGUUGCCAUCAUGCAUUUUUUACACGAGAUGGGUUCGUGGAAAUACUUUGGUUCAAUUGGGAAUGUUGUUAUUGAUUGGAAACUUUUUAAUUAAAAUAAAUUUGAUUAUUUGAUUGGAAGAAAUCCUUAAAUGUUAUUAACAAUAGAAAUCAAUUUAUUUUCUUAAGAAAAAAAUAUUGUAACCAUAUAAGUAAUUUAUUUAUUUAUUUUAAUGAAAAAUAAAAUAGUUUUAAAUCUUGUGGUAUAUUUCUUGUCUUUAAGAGCUAUGAACUUAUAUCUCAAAACUUGAAAACUAAUAUAAAGAUAUUAAGUGAUCAUUAAGCGUGUGUGUGUGUAUAAUGCUUUUCAAAACAAGAAGGAUUUUGAUGGAGAGGACAUUGCAACAAAUUAUCCACCACGAGAUGGGGCUGUACGCUUGGGGCUCUAAAAAACUAUGGUUUUUAAUUUUAUUAUGUCACAUCUAGAAUGGCAGGUAUAUUUUAUUUCAAUUUAAACAAUGAAAUAAAUUAGAAGAUAUUUCAUCUCGUUUAGAAUGUUAUCUCAUUUCAUGAAUUUCACCUAAAUUCUGGCCGGAAUAUUUUGGUUCUAUUCCAGCCAUUCUAUUAUGAUCAAAUAAUGUUUUGUUUUGCUUUUAUAAAAAAAAAAUAUAUAGUUUAGUUUUAUGGUAUUAAUUAUAUCUCUCAAUGCAAUUAUUGGAUUAGACUAAAAUUUUACAAGGAAUCUCUUAACAUAUAUUUAUAUCGCAAGUUAAAAUUUUAGAACAAUUAGAGUUUAAAAAGACUUUGUGAGAUUGCCGAUGACAUUUUUAUAAUUUUAUUUAAAUUCAUAAUUUUGUUUCAUAAGGUCAUUUUUUGUGUCUUUUUUUAGAUUGAUUUUUUUUUUUCAAUUUCAUAAUUCAACAAUAGAUUUAUUAAAAAUUAAGAUUCAUAAUUUGUUUUUAUUUGGGAUUAUUAUGGUCUCAUAAUCUGGGUUACGGAUUUAAAAGAUUAACCUAGAUUAACCUGGUUCGAUCUAAUAUGUUGUUGUUUCAAUAUUUUUAACAAAUAUAAUUUUAAUUGAUAUUUAAAAAUAAACUAACUUGAAAUUAUAUAAUUUAAAUUUCAAAUAUAAGUAAAAAUAAAGAGUUAAAUCAAUAUGACCCAAUUGAUUUGAUGAGUCCAAAAUAUAUAUAAAACAAUCCAAACGACACGUCAAAAUACUCAAAAAUCAAAAUAUAUUGUUACAAUUAAAAAAAUAAAACACCAAUUAAAAUGGAAUUGACGACCUUGCUUGAUAUAAGCCUAAACUCCUCGCUGCCAUUUGCAAGAGAUAGUUACUUAUACCAGUAGCAAUUUAAUAAUGAUUGGUCAAAUUUUAUAUUAAGAUGGGGCUAUUAAUUCAAAUGUUGAUGGCGUUAGUAGCAAUGAUUUUCUUGGAAGCAUGGUUGCCUCUUGGCUGCUUGAAAAUAUAUGGUUUUUUUAAUGUCGCAUGUGUGCUGCGUCAUGAAAAAAAAAUUCACUCUCAAAUCCUAAAUAUUGGUAUCCUGGAAAAAUUGGGAAAAAUAAGGAGACAAGAAAUUCUUGUCUUUUAUUAGUGGAAAAAUAAAAUGGGAGUCGCCACUUAGUAUUUUAAUCACUAGGAACCCUGAUUGGUCUCAGAGAUUGGGUACGGAGACUGGUUGCGUAAAGGGAAGGUAUUAGCACCCCAAAUACGCCCUACCUAAGGUAAGUUGCAUUGUUUUAUUGUUUGAUAAAAUCUAAGGUCUUGUCGUGUUUUCUAGUUAUUGGUCCGUCUAUGAUUUAAGAAAAGUCUUCAUCGAUAAAGAGAUCCUUAUCUUUUCGGGUAAAACCUAACCGUUCUAACGUAAACAAAAGAAUUUAAUAUCCGGAAUACAUCUUACGUAUAAGGUCGUAACCCCAGAUACUAAAAGAAAAUUUUUUUUUUGGAAUUUUUUAAAUAUUGGCCUAGUUCUUGUGACUUUAAUAAACUGGUUUUUAAAACCAAAAUGCAUGUUAAUACAUAUUUUUGUUGUAUGAAAAUAUGAUAUGAUUUUUUUCUUUGAGAUACUUGGCCGUAUGCAUGAAAAUAAUUUUUUUUUUAAUUUUUCAAUGUUUUGACGAAAACUAGGUAUUUUAAUACCAGAUUUGUAUCUUUACAGUAUAAAAAUACAAACCAAUACUAAGAAAAAUUUAGUAGAAAAAUAUAUGGGAAAAUUAUAGAUUUUUUGAAAUGAUUAUUUUUGAAGAAUUGUUUUUUACUGGGCCGGACCCGACCCAACCAUUUUGGGCGGGCCGGCACUGUCCGGGCUGGAAAACUAAAACAAACAAUGGAGAGACUCUCCACUGUUCACAUGCAACGUGAACAGUGGAGCGGCCUGGAGAAGACAAAGAAGAAGAGGAGGAAGAGGAAGAAGCAGACCUGCGGCCUAGCGGUGCUGCUAGUGGCGGUGGACGGUGUUGCGGUUGCGGAGUGUUAGAAAUAAUGUUCAGGACUGCUGAGCUGGAAUUUUAUUCUUUCUUAAUUUUUGAUUUAGUCAAUUCUGUUCCUAUUCUCUUGUUCUUGUUGCUACUUCGCAGCUCUGUUAUUUCCAUUAUCAAUUGAUCAUGGCUUGAAUGUAGUACCAUGAUCGUAGGAGUUUGUUAUGUAUCAGCUCUAUAAAUUGAGCUGCAGUUAUGAAUAAAGUAUUCAAGCUUUUCAUUCAUCAAUCUCUUCUUAAACACAAGCAUUAUCCUUUGUUAUUUUUGUUGUUCAGAAUCACUGCAACAACGACAAUUGGUAUCAGAGCAUCUUGAUUUAAAGGGAUCUGUGUUGUAACCCAUGGAGACAGAAGUAAGAUUCUCAUCAAUUGCUCCACCAGUGUUCAAUGGUGACAAUUACCAGUUUUGGGCAGUACGGAUGGAGACAUACUUAGAGGCUCUGGAUUUGUGGGAGGCAGUGAAAGAAGAUUAUGAAAUCCCUGCACUUCCAAAUAAUCCCACCAUGGCGCAGGUCAAAUCACAGAAGGAGAAGAAGACAAAAAAAUCAAAGGCAAAGGCGUGCUUGUUUGCUGCAGUAGCAUCCACCAUUUUCACUCGAAUCAUGUCUCUGAAAACAGCAAAGGAGAUAUGGGAGUUUAUCAAGACUGAGUAUGAAGGGGAUGAAAGAAUUCAAGGUAUGCAAGUGUUGAACUUGAUGCGUGAUUUCGAGUUGCAGAAGAUGAAGAAAACUGAAUCCAUCAAAGAGUACUCUGACAGGCUGCUUAAUAUUGCAAGCCGAAUCAGUUUACUUGGCUCGUCCCUGCCUGAGUCAAGAAUUGUUCAAAAAAUUCUUGUAACAAUUCCUGAAAUCUUUGAGGCUACAAUUACAUCCUUGGAAAAUACCAAGGAUAUGUCAAAAAUUACUUUGACAGAAAUGCUAAAUGCAUUACAAGCUCAGGAGCAAAGGAGGAUCAUGAGACAAGAAGAUGAGAUUGAAGGAGCUCUAUUCGUCAAGCAUAGAGAAAAAGGAAAGAAUUACAAGAAGAAUGGAAGCAGUCAAGCAUCAUCAGGUGAUUCCAGGAAUUUCAACAGGAGCAACACUGGAAACAAAAAAGGACCUUUUCCUCCAUGCCAGCAUUGUAAAAGGAGAUCACAUCCACAUUUUAAGUGUUGGAGAAGACCAGAAGCUAAGUGCAACAAAUGCAAUCAAAUGGGCCACGAGGCUGUCAUCUGCAAAAACAAAAUUCAACAGCAUGGUGAAGAAGCUCAAAUUGCUGAUCAAGAAGAAGAAGAUCAAUUGUUUGUGGCCACUUGCAUUUCCAGAAAUGACUCAAGUGAAAGCUGGCUCAUUGAUAGUGGUUGCACCAACCACAUGACACAUGACAGAAACAUAUUCAAGGAGCUGAAACAAACAACUUCAAAGGUUCGAAUUGGAAAUGGAGAAUACCUUGCUGUUGAAGGAAAGGGAACCGUGGCAAUCUUGACUUGCUCAGGUACUAAGUUCAUCUCUGAUGUAUUGUAUGUCCCUGGUAUAAAUCAAAAUUUAUUCAGUGUUGGUCAGCUUAUUGAGAAGGGUUAUAAAGUAGUGUUUGAAAACAAUUGCUGCUUGAUCAAAGAUGUGAAUGGUCAUGAUAUUUUCAAAAUAAUCAUGAAAGGGAAGAGUUUUGCUUUAAAUCCAUUAGAGGAGGAGCAUAUUGCUUUCCCAAUUAAAGAAAAUAUCACAGAUAUUUGGCACAAGAGGCUCGGGCACUAUCAUCAUAGAGGGCUGAUGCUUAUGAAAUCCAAGAUGAUGGCUAAGGAUUUCCCAGCACUUGAUGAUCACAUAUCCAGCUGCAGAACUUGUCACACUGGCAAGCUAAACAGGAAGCCCUUUCCAGAAGCCACAUGGAGAGCAACAAGGAAGCUGCAAUUGAUUCAUACUGACAUUGCAGGACCAUAAAGGACACCCUCUCUAAAUGGGAGUCUGUAUUAUGCUGUCUUCAUUGACGAUUACAGCCGAAUGUGCUGGAUUUUCUUCUUGAAGCACAAGUCAGAGGUAGCACAGGUGUUCUGGAAUUUCAAGGCCAAAGUUGAAAAUGAAAGUGGCUGCAAAAUUCAAGCCCUCAGAUCAGACAAUGGCAAGGAAUACACUUCCAAUGCCUUCAACAUUUUUUGUGAGGAGGCAGGCAUUCAUCAUCAGCUAACAACUCCGUAUACUCCUCAACAAAACGGAGUUAGUGAGAGGCGAAACAAGUUCAUAUUGGAAAUGACAAGAUGCUUGCUACAUGAGAAGAAUUUACCAAAGAAAUUCUGGGCAGAGGCUGCAAACACUGCUGUGUUCUUGCAAAACCGACUGCAUACAAGAGCCUUGAAGGAUCAAACACCCUUUGAGGCAUGGUAUGGUUACAAACCAUCUCUGAAUUUUCUUAAGGUAUUUGGAUGUUUGUGCUUCACCCUUGUUCCACAGGUCAAGAGGGAUAAACUUGACAAGAAAGCACUUCCAGGCAUUUUUGUUGGCUACAGCUUAGUUUCAAAGGCUUAUAAGAUUUUCCAACCACAAACUGGAAAAAUCAUUAUAAGCAGAGAUGUCCAAUUCCUGGAAGAUGAAGAAUGGGACUGGAACGAUGCAAUCAAAGAAGAUUCAACCUCUCCAAAAGGCAAUUAUCUUGUUUCAGACACAGAUGAUCAAAGCAUGGAAGAUUGGGACAUCAACAUGACAGAUGACACUCCUGUUACAGGCACACGGUCACUCCUUGAUGUGUAUCAAAGGCGCAACAUUGCUGUGUGUGAACCAGCAGACUUUGAAGAAGCCAAGCUAGAUCAAAAUUGGCUUGCUGCGAUGAAGGAGAAGCUUCUCAUGAUCAAGAGAAACAACACGUGGGAGUUGGUUGACAGACCUCAAAACAGAAAUGUAAUCGGUGUAAAAUGGGUGUAUCGAACAAAACUCAACGCUGAUGGCUCAAUCAAUAAGCUCAAAGCCAGGCUAGUGGUGAAGGGUUAUGCACAAAUCUUUGGCGUGGACUACUCAGACACGUUUGCACCGGUAGCAAGACUUGACACUAUCAGGCUGCUACUUGCCAUUGCAGCACAACUGAAUUGGAAGGUGUAUCAAAUGGACGUCAAGUCAGCAUUUUUAAAUGGUGUUUUGCAGGAGGAGAUCUAUACUGAGCAACCAGAAGGCUUUGCAAAUGAAGGAGAGGAGGACAAAGUCUGUCUUCUUAAGAAGGCACUAUAUGGAUUGAAGCAAGCUCCAAGAGCUUGGUACAGCCGAAUCGAUGAACAUUUGCAGCACUUGGGAUUCACUAAAAGCCUCUCUGAAUCGACUCUUUACAUCAAGCAAAAUGGUGAUAACAUCCUUAUCAUCUCACUUUACGUUGAUGAUUUGCUUGUAACAGGAAAUAACAACAAUAAUGUGGAGAUAUUCAAGCAAGAGAUGAUGAGUGUAUUUGAGAUGACAAAUUUGGGUUUGAUGUCCUUUUUUCUUGGAAUGGAAGUUAAGCAAGUUGAACAUGAAGUGUUCAUAUGUCAGAAGAAGUAUGCCAAAGAAAUCCUCAAAAAGUUCAAACUUGAAGAUUGCAAAGCAGUAAGCACUCCUAUGAAUCAAAAGGAGAAGCUAUGUAAAGAAGAUGGAGCCGAGAAGGUUGAUCAAGCACAAUUCAGAAAAAUUGUUGGAUGCUUGAUGUAUCUCACUGCAACUAGGCCUGAUAUUUUGAAUGCUGUGAGUAUCUUGUCUAGAUUCAUGCAUUGUGCUAGUGAAUUGCAUUUCAAGGCUGCUAAAAGAGUGAUAAGAUAUGUCAAAGGAACCUGCAAUUUUGGCAUAAGAUACACAAGAAGUAGAGAGUUCAAACUGGUCGGGUACUCUGACAGUGAUUGGGGAGGCUCAAUUGAUGACUUGAAGAGCACAUCAGGCUACUGUUUCUCUUUAGGUUCUGGUGUGUUUUCAUGGAAUUCAAAAAAGCAAGAAACCGUAGCCCAAUCCACUGCUGAAGCUGAGUUUGUGGCUGCAACAGCUGCUGUCAAUCAAGCUUUGUGGCUGAGGAAAAUUUUAUCUGAUCUUAACCUGGAGCAAAAGGAAAGCACAGAAAUUCUAGUUGACAAUCAAGCUGCCAUUUCCAUCUCUAAUAAUCCUGUGUUUCACGGGAAAACCAAGCACUUCAACAUCAAAUUAUUCUUUUUGAGAGAGGUGCAGAAAGAUGGGAGUAUCAUUCUUAUUUACUGCAAAACUGAAGAACAAGCAGCUGAUAUUUUCACCAAACCACUGCCAGUCAACAAAUUCGAAUUUCUGAGAACAAAGUUGGGAGUUUGCAGCUCCUAAACAAGGAGGAGUGUUAGAAAUAAUGUUCAGGACUGCUGAGCUGGAAUUUUAUUCUUUCUUAAUUUUUGAUUUAGUCAAUUUUGUUCCUAUUCUCUUGUUCUUGCUGCUACUUCGCAGCUCUGUUAUUUCCAUUAUCAAUUGAUCAUGGCUUGAAUGUAGGACCAUGAUCGUAGGAGUUUGUUAUGUAUCAGCUCUAUAAAUUGAGCUACAGUUAUGAAUAAAGUAUUCAAGCUUUUCAUUCAUCAAUCUCUUCUUAAACACAAGCAUUAUCCUUUGUUAUUUUUGUUGUUCAGAAUCACUGCAACAACGACACGGACCGUGGCGCUGACUGGCGGGUGGUUCUUCUUUCUUUCUCUGCGUUUCCCUUCUGCUUUUUUUCUAUUCUGCUCUGUUCUUCCUCUUGUUCCCUGUUUUAUUCUUUCUCUCCCUCUCUGGUCCUCUCAAACGUCCCUUGGAGCUGCUGCCUGAAGAUGAAGACGAAGUUGAGGGUGAUCAGUGCUCUGAUCGGGCGACGUUUCUUUCUUUCUUCUGCUACUGUUUUCGUUUCUGAUUCUCCUCGUUCAAUUCUUAUUUGCACUCUUCUUCUUCUUCGUCUCUGGUUUUUGAAAUGACGAAGACGAUGGCAACGCUGGUUCUAAUCUCAACGAUUUCCUCUUCUUACAUUCUUUCCUUUUGCUCGUUUCUGUCUCCCUCUCGUGCUGCUCCCCACUUUCUCUCUUGUCCUGCUCGCUCUCCCUCCCUGUCUCCUCUUCUUUUUUUUUUGUUGUCCGUCUCUCCUCUAGCUUUUUAUAGCCAGAGGAUGCAUGCUUUUCGGGAUUUAUUGCAGGAAGGUUGUAACGGCCGGCGUGCAUCAUGGUGGAGAGGGAUAUCAGCCGUGAGACGUGCUCCCCUGAUUGAAGCAGCUCCACCACUAACGUCUUCACUUCCUUUUACUGUAGAAACCGUUGUUGAUGAAGAAGGUAAUGAACAGUUGUCAAGGAAAUGGUACCGUUUUAAAAUUCAAAAUGAAUAUUUCCGAUUUGGUCAUUGGAUUUUUUGCAAUUUUGUAAUCAAGCCCCCGAAUAAAUUGUAAUUGGAUCUCUGGAUUUUAGCCCCAUUUACAAGACAAUCUUUGGUUCUGGAUUCAUGCGAUUUGACUCUCAAUUGAUCAAUAAACUUCUAAUUUCUUUAAUUUAGCCCCUGACUUGGUCAAUUGCAGCCCUUAUAUUUACACGCCUUUUCCGGUUUGAUCCUUGGUUUCGGAUUUUUUCAAUCAAGUCCCUAAUUGCCCAUAAAACUUUAAUAAUUAUGCAAUUAAGCCCCUGAUUUGACCAAAUCAACUCUUCAAAAUUAUAAUUGGACCUUAGAACUUUAAUUUCUUCGAAUAAAAGCCUAAAUAGACAUAAAACUCAAUUUUUCUUUCAAUCAAACCCUCCAUAAAUUCAAUUAAACCUUUAAUAAAAUUUAAUUGAGUCCAUAAACAUCUGAUUUUAGAUAUAUUUUUUUAAAAUUGAAUUUUCUUUGUCAACAGGGCUCUCAUUAGUCAACGAUAUACUGUCAAAUUUCAAUCUUUAUAUUUUUUAACCUCCUCAACCAAUUUUUGGCCAUUUUGAGCAGUCCGACAGCUUUCACUGUGACAUAUAUAUUUUUUUAUUUAUAUUAUUUAAUUAAUUUAUUAUUAUUUAUUUAUUUAAUUUUUUUCAACUCUUACUUUUUGUAUUUUCUUCUUUUUUGUGUGGGGUCCCAAAAAUGGAUAACAACACUUAAGUUCAAAUCUAUUAAUAAAAAUAUAGUUUUAUUGACUUUUUUAUAUACUUUUAUUAGAGAAAUCAAUGUAAACAAAUUUAUGGACAAACAUUAGUUUAUCAAGUACUUAAAUAGAAAAAUAAAAUCAAUUAGAGUACUUGAAUAAAAAAAAUAUAAAUUAUAAGCAUUUUAUAUAUCUUUAUUGUUCAUAAAUUAAAAAUAAAAUAAAAUCAAUCCAGACUAAUCUAAAAAGAGUUAACUAUGACAUCAUCAUUUUGAUAGUAAAACUAAUGAAGAUAUUUUAUUGAUUAAAUUCCGUGAAUAUAAGUAUUCAAAUUGAAAAAAAAAAACAUUGAUACAAGAUUUUAAAUAAAAAAAUUAUAAAAUACAUAUAAUUUGUACUUCUCAUUGUCUCUUUUGCAUUGCUAACACUUAACAAAUUGAAUAUAUAAUUCUCAUGUCAAUAACGUCAGAAUAAAUUUAGCUACAUGACAUAAUAAUACCUGUUUAUUUUUGUAUUUUAAAAAUAUUUUAAAAACAUUAAAUUGUUUUAAAUAGAUAACUUUUGAAUCAUCAAGUAGUGAAACACAGGAAAAGCGAAGAAAGUGAAGAAUAAUCAAAGUGGUGCGUGUCCACAUCAAUUUUUGUCCAUGUUUUUGGUAUUAAUCUCUUCAUCUAUUUACAGCUGGAGAAAAGAACAUCACCUACUACUUUUCUUGUCUCUUCUUACUUGGAAGAUCAGGUAUGUGAAUCUUUGAGUGCCACUUAUUUUAGUACAUAGACUUAGUUAUUUGACCACAACUUCACCACAAGUUAAAUUGUUUUAAUUAAAAAAAUUUAUAUAAAGAUUUCUUCAAUAAAUUUUUUAUUUAAAAAAUUUCUAAGUGAAAAUUAAAAAACUUAUACACAAAUAUAGUUAAAUAAAUCAAGAAUUAUGUGUGUUAAUAAGUGAAAAAAACCAUAAAUGAUGACUCAAAAUAAAAACUGAAAAAAUCAACUGAUAAAUGUAGAUCAAAAUAUUUAAUUUCACAAGACGUGAUAUUAAUGCAGUUGUGUUUUCUAAAAUUUUUAAUUAAAAUAAUUUUUUAAUUUGAUCAAACGAUAAUAAAAAUAGACACACAUAUUAUAAAUUGAUUGAAUAAAAUAAAAAAUAAUAAUAAUAUGCUAGGCUUUAUAUAUUGGAAAUAUUAUUUAAAAAUAAUUUUUUUUAUUUUAAAAAAUAAAAUUUAUCUAUUAAAAAAAUUUAUAUAUUAAAUUCAAAAUAAAUAAACUUUAAAAUAAUUUGCAAGGCUGCACAUAACCCCUUUAAAAGGAAAGUGAUAUAACAAACGUGGAACAAUUUUUAUUAACUAAAUAAACUUAAUAACUAUUAAUAUUAAAUUCGAAAUAUAUAUUAAAACCUAUUAUAUUAAUUUUUGAAUUUAUCAAUUCAGAUGUGAAUUAUAUUUCUAAAAUGUUAUAAGAAAUUUCUAUAUACGACAACUAGCUUAAGAAAGUGAUGUUCAUCAAAACCAUAGAGUACAGAAAAAGAAUUGAAUUGCAUAAAAUUAAGUAAUUAACGGAAACUUAUAUUCCUUCUUAAAACGUUGACCCCAAGUCAAGUUUAUUUAUUAUUAUUUUUUUUGAAAAAAACAUGAAUAAAAGUUAAUGCUAGGCACAUGGGAUAUAGAAGACUUGCAACUUUCUUUAUAGAAAUUACGUGUGUAAAAUUUAGGCCUUGAAAAAAAAUUAAAAAUAAAAUACUAUUAAUCGUGUUGAUAAAAAUUAAUAUAGAGACUUUAUUGAUAAAAAUUCAUAAGAGCAAGUAUUCAAAUUACAAAAAAUAAAAAUAUUUCUUCAAAUUUUCAAUAAAAUUUAUUUCUUGAAAUUAAUGCAUUAAACAAAAUUAAAAUAGUAGUAAAAGUAAAUUUAGUUUUUGAUUGAAGUGUAAACUAGUGGUAAAUGAACAAAAAGAAACUUUAUUGAUUUCUCCAAAAACAAUAUAUAUAUUAUUGAAUAUCUAAUGGAAAGGAUUAUGAAACUCCGCCUAAUAUAUAUAUAUAUAUAACAGAGAAAUUGUCGAUAAUAGCUAUGAUCUAAGUAACUGGACCACGACGAAGACAUAUACAAGAAACAAAAAAAAGAUACUUCACUAACAAUUGGGGUUCUUCAUAAGCUUCAAUAGAAUUGAUAGAGGGUCGAAACAAAAAAGAGAUGAAGAGAGAGGAGGGAAUGGAAAGAAGGGAAAAGAGAACUCUUGCGAUCUGUUGAAUAAGACUCAGUAUAUAUAUAUAUAUAUAAAAUAAAAAAAACUCAAGUUAGCGCAUCAAAUCUUCGACUUGGAUUAUGAGAUCGGGAUAAGAAAACUUAAUAUUUAAAAAUAAAAUUAAAGAAAAAAACUAUAAAAACAUAUAUGGUUUAACAAUAUUAAUCAAUUAUUAAAAUCUUUCAUUUUAUAUAUAUUAAAAAUAAAUAUUAAUAACUAUUAUAUCAAUUUGUGAAUGUUUCAAUUAGGAUGCGAAUAAAUGUUUUAUAUAUGACAUUUUUCUUAAGAAACCAAAGUUAUUAAGCAUGUUUAGAUUUAAUUACCAAAUGAGAGUGAGGGUUGAGGUUAUAGAUUGACCUAAUUAAUACUCAGAUCAAGAUUUAGGUCCUAGAUCGGACAAAUUAGCUUAUUGACUAGUGUUAAUAAAAAAUUGUAUCAUUUUAUGAUUUUUGUUAUAGAAAAAAUCAAAAUGGUGUUGUUAAAAAAAGUAAAACUAGGUUUUAACUGAGUUGACUAGGUUGUGGGUUGAUUUAUCUGGUCAACUAGGCUCAAUUGAGUCAACUCUCACUUGGUUUUUUCUAAACCUAAAUAGGGUUAGGUUCCAGAUUAAAAUGUAAGGCUUGAAUUAAAUUUAAUAACAUUGAUUAAAACCACAAUGUAGGAAAAAAAAUUGAAUUCAUAAAAGUAAUUAACCGAAAACUUGAAUUCCUUCUUAUAAAGUUGAACCCAUGUCGGUUUUUUUAAAGGAAAAGUAUGAAUCAAAGGUUAACGCUAGGCUGCUCACUUUGCAUCACAAUGACAGAUAUGGAAGGCUUGCUACUUUCUUUAUGGAAAUAACGUGUGGAAAAUCAUGCAUUAAUUUUGAUGUUGAUGGCAAAAUCAAACAAUAUCGUUGAUAAAAUGAAUGACAAAUGAUAUUAUUUUUAAAAUACUUCUUGUCAUUGUCAUGACAACAAGUCUUCUUUUUUUUCUUUCUAAAGUACUUGUCAGUCUAUUUUUAUGUAACCCAAUCAACAAGUAAGAUGGAUAGAAAUUUGCAGUGUAAAAUGGGUCUGUGAGACUAUGUAUCGCCAUCUGCAUUUUUCCACGAUCUAGGCCAGUGGGAUGGUACAUGAGACCAUUGCUAUCAAGCGUUUUUUCUACGAGAUGGGUCCAUGAGACCAUUGCCCUGUAAGCUUGGGAAUGGAUAAUUAAUAUGCUUUAAUGUCUAUUUAGUUUGCAAAAAAAAUAAUUAAAUGCUUAUGAAUAAAAAAUAAAUCUCAAGUGUUAAAAUGCAACCACCGAUUAAUUAAUGGACAAUGGACCUUAGAUUAAUACAUGACGCAACUUUCAAUGGAAUUAUAUUUGUGGAGGUAUUUACUCGGAUGCGAAUUAUAUUUCUAUUUUUUUAUUUAAAAAAAUUCUAUACUACAACGAGCUUAAGAAAGUCAUGUUCAGGGGCGGAGCUAUAAUUAUUUGUUAGGAAGAUCAAAAUUAAUAUAAUAAGAUAUAAAAUUUAUUUUAAUUUAUUAUACAUGAGUUCUAAAACAAAACCUGUAUAAUUUAGUUUUAUUCAAAUAACUUACUACAAACAUAUAAUAACCUUUGUGAAGUAUAUUGGGACUGCUCAACCAUAACUUUAACAUUACACAUUGGAGUUGGUUCACUAGGCUGUGAGUUAUCAAUAUUUUUUAUUUUUCUUUUUCAAAAAAAAAUCAAUUCUUCUUAUUUUGUUCAUGGUUCAACCUAAAAUCAAAACAUAUAUCGUAAGAAAAAAUUGAUAAUUUAGUGACUCUGCUAAAAAUAAAACAUAAAACAAAUCCAAGCAUAAUCAAAACAAAACCAAUAAAAUAUAUCUAAUUAAUUAGAAAAAAAAUCAUUAUAAUAAGAAUUCAAAAAAAAAUGGUAAAACUAGCAGAUCUGAGAAAAAAAAAGAGCAAAAAUGAUAGAAAUAUAAAAAAAAUCUCAUCAAAUUAUUAACAAACAUCUCAAAACAAAACAAAUAUAGAUUUUAAAUUUAAGUUACUUUGUUUUGUUUGAUGAAAGAUAAAUUAAUUGGUGGCUCUGCUUCAAUCUUUUUGUAGAAACAUUUUGCUCACAAUUUGUAUUUUUAUUUCUUUGUUUGAUCGGCUGCAGGAUUUAUAUUAGGGUAAAUUAAUGGUUUUGUUUUUUAUUUCACAAAGUAAUGCCUUAAUAUUGUUUUCUUCCAUCUAGGUCAAGAGUAAAUUAAAAGGAAAUCAAAAGUAAAGUCAAUAAUAACCCAAAGUAAUGCCUUAAUUAUUUGAUGUCACAAAGUAAUGCUUUAAUAACCCAAUAAUAAAAAAACAAAAUGUCUUGAGGGGGGCUCGGGCCCCUGCUUGCCCCCUACUUCCACCCUUGGUCAUGUUCAUCGAAAAAAAAAAUUAUAUUUACUCGGAUGUGUUUUUUCUACGAGAUGGGUCCAUGAGAACAUUUCCAUCUGCAUAUUGGUUCUUGAGACCGUUACCAUCAGGGGCGGAGACAGAGGGGCUGGCAGGGGCCCCGGCCCCGGCAAGGAAAAAGUUUUUCCAGCCCCUCCCUUAACAAUAUUUAUAUUUUUAGUUUAAAUAAUAAAACAAUUAAUAUUUUGAUCCCCUUUAAUUUUAUUUUCUGGUUCUGCCCCUGGUUGCCAUCAUGCAUUUUUCCUCGAGGAGAGGCCAUGAGACGUCCUCUUCCAACCAUCAUGCAUUUUUUCCACGAGAUGGGUUCGUGGAGAAACUUUGGUUUAAUUGGGAAUGCUGUUAUUGAUUGGAAACUUUUUAAUUAAAAUAAAUUUGAUUAUUUGAUUGGAAAAAAUCCUUAAAUGUUAUUAACACAAGAAAUGAAUUUAUUUUCUUAAGAAAAAAAUAUUGUAACCAUAUAAGUAAUUUAUUUAUUUAUUUUAAUGAAAUAUAAAAUAGUUUUAAAUCUUGUGGUAUAUUUCUUGUCUUUAAGAGCUAUGAACUUAUAUCGCAAACCUUGAAAACUAAUAUAAAGAUAUUAAGUGAUCAUUAAGUGUGUGUGUAUGUAUAUAAUCUUUUUCAAAACAAAAAGGAUUUUGAUGGAGAUCAGGACAUUGCAACAAAUUAUCCACCACGAGAUGGGUCACUGAUACCAUUGUCAUCAUGCAAUUUUUUCCCACGAGAUGGGGCCGUACGCUUGGGGCUCUAAAACGCUAUGGUUUUUAAUUUCAUUAUGUCACAUCUAGAAUGGCAGGUAUAUUUUAUUUCAAUUUAAACAAUGGAAUAAAUUAGAAGAUAUUUCAUCUCGUUUGGAAUCUUAUCUCAUUUCAUGAAUUUCACCUAAAUUCUGGCCGGAAUAUUUUGGUUCUAUUCCAGCCAUUCUAUUAUGAUCAAAUAAUGUUUUGUUUUGCUUUUAUAAAAAAAAAAAUAUAGUCUAGUUUUACGGUAUCAAUUAUAUCUCUCAAUUCAACUGUUGAAUUAUACUAAAAUUUUACAAGGAAUCUCCUAACAUAUAUUUAUAUCGCAAGUUAAAAUUUUAGAACAAUUAGAGUUUAGAAAGACUUUGUGAGAUUGCCGAUGACAUUUUCAUAAUUUUAUUUAAAUUCAUAAUUUGGUUUCGUAAGGUCAUUUUUUGUGUCUUCUUUUAGAUUGUUUUGUUUUUCCAAUUUCAUAAUUCAACAAUAAGUUUAUUAAAAAUUGAGAUUCAUAAUUUGUUUUUAUUUUGGAUUAUUAUGGUCUCAUAAUCUGGGUCACGGAUUUAAAAGAUUAACUUAGAUUAACCCGAGUCUAUCCAAUAUGUCGUUGUCUCAAUAUUUUUAACAAACAUAAUUUUAAUUGACAUUUAAAAAUAAACUAACUUAAAAUUAUACAAUUUAAAUUUCAAAUAUAAGUAAAAAUAAAGAGUUAAAUCGAUAUGACCCAUUUGAUUUGAUGAGUCCAAAGUAUAUAUAGAACAAUCCAAAAUGACACAUCAAAAUACUCAAAAACAAAAAUAUAUUGUUACAAUUAAAAAAAUAAAACACCAAUUAAAAUGGAAUUAACAUCCUUGCUUCAUAGAAGCCUAAACUCCUCGCUACCAUUUGCAAGAGAUAGUUAUACCAAUAGCAAUUUAGUAAUGUUGGUCAGAAUUUAAUAUCCUUCUCGAUAAGAAGAUCCUUAUCUUAUCGGAUAAAACCUAAUUGUUCUAACGUCAACAAAAGAAUUUAAUAUUCGGAAUACAUCUUACGUAUAAGGUCGUAACCCAAAUACUAAAAGAAAAAAAAUAAUAUUUUUGGAAUUUUUGAAAUAUUGGUCUAGUUCUCGUGACUUUAAUAAACUGGUUAUUAAAACCAAAAUGCAUGUUAAUACAUAUUUUUGAAUUUUUGUUGUAUGAAAAUAUGAUAUGAUUUUUUUUCUUUGAGAUACUUGGCCAUAUGCAUGAAAAUAAAAACAUGUUUUUUUUUUAAUUUUUCAAUGUUUCGACGAAAACUGGGUAUUUUAAUUCCAGAUUUGUAUCUUUACAGUAUAAAAAUACAAAUCAAUACUAAGAAAAAAUCAAUAGAAAAAUACGCGGUAAAAUCACAGAUUUUUUAAAAUGAUUUUUUUUUGACCGGGUAGGCGUUGUUCGGGUCAGAAAACUAAAACAAACAGUGGAGAGACUCUCUGCUGUUCACAUGCAACGUGAACAGUGGAGCGGCCUGGAGAAGACUAAGAAGAGGAGGAGGAAGAGGAAGAAGCAGACCUGCAGCCUAGCGGUGCUGCCAGUGGCGGUGGACGGUGUUGCGGUUGCGGACCGUGGUGCUGACUGGUUGGUGGUUCUUCUUUCUUUCUCUGCGUUUCCCUUCUGCUUUUUUUCUGUUCUACUCUAUUCUUCCUCUUGUUCCCUGUUUUAUUCUCUCUCCCUCUCUGGUCCUCUCAAACGUCCCCUGGAGCUGCUGCCUGAAGAUGAAGAUGAAGUUGAGGGUGAUCAGUGCUCUGAUCGAGCAACGUUUCUUUCUUUCCUUCUGCUACUGUUUUCGUUUCUGAUUCUCCUUUUUGUUCAAUUCUUAUUUGCACUCUUCUUCUUCUUCGUCGUCUCUGGUUUUUGAAAUGACGAAGACGAUGGCAACGCUGGUUCUGGUCUCAACGAUUUCCUCUCCUUACAUUCUUUCCUUCUGCUCAUUUCCGUCUCCCUCUCGUGCUACUCCCCACUUUCUCUCUUGUCCUGCUGGCUCUCCCUCCUUGUCUCCUCCUUUUUUUUUUUCCUGUCCGUCUCUCCUCUGGCUUUAUAUAGCGAGAGGAUGCAUGCUUUUCGGGAUUUAUUGCAGGAAGGUUGUAACAGCCGGAGUGUAUCAUGGUGGAGAAGGAUAUCAGCCGUGAGACAUGCUCCCCUGAUUGAAGCAGCUCCACCGCUAACAUCUUCACUACCUUUUACUGUAGAAACCGUUGUUGAUGAAGAAGGUAAUGAACAGUUGUCAAGGAAAUGGUACCGUUUUAAAAUUCAAAAUGAAUAUUUCCGAUUUGGUCAUUGGAUUUUUUGCAAUUUUGUAAUCAAGCCCCCGAAUAAAUUGUAAAUGGAUCUCUGGAUUUUAGCCCCAUUUACAAGACAAUUUUUUGUUCUGGAUUCAUGCAAUUUGACCCUCAAUUGAUCAAUAAACUUCUAAUUUCUUCAAUUUAACCCCUGAGUUGGUCAAUUGCAGCCUCUCUAUUUACGUGUCUUUUCCGAUUUGGUCCUUGGUUUCGUAUUUUUUCAAUCAAGUCCCUAAUUGCCCAUAAAACUUUAAUAAUUAUGCAAUUAAGCUCCUGAUUUGACCAAAUCAACUCUUCAAAAUUAUAAUUGUACCCUAGAACUUUAAUUUCUUCCAAUAAAAGCCUAAAUCGACAUAAAACUUAAUUUUUCUUUCAAUCAAACCCUCCAUAAAUUCAAUUAAACCCUCAAUAAAAUUUAAUUUAGUCCAUAAACAUCUGAUUUUGGAUAUAUUUUUUUUAAAAAUGAAUUUUCUUUGUCAACAGGGCUCUCAUUAGUCAACGAUAUACUAUCAAAUUUCAAUCUUUGUAUUUUUUAACCUCCUCAACCAAUUUUUAGCUAUUUUGGGCGGUCCAACAGCUUUCUCACUACGACAUAUAUUUUUAUUUAUUUAUUUAUUAUUAUUAUUUAUUUACUUUUUUUCGACUCUUACUUUUUGUAUUUUCUUCUUUUUUGUGUGAGGUCCUAAAAAUGGGUAACAAUACUUAAGUUCAAAUCUAUUAAUAAAAUAUAGUUUUAUUGAAUUUUUUUAUAUACUUUUAUUAGAGAAAUCAAUGUAAACAAAUUUACGGAAAAACAUUAGUUUAUCAAGUACUUAAAUAGAAAAAUAAAAUCAAUUAGAGUACUUGAAUAAAAAAAAUAUAAAUUAUAAGCAUUUUAUAUAUCUUUAUCGUUCAUACAUUAAGAUAUUUUAUUGAUUAAAUUUUGUGAAUAUAAGUAUUCAAAUUGAAAAAAAAAACAUUGAUGCAAGCUUUUAAAUAAAAAAAAUUAUAAAAUACAUAUAAUUUGCACUUCUCAUUGUCUCUUUCGCAUUGCUAACACUUAACAAAUUGAAUAUAUAAUUCUCGUGUGAAUAACGUCAGAAUAAAUUUAGUUAUAUGACAUUAUAAUACCUUUUUAUUUUUAUAUUUUAAAAAUAUUUUAAAAAAAUUAAAUUGUUUUAAAUAGAUAACUUUUGAAUCAUCAAGUAGUGAAACACAAGAAAAGCGAAGAAAGUGAAGAAUAAUCAAAGUGGUGCGGGUCCACAUCAAUUUUUGUCCAUGUUUUUGGUAUUAAUCUCUUCAUCUAUUUACAGCCGGAGAAAAGAACAUCACCUACUACUUUUCUUGUCUCUUCUUGCUUGGAAGAUAAGGCAUGUGAACCUUUGAGUGCCACUCAUUUUAGUACAUAGACUUGGUUAUUUGACCACAGCUUCACCACAAGUUAAAUUGUUUUAAUUAAAAAAAAUUAUAUAUAGAUUUCUUCAAUAAAUUUUUUAUUUAAAAUUUUUUUAAGUGAAAAUUGAAAAACUUAUACACAAAUAUUGUUAAAUAAAUCAAGAAUUUUGUGUAUUAAUAAGUGAAAAAAACCAUAAAUGAUGACUUAAAAUAAAAACUGGAAAAAUCAAUAAACAAAUGUAGAUCAAAAUAUUUAAUUUCACAAAACGUGAUAUUACAGUUGUGUUUUCUAAAUUUUCUAAUUAAAAUAAUUUUUUAAUUCGAUCAAACGAUAAUAAAAAUAGACACACAUAUUAUAAAUUGAUUGAAUAAAAUAAAAAAUAAUAAUAAUAUGUCAGGCUUCAUAUAUUGGAAAUAUUUUUUGAAAAUAUUUUUUUUAUUUUUAAAAAUAUAGUUUAUCUAUUAAAAAAAUUAUAUAUUAAAUUCAAAAUAAAUAAACUUUAAAAUAAUUUGCAAGGCUGCACAUAAGCCCUUUAAAAGGAAAGUGAUAUAACAAAAGUGGAACAAUUUUUAUUAACUAAAUAAACUCUAUAACUAUUAAUAUUAAAUUCAAAAUAUAUAUUAAAAAUAAAUAUUAAAACCUAUUAUAUUAAUUUGUGAAUUUAUCAAUUGAGAUGUGAAUUAUAUUUCUAAAAUGUUAUAAGAAAUUUCUAUAUACUACAACUAGCUUAAGAAAAUCAAGUUCAUCGAAACCGUAGAGUACAGAAAAAAAAUGAAUUGCAUGAUUAACCAAAACUUAUAUUUCUUCUUAAAACGUUGACCCCAAGUCAAGUUUUUUUUUUUUUUUGAAAAAAACAUGAAUACAAGGUUAAUGCUAGGCACAUGACGAUGAUGGAUAUACAAGACCUGCUCCUUUCUUUAUGGAAAUUACGUGUGGAAAAUUUAGGCCUUGAAAAAAAUUAAAAAAAAAAUACUAUUAAUCAUGUUAUUUGCAUUAUGGCAAAUAUAGAGACUUGAUUGAUAAAAAUUUAUAAGAGCAAGUAUUCAAAUUUUAAAAUAAAUAAAUAAAUCAAUUCAAGUUUUUAAUUAGAAAAAACAAGAUACAAAUACUCUGUGUAAGUGCCACUAACUCUUUGUAUUUUCUAACUAUUAAAGAAUUGAAUAUAUAAUACACGGGUGAUAAACAUCAAAAUAAAUCCAAUUGUAUAAUUUACUAAGAUUUUAAAAACUAACACUACAUAGAAAAAAAAAUCUUAAAAUAAAUAACAGAAAACUUGUAUUCCUUCGAGGGGUGUUUGAGAGUGUGGUAGCGGUUGCUUUUCAAAGUUUUUUCCCUUAAAAAUGCAUCAAAAUAAAUUUUUUUGAUUUUUUAAAAAUUAUUUUUAACAUCAUUAUAUCAAAAUGAUCUAAAAAUAUUAAAAAUAUAUUAAUUUAAAGCAAAAAAUAUAAAAAAAAUUAAAAAAUUUUAAUAAUACUUUUAAAAUACUAAAACAAACAAGAUAUUAAAAAAUAUACUACAAGUCAAAGUCUUUUUGAAAAAAAACAUUAAUAAAAGGUUAAUGGCAGGUAGCUUAUUUUCUGCCCUAAUAAAGCUCAAGGUCUGUUCAGAAAACUAAGUACGUAGGCAUACACCCAAUCCAAGCACCAUCAAAUCAUUUUUUAUACAUAGGGAUAGGAACGCUAGCUUCACAUGAUAGAUAAAAAAAAUUAAAAGAUAAUAAAAUUAAAAAAAUAAUUAUAAUCUUAUAUAUUAUUUUAAAUAAAAUAAAUAUUGAUUAAAAAAACCAAAUAUAAUAAAUUAAAAUAUUUAAUUUAAAAAAGAUAAGAGAAAAGUAAAUGAGAAUUAAAGUUGAUAUAAAAAUUAAAUUAUAAAAUAUAAAAUUCAAAAAAAAAAUAAAACCAAUUUUUUUUUUCUAAAAGAUAAUAUUCAGAUUAAAAGCAUUAUAAAAAGAAUAGCUCCUUGUUUCUUCCUUGUUUCAAUUUCAAGAUAUUAAGAUUAAAACCCAAUCGUAUAGCUGGUUGGGUUGAGAAGAAAGGUUUGCUUUUGUAUUACAAAUUAUUUAGAUUAGUUUUUUUUUAAAAUUAAUCAAAUUAGUAUCAUUUUGGUUCUCCAUCGAAGAAAAUAGAAAACAUAUUUAGUAAUAAGGUGUUGUUUAAUUCCUUAUAUUAUUAAUAUAAUCAUGGCAUCAUCACUGUAACAAUAAGUCCUCUUACUUGUAUUUUCACCGUCCCAACCUCUUUACAUGGCGUCACCGUAGCAAUUAUAUAUCUCUUGAUCAAUCAUAAUUAAAUUACUGUAAUAAUAUCUUUUUUUAUUCUUUUAUAUGAAGUCUUAAUUUAUUUUUUUAUAUAGGUAGUUAUGAAUUACAGAAAUUGAACAAUUUAGAGAUCUUUGACUUAGAAUCUAAUUGUUUCGAUAACAGUAUUAUAUUAUAGAGGGAUUUUUAUCCCUUAAAUUAUUAUAUUUAGAUUAAAAAAUAAAAACUAAUUAGGAGUCAAUUAAAUAAAUAAAUAAAAACCCUCAAAAGAUAAAAGAAGAAAACAUAAAAAGUACACUACCCAACCAAUAAUUGACCUGAAUCACAUGUUGUCCACUGCCAGAACUUAUUAGCAAUCUGCUUACAACAGCAAAUUGAUCAAUAAGAAAGACUUAAAUUCCAAAUUUAAAAACCAACUCAAUUGAGAUCCUUAUUAUUCAUUCAAUUAGUUGCUUCUUGCUAACUCUUUUAUUUCCUUUAUAAUUUUAAUUCAUUUUAAUAUAAUUUCUUGAUUGUGGCAAGCUUCCUUUAUCUCAAGAACUUGGAAUACUUGGAUUUCCCAAGAAAAAAUUAACUUAAGACUUUAGUUAAUGCUAUGAACACGAGUAAAUGAUAUGCUAAAGAAAAAACCAUGUAUUUAAGAACCAUUGCUAAGCUACAGGUUCAGGAGCCAUAAACCACUCACAUUUAGUGGGGUUGAUCUCAAAUUCAGACAAAUCUACUUGUCCAGUUCGGAGAACCUUCAAACAAAAAGAAGAAUGAAACCUUGUAAAAUUGGCUAUCAUCAAAAGGACAAGAAACAGUACAAGAAGGAUCAGCCUCGCAUUUCUUGCAUAAGUAAAAGAAUCCACUUGUUAAUGGAAAGGAGGACUCUGCAACAAGUCUAAAAUAUCCUCUGGAGUUCAGUGACCCUACAACCUUAUAUUUACCUCAGAAUGCACCCACGUAAAGCACACAGGAAAUCCCAACACAUAAGACAACAAAAGAAAACAUAUAAUUAGCAGAAAAAAAAAGGUUGUACAAUUCUUUCAUAGCUUACAGUACGUAUAGAAUAAGCAUUAUCAAAUCAGGCUAACAUACCUCAGGUAAGUGAGAUGUUAAUCCUUCUUCAAGCGGCAAUGUCUCAAUCAAUGACAUUAUCAAAUCAGGCUUCAGUAUAUCCCCUAAUCCCAAGCCUAGGACAACAAAAGAAAACAUCAUGAAAAAAAAUGAUUUUACAGUAAUGCACCCAGUGCCAGAGCAUAUAAUUAGCAGAAAUAAAGGUUGUACAAUUCUUUCACAGCUUACAAUACGUAUAGAAUAGGCAUUAAUAAUUACCUUCAUCUGGAUCGGCCAAACUACCUGCAACAUCUAUCAUCACAUCACGGCGCGGGCCACCCUAAGUACAGCAAACAAGGAUAUGGUCAAUUGCACUAUCUGAGCAUAACACAGAUAUUACUCAGGAUUCUUUGCAAGUCUUCCAAUUUCACUGGUUCUGAUGAAGAGUUUACAUCAUUCAUUACUUCUGCACCAAGGUCUGGGACAACUAAGUUUCCAGUCCUGAGAGCUAUGAGCAAAAAUCUCAUCAGAAUAAAAGAAAAUGGCAACGUAAUACUGGGCCAUUUCUUUUUUGUAAUAAAAGUGCUCCUUAACCUUUUUGAAGUUAUUUUACAAUGAAUUACAAGCAUUAAACUUGUAUAUACAUGGACAAACACCAAGUUAUGAUUCUAAAUUUCCAUAUAAAAGAUGCCCCAAGUUUUAAAAUUUACCCCGAGGGCAAGUCUGUGCAAGAGCAUAAGGGGAUGAAGGAUUUGACAUGGACUAAGGUGGGUGAGAUGUUUUUGUCAAGAAAUGAUUUUGGAAAAUUUCUUGAUAUUUCUUGAAUAAAUAAGAUAGGAGUCUUCAUCAAGGCAAGAACAUAGGCUCUCCAAGAUAAUUGACCAGAAGGAGAGAAGGGAGGCUCAUCCUGCUCCACAGACUCUUAGUCUCAAAGAACAAAAAAUUACUUGGCUCUAUAUCCUUACUCUUACUUGCUAUAUCAACUCUUAGAGUUGAAGUAUCUGAAAGGGUUUAUUUUUAGUAUUUGAAUAAGUCCAUGAGUCCCUAGUCUUCAGGAAGAUAUACAUGGUCAAGAUUAAAUUAAGGAUUUUAGUUGCUUAUUUUUCGUUAUUUCAUGUGCCACGUUACUGUGAACGUGAGCUAUUUUUCAGUCUUAUUAUUAUUCCUGUAAGGCUAUUUAUUAGCCAUUUCCAUUCAGUAAAAGCAAUUCAUUCAAUUCAAAUACUGUGCACUUUUGUUCUUAUUCUUUACAAUUGGUAUCAGAGCUAUUACAUCUGACCUGUUACGAAGAAAUAGAUACAAAAGGAAGACAUAUUUUUGAGUGACUUCAAACUUAGAGUGAGUGAGUGCUUGAGUGCUUUUAAACACAGAGUGAGUGAGUUUGAGUGUUUUUUAAACACAGAGUGAGAAAGAGAGUUCUUGAGGGUCAAUUUCAACAAUGGCAGCAGAGUCCAGCAAUUUUGUAUCACCUUGCAUCCCGAAAUUUGAUGGAGACUACGAGCAUUGGAACAUGCUAAUGGAGAAUCUCUUGCAUUCCAAAGAGUAUUGGAACGUUAUUGAGACAGGAUAUGUCGAGCCUGCAUCAGGGGAAAUUCUGAAUAAUGCACAGAAAAAGACAUUGGAGGAGACAAAGCUGAAAGAUUUAAAGGUUAAAAAUUACCUUUUUCAGUCCAUCGACAAAUCCAUUCUGAAGACUAUUACUCAAAAAGACACAGCAAAACAGUUGUGGGAUUCCAUGAAGAUCAAAUACCAAGGAAAUACAAGGGUUCGGCGUGCUCAACUUCAAAUCUUUCGCAGGAAUUUUGAAGUGCUGGAAAUGAAACAAGGAGAAACUGUCACAAGUUAUUUUGGAAGAGUUAUGCUGGUGGCAAAUGACAUGCGAAAUCUGGGAGAAAGCAUACCUGAUGAGAAGAUUGUAGAGAAGAUUUUACGCACACUUACUGAGAAGUACAAUUACAUAGUGUGCUCCAUUGAGGAGUCUAAAGAUAUUAAUCAUCUUUCAGUUGAUGAGCUGUAGAGUUCAUUACUUGUUCAUGAACAGAAAUUCAAAAGGCAUGACACAGAUGAUCAUGCCCUGAGAAUCUAUGAUGACAGAUUCUGUGGCAGAGGUCGUGGCAGAAACAAUUACAGAAGCCGAGGCCGUGGGGGCAGAACACAAACAUUCAAUAGAGACAUGGUGGAAUGUUUCAGGUGUCACAAACUUGGACACUUCCAAUACGAGUGUCCAACCAUGAACAAGGCAGCUAAUUAUGUGGAGCUAGAUGAUGAAGAUGAGAUGCUGCUAAUGUCCUAUGUUACAUUAGCUAAGACAACACGGAAUGAUGCAUGGUUCCUGGAUUCAGGAUGUUCUAAUCAUAUGUGUGGUUAUAGAGGUAUGUUCUCCUACUUGGAUGAAAAUUUUCAGCAUUCAGUCAAACUUGGAAACAAUAGCAGAAUGGCAGUAGUUAGCAAAGGCAGAGUAAAAUUACUAAUCAAUGGUAUUAAGCAUGUUGUUAAUGAUGUCUAUUAUGUACCAGAGCUUAAAAAUAAUUUACUGAGCAUAGGUCAACUACAAGAAAGGGGCUUAGCAAUUUUAAUUAAGAAUGGAGUUUGUAAGAUUUACCAUCCUGAGAAGGGUUUGAUCAUUCAAACCAAGAUGAGUGCAAAUUGGAUGUUCAUCCUACUUGCACAGACUCAAGCUCCCGUACAUGCACAGACUCAGAAUCAAGAGAAUUGUCUUCUCACCGGUUCUCAAAAUCCCUCAGUGCUAUGGCACAGACGGUUCGGUCACUUAAGCUACAAAGGCUUAAGAACCUUACAAUGGAGACAUAUGGUACAUGGACUGCCCACCUUCUCGACUCCCACCAUCACCUGCACAGAUUGCCUCAAUGGCAAGCAACACAGAGAGGUCAUGCCCAAACACAGCAAAUGGAGAGCAAAUCAGAAAUUGGAAUUAAUUCAUGCAGACAUUUGCGGUCCUAUUUCCCCCGAAUCCAAUAGUGGCAAAAGGUACAUAUUAUGUUUCAUUGAUGAUUUCAGCCGAAACUAUGGGCAUUUCUUUUAGCUACAAAAUCCGAAGCUUUCAUUUAUUUUAAGAAAUUCAAAGCUAUGGUGGAAAAAGAAACCCUAUUGCAUGUGAAGUGUCUAAGGACUGACAGGGGAGGAGAAUUUACCUCAAGUGAAUUCAACGAAUUCUGCAGCCAACAAGGUAUCAAACGGCAGCUCACCACGGCGUACACUCCACAGCAAAAUGGAGUUGCAGAGAGAAAAAAUCGAACCGUGAUGAACAUGGUCCGAUCAAUCCUCUCUGGUAAAGGGAUUCCAAAACCCUUCUGGCCAAAGGUAGUGAACUGGGCCUUCUAUGUGCUCAAUCGGUGCCCAACUUAUGCUUUGACAGACAUCACUCCUCAUGAGGCAUGGAGCGGAACUAAACCAUCAGUAGACCAUUUCAGGGUCUUUGGGUGCUUGGCCCAUGUUCACGUUCCAGAUGUGAAACGGAGUAAGCUUGAUAACAAAAGCUUUGUGUGUGUACUGUUGGGUAUGAGUGAGGAGUCAAAGGGGUACAAGUUGUUUGAUCCUUUAAACAAAAAAAUCGUGGUUAGCAAAGAUGUGAUCUUUGAGGAGGACAAACAGUGGGAUUGGGAUGUUGCUUAUGAAGAACAAAUCUUGACAGAUUUGGUUUGGGGUGACAGAGAAGGAACACGUGAAGAUGGUGAUAAUAGUGAUGACAAUCACGGGGAUGAGAGUGGUGAACGUGAGGCUGAAAUCAAUGGGGAAGAAGGGGAAGAAAACGAAGAACACAGACACAUUGUCUGUGAAGAUGAUGAAAAUGCUGAGAGAGAAGAAGAAGAAGCUGAGUUAAAUGAUCUUACGGUGUGUAUGCUGCCAGUUGGAAGAAUAGGUGAGCAGGUCAAUCCUACGGCAUGAACGCGGCCAAGUGAACAAAGGGAGAUGACAGAUGGCAAAAUAGAUGUUAAUCCAACGGUGAGAAUUCAGUCUGACAGGGAGAGUGAUUAGAUGACAUGUGGCGUACAUCCAACGGCACAAAACAUGGCAGACGGAGAGAAUGAGCUGCUGACAAGUGGAGACAAUCCAACGACUGACAUGCAAUCUGACGGGGAGAGUGGCCUGCUGACAAGUGGAAGAAGAGAAAGGGGUCCUCCGGUGUGGAUGCAAGAUUAUGUUACAGGGGAGGAUUUAUCUGAAUAUGAGUCCAAUAUGGCACUAAUUAUGUCUUCUGAUCCCAUUUAUUUUGAAGAUGCUGUGAAAGUUAACACUGGAGACUUGCUAUGGACAGUGAAAUUAAUGCAAUAGAGAAGAACAAUACCUGGACGCUCAACGAGUUGCCGGAGGGAGCAAAAAAAAUUGGAGUCAAAUGGGUCUACAAAACAAAGUACAACGAACAUGGGGAUGUUGAUAAAUACAAGGCAAGGCUAGUUGCCAAAGGGUACUCGCAACAACACGGAAUUGACUAUACAGAAGUCUUUGCACCAGUGGCAAGGAUGGAUACAGUAAGGAUGAUUAUUGCUCUCGCCGCUCAAAAAAACUGGAUUGUUUAUCAGUUGGAUGUCAAAUCGGCUUUUCUGCAUGGGGAAUUGCAUGAAGAUGUUUAUGUUGAUCAACCAAAAGGGUAUGAAAAGAAGGCUAGCGAACAUCUAGUUUACAAGCUGCAUAAAGCGUUGUACGGGUUAAAACAAGCUCCAAGAGCUUGGUUCAGUCGAAUCGAGGGUCAUUUUUUCAAUGAAGGCUUUCUACGGUGUGAAAGUGAGCAAACUUUAUUCACAAAGAGAAGCAGGGAAGGAAAGAUUAUCAUUGUAAGUGUUUACGUUGAUGAUCUAAUAUUUACUGGCGAUGAUACACAUAUGUUGUCUGAAUUCAAAAACUCCAUGAUGAGGGAGUUUGACAUGUCAGAUUUGGGGAAGAUGCGGUAUUUCUUGGGAAUCAAAGUAUUACAGCAUUCAGGUGGCACCUACAUAUGUCAGAAGAAAUAUGCACUAGAGGUGUUGAAGAGGUUUGGUAUGAUGGAAUGCAAUGCGGUGAAAAAUCCAAUAGUUCCCGGAUGCAGAGUCAACAAAGAUGAAGGCGAAGCUAAAGUAGAUGAAACAUAUUAUAAGCAGUUAGUGGGCAGCCUAAUGUAUCUCAUAGCAACAAGACCAGACAUGAUGUUUGUUACUUGUCUCAUCAGCAGAUACAUGGCCAAACCUACGGAACUUCAUCUACAAGUAGCAAAAAGGGCACUUAGAUAUCUAAGAGGGACAAUAAAUUUUGGAAUUUAUUACAAGAAAGGGGGAAGUGAUGAACUACUCUCAUUUACGGAUAGUGAUUAUGCUGGAGAUAUGGAGGAUAGAAAGAGUACAAGUGGAUAUGUUUUUUUGUUAAGCUCAGGAGCAGUCUCAUGGAGUUCGAAGAAGCAACCAAUAGUGACUCUUUCUACAACUGAAGCAGAAUUUGUAGCAGCCGCAAUGUGUGUAUGUCAAGCUCUUUGGAUAAAAAGAGUCUUGAAGGAAUUGGGACACUCAAAUAAUGAGUGCACACAAGUGAAAUGUGAUAACAGCUCAACUAUUAAAUUGUCCAAAAAUCCAGUGAUGCAUGGACGCAGUAAGCAUAUCGAUGUAAGAUAUCACUUUCUGAGAAAUCUUACUAAAGAAGGUACAAUUGCAUUAGUUCAUUACGGAAGUCAGGAUCAGGUGGCAGAUUUAAUGACCAAGCCUUUAAAGCUUGAUGCAUUUCUGAAACUAAGAACACUGUUGGGAGUCCAAGAAAUUACUGAUGUAAACUAACUGCAUACUGCAGUAAGUUUAAGGGAAGGAAUGAAAGGGUUUAUUUUUAGUAUUUGAAUAAGUCCACGAGUCCCUAGUCUUCAGGAAGAUAUACAUGGUCAAGAUUAAAUUAAGGAUUUUAGUUGCUUAUUUUUCGUUAUUUCAUGUGCCACGUUACUGUGAACGUGAGCUAUUUUUCAGUCUUAUUAUUAUUCCUGUAAGGCUAUUUAUUAGCCAUUUCCAUUCAGUAAAAGCAAUUCAUUCAAUUCAAAUACUGUGCACUUUUGUUCUUAUUCUUUACAGUAUCAUCUUUGAGUAUGCUUAUUUGUUAUAAUAAAUAUACCUUGAUGAGAUAUUAUCUUUAAGCAUGUCUUCAAAAACUUGGAAAGGAGUAGAAGCAUCAGGCUCUUCUUCAUCAAGGAACUCUGCCAGGCAAUAAGAUAAAGUAGCGACGUUGCUGAUGGAAAAACUUCACUCUUGAAUGAGUGCUGAAGUUAUAAGCCAGGUCAUUAGUUUGAAGGAGUAAAACUGGUUAGUAAAAUUUUAGGAAAACCAAUUCACACAUACGGAGUGUGUAACUAAAAUAAAUAAACAGGAAGUAGAAAACAGGAAAUCCAAUUAGUCUAAUAUGAUAUUUCUGUGAAAUAGAGGUUUUCUUUAUGAAAUUGUGGAGAUGAGAGGAGAUAAAUGCAGAUGCAAGAUAAAAAAAAACAAUAAAAAAAAACACAAAAGUAGCAUGGCUAGCAAAGGACUCAAAACACAAAAGUAUUUACCAAAUGGACGAUUAAUAUAAUAGUUGAUAGAGCUACACAAUUGUGAAUCAUCUUUAGCUUUUGGCUCCUGCAAACAUGUUACACAAUUUUCCAAAAUCAUGCAACUAACAGCCGAGUCAAUGUUACACAUAAGAGAGUGAAAAACACAGAAAAUGAACCUGACCUGCAUCCAAAUGAAAAACUUUCAAUCAUCUGUAUUGAAUUUCAAGAUGUAAACUCUUCCCAAAGCUUGAUUAACCUGAAUAACCCAAAGAAUUAUGAAUCUAUGAUAUUACAAUCAAUUAUUAGAGUCAAAUAUCUCCCAUCUAAGAAAAAACUAAGAGAGAAAAGUGUACCUUCUCAAAAACAGCCUCUUCAGAAAAAAAAAUCUGAUCCUGUCAAUCAACACGUCAAGAAAAAGCUACCAAGUUCUUACCUCAAAAGAAUAUUAACAAAACAAACAACAGAAAAAGAAAUAAAAACCAAUGUUGGAAGAGAGAAACAAAAUCCCCAGGCUAAAAAACAUAAUAAUAACUAGGACACAUCUUCCACAGCAUUCAAAUUCCUAUCAAGCCACUGGAAAUGAAGCAAACCCUCGUCACCCUGGAACAAUUCAAAAAUUUCGACUUCAAACAGGAAACAAGAUGCUAGAAACACUCUAUCUAGUACUUAAGAUAAACCAAAACAACAGAAGUAACUAAAAAUCUUUACACAGGUACGAACUCUGUAUAACACAAAAAAACCAAAAGACACCAGUUUACCCUUCCAAUGCGAACAAGUCCUUUUCGAGAAUCAGGAACAAACUUUUUUCCAUCAAAAACCAUUUUACCAGCACGAAACUCCAACAUAAUUUCCUACCAACAAAACAACCACAACAUCAUAACAUAACCCCAUCAAGAAAAACAUACUUAUACAUCCAAAAAAGCAAUUACAGGCUCUAAUUAAUAAGAUACAAGAUUUUAAGCAAAACCCACAAUUUUAAAAGUGAUUUUAUUUACCUGCAUUGCUGAAAUAUCUACAGCUGAUGAAGAACCCAUUUUUCGCAUACUUCCUCUAAAGCUUCCUUUUUUCCAACACUGCAAAAAAAAAAAAAGAAGAACAAAUCAAAUACCCAAAUCAGAAACAAUAACAGAAAAAAAAUAAAAGAAAAUCCAAUGCUGGAAGUUGUAAUCAGGAGGAGAACCAUACAAUUUCUGAUGGAAUGACAUUUUAUCAAGAAUUGAACUAGGCAUUCAGUUAAUUAAAUAGGUUGUAAACUUGUAAUCAGGUGAGAGUAGUGUCAACAUGUUUAGUUUUCCUCUCGGAAGUGUCAUUCUGCACAAAUCAGUGUUUUAAAAAUAUUAAAAAAAAAAUUUAAUUUGUUUUUAAAUUUGUUUUUUAGUGGUUUUCAUUUAUUUUCGUGUAUUAAUAUUAAAAAUAAUUUUUAAAAAAUAAAAAAUAUAUUAUUUCAAUUUAUUUUAAAAUAAAAAAAAAACUUAAAAAAAAUACUGUUAACACAGUAUUAAACAAACUCGAAUCCUAUAACCAGAUGAACAACGUUAAGAUAUUUGUUUUUUGUUUUUUGUUUUUUUUGAUAAUGAGGAUGUCCUAAACAAUCUUGCCUAAUGAUUGUUAAGAAAUGAAAGAGGCAAUGCAUGGCUAAACCAAUGGAAGCUAAAAAGCUAAUGAUGCCCCUAGCUAGUAAGCAAUUGUUGCCGCAAUGACAUAUGCCUCAUUAGAGAUAGAUUUGAAUUUACAUAUUAUUAUUAUCAUAUAUUUUGUAUUCUCGUUUAAAAAAAUAAAUAUUUUCCUUAUAUGGAGUAGAGUGUUUUUAAUUUUAUCAUGUAAAAUUUAUAUAUAUUUUAAAAAUUAAUACAAUAUACAGUUAAACAUCUAUAAAUUAAUAUCAUUGAGACCAUGAAAUUUAUUAAUUAAUCAAGAUAUUAUUUAGUAAAUAAAUUUAUACACUUAUCCAUUAAUCACAAAAAAAUUUCUUUUUCAAAAACAUUGAACUCAAUACAUGCAUUGUGUAUUCUGAUUAUAUGAAUAUUAUCUAAUUAUCAAAUUAUGAAUUAUCAUAGUUCUAUAUAUUUAUUUAAAUAAAACAAGUUUAAGAAUUAAUGUAAUCGAUCUUAUUAAUUAAUAAAAGUCAUGUAUGUAUCUAUUUUUGCAAAUUGGAUGCAUACUUAAUUAAUAUUAAGUCAAGAACAAAACCAAAAAAAGGAAUAUACAAGUGAGCCAAACAACAAUAUUAAAAACGAAUAAGAGGUUGAAUUAAUAUUCAUUAACUAAUAAUAAAAUUAAGAAGAUGAUACCAAAGGACACAAAAUCACAAAAAUUCGUGAAACUACAUAAGGCGGUUUGUUCAAUACCAAGAAAUUAAAUAUUUAAAAAAAAACUAAAUGAAUUGUUUAAAAAGUUAAAAGAAAAUAAAUGCACUUUUGUCCACGUCAACAACAACUAUAACAAAAUGCUGGGCUGUAGAAGAUUUUCCACAGCAACCUGAAAAAAUCAUAUAUGCUCAAGUAACUAUUUGGUAGAGCGUAUUUGGAGUGCUAAUAUCUUUUCUUUAUGGAAUCAGUCCUCGUACUCGAUCUCUGAAACCAGUUAAGGUUCUUAGUGACCAAAAUACUAGGUAGCGACUCUCAUUCCAUUUUUCCACUAAUAAAAGACAAGAAUUCCUUGUCUCCCCAUAGAUGCCUGAUAGAUAAUACAUUUUGAGAGUGGAUAUUUUCACCGCAACAUCGUAUACGUGCGACAUUAUGUAUACAGGUAUUUCACGAGAUGAUGCGGAGUGUUAAAUAUAAGCUUUGUGUUUAAAUCUGUUUUUUUAUGUAAUAUCUUUUGUUUUAUAUGUAAUUUGUAUUAUAUGUAGAUUUUAAUAUAUGAAUCCUAAAGAUAUUUGCUUUUGGUAUUUAUACAUUUAGAAUGUAUGAGUAAGGAACUAAUAUUAGUAAACUAUUUGAAAAGAAUACUUAAUAAUUAUAAUUAUGCAUGUUUAAAAGAUGGAUGCAUGUUAACGUAAUAAUUAGUUCAAUAUGAAUCCUUUGAGUUUAUAUUUGUAUGCAGUUAAUGUUUUAUUUUAAGAGAAUAUAAUUGCUAUGUUUUAUUUUUUUAUGAUGUAAGGUUGAGAAAGCACAACAAAGUAUUGCUAUGUGAAAUAUUGUAUGAUGAGAUGGGAUAUGAUCCAGGAUGGUUGAAUUGAAAUAGAAGAUUGAGUAUUGUGAUUGAAUGAAGUCUAGUCGAUAACUUGGUAACAUAAAAAAACAAAAGAAACUCUGCCGAAUUUUCUGUAGAAAAUUAGAUUUAUAUAAUAACUAUUACUUUGAUGAUAUAACUUUGAGAGUGAUACAUCAAAUGUGAGAUAUGUUAGACAAUAACCGCAAGACAAUAACGGUUCAAGACGUAGACAAUAACAAUUCAAAUUUCGGUAGUCCUCAUAUGAAUACCAUAUAUAUAUAUAUAUAACUUUACUCUGUUUUUCAGUUGCAUGAUAUUGUUAUUUUAUCCCGAUUGAGGGGGUGUUAUAAUUAUGGUCUUAUGAUCCGAGUCACUGAUUUAAAAGGUUAACCUAGAUUGACCCGGGUCGAUCCAAUAUGUUGUUAUCUCAAUAUUUUUUAAAAAAAUAUUAUCUUGAAUUUUUUGAAGUAAAACUAUAUGUUUAUCAGUCGUCCAGACUAUCUUUGGACUCAUUGAAUCGAUUGGGUCAUAUCGAUUCAACUCUUUUUUUUUAGUUAUAUUUGAAAUUUAAAUUGUAUAAUUUCAAAUUGGUUUGUUUUUAAAUGUCAAUUAAUAUAUAUAUAUAUAUAUAUAUAUAUAACAAUCCAAAAUGACAGGUUAAAAUACUAAAAAACCAAAACAUAUUGUUACAAUUAAAAAAAUAAAAUACCAAUUAAAACGGAAUUAAUUGACAACUUGCUUGGUAGAAGCAUGAAACUCCUCGCUGACAUUUGCAAGAGAUAGUUACUUAUACCAGUAGCAAUUUAGUAAUGAUUGAUCAGCAUUUAUAGUAAGAUGGGGCUAUUAAUUCAAAUGUUGAUGGCAUUAGUAACAAUGAUUUUCUUGGAAGGAUUGCUUCCUCUUGGUUGCUUGAAAAUAUACGGUUUUUUUUUAGUUCAAAUCUAUUAAUAUAAAUAUAGUUUUAUUGAAUAUUUUUUAUAUAAUCUUAUUAGAGAAAUCAAUGUAAACAAAUUUAUGGACAAACACUAGAUUAUCAAGUAUUUAAAUAGAAAAAUAAAACAUUGAUACAAGCUUUUAAAUAAAAAACAUUUAUAAUAAAUAUAAUUUGUACUUGUCAUUAUCUCUUUUUCAUUGCUAACACUUAACGAAUUGAAUAUAUAAUUCUCAUGUGAAUAACGUCAAAAUAAAUUUAGUUGCAUGACAUAAUAAUACCUAUUUGUUUUUUGUAUUUUAAAAAUAUUUAAAAAAAUUAAAUUUUUUUAAAUAAAUAACUUUUGAAUCAUCAAGUAGUGAAACACAGGAAAAGUGAAGAAAGUGAAGAAUAAUCAAAGUGGUGUGGGUCCACAUCAACUUUUGUCCAUGUUUUUGGUAUUAAUCUCUUCAUCCAUUUACAGCCGGAGAAAAGAGCAUCACUCAGUGCUUUCCUUGUCUCUUCUUGCUUAGAAGAUAAGGUAUGAGAACCUUCGAGUGCCACUCAUUUUAGUACAUAGACUAGAUAUUUGACCAUAACUUAACUGUUAGUUAAUUGUUUUUUCAAUUAAAAAAAUUUAUAUAUAGAUUUCUUCAACGUAUUGUUUAUUUAAAAAAUCUUAAGUGAAAAUUAAGAAAUUUAUACACAAAUAUAGUCAAAUAAAUUGAGAAUUAUAUGUGUUAAUAAGUGAAAAAAAAACCAUAAACGAUGACUCAAAAUAAAAACUGGAAAAAUUGAGAGACAGGUGCUGAUCAAGAUAUUUAAUUUCACAAGACGUGACAUUUAUGCAGUUGUGUUUUUAAAAUUUUCUAAUUAAAAUAAUUUUUUAUUCAAUCAAACGAUAAUAAAAACAGACACACAUUAUAAAUUGAUUGAAUAAAAUAAAAGGAGAAAAAAUAAUAUGCAAGCCUACACAUAUUAAAAAUAUUAUUUGAAAAUACAUUUAUUUUUAUUUUCAAAAAUAAAAUUCAUCUAUACAAAAGAUUUUUAAAAAAUAUAGAUUAAUCACAAAAACCUCCUCAAAAAUUAAAUGCAUAAUUAAAAAAUAAUUAUCAUUUCAAAUAGGCUUUCUAAAUAAUAUAAAAGAGAGAAGGGAUAUAAAUAUAAAUAUAAAUAAGAUUAAGAUUAAGAUUAAUUUAAAAAAAUACAAACAAAAAAAAAGAAAAUAUUUUUUCUUAAACAAAAAAAAGUGAACAAUGUCGUUCACAGUAAAACUUGUGGGGUGAACUCGAACUCAACCGAGUUUAAUAUUUUUCCUCUUAAAUUUAUAACAAACCUAAAAAAAGUAAACAAUGUCGUCCAUUGUAAAACAUGAGGAGGUGAAUAGUGCAACUACACAGUGUUCACCUUAUAUAUUUUUCCUCUUAAAUUUAUACCAAAACCGUAAUAAAAAAAGGUGACCAAUGUUGUCCAUAGUAAAACGUGAGGGGGUGAACAACGCAUCUUCAUAGUGUUCACCCCGCACACCUUAGCUUAUUUAGGGUGAACCUGAAUCAUGAACUCAAUCGGGUUUAAUAUUUUCCCCUCUUAAAUUUAUAGCAAACCUAAAAAAAAGGUAAACAAUAUAGUCUAUAAUAAAAUAUGAGGGGAUGAACAAUACAGAUGCACAAUGUUCACCUCACAUAUUUUUUUCCUUAAAUUUAUAGCAAAACCUAAUAAAACAAAUAGUGAAUAGUAUAUUCAUUGUAAAACGUGAGAGGGUGAACAAUGUGGCUAUAUAAUAUUCACCCCACAUGCUUUAGAUUAAACGUGAGAUGGUUAUUUUUUAAAAUAAAAAAAAAUUAAUAAGCAGGCUAUUACAAUGCGCUUUUUAAUGAUGACGAUAUUUGUAGCAAAAAUUUCAAAGGAUUUAAUACAAAUCCAAGCCAAAAUAUUUCACUAGAUUACUAUUUUACGAUCUUCUUAAAACUUGGGUUCGAGCUUGUCAUGUUGAAUCAUCUCUUCUAGAAUCCUUUUUACCGUCUAAUGACUGCCGCUUAUGUUUGUGCAAUUUCUUGUUUACUAGUAAAAUUGUACAGACGUGGGCUUGAAGCUGUUAACUUUCCCUGGACUGGUUAUGUAAUAUAUUUAUAGGUCUAACUGUAUACUAUCACUUGGUCCAAGAGGCAAUAUUGCAAGAUUCCAACGAAAUCUACUGUAAUCUACUGUCCUGGGACAAGAGUUCCAAAAACAUCUACUCCAAAUUUUGUUCUUUUUGAAUCUUUAGUUAUUUUUAUUUUUUCUCAUCAUUUUUUAAAAUAAAAAAUAUAAAUAAAUUACUACAAAAUGAAUAAAACAAAACCAGAAUAAAAAAGUAACAUUAAACAGCAGCCAUUUCAUCAGCUUUAAUUUUAGUAUAACACAAUAAUAUGAACCAACCUUGAUUCUCGAAGGCACCCAACUAAUUCAUUAGCCUUCAAAUUGCCAUCACCUAAUUUCACGAUCCAUGACCGACAUAUAAACAAGGGUCCUCUCCAAGUUCCCAUACAUAUACGAAUCCAAAUAUACAUAGAAACUUAUCUUUUAAAUAAGUCAAUUAGAGUUCAACACAAUAUUAAUAACAAAAUUAAUUAAAUAAGUCAAUCAGAGUUCAACAUAACAUUAAUAACAAAAUUAACUUCAUAAUAUAAUUUGAUUGUCUUAAUACAAAAAUUAAUACAAAGUUCGUAGUUGUGGAGCACUAUCUAGACAUAAAAAAAAUCAUAACAAAAACAACAAGGGAGGGGGUUUGAUAGUAUGUAAUACAACAACUAGAAAUAUAUAUAUAAUUAUGGCUUUAGGUUUUUAUAAAAACGUUUUUUAAAUAGAUCAUAUAAGAACAACGGAGGAGGGGGUUUAACGGUAUGUAUUUGCCUGCUAGUAAAAAUUGGUUAGCACCUAAACAAGGUCCUGUGCUAAAUCUAAAUUGGUAAGAUGUGAUAUGCUAAUAUCUAGAAAGAUAACUUAAUCUAUCCAUUGAAGUAAAGCAUUUAAAUGCGUAUACAAUGUUUUUGGAACAUUAAAUAUCUAUUUGAUCAGAAUCUGAUGGGGCAAUAGGUGAUGCAGGCAUAAACUAGAAAGACAACAAACAAACACAAAGAAAAAAGAUUUGUUAAGCAAACAGGGUUGCAAACUUAAACACUAAAUUCGCAAUUUAUUAUUCUGAAAAAAGUCUAAUGAUGUUUGCCUCUCAAAGAGGUUUCUAAAACAUUUAAAUAUGCUAAAAAACCUAUCUCUAUUGGAAAAAAAAAAUUCAGAAUCCAAAAGAAUAAACAAAAACUACAUAAAAUCUGAAAUAAAACAAUAAAUAUGAAAAAAAUCAAGGAAAAAUAGCUAAAUUGGCUCAAAACAGGAUCUUAUGAACCUAAUUUCAGGGGAUCCGAACAUCAAAUGAUCAACAAAGUAUGUUUCCAAUUGAGAUGGGCCUUAGAAAUCUCCUAUAAAAAUUGAGAUCUAAGCAAAUUAAGUGAUAUUUGUUUGAGACUUCGCUAACUACAUAUAAAGGAAUUAAAAAUAAAUUAUGAUGAUCAAUUCAAAAUCAACAAAAUAUUAAAGUGAAAUUGGAAGCAAAAACAGGGCAAAAAUCAUUAAAUCAAAAGAAGAAAAAAUUAGAAGAUAGAAUUUAUUUAUUUUUUUUAAAAAAGGGGGGAGGAUAUGAAUAGUGAAGUAGGAGGGAAAAACCUAAUUUUUUUAGUAUAAUAAAUAAUUUUUAAUUAAAUUAAAAUCUUCAUCUCAUACAAUUAGACCCAAAAAGAGUUAAAUAAAAAAGGGAAGAAAAUUUCUAAAGAUAUAAGGACCAAUUUAAAAAAAUAAAAGGAAAAAAAAAUGAAAAAACACCAAAUCAAGAAACGAAAAAAUAUAAGGACCAAUUUAAAAAAACAAUAAAAAAUAUAAAGAGUGAAGGAGGUAGAGAAACAUAAGUUUUUUAGUAUAGUAGUUUAUUUCUAGUUAAAUUAAAAACUUUAUCUCAUAUAAUUAGGCCAAAAACAAUUUUUUAAAAAAAAUAAGGACUAAUUUGUAAAAAAAGAAGAGAAAAAAACAGAAUCAAAUCAAAAGGGAAAAAAAACUAAUUUAAAAAUAAAAAUAAAAUGCUUCAUUAUUCAUGUAAAAACAAAACAUCAUUAUAGUAUCCAACUAGACAAGUGACCUACACUACGGGCUAUCCUAAUUUUUUUAAAGCAAAAUUUUUUUUUAGCAUUAUUAGAUGUGAGAAAAUAUUUUUUAAAAAACAUACAUGUGUACAAGAUAGGAGAGAUUUGGUUUGAGAAUGCAUGCUAAAAAUCUAAACAUGAACUAAAACAAAGUGGAAUUAAAAAAAAAAAAAAAACUUAAAAGAGAUCAGUGAUUCAUUAUAGACUGUGAGGUAAAACACUGUAGAUUAGCAUAAUAUAUUUAUUUUUUGACCUUCUCUACGUAAAAUAAUUGCCUUGCUAACAGGGUAAAGUUGUUAUUUUCAAUGGAUCUAAAGGUUAUUUGUAAAUUGAUUGGGAAUAAUUUAGUAGGUUAGCUAUUUUAUUUGCGUAGUAAAAUGACGUCAAUACCCUUGAGAGUUCAAAAAUAUUGACCUUGACAAAGGCAUUUUUUAGUCUUUUCCAUGUUUUGUAUACUGUAAAAUGACAAAGUUAACCUUAGAAUAAAAAAAUCUAAAGCUGGUCUGGGAUAGCAUUUUCAUCUUUGCAAUAUAGCUUUUUUGUAAUAUUUAGAUGCUCUUAUGAGCUAUUUAGCAAUUUAAAGUAUUGAAAUAUUAAUAAAUCAAUAAACAAAGGCUGACAUGUGUGUAGCACGUGUCAACACGUGAUAGUCCACCACGUCAUUUGGGAGGCGUGUGAUAGUCCAACAUGUAAUAUGGAGGUGUAGUUGAUGACGUGGCGUGUCGUCAUAUUUGUAGUGGUUUAAUGGUGAUAAAAAAAUUUUCCCGUCCCCCUCUUUUCUCUCUCUAAGGCUUUAGUAUUCACGCCGAUGCUUUAAAAUUUCACUUGUAUCCUUUGGAUUGUAUUUAUAUUAAGUUUGAUUCUUAUUAUUUUAAUUUCUAUUUAUUUUGAUUUUAGUGUUUUUUAAAGAAAAAAAUUUCAAUUUCAUUCCUCAACAUUUUAUUUCAUUUAAUUUUUAUAUUAAACUUGGUCCUCAUUCUUUUAAUUACUAUUUUCUAUCCUUUACUUAAUUUUUUUAAUUUUAUUUCUUAUUAUUUUAUUUUAUUUUAUUUUGUUUGCAAUUGCAGUUCUUUUUUUUUUUUAUCCCUAGUAAGCAAUUGUUGCCGCAAUGACAUAUGCCUAGCAAGAGGAAAAAAAAAAAAAAAAAGAGACGCUUGAAGGUUAGAGAAGGCACCUCUGAGUGGAAGGAGGCUGAGGUGCGCUAUUUUUGAAGUAUGUGAAAAUCAUAUGUUUCAAUGCUACUUCUUGCAAGAGUCUCCUUAACCAACCUAGAGUGUUAUAUUAGACUGCUAACGUAUUUUAUAAAAAUAUUGAUAAAAAUAUUUUUGGAUAAUUUUUUUUAUUUUAUUUGAAUUUAUUUCUUAAAUAAUUUAAAUUAAUAAGAUAAUUACAUAAAAGAUAAUGUUAGUCAAGUUAUCUUUUUACCAACCAUAAAAAGAUUUUUACUAAUCCAAGCCAACAAAAUAACAAUUACAUGUAUAAAUUGUCAUAUGUUGGAAAAAGGAGUUAGCUCAUAUUUUAGGGAUUAUAUUAAAGUGUUAGCAUCUUGCCUGGUUAGAAAUAGAAUUGAAUUUACAUAUUAGUAUUAUCAUAUAUUUUGUAUUGUCGUUUAAAAAAAUAAAUAUUUUCCUUAUAUGGAGUUAAGUGUUUUUAUUUUUAUCAUGUAAAAUUUAUAUAUUUUUUAAAAUUAAUUUUUCUAAUCAUCAAAUUAUUUUUAUUUUUUAAAAUUUAUAUAUUUUUUAAAAUUAUUUCUUAAAAAUAAAUUUAUUUUUCUAAAAAAUUGAACUUAAUACAUGCAUAUUAUCUAAUCAUCAAAUUAUGAACUAUCAUAAUUCUAUAUAUUUAUUUAAAUAAAACAAGUUCAAGAAUUAAUGUAGAUCAAUCUUAUUGAUUAAUAAAAUUCAUGUAUGUAUCUAUUUUUGCAAAUUGGAUGCAUACUUAAUUAAUAUUAAAUCAAGCAAAAAAUCUAUAAAAAGAAUAUACAAGUGAGCCAAACAACAAUAUUAAAAACGAACAAGAGGUCGAAUUAAUAUCCAUUAACUAAUAGUAAAAUUAAGAAGAUGAUACCAAAGGACACAAAAUCACAAAAAAGCAUUUAACAUUCAGAGAAAGAAGCCUGCAACACCCAUUAAGGAAAAGAGAGAAGGGAAAGAAAUGUAGAUUAAUUGAUACAGAGGAUCACCUUGUUCCAGACCAGCGCGAGACUGUAGAAGAAUCCAGACGAACCAAGAGCAAAAAAUGCAGGAGAGAUAAUCAUGAGAGAAACAAAUUCAUAUAUCCACGAAUACGUACAACAUUUGAAACCUAUAAUGCAAGAAUAGCUGCAGAUGUACAUUAAUAUUUUUAAUUUAAAGAAUCAAUUAAUUAUUUAAAAAACUUGAGGGAUUAAUUUGUUUGUUUCACAUAAAACAGACACUAAUUAUAUAAAGUUUUACUCAAAAAACAGACACUAAUAAUCAUAUGCGUGAGUGUUUACUUGUAAAUAUUUUGGAAGGAACUGGUUUAUGUUUUGCGCAUCAUGAAAAAAUCAUAUAUGCUUAAGUAACUAUUUGGCAUCAAUCUAGUAAAUUAAUCUUAAAUUCCUUUUAUCCAACUCUUGCCGUUUUAAAAUUAAUCAAUGUAAAAGUUAACCAAACAUGAUAAAAUCAAUAUAAUGGGUUUACGAAUACAUAUUAAAUUAAUCUUGGUUUUAUAGCUUAAUUUUCUAAACUCACUACUCAAAUAAUGAACUACAUCUAGUUUUAAUUUUUUUUAUUUAAUAUUAUAAUAACAAUACCAUUUCAAAAUUAACCAAAUAUAUAUAUAUAUAUAUAUAUAUAUAUAUAUAUAUAUAUAUAUAUAAUAGAGUUUAAAAACAAAUGAACAAUAUGAUAUUGUUCCAUUUUACUAUAAUGAUGAAGUUUUCACAAAAUAUAAAACUUAAAUUAAAUUAAGGCAACAAUCAAUUCUUUAGCUUUAAAACGAUUUAUUAUUUGCUUUCUAGUGGUAGUAGUAGGAUGAUUGGAAUAAUUUUUUUUCCAUUAACAAUAGAAUUGAGAAGGCCCGCCACAGACCAAGAGGACAGCUUCAAUGAAGCCAUCCCAGCCGAUGCAGGUGAUUACCCGUCGGCUGACAUCUCCUCGCGCGCAUAGCACCAGCCAAACCACCUCAAUCUGAAAAUGCACCAGACAAAGUCAAUGGAAAGACGCCAGGGAGCCUCAGCAGCCGAGAAGAAAGCGAGGGAACACCCACCGCGCGAGAAACACGAAAAACAUAGAGGGAGCGCGGUAAAGACUGUGAAGCCACAGAAUUCACACAUUGUGCACCGUGUUUUAAUGAGCACUCUUAGUUUAUUUUAUAUAUAAUUCUUUUAGUUUUAGUUUUAGUUUGUUGUGUUAUGAACAGUAAAGCAGCACAAGAAUACGUCUGCGUCAAGCUCUGUUCACUUUGGUCCGACAUUCCUCACCUCUCCCCACCUUAGCUCUCUCUCUUUCCCUCCUCUGCUUUUAGAAACCGCCGCUGCCACCUCAACCAAUAAGGCUUCAAAUCUCACCCAGGUGCUUCCUUUUCUAUUAUGUUUUUGUUUUUUAAAAAAGAUUUACGUCCGCGUUUUCAUUUAUUUAAUUGAAGUUACUAUCCAAAGAGAGAAAUUCGAUUUUAAUAAGUAAAUUAAAAAGAUAUAUAAUCGGAUCCAAUGAAAUCGCUGCUCGUGAACGCAACUCGAAGAAAGGCGCAAUCAGUCGAUUCUACUGUGGGUGGAGCAUUUAGUAUGGUCAGGGUUAUUGUGUUGUCUAUUCAAAGAAAGAUGUGCCUGUAAAUUUAUUAAGUUGAUUCUUAUCAGUCUGCUCUUUAGAGUUGAUGAUAACAUGAAAUAUUCAUUGUUGAUGCUUGUCGUUUUCUUCUUCAUUUUCCUAGCUUAAAACAUCCUAGACAAUCUCUUUGGGAUGGUUUAGUGUUUCUGGCCUCUUCAUCUUCUAUUUGUGCUGUGGUAUUUAGUUUGCUGAUAUUCAUUGGGGAUUGAAAGGCCUCGUUUUAUGACUUUGUUUUCUUCUUAUUUCUUUAUUCUUUUGGGGAUGUGAUAUUUUCCUCUUUCUAUUUACACUAUUGGCUCCCUACAAUAUUUUUUCCUUCAGAGAAGUAAAUAUAUACAUAAAUAACAAGAACAGGAGGGGAAGGGGAGGGGGGUUUGACAAUAAGUAUUUGCUUAGAAGGGAAUGCUUCUUUGGUUUAGAAGCACCAUGAAGAUUCAGGCCCAUAUUUGGCUGGUUUCUUUAAUAAAGUACAUGAUAUUCCAUUUUUCAUGUCCUUGAUGUGCUUUUACUCUUCUUGCCGUUCCUGACUUUCUUUUUAGGGUAUAUUCUAACAUGCAAUAUGUUUUUUUUUUGUUGGCCCACUGUCCCAGGCGGAGAACCUGUCAUGGACAUGGGUGAUUGCAGAAUUCAAUUGCAGCCUGACUCACGGAAAAGAAUAGUCAAAAAUUUUUUUUAUUUAUAUGAAAGAAAAGGAGAAGGGCAGAAGGUUAAUUAAAAUCAGCAGGAUUGCCAUGAGGCAACCUCAAGUAUCACGCACCUCUUUUUUUUUUCAUCUUUUCAUGUGUUUCUCACAAGAAGCAAACUUGAGGGAACAUAAAGUGCUGGGAAGUAAUUUUUGUUGGAAUUUCUUGUCUAAUCUCUUCUUUUGAUGAUGACCUCUUGGAUGGCUGCAUGAAGCUUGUUCCGCUUUAAAUUUCAAGGUUAAUCUAUUGCUAUGAGCAUACGUGUUUCAAUUUAAAACUCGAGUUGCAACUGAACUUAAAUAAAUGGUGUUGGAUUUGUGCUUUCUAUUUGUUUUAACUUCUACAGGGUUGAAAUGAUAGUGAUCUUAAACUAGAAAAGCAGCAGACAAAAAUCAAUUAGCCACAAUGGUGUAUGGUUUCUCAGCAUAAAGUUGAAAUGAUAGUGAUCUUAAACUAGAAAAGCAGCAGACAAAAAUCAAUUAGCCACAAUGGUGUAUGGUUUCUCAGCAUAAAGUUGAAUGUUUUGUUGACCUCUUUACAUCCAAAAUCAUAUAGACAGCUACUGCUAGCACUUGCAGUGGUCAAUGAAUACUGUAGAGUAUAUAUUGCAGUGUGAGAUAAGGUUAACUCAUUGCAUUUUCAGAUAUUGAAAGGAUUUCUCUUCUUUUCUUUGUCAAUUACAGGACAUGCAUCGAAGUGUUCUUACUGAGAGUAAAUGCUAUUGUAAUGUUUUCACAGAGACUCCCCUGCUUUGCAACUAAGUCACUAAUAUAUCUUGGAACAUAGCCAUAAAUGAAAGGUUCUUCCAGAUCAAGAAAAUUAACCAUGAAGCUCGUAGCUAGAAUUUUUAGACAGAAAGGUGGCCAAGUACGCUGUACCUCUGGAAUAAUACAGGGAAAGGAUGUCUAUGUAUUUUGAUGUCUUAUAUUACUUGACCAACUCUUGCUUAUCUCAUUAUUUGUUUUUACUUUUUGCUAAUGAUUCCACACAUUUCUGAUAUUGGUGUGGUUUAUGAGUUUAGGGUUCUCGUUGCUGCUAACUUCUCUAUACUUUGCCUGGUCAUUAAAAAUCAAACGUAAUGAUUUGCAUAUGCAGAAUGGAGACAUUAAAAAGACAUCUUCUAUUUUCUGGUGAGGAGGGAUUUCAGGAACUCAAGAAAUUUUCCAUACGUUUUGAGGAAAAGAUUUAUACUACCGCUAACAAUCAGGUAUUUGCCUAAUGCGAGGUUCAAUAAUUAUGAUAUUAUCUAGACAUGAAUAUACACACGCAUUUAUGCUUGUACAAAUGUGUGUGUAGUGUGCCUACACUUCCUCACCGUUCAUUCUGUAUGCAAGGUUGAUUGGGAGUUCACAUCAUUUUGUUAAUUCUCUUGACAAGUGUUUUAUUUAGAGUGACCAAGUUCAAGUACAAGGGAAGAAUGCAAAAAGCAAAUAACGAAUCAAUACAUAAAUAAUUAAAUAAAAAGAGAGGUAACAGAAGUAUAUCCUCAUAGAAGAUGAAAUGAUAGAGUAUAUAUCUAUUUUCCUCCUCUGGUAACAUGGAUUGCUCUGAGAUCUACUGUUUUGUUAUUAAUAUCUGAUUUCAAUCUGAUUAUUUGCAUAAAAUAUCUCUGGAGAUGCUUUCGAUGGAGACCAGGUCUCAAAAUGCCAUGCUCACUACACCUAUGGAUCCAGCAGGUAAUAAUGCAGCCGAGCAUUGAAUUUCUAAAUAUCUUACCUUUUGUUUUUCUUCUCGCAUUGCUAUCAAACUCUUUUACAUUUUAUUGCUGCAUAUUGCUAUGUAUAUCGCCUUGCUGGAAAAAUCUCAUGAUCACCUCCACGAUGAUAAUUUUGUAAUGCAUGUGAAGUGUUUCAUCCUUAACUUGUUAAGGAACAAGGACUGUGAUGCAUGGUAUUUUAUAUUUUAUGAUUGAGAUGGUAGAUUUUAAAGAUUUUCAUGUUAAGGAGAUAAGACGUCACUUUCUUGCUUUUCUUCCGAGAGAGUAUUUGAUCCUUUUUUCAUAUAAAAUAAUGCUGGCAUGCAUUGAAUUUCCAAACAUCUUACCUUUUGUUUUGUUUGUCGCAUUGUUAUCAAACUCUUUUACAUUUUGUUGCGGCAUAUUGCUAUGUGUAUGGCAUGCUUUAAUCAAAAAGUUGAGUAAUUGAUGAAUGUUAGGCAAGAAAAUUACAGAUUAUUUUUAUUUUCUACCUCCUCCUUCUCUUUCCCCCACCCCGAAAAUGGUCAUAUUAUUUUUUUUUUCAGCCACCUCUUCUUCCCCCAACCUUGAAAAUUGUUUAUAUUUGCUUUGGAAGCAUGGCAAACUUCACUGCCUCUCAGCUUAAGGAGAUUGCAGCAGGUCUCGAAGCUUCUGGGCAUCAGUUUAUUUGGGUAGUUAGAAGAAACAAAAAGAGUCAAGAAGACAAGGAAGAUUGUUUACCUCAAGGAUUUGAGGAAAGAAUGGAAGGCAAAAGGCUAUUAUCAGAGGAUGGGCACUCCAAGUUUUGAUUCUUGAUCAUGAAGCAAAAGGUGCAUUUGUGACUCAUUGAGGAUGGAACUCAACUCUUAAAGGCGUAAGGCAAAUAUUUGAUGAGCAAUUCUAUAAUGAAAAGUUGGUGACUGAUGUUUUAAAAACUGGAGUUAAGGAAUGGCUUAGAGUGCAUGGAGAUCAUGUUAAAAGUGAAGCUGUAGAGAACGCAAUCACUCAAAUUAUGAUGGGUGAAGAAGCAGAGGAAAUGAGGAGCAGAGCAAAGAAGCUUUCAGUGCUUUGAUUUAAUAACUGCAAAAAAUGAAAGGUUGUUGAAGAUGGUGGAUCUUCUUGCUCCGAUUUCAAUGCUUUGAUUGAAUAACUGAGGUGGGGUAGCCUUUGAAACAGAGGCAUAGAAUAUAUAUAUAUAUAUAUUUUAGCUUUUUUAGUUUAACGUGGGUGUUCGGGCCAGCUUGCGCGCACCUCGACUAAUCCCACGGGCCCUGAAGUUAACGACCAUGUAAGUCUCCAGUGGCCAUCAUAUGAGCAACCACAGGGCUCGAACCUGAGACCACAGAGGGAGCAAACCUUUUAGUCCCAAGCUCUUACCACUGGGCCACCACCUAGAUGGUUAAGGCAUAGAAUAUUUUGUUUCUACUUAGUAGUGGUUUUGGUAAUUUAUUUUCAGACAAGUCUUGAGAGUUGAAAGAGUAAUCACAGCCGAGUCAAUGACCAAUCCAAAUAAGUUCCCUUCCUAAUGGUUCAGGAAUGACAAGUCCAGCAUAUAUAUUUAGCCCAAAUAACUUUUCAAAUAAAAUGGCUGAGCUUAGAGACAGUACACUACAAAUUAAGCACCCAUUAGCUAGACAUACAGGACAAACAAUCAUCACAAACUAGAAACGACUGUCUUCCCAGUAACAAACUCACCUUCUCAAGUUGGAGAACUUGCGAAAACUAGCUACUACAAUAUAGUAGCAAGUAUCUAUGCAGUCUUCGAUGAAGUACGACCACCUGCGUCGCCAAUAUGGAUUGAUGUAAAGAACUGCUACAAUCAUAAUCACCACGACUGUGUAACUUACACCGAAAUUGAUGUAGAAAAACUCCAUGUCUAUGAAACCAUCAUCUCCUUGUUCAUCAUUAGGCACUGGUUGUGAUGGCAUUGGCUGUGAUGGCACUGGCUGUGAUGGCACUGCUUCUUCACUACAAUUGUUUUGCAAUGGAGGUCCACACAAGAAAGGAUUUCCUUCGUAACAGCUUUCAUCGAAGGUCCCAAACUGAUAUUUUCUCUCGGGUGUCUUACAUGACAAGUUAUUGUACGCCACACUAAAAACUUCCAGUGUGGUAAUUUCAGUAAGUUGUGGAGGGAUGACACCAUUCAAGUUGUUGUAAGAAAGAUCCAAACUCUCAAUCUGUUUUAGGUUUGAGAAUGUUGCUGGGAUAGAUCCAGUGAGAUUGUUGUGUGAUAAGUUUAAUGACAAUAUCUUACUUAAGUUUCCAAAUUCCGGUGGGAUUGCUCCUACGAAGUUGUUAUUGGAGAGAUCAAUACCAGACAUGUAGUUGAGAGUCUUCCCCUUGUAACCAUAAUACAUAUUUUUAGUUGUAAAUUCUAUCACUUCUUCUGUAAAGUUAAGCAGAAAACCCUUUCUCAAGUUGUACAUACUCUCCACUAGUGGUGGACCCAUUGUUUCAUAAUAAGCUUUUUCUAUGGACCUUGAUAGAACACCAGCUCCGAGAUCCGUGAAUGCUUUCUGGGAACUUUCCUUGAAAGUAAGAUUGCCCAAACAGGAGGGUAGUGGACUAGAGAGCUGGUUUUGUGAAACAUCCAAAAUGCUUAAAUGUUCUAACAAGCAUAAUUGAACAGGGAGCUCACCAUCAAAGUGAUUAGCCCUCAGAAGAAGAACACUCAAUGAUGAAAGAUUGCCAAUCCAAUUUGGAAUGGAGCCGGUGAAGCUGUUAUCUUGAAGAUCCAUCGUAACUAAGAAAGAGCUGUUAUAAAAUCUAUAUGUUAAUGGACCGCUCAAUCUAUUUUCGGAUAGAUGCAUAUGGAUUAGAGUUGAUGGACUGAAACAAGAUGGUAUAUAUCCAGACAAGUUGUUCUCUGAAAGGUUCAAAUAUUCAAGUUGAUCAAGCUUACAAAAGUCUCUUGGGAUCGGACCCUUAAAAUGGUUUUUGGACAAAUCAAUUGCUGCAAGAAUCGUAGAAUUAAGAAAGCUCCUUGGAAGCAUGCCUGAAAAUUGAUUGUUACUCAAAUCCAAUACAAUCCACAUUUUCCACCUAUAUAAUGAAAAAUCUGAUAUCUGACCCCAAAAGUUGUUACCACCUAGAUAGAGAUAUUCUAAGGUAGAAGAAUUGAACAACGAGGUCGGUAAUUGCCCACCCAAAUUGUUGUUUGACAGCUUGAGAAACCAUAUUGUUGUUAGUUGUUCUAGUUUUACUGUGGACAAUUGAUUGUUGGAUAAAUCUAAAAUUCCCAAAGAGCUAAUAUUUCCUAAACAAGAAGGAAUACAACCUGUGAAUCCAUUCUUAGCCAUCCUUAAGCUCUUCAGAUUUUGAAAGAUCAAACAAAUAUCCUUUGGAAUUUGACCGCUCAUGUUGUUGUUGGAUAUAUCUAAUUCGGUCAUAUUUAGAUAUGGGUGAUUUGGCAACUGCAAAGUACCAACAAAGGAGUUCUCACUCAAAUAUAGUUGCUCCAAUCGUGUAUUGUUCUUAAGCAACCACGAUGGAAACAUUCCGGUGAUGUUGUUGUGGGAGAGAUCAAGGACUCUUAAGUCGUAUUGGUAAUAGAGGAAGUUGGGAAUCUCUACAUUGACUGCUUCUAUUGUUUUUGACAAACUAAAAAAGACUAGUUGGAACUUUGGAAUCAAAUGAUCAAAGGCAGCAGGUUCUGUUACUAGUCUAUUGUUCUCAUUGCAGAAGAACUUGAGGCUUGAGUGGUUCAUAAAAGGCUUCAUUGAAAUGGGAACUUCAAAGAGGUUAUUUGAUAGUGAGAGGAAUUCAAGAGAUGUGAGGUUGGUAAGAGGACCAGAGGCAAUAUUUCCAGUAAACUGGUUUUUAGAAACAUCUAAUAGUUGUAGAGAUGACAAGUUUCCUAAACAAUCUGGGAGUGAACCUUCUAAAUUAUUUCCAAAGAGAUCUAACUGCUUCAGAUUCUUCAAUUCACACCAACCUGUAUAAUUUAUCUCGAAACAGUCAAAAUAGCUAAAUAAUUAAAAGAUUACCAUAGAAGAGGAUGGAGUGUUGUUAAUUUACCUUGAGCGGGUAGGGUGCCAUGGAGGUCACAUCCACCAACAGACAAAACCUUAAGAGCAGGCAAUGCUCCAAUGUUCUGGAGAAAGUUUACUGGGAGAGAAGUACGAUCUAGAUUCAAUUCUUCAAGAGUGCUAGAAUUGAAGAAAGUCCCUGUGAAAAAGAAAGAAGAAGAGAUAUGAAGAAAAUAAUGGUGGUACAGAAUAGCCAUUCCAUUCAAUAUUAUUAAUUAAUAUUUUAAGAAACUAAACUAUGAUUAACCUUGACUUAAAUUAGUAUCCUUGAGAGAAAGGGUCUUCAGGGAUGGCAAUGACUGCAGGAAGUCCAGCUUCCUUAAACCUAUGAUGUGUAGAAUUGAAAACAGGCAAUCAAGUAAGUAGUGAAAUUAAGCGUUAUCUUGAUCGAGUUUUUAAACCUAUGAUAAAAAACUGAUAUUGAAUAUACUUUUAUAAUGAUAUGAUUUUUGGAUAGAAACAACAAAUUGCCUGAAAAAUCCAGAGAUUUCAAAAGGUAUUGUUAAAAAAUGAAGUAAAUAAUAUUCACAACUUUACCAUUGACAGUCGUCGAUCCUAGCAACAUAUUGCCUGAUAAAUUUAAAGACUUGAGAUAAGAAAAUCCACGCAGAUGUGAUAAAAUGCUGUCGUUGAAUAUAUUAUAGCUCAAGUCCAGGUUCUCGAGUUUCCCUAAAUGUGAUGAUAUGAUCUCAAAACCUGCAAGAGUAAGUCAUCAUGAGCUCACGAUAUGCAUAAUAUAUAGAAACUAAAGAUAAUUAGAAUUGAUGAGAUGCUGUUGUUCAAUUGAUAUAUGAUUCUCAAAUUAUACAUAAAAAUAAUGAUACAUGAACGCAUAUGUCAUUAUAUAACAGGUUGUGCACACUUCAAAGAUUAAGAAACAAUUUUUAAUCAUUCUAAUUUUGAUCUUAUUGGAAAAAAAAAAAAAAUUUAUGGAUAUAAAGUCGUUAAAGAUGGAAACUAAGUCAAACAUGAUAAAUGCUAUCAUUAAAUUGAUCAUUACAUAGAUAUAAAGUACUUAUUUUUUAUGAUAAUGCAUGUAACGAGUAUUAUUGAUUAUUGUUCUUGUUUUAAUUACCGAUGAGAAAUUUUGAACAAUCAUUUGAUUUUAUUAGUUUUGAAUAAUAUAAUAUUUUUGAAGAUUAUAAAAUGUUAUGUAUUUUUAAAUAACUUGUUUUUUUGAUAUGUUUGUUAUGAGGCUUAGCGUAGGUGGGGUGUCCUUUCGAUACAGCUCCUGCGUUGCCAGUAAUAAACUUGAGACUCGAGUGGUGACAAAAUUGAUCUUUACAUGGAUAUAAAGUUCUCAUUUUUGUUGAUAAAGAAACAAUAUAAUUAAGAGAAUGUCAUGUGAAGCAUUUAGGUAGAAACUGUGUAUUAUACCUGAUCCUGUCAGCUGAUUGCCUGAUAGAUCCAAAGACUUGAGGGAUGAAAAUCCAGUUAGAGAUGGAAAAAUGCUGCUGUUCAACUUAUUAAACGAUAGAUCCAAAGACUUGAUCAGGGAUGAAAGCCCACUCAGAAUUGAUAAGAUGCUGCUGUUCAAUUGAUUGAAACUCAGGUCAAGGUUCUCUAACUUUCCCAGCCUCAUCGGUUGGAGUUGAAAACCUACAAGAUAUACAUAAAAAAAAAUAUACAGUGCAUAGAUUAAGGAAGAAGAUAGAUUGCAAGUAUCCAUUCUAUACAUGUAAUUUUUAAUCAUCCUAGUUUUGAUCAAGUUGUGUCUUAUUAGAAAAACAAUUUAUGGAUAAGAUCAAAGCCCCAUAGAUAUAAAUCUUCAUUGAUGAAAGCUAGCGCAAUCAAACAUGAUGAAAUGCUAUCGUUGAUUAAUUAUUAAAUAAAUAUAAAGUCCUCAAUUUUCUUGAUAAAGAAACCGUAUAAAAGAAUGUCACGUAAAGCAGUUAGGUAGAAAUUAUAUAUAACUUACUAUUGAUACCAGCAGAUCCUGUCAACUCAUUAUAUGAUAGAUCCAAAGACUUGAGAGAUGAAAAUCCAGUUAGAGAUAGAAAAAUGCUAUCGUUGUAUUGAUUCCCACUCAGAUAUAGUUUCUCCAGCUUUUUCAACCUUGAUGACAAGACUUUGAAACCUGCAUGAUUUUUCUCAAAAAACAUAGAAAUGAUAUGAGAAGGAGAAAAGAAAAGGUUUUGAAGCUAAAUAAUUAUAAGGUUACCAUAGAAGCUACCUCCUGAUCCAGCUGUCAACCCAUUGUCUGAUAGAUCUAAAGACUUGAGAGCGGAAAGCCCAUUGAAACAUGACAAAAUGCUUUUAUCAUUAUUAAAUCGGUUUUCACUUAGGUCAAGUUUCCUCAGUUUUGAUGAUAGGACUCCGAAGCCUGGAAGAGAAACAUCAAAGCAAGAUAAUUGACAUUAAACACCAACCAACCAACCUUCAUUUAUUUUAUUAUUAUAAUUAAGUGCACAAACAUUGAACUAACCUUCAUUCUCCAAGCAACCAACCAAUCCAUUAUAUCCCAAAUCAAGACUUUGCAAUUCUUUGAAAGGCUGAAACAAAGAUGCGUUGAGAACCCAAUCGCCCAAGCUCUCAUCCCUUUCUCCACUAAGAGAGAGUUGGAUCACUCGCCUUGUAGUGUGAUCACACUCGAUCUCAGGCCACUCACAACAAUUACUACUGUCCACCCAAUGUCUCAAGGAAAUGCCAUCUGGGUCGAUCAAAGAUUGGAUCUCCAAGAGACCAAUUCUCUCUUCCUCCAAACACCCAUAACAACGACCAGACCAUUCGCCAACCAAAGUGAAUAAUGCUAGCAACAUCCAAGCCCCCAUUCUUUUCAACAUCAUCGUAGAUAAUUCUAUGAACUACUACGUAGAAUAUUAUUGUUUGUUAUGUGCCUUUGGGCAACCAUAGAGGUCCUAUUUAUACUACACUGGCCAUUUCCAUGACUUUGAGAUGUUUUCUUUAUUUAAUUUCCACGACUUUAUCUGCAUAUCUUGUGCAGGUUCCGUGUUUUGAGAUUUGAAUAUUAUUUUAUUUCUUUUUGGAAUGUUCUUGGAUUUAAAUAUUAUUUUAUUUUAUUAUUUAGCACUUAUUCUAUUUGCAUUUAAUUAUAUUUUGGUUACUAAUUAUUCAAUUUAUAAAAAAAAUAAAAUAAAAAAAUUGUUGCAGUACUUCAACAUCGACAUUCGUGUGUGAUUCCACAUAAGAUCUUUUCAACUUUAUAAUUGUACUUCUCUCGUUAAAUACAUAAAUUAUCAAUAAUAAUAAACUCGAAAUAAUUAUAAAUCUUAUCCCUGUGGAUUGUGUGGGUACAGUAUUAUAUACAAAAACUUCAAAUACAUAAUAUAUAUAAGUCAGAAAUAUUUUUGUUUUUAUGGACUUGUUUUUAUUACAUUUCAAUAUUAAAUAUAUUUUUUUCAAUCGAGUCAAAGAUAUACCAUUUAUAUUAGAAUGAGAAGACUAAUCAAUUUCUCUAAUUUCUCUAGUUUUCUCCCUAAUUAUAAAAUACAUCUGGUUUUUCAAGUCCAGAUUUUAAGAUAAAAGGAAUUUAUUUCUUGAAAGUAAUGCAUUAAACAAUAUAAAAAAAAUUUAAAAAAUUUAAAAUAGUAGUAAAAGUAGUUUUUGAUUGAAGUGUAAACUAGUGGUAAAUGAACAAAAAGAAACUUUAUUGAUUAUCUAAUGAGUUACUUCUCCAGAAAGAAUAUAUACAAUAUUAUUGAUUAUCUAAUGGAAACUCCGCCUAACACACACACACACACACACACACACACACACACAUAUAUAUAUAUAUAUAUAUAUAUAUAUAUAUAUAUAUAAGUUAGAGACACUUUUUGUUUUUAUGUUCGGAAAAGUGUUCUUUACUUGUUUUUAUUACAUUUCAAUAUUAAAUAUAUUUUUUUCAAUCGAGUCAAAGAUAUACCAUUUAUAUUAGAUUGAGAAGACUAAUCAAUUUCUCUAGUUUUCUCCCUAAUGUAUAAAUUUCUCUAGUUUUCUCCCUAAUUAUAAAAUACAUCUGGUUUUUCAAGUCCAGAUUUUAGGAUAAAAAGAAUUUAUUUCUUGAAAUUAAUGCAUAAAACAAUAUAAAAAUAUUUUUAAUAAAUUAAAAUAGUAGUAAAAGUAAAUUUAGUUUUUGAUUGAAGUGUAAACUAGUGGUAAAUGAACAAAAAGAAACUUUAUUGAUUAUCUAAUGAGUUACUUCUCCAAAAAGAAUAUAUAUAUUAUUGAAUAUCUAAUGGAAAGGAUUCAUGAAACUCCGCCAUAUAUAUAUAUAAAAGAGAAAUUGUCGAUAAUAGCAAUCAUUUUCUUAUCUCUUGUAUCAUUCAUAUCUUCCACAAAUCUUAAGUAAUUGAUGAGACAGUGGAUAUUGCCAAGAAAGGUCGUGAACGCGGAUGCUUGACGAUUAUGAUUUUUAAACACAACCAUAUAGUGAUUUCCUUAUGCAUACUGGUGAUCCUCCAGAAUCUUGUAGGAACACCACAAGCCAAUCUAAAAGAAUGCUAAAAGUCAAAACACACAAGCCAUAUAAAAAUCACACGACAGCCAAUUACCUUAUCUUUUGAAAGAAAGAUAAUAAUAAUAAUAAUAAUAAUAAUAAUAAUAAUAAAAGCAUUCUCCUGGGUGUGCAAUGACCGCCAAUCUUUCUCAUUAUGACAUUCAAUGCUCAGUUAGAAGUUGCACGAUGCUCUUCUCAUGGGGAGCAAAAAUCAGUAGCCUCCCAUGGAAUCCUCAUAAACCUUUCUCUAUGCUCUUCUAAGAUAUUAAAAAUGUCAAACAUACAUCAAUAAUAAAAAGACAUUAAAAAUGUCAAACAUACAUCUAAGAUAUUACGCAAAACGAGGUUUUUUUCUGCAAAAAAAUAAAAAUAGAAUGUUAUACAAAUGGAGCUUCCAACAAAAAAGAUAUGGGAAGUUCGAGGAAAAAAAUGAUUAGUUAAUUCAAAACACCAGCAGUAAGUAAUAAUUACAAAACACGAUACCGAAACCAAAUUGAAAAGUGAGCAAGAAUACAAAAAUGGUUACAUGUAUCAAAAGGAACUGGUACCAAUUUCUCCACCACUGUAUGUCCCUUUUGUUCAGUCUAUGUUUGGUGCAAUCACCUAAAGCUAGAAACAAAAACAGCGCCUUACUCUACAAGUAGCUCAUCAAAGUAUAUGUUGUAAAUUGCAAACACGUGCUAACAAUAAAUUGUGGCCAGAGGAUUUGCUUCGAUCCCAGAGGCCAUUGAGGAUAUUCGUCAAGGAAAGGCUCAUGCACCCUCUUGAUUUGAUGAUUCUUUGCAUUUAGUUAUUGUUGUUGAUGAUGAACAAAUUAAGAGAAAAUGAGGGGGGCCUUAUAAUGGCAGCGUCAAAGGCAACACCAGAAGCUAUGGCAUUUAUUGUCAAGCAUGGGACUGGUAUAGUGUGUGUGAGCUUCCAUUAAUGGUAACUCAUAAGGAGAAUGAGGAAAACUGUGCACUGCAUUUACUGUAUCAGUGGUACGUCAUUAACUUCUCCAUUUAUAUUAUCUAAUGGAUAUGAUCUUUUCAAGAAACCUUUAUCUUGGUUUGAUUUUAAAGUGCUAAUUUAAUUGCGGAUUCUGUCCCAGAUGAGGUCCGGUUUCCUGAAAUCAAAGAUGUCUACACUGUCCCGUGGACUUAUAGUUCAGUUGCUCAAUCAGAACUGAUGACAUCUGCACAUUCGGCGACUCCAGCAUUAAUUGUGGCCUUGACAGAUUGUGAGAGGCCAGAUGGGAUGGAUUAGAUGCGUCUGAGUUUGUUGGAGAGGAAGACUUGCAGAAUAAUUUUGAGGGAGUGGGUGGCAGUUCGAUGGAGCGGUUCCUGUUGGUGCAACGCCGAACACAUGCCACGCAGGAUAUAUAGAAAUGCUAGUCAGCUUAUGAAAUCCGAGGUUGAUACGAUACUUAUCUUCAUAGAUUGUGAAUGUUGUUCUUUUUUCUACAAACGAUCCGUUAUGCAAAGCAAAUUCCAAGACCAGAAAAAUAAUGUUUAGAGUUAAAAGACAAUGUCUUAGCAGCAAGGACCUAUUCCAUCAGGAGAUAUGUGAAUUCUCAAGCCUUUGCAAUGCUUUUAAAUUAAUGAAGGAUCAAAAUGAAAAUGUUAUAUUCAUAACUAUACUGCAAUUUUGCCCAUAAUUCUUCUUUAAUUCUGUCCAGAAUCUUGGAUUAUGCUCCAGGGACCAAUCUGGAAUUUUAGUAGAUUUUUAAGGGUCAAAUUGUAAUUUUAUCAAAUUGAAGGACCAAAAUAAAAAUGUCAUAGAUUCAUAACUAUACUGGAAUUUUGCUUGUAAUUCAUCUUUAGUUCUGUCCAGAAUCUAGGAUUAUGCUUCAGGGAUCAAUCUGUAAUUUUUUCAAAGUUUGGGGAUUAACUUAAAUUUUCACAAAUUGAGGGACCAAAUUGAAAUUUUAUUAUCUUCAACCUCAAACCCAGAUUUUUCAUAGAUCACCUACUGAUAUAUCAAGAUUUCGAACUCAAAUUCAUCAUUUAAACAAACUAUAACUCAAAAUCAUCAUUUUUACCUAAAAUUUUCAAAAAUCAACUAAAUAACUCAUUACCCAUAACAGUCAUUCCGCUAAAUUAUUUCUACUUCUGCUUCUUCUUCUUCUUUUUUAUAAUACUCGAGUAUUAUUAUAGAAAGAUGCUUGAGCCAAAAUUAGAGGCUAUCUAGCAUAAAAGAAAAACAGAGGUAUAUACAGGACAGAGAGGAAGUAAUAACAUUAUAUAUAUAUAUAUAUAUAUAUAUAAAACUUGAGUUAACCCGUCAAGUCUAUGACCUGGAUUAUGAGAUCGGGAUAAGCAAACUCAAUAUUAAAAAAUAAAAUUGAAAAAAAAACAAUAAAAACAUAUAUGGUUUAACAAUAUUAAUCAAUUAUUAAAAUAUUUCAUUUUAUAUAUAUUAAAAAUAUAUAUUAAUAACUAUUAUAUCAGUUUGUGAAUGUUUCAAUUUGGAUGCAAAUAGAUGUUUAAUUAUCUAUGACAUUUUUUUUAAGAAACCAAAGUUAUUAAAUAUGGUUAGAUUUAAUACCUAGAUAAGGGUUUAGGUCAUAGAUUGGCUUAAUACUCGGAUCAAGAUUUGAAUUAUAGAUCGAACAAGUUAGCUUAUUGAUUGAUGUUAAUAAAAAAUUGUAUCAUUUUAAGAUUAUUUUUUAGUAAAAACCAAAAUCAAGUAGUUAAAAAAAGUGAAAGUAGUUUUUGAUAGGGUUGACUAGGUUGUAAGUUGAUUUAUCUAGUCGAUUAGGCUUGAUUGAGUCAACUCUCACUUGGUUUUUUUUAAAUCUAAAUCGGGUCAGGUUCCAGAUUAAAAUGUUAGGCUUGAAUUAAAUUUAAUAACGCUGAUUAAAAUCACAUUGUAGAAAAAAAAUGAAUUGCAUAAAAGUAAUUAACCAAAAACUUGUAUUCCUUCUUAUAAAGUUGAACCCAUGUCAGUUUCUUUUUUGGAAAAAUAUAAAUCAAAGGUUAACGCUACUUUCAUGACGAUGACGGAUAAAGAAGACUUGCUCCUUUCUUUAUGGAAAUAACGUGUGGAAAAUCAUGCCUUAAUUUUGAUGGUGAUGGCCAAAUCAAACAGUAUCGUUGAUAAAAUGAACCACAAAUGAUAUUAUUUCUACAAGACUUCUUGUCAUUGUCAUGACAAUAAGUCUUCUCCUUUUUCUUUCUAAAGAGUCUAUUUUUUGUAACACAAUCAACAAGUAAGAUGGAUAGAAAUUUGCAGUGUGAGAUGGGUCUGUGAGACUAUAUAUUGCCAUUUGUAUUUUUUUCAUGAUAAAGGCUAAUUGGAUGGUCCUAUCAAGCGUUUUUUUUACGAGAUGGGUCCAUAAAAACAUUUCCAUCUACACAUUGAUCCCUGAAACCUUUGCCAUAAUGCAUUUUUUCCACGAGAUGGGUUCGUGGAAAUACUUUGGUUUAAUAGGGAAUGCUGUUAUUGAUUGGAAACUUUUUAAUUAAAAUAAAUUUGAUUAUUUGAUUGGAAGAAAUCCUUAAAUGUUAUUAACACAAAGAAAUCAAUUUAUUUUCUUAAGAAAAAAAUAUUGUAACCAUAUAAGUAAUUUAUUUAUUUAUUUUAAUGAAAUAUAAAAUAGUUUUAAAUCUUGUGGUAUAUUUCUUGUCUUUAAGAGCUAUGAACUUAUAUCUCAAAACUUGAAAACUAAUAUAAAGAUAUUAAGUGAUCAUUGAGUGUAUGUGUGUGUGUAUAAUCUUUUUCAAAACAAAAAGGAUUUUGAUGGAGAGGACAUUGCAGCAAAUUAUCCACGAGAUGGGUCGGUGAUACCAUUGUCAUCAUGUAAUUUUUCCCACGAGAUGGGGCCGUACGCUUGGGGCUCUAAAAGCUAUGGUUUUUAAUUUCAUUAUGUUACAUAUCUAGAAUGGGAGGUAUAUUUUAUUUCAAUUCUAAAAAUGAAAUAAAUUAGAAGAUAUUUCAUCUUGUUUAGAAUAUUAUCUCCUUACAUGCAUGAAUUUCACAUAAAUUUUGACCAGAAUAUUUCGGUUCUAUUCCGGCCAUUCUAUUAUGUCCAAAUAAUGUUUUGUUUUGCUUUUAUAUAUAUAAAAAAUAUAAUUUAUUUUUAUGAUAUCAAUUAUACAUUUCAAUUCGACUAUUGGAUUAAACUGAAAUUUUAUAAUCUCCUAAUAUGUAUUAUAUCACAAGUUAAAAUUUUAGAUCAAUCAGAGUUUAGAAAGACUUUGUGAAAUUACUGUUGAUAUAUUUUCAUAAUUUUAUUUAAAUUCAUAAUUUUAUUUUGAAAUGUUUUAUUUUUUGUGGUUUUUUAGAUUGAUUUUUUUUCAUUUUAUAAUUUAACAAUAAAUUUAUUAAAAAUUAAAAUUCAUAAUUUAUUUUUAUUUAUUUUAUUUAAAAUUAUUAUAUUAUCAUUACUCAGAUCACGAAAAAAAAACCUUUGCUUUAAUUGGGAAUGCUGUUACAAGUAAUUGGACUCCGUGGGAUGGGAGACCGUUGCCAUCAUGCAUGUUUUUUCCACGGCAUGGGUCCGUAAAGUCCUCUAUAAAAGCUUAAACCUCCUUACUAUCCUCUAUAUCAAUUGAUCAGCAUUUAUAAGAUGGGGCUGUCUGUUCCUUCUGAUGUUGAUGGUUUUAGUAAUGAUGGUUUCUUGCAAGGAUGGCUGCCUCUUGGAGUAUAUUGACUUGAGAAUUAAUUGUUUUGAUAACAGUAUUUUAUUAUUUGUGGAGUUAUUUCUAUUUUUUAAAUUAUUAUAUUUAGAUUAUAAUAGAGUGAAAGAGUUAAUAGGUUUAAGAGAUUAGGAAAAAGCUACUAUUAAUUAUAGUUAGGGACCAAACUGGAAUUUUUGCACAUUUUUAAGGGUCAAAUUGUAAUUUUAUUAAAUUGAUGAAGGACCAAAAUGAAAAUAUCAUAUUUAUAACUAUACUGUAAUUUUGCCCAUAUUUCUUCUGUAAUUUUGCCUAGAAUCUCGGAUUAUGCUCUAGGGACCAAUCUGUAAUUUUUUUCAAAGUUUGGGGAUUAAACUGAAAUUUUCAUAAAUUGAGGUACCAAACUGAAAUUUUUUCAUCUUCAACAUCAAACCCAGAUUUUUCACAAAUCACCUAUUGAUAUAUCAAGAUUUUUAACUAGAUGAGGGUUUAGGUCAUAGAUUGGCCUAAUACUCGGAUCAAGAUUUGAGUCAAGUUAGCUUAUUGACUAGUGUUAAUAAAAAAUUAUAUUAUUUUAAGAUUUAAUUUAAUUAAAUAGAUCCAACUACCAUGCAAUUCCACAAUUAAUUUAUUUUAUUAUGAUUUAGUGUUAUGUUAACCAGGCAACAUUUAAUUACCAUGAUAUAAAAUACAAAAAUAGUGGGAACAUAAAAAAACAUGCUUUUAUAUAUUUUUUAUUUUAAAAGUAUAAAUUUUACUUUAAGACUAUUGUAAAAAGAUAUUUAUUUUAAAUUUAUUUAUAUUUUUAUAAUUCAAAAAUUAAAAAUAAAACAGAAUUAAUCCAUACUCAUCUAAAAACAAUUAACUCUAACAUCAUUAUUUUAUAACAAAACUAGCAAAGAUAAUUUAUUAAUCACUAAGUUUUCUGGUUAUAAAUACAUUAGUAAGUGUCUUUGUCUCUUUUGUAUUUCUAACUAUUAACGAAUUGAAAGAAUAAAUUUAGAAUCACCAAUUAAGCAGUGAAUCACACGGGAAGAUUGAAAGAAUAAUUAAAGUGAUUAUACUAACCGACAAGUCGACCCCAAGUCAAAGUCUUCUGUGGAAAAACAUGAAUAAAAGGUGGACGCUGGGCAGCUCACUUUCCAUGAAGAUGAUGGAUACAGAGCCCUCCCUUCUAUCUUUAUGGAAAUCACGUCUAGAAAAUCAUGCUUUAAUUUUAAGCUUGAGAGGGGAUGAUAUAUAUAUAUAUAUAUAUAUAUAUAUAUAUAUAUAUAUAUAUAUAUAUAUAUAUAUGCUUUAAUUUCAACUUGUAUAAAAAAUAAAUCUUAAUGACUGGUGAUUUAAACUUGGGUGUUUUUUCGGUAUUAAUAUAUAUAUUCCUCAAUUAUCAUAAAGAAUUAAGAAAAAACUAAUAAUAAGAUUAAAAUAAAUGUUUUAUAUAUCGAAAUAAUUAAAAGUAAGGUUUACUUAAGGUAUAUAUGGGAUUAAUUUAAAAUAACAAUAAAAUCAAUUUAUUAAAAAAAAUCAUAAAUUUAGUUUUCCUAAAUUUUAAAUGUAGUGUGAAUGCAUUCCGCAAGAAAAAAACAGUGCAAAAUUAGCCUUUCAAGAAAUAGAGAAUCUUCCUCUUUGAAGGAAUUAAUUAGUGGGUUGGAAAAAUGUCGUCUUCUGCUCUAAUAUUUUCUUCACUUUCUCUAUAGUUUUACCUUACACCAAUAUUGUCAGAAAAUGAUACAAUAUACUUCUUGUGUUAUCCUUCAAGAUUUCAAUUGAAAAUUAAGGAGGGUCGUAAAAAAUUUAAUUUUUAUAAACAUAUCCUUAACUCUGUAUCUUCUCUAGAUAUGUCUGUGACUGAGCUCCAUAAAGAAUUCCUAUUUAACAUUAAUCUGUCCAUCAAGUUUUUGAUCCCCGAUUAAGGCCAUCUUGAUAAAUGAGAUUUUACUCUGUAAUUUUAAUGUAUAGCUGUCAAUGACCUGAAACAUGCAAAUUAAAAUUCAAAGUGUGAGCAUUGAAUUUCUUGUCAGUUUACACCCUUCUGUGGUGUUUCCUCUUUCCAUUGAUUGAAGAGCGUCCAAGAGGAAAAACUGAAAAGGCAAAAGUUCUAUUGUACAGUGAAAAAGAGCAUGAGAAAUACACAGAAGCAGAGAUGCAUGAAUCCUUCUCCACUAGCAGCUCUCGUCCAUAGGAUCAUUGUGGUUUCAAGAUUGAUGCCCAAUCAUUUCCCUCUUUGUUCGAUUCCUCAGACCUUUUGGAAACUGUACAUUCCGGGGGAAAGUCUGUGCAAGGGCAAAAGGCGACGGUGGACUUGACAAAGGGCUGAGGGGUGGGUGAGAUGUUAUGUCAAGAAAUGAUUUUGGAAAAUUUCUUCAUAUGUGUUGAAUAACUAAGAUAAGAUAGGAGUCUUGAACAAGGCAAAAGCAUAGGCUCUCCAAGACGAUUGACCAGAAGGAGAGAAGGAAGGCUCUAUAUCCUUAGCACGUCAAACACUCCUUUGCACAUUAGAGAAAUUGUCGAGUUAUUCCUGCUUCUUCUUCUUCUUCCUUUUUUUUUUUUUUAUUUAUAAUAGUCCAGUAUUAUUAUAGAAAGGUGCUCGAGCCAAAAUUAGAGACUAGCUAGCAUAAAAGAAAAACAUAGGACAAUAUAUACAAGACAGGGGAGGAAGUAAUAACAUAACAUAAUAUAUAUAUAUAUAUAUAUAUAUAUAUAUAUAUAUAUAUAUAUAUAUAUAUAUAUUAAAAAAAACUUGAGUUAACGCAUCAACUCAACGACCCGAAUCAUGAGAUCAGGAUAAGCAAACUCAAUAUUAAAAGAUGAAAUUUAAAAAAAAAACCUUAAAAACAUAUAUGGUUUAACAAUAUUAAUUAAUUAUUAAAAUCUUUCAUUUUAUAUAUAUUAAAAAUAAAUAUUAAUAACUAUUAUAUCAAUUUGUGAAUGUUUCAAUUUGAAUGCGAACAAAUGUUUUAUAUAUGACAUUUUUCUUAAGAAUGUCUCUUUCAUUAAAACCAAAAUUAUUUAACAUGAUUAGAUUUAAUACCCUGAGAGUUUAGGUCAUAGAUUGGCCUAAUACUCGGAUAAGAUUGAGAUCAUAUAUCAGACAAGUUAGCUUAUGUUGAAUGGUGUUAAUCUAAAAUUGUAUUAUUUUAAGAUUUUUUUUAGAAAAAAUCAAAAUUGCGUAGUUAAAAAAAAUAAAACUAGUUUUUGACUGAAUUAACUAGGUUGUGGGUUGAUUUAUUUAGUCGAUUAGGCUUGGUUGGGUCAGCUCUCACUUAGUUUUUUCUAAACCUGAAUUGGGUUAGGUUCCAGAUUAAAAUGUUAGGCUUGAAUUAAAUUUAAUAAUGCUGAUUAAAACCACAUUGUAGAAAAAAAAUUAAAUUGCAUAAAAGUAAUUAACCGAAAACUUGUAUUCCUUCUUGUAAAGCUGAACCCGUGUCAGUUUUAUUGAAGGAAAACUAUGAACCAAAGGUUAAUGCUACUUUCAUGACGAGAAGACUUGCUACUUUCUUUAUGGAAAUAACGUGUGGAAAAUCAUGCCUUAAUUUUGAUGGCGAUGGUAAAAUCAAAGAGUAUCGUUGAUAAUUAAAUGCUUAUGCAUAAAAAAUAAAUCUCAAGUGUUAGAAUGCAACCACUGAUUAAUUAAUGGACAACGGACCUUGGAUUAAUACAUGACGCAACUUUCAAUGGAAUUAUAUUUGUGGAGGUAUUUACUCGGAUGUGAAUUAUAUUUUUAUUUUUUUAUUUUAAAAAAAAUUCUAUAUACUACAACUAGCUUAAGAAAGUCAAAAAAAUUUAAGUGAAAAAAAAUAUAUAUAUAUUUAUAUACACUCACGCACACACAAAAAUAUAGUCAAAUAAAUCAAGAACUAUGUGUGUUAAUAAGUGGAAAAAAAAACCUUAAACGAUAACUCAAAAUAAAAACUAGAAAAAUCAAGAGACAAGUGUAUAUCAAGAUAUUUAAUUUCACAUGACGUGACAUUUUUUUUUUUGGAUUCGACGAAACCUCACCCCUCCGAAAAGCACACUUUGUGGGCCCAGGUGAGGGAGUAAAACCCCGGCUGUCCCAGGCUCUUACAAAAGGUGCACGCCCUGACUCGAACUCGAGACCUGCUGUGCAGAUCUCAAACCCUUUGCCAUCACGCUACGCCCCUUGGGGACAACGUGACAUUUACGCAGUAUUGUUUUCUAAAUUUUCUAAUUAAAAUAAUUUUUUAUUUGAUCAAACGAUAAUAUAAACAGACACACACAUUCUAAAUUGAUUGAAUAAAAAAAAAAUAUAUGCAAAGCUGUAUAUAUUAAAAAUAUUAUUUGAAAAUAAUUUGUUUUUCAAAAAUAAAGUUCAUCUAUGUAAAAGAUUUUAAAAAAAUAUAGAUUAAUCAAAAAAACCUCUUUAAAAAUUAAAUUCAUGAUUAAAAAAUAAUCAUCAUUUCAAAUAGGCUUUUUAAAUAACUAAAAAGAGAGAAGGGAUAUUAAUAUAAAUAUAAAUAUAACUAAAAUUAAGAUUAUUUUAAAAAAAUAGAUAAAAAAAAUUUUAAGCGAAAAAAAGUGAACAGACACGGUGAACUUAACUCAUAAACUCAACUGAAUUUAAUAUUUUUUUCGUUAAAUUUAUUAUAAAUAUAAAAAAAAACAAAAUUAAUAUCAUUCACGGUAAAACAUAAAUAAAAAACAGUACAACCGCAUAGUAUUCACCUCAGGCAUUUUCUUUUAAAUUUAUAGCCAAACCUUAAAAAUAAACUUUUGUGCUCAGUAUCUUUUUAAGGUGAAUUAACAAGUUUCAACUCAUCUCUGUAUCUUCUCUAGAUACAGAGAAUUCCUAUUUAACAUUAAUCUGUCCAUCAAGUUUUUGAUUCCCAAUUAAGACCAUCUUGAUAAAUGAGAAUUUACUCCGUAAUUUUAUUGUAUAGCUGUCAAUGACCUGAAACAUGCAAAUUAAAAUUCAAAGUGUGAGCAUUCAAUUUCUUGUCAGUUUACACCUUUCUGUGGUGUUCCCUCUUUCCAUUGAUUGAAGAGCGUCUAAGAGGAAAAACUGAAAAGGCAAAAGUUAUGUUGUACAGUGAAAAAGAGCAUGAUCAGAAAUACACAAAAACAGAGAUGAAUGAAUCCUUCUCCACUAGCGCUCUCGUCCAUCGGAUCAUUGUGGUUUCAAGACCGAUGCCCAAUCAUUGCCCUCUUUGUUCGAUUCCUCAGACCUUUUGGAAACUGUACAUUCCGGGGGAAAGUCUGUGCAAGGGCAAAAGGGGACGGUGGACUUGACAAAGGGCUGAGGGGUGGGUGAGAUGUUAUGUCAAGAAAUGAUUUUGGAAAAUUUCUUCAUAUGUGUUGAAUAACUAAGAUAAGAUAGGAGUCUUGAACAAGGCAAGAACAUAGGCUCUCCAAGACAAUUGACCAGAAGGAGAGAAGGAAGGCUCUAUAUCCUUAGCACGUCAAACACUCCUUUGCACAUUAGGGAAAUUGUCGAGUUAUUUCUGCUUCUGCUUCUGCUUCUUCUUCUUUUUAUAAUAGUCGAGUAUUAUUAUAGAAAGGUGCUAGAGCCAAAAUUAGAGGCUAGCUAGCAUAAAAGAAAAACAAUGAUUAAUUGCAAGAGAUGGUUACUUAUACCAGUAGCAAUUUAGUAAUGAUUAAUUAGCAUUUAUAUUAAGAUGUGGCUAUUAAUUCAAAUGUUAACAAUGAUUUUCUUGGAAGGAUGAUUGCCUCUUGGUUACUUUAAAAUAUACGGUUUUUUUAGUUCAAAUCUAUUAAUAAAAAUAUAGUUUUAUUGAAUUUUUUUAUAUACUUUUAUUAGAGAAAUUAAUUUAAACACAUUUAUAUACAGACACUAGUUUAUCAAGUACUUCAAUAGAAAAAUAAAAUCAAUUAGAGUACUUAAAUAAAAAAAAAUAUAAAUUAUAAGCAUUUUACAUAUCUUUAUUGUUUAUAAAUUAAAAAUAAAAUAAUAUCAAUCCAGACUAAUCUAAAAAAAAAUUAACUAUGACAUCAUCAUUCUAAUAAUAAAACUAAUAAAGAUGUUUUAUUGAUUAAAUUUCGUGAUACAGGGUUGAAACAAAAAAGAGAUGAAGAGAGAGGAGGGAAUGGAAAGAAGGGAAAAAAGAACUCAUGCGAUCUGUUGUUUGUAAGUUUUUUACAUAAUAUAUAGGAAGGUAUUUUAAUUAUUUUGUUCAAAUUAAAAAUUUUCAUUGACUAAAAAGCGUAAUUAUCUAAAACAUAAAAGCAAAGUAAAAAACUCAAAUGCUUCAUUAAAAAACUCAAUUGAUUCGGUGCUUUAUUAGUUUCUAUAGUAUGGUGUCUUAUGCAUUUUGUUCUAAUCAUAUAUGGGAAAGUGUUUGGUUGAUUAACGUAUAUCAUGACUUUGUAUGGGUCCUACCACAAACUCUCUCUUUUGAAAUAUUAAUUAAGAAAAAGCUAUAAUUUAUAGUUUUUUUAAAUUUAUUUUUUCAAAUUACAAUCAUAUAAACUACUAUAAUAUCAAAUACAUAUUUGAAUAAGACUCAGUAAAAAUUUUCUUCUUCUAAAUACAAAGUGGAAAUGAGUUACUUUCUCCAAAAAGAAUAUAUACAAUAUUAUCGAUUAUCUAAUGCAAACUCCGUCUAACAUACACAGAGAAAGAGAGAGAACCUUAACUAUGUUUAUUUUAUGCACUUUAAUUAAAAAUAAAUUUUGGAUUGUACGAGAGACUUUAAUUAAAUUUCAAUAUUAAAUUUAUGCACUUUAAUUAACAUACACAGAUCAACUAUUAAUAUAUCAAGACUUUUAACUCAAAUUCAUUAUUUAAACAAACCAUAACUUAAAAUUAUUAUCUUUAUCUAAAAUCUUUAAAAAUCAAUGAAAUAACUCAUUAUUCAUAAUAAUUAACCUGCUAAGUUAUUUCUGCUUCUUCCUUUUUAUAAUAGUCGAGAAUUAUAUAUUAUAGAAAGGUGCUAGAGUUAAAAUUAGAGGCUAGCUAGCAUAAAAGAAAAACAGAGGUAUAUACAAGACAGGGGAGGAAGUGUGCGUGCGUGCGUGUGUGUGUGUGUGUGUGUGAUCCCUUCUCAAGCUUAAAAGUAAAGCAUGAUUUUCUAGACGUGAUUUCCAUAAAGAUAGAAGGGAGGGCUCUGUAUCCAUCAUCUUCAAGGAAAGUGAGCUGGCCAUCGUCAACCAUUUAUUUAUGUUUUCAACCAUUUAUUUAUGUUUUUCCACAAAAGACUUUGACUUGGGGUCAACUUGUCGGUUAAUUACUUUUAUGCAAUUCAAUUUUUUAAAAAUAUAUAUAUAUAUGCUUUAAUUUCAACUUAAGUUAUAUACGGGACGAUAAAAAAAUAACAAUAAAAUCAAUUUAUAAAAAAAAUCAUAGAUUUAGUUUUCCUAAAUUUUAAAUGUAGUGUGAAAGCAUUCCGCAAGAAAAAAACAGUGCAAAAUUAGCCAUGACAAUAAGUCUUUUUCUUUCUAAAGAGUUUAUUUUUUGUAACACAAUCAAUAAGUAAGAUGGAUGGGAAUUUGCAGUGUGAGAUGGGUUUGUGAGACUAUAUAUUGCCAUCAGCAUUUUUUCCAUGAUAUAGGCUUGUAGGAUGGUCCAUGAGACCAUUGCUAUAUAUCAAGCGUUUUUUCUACGAGAUGGGUCCAUGAGACCAUUACCUCGUAAGCUUGGGAAUGGAUAACAUGAUUUAAUGUUUAUUUAGUUUAAAAAAAAAUUAAAUGCUUAUGCAUAAAAAAUAAAUCUCAAGUGUUAGAAUGCAACCACUGAUUAAUUAAUGGAUAAUGAACCUUGGAUUAAUACAUGACGCAACUUUCAAUGGAAUUAUAUUUGUGGAGGUAUUUACUCGGAUGUGAAUUAUAUAUAUAUAUAUAUAUAUAUAUAUAUAUAUAUAUAUAUAUAUAUAUAUAUAUAGGGGCACACACAAAUAUAGUCAAAUAAAUCAAGAAUUAUAUGUGUUAAUAAGUGAAAAAAAAAAUAUUAAACUAUAACUCAAAAUAAAAACUAGAAAAACCAAGAGACAAAUGUAUAUAAAGAUAUUUAAUUUCACAAGACGUGAUAUUUACGCAGUAUUGUUUUCUAAAUUUUCUAAUUAAAAUAAUUUUUUAUUCGAUCAAACGAUAAUAAAAAUAGACACAUACAUUAUAAAUUGAUUGAAUAAAAUAAAAGGAGAAAAAAUAAUAUGCAAGGCUGUACAUAUUAGAAAUAUUAUUUGAAAAUAAAUUUCUUUUUAUUUUCAAAAAUAAAGUUCAUCCAUGUAAAAUAUUUUUAAAAAAUAUAGAUUAAUCAAAAAAAUCUCUUUAAAAAUUAAAUGCAUGAUUAAAAAAUAAUCAUCAUUUUAAAUAGGCUUUUUAAAUAACUAAAAAGAGAGAAGGGAUAUUAAUAUAAACAUAAAUAUAACUAAAAUUAAGAUUAUUUAAAAAAAAUAGAUAAAAAAAUUUUAAGCAAAAAAAAGUGAACAGACAACUUAUAAACUCAACUGGAUUUAAUAUUUUUCCUGUUAAAUUUAUUAUAAAUAUAAAAAAACAAAAUUAAUAUCAUUCAUGGUAAAACAUAAAUAAAUAAAUAAAUAAAACAGUACAACCGCAUGUUAUUCACCUCAGGCAUUUUCUUUUAAAUUUAUAGCCGAACCUUAAAAACAAACUUUUGUGCUCUGUAUGUUUUUAAGGUGAAUUAACAAUUUUCAACUCAACUCGGUACCUUCUCUAGAUAGAUCUGUGACUAUGCCUUGGAUUUUCUCAAAACUACUAAGUGUGUGCUUGAGAGGGUGAUUAUAGUUGUUUUUUAAAGUGUUUUUCACUCAGAAAAACAUGUCAAUAAUAUUUUUUUAUAUUUUAAAAUUUAUUUUCGAAAUCAGCACAUCAAAAUGAUUUAAAAACAUCAAAAAUAUAUUAAUUUAAAGUAAAAAAAAAAUUCAAAUUUUUGCGGAAGUGCUUUUGAAAAGCACUCCCAAACACUCCCAUGGUUGGAUACCAAGUAAAUAGAGAUAAAUUUAUUUCCUGUUAUUCUCCGAUAGUAUCUUCGUCCCUUGAUAGAACUUUCUUGGAGAUGAUGAGCUACCACUCCCUUUUGACUUUGCUGGCCUCCCAAAUAUAAAUAAAGAAUUCCUCUUGAUAGAAUUUUCUUCGAAAUGAUGAGAAUAUUUUAGAAUAUUCUGGUUGACGCCAGCUGUCAACAACUAUCUUACAUUCCCAACGCAUGCCUUUGCAAGAUGUUAAAGGCUCAUCUAAAAACAAUUAACUCUGAUAUCGUUAUUUUAUAACAAAUUAGCAAAGAUAAUUUAUUAAUCACUAAGUUUUCUGGUUAUAAAUACAUUUGUAAUUGUCUUUAUCUCUUUUGUAUUUCUAACAAUUAACGAAUUGAAUAUAUAAUAAAUACCGACUGAAAGAAUAAAUUUAGUUUAAAUGUGCUAAAGUUUAAAUAGGCGACUUUAGAAUCACCAAGAAGGCAGUGAAUCACACGGGAAGAUUGAAAGAAUAAUUAAAGUGAUUUUACUAACAUUGUAAAAGUAAUUAACCGAAAAGUUGACCCCAAGUCAAAGUCUUCUGUGGAAAAACAUGAAUAAAAGGUUGACGCUGGGCAGCUCACUUUCCAUGAAGAUGAUGGAUACAGAGCCCCCCCUUCUAUCUUCAUGGAAAUCACGUCUAGAAAAUCAAACAUUAUUAUUGCCAUCUGCGUUUUUUCUUAGAGAUGGGUCCGUUCCACCAUUUCCCCUCAAGCUUGAGAUAUAUAUACGUGACACGAUUUAAUUUCAAAUCUUAAUGUAGUGUGUUAGAAUGCAACCACCGAUUGAUUAAAUUUAAUGGCUGGUCAUUUAAACUUGGGUGUUUUUUCGGUAUUAAUAUAUAUAUAUAUAUAUAUAUAUUCCUCAAUUAUCAUAAAAAAUUAAGAAAAAACUAAUAAUAAGAUUAAAAAUAAAUGUUUUAUUUAUCGAAAUAAUUAAAAGUAAGGUUUACUUAAGGUAUAUAUGGGAUGGUAAAAAAAUAACAAUAAAAUCAAUUUAUAAAAAAAAAUCAUAGAUUUAGUUUUCCUAAAUUUUAAAUGUAGUGUUUAUAAUUAAUUAAUUAAUUGAGAAUUUGAGCUCUUCUAAAAGUUGUUUAUGGACUUUUGUUUUCCGGAGAAAACUCCCUUAAAACCUUUGAGCACUUCCUUCUCUAAAAUAUAUGUUUUUGCCAUAACUCAGGGGCUCUGUAUCUUUUAAGGUGAAUUAGGCUUUAUAUCUUUUUAAGGUGAAUUAACAAGUUUCAACUCAUCUCUGUAGAUACAUAGAAUUCCUAUUUAACAUUAAUCUGUCCAUCAAGUUUUUGAUCCCCAAUUAAGACCAUCUUGAUAAAUGAGAUUUUACUCUGUAAUUUUAAUGUAUAGCUGUCAAUGACCUGAAACAUGCAAAUCAAAAUUCAAAGUGUGAGCAUUGAAUUUCUUGUCCGUUUACACCUUUCUGUGGCGUUUCCUCUUUCCAUUGAUUGAAGAGCGUCUAAGAGGAAAAACUGAAAAGGCAAUCACUAGCGGCCCUCGUCCAUCGGAUCAUUGUGGUUUCAAGAUUGAUGCCCAAUCAUUGCCCUCUUUGUUCGAUUCCUCAGACCUUUAGGAAACUGUAUAUGAGAUGUUACAGAGUGACGGAGGACUUGACAAAGGGCUGAGGGGUGGGUGAGAUGUUAUGUCAAGAAAUGAUUUUGGAAAAUUUCUUCAUAUUUGUUGAAUAACUAAGAUAGGAGUCUUGAACAAGGCAAGAACAUAGGCUCUCCAAGACGAUUGACAGAAGGAGAGAAGGAAAGCUCUAUAUCCUUAGCACGUCAAACACUCCUUUGCACAUUAGAGAAAUUGUCGAGUUAUUUCUGCUUCUGCUUCUGCUUCUGCUUCUUCUUCUUUUUAUAAUAGUAGAGUAUUAUUAUAGAAAGGUGCUAGAGCCAAAAUUAGAGGCUAGCUAGCAUAAAAGAAAAAGAAAAACAGAGGACAGUAUAUACAACUAUACAAGACAGGGGGAGGAAGUAAUAACAUAAUAUUAAUAACUAUAUAUAUAUUAAAAAAACUCGAGUUAACCCAUCAAGUUUACGACCCGGAUUAUGAGAUCGGGAUAAGCAAACUCAAUGUUAAGAAAUGAAAUUAAAGAAAAAAACCAUAAAAACAUAUAUGGCGUAGUGUCUUAUCGAUUAAGUUUGAUUGGGUCAACUCUCACUUGGUUUUUUCUAAACCUAAAUUGGGUUAGAUUCUAGAUUAAAAUAUUAGGCUUGAAUUAAAUUUAAUAACACUGAUUAAAACCACAUUGUAGAAAAAAAAAAUGAAUCGCGUAAAAGUAAUUAACCGAAAACUUGUAUUUCUUCUUAUAAAGUUGAACUCAUGUCAGUUGUUUUUUAAGGAAAAAUAUGAAUCAAAGGUUAAAGCUAGGCAGCUCACUUUGCACGACAAUGACGGAUAUAGAAGACAUAACGUGUGGAAAAAUCAUGCCUUAAUUUUGAUGGUGAUGGCAAAAUCAAACAGUAUCGUUGAUAAAAUGAACCACAAAUAAUAUUAUUUCUAAAACACUUCUUGUCAUUGUGAUGACAAUAAGUCUUCUUCUUUGCAGUGUGAGAUGGGUUUGCAUUUUUAUUUUCCACGAUAAUUAAUUAAUUAAUUGAGAAGUUGAGCUCCUUAAGAAAAGUUGUUUAUGGACCUUUGUUUUCCGGAGAAAACUCCCUUAAAACCCUUGAGCACCACCUUCUCUAAAACAUCUAUCUUUGCCAUAACUGAGAGGCUCUGUAUCUUUUUAAGGUGAAUUAACAAGUUACAACUCAACUCUGUAUCUUUUUUAGAUAUGUAUGUGACUGUACCUUGAUGUUCUCACAACCAUUAAGAUGGAGACAAAUUUUCUUUUCUGUUAUUCUCCGAAAAUAUCUUCGUUCCUUGAUAGAAUUUUCUUGGAAAUGAUGAGCUUCCACUCCCUUUUGACUUUGCUGGCCUCCGAAAUAAUUAAAGAAUUCCUCUUGAUAGAAUUUCCUUGGAAAUGAUGAGAAUAUCUCACAUUCCCUUGGCAUCGUGUUCCAUGCCUUUGCAAAUUAUUAAAGGCUCCAAUGCAUGUGUCCUUUUAUUCAUGUUUUUCCACAAAAGACUUUUGACUUGGGGUCAACUUGUCGGUUAGUAAAAUCACUUUAAUUAUUCUUUCAAUCUUCCCGUGUGAUUCACUGCUUAAUUGGUGAUUCUAAAUUUAUUCUUUCAAUUCGUUAAUAGUUAGAAAUACAAAAGAGACAAAGACAAUUACUAAUGUAUUUAUAACCAGAAAACUUAGUGAUUAAUAAAUUAUCUUUGCUAGUUUUGUUAUAAAAUAAUGAUGUUAGAGUUAAUUGUUUUUAGAUGAGUUUGGAUUAAUUCUGUUAAUUUUAUUUUUAAUUUUUGAACUAUAAAAAUAUAGAUAAAUUUAAAAUAAAUAUCUUUUUACAAUAGUUUUUUAGUAAAAUUAGAGUAAAAUUUGUACUUUUAAAAUAAAAAUAUAUAAAAACAUGUAUUUUAUGUUCCCAUUAUUUUUGUAUUUUAUAUCAUGGUAAUUAAAUGUUGCCCGGUUAACAUAACACUAAAUCAUAAUAAAAAAAUAAUAAUUAUGGAAUGGCAUGGUAGUUGGAUCUAAUUUUUUUAUGGAAUGGCAUGGUAGUUGGAUCAUAAUAAGAGUAUUCAAAUUAAGAAUAUUUAAAUGAGUGUUAAUUGGGUUUAAAAGACUUACAAGCAAAAUAUAAGUUGUUUGUUAGAAUUCUUAUGGAUCCGAUAGAAAAUUAAUACUUCAUUCAUAUACAUUACAUGAGCAUAUAUAUAUUUCUUUUAUCAACAUAAUGAUAUGUUUAUUUAUGUAACAGGUCCAUCAAAUAUCCAUGGAGAUCAUUAGUUUAGGGCUCUACUUUGUCAAGCUUAUGUAAAUAUUUAACUUAAGCAAAAGGGAAUUAACGCAUUUAUGUAGUAUGCUUUUGUAUAAACCUUGAUGUAUUUAUAAAAGUUCAGCUUAGCAUGUAGUACUUUAGUUAUCUUGUAAUUAACCCUUCUGAAAUAUUUAAAAACACUUAUUAUGUUGUAAAUGCUUUAUUUACAUGUUAGUAUUCCUUUUUCUUUUAAUUUUAUGAUAUGAUAUAUGGGCUAUGUUCAUAUUGAACUUGCUCAUAGGAUAUAUAUAAAUAUAUAUUGUGUGGAUUAUAUGAGGUGUUGAAUUAUGAUGAUUAAUAUAAGGUUCGGAAUUAUGGGACCUUGUGAUGAUGGAUUGAUUGUGUAAAUUAAUAGUAGUCGAUAACUUGGGAUGUUCUAAAUACAAACAAAACUCUGCUGAAUUUUUGGUAGAUUUAAAAAAAAAAAUUACCCUCAAAUUAAAAGCAUAUGUUGAGAUCUUUUAACAUUGAUCAAGUCGUAUAGUUGGUUCUGUUACAUGUUAGGUAUACAAUGUCUCUGUGAUAUGGACAUAAUGAUUUUUGAUGUGUCAAAUUCUUACUAUUUCACUCUUAAGAGUAGAAAGAUCUACUUCGUUGGACAACCACCAAGGCUUAACAACAAUAAUGAGAAAAUAAGCAUGUGAAAGGAAAAAGACUUAAUCUUAUAAGCCCAAAUGAUUUUGAGAAUCAGGUUCAUGAAGAGUUUGUUGCAUUUGCUUUAGUGGCUAAGAAAGUUUUAGAGAAAGCACUCGAAGAAAUAAGUGUAGUUUUGAAAGAAUUUCAAGAUGUUUUUCCUCUCAAAGUUCAUAAUUCCUUACCCCAUUAUACGUGACAUUCAACACGUAAUAUUUUAUCCCUAGUUACCUCUUGGUUUCAAGCAAGAAACACACUUCAAUAUCAUUAUGCGUUACUGUAUUCCUAAUAGAUGCCCUCUUAGCAGACAUACCCAACCCACAACUAUUCCAGAAUAAAAUCUUCAUUGAUAAAUGAUUUUAAACCUUACCAAGUUAUACUGCAAAAUGGAAUUAUUCCCAAAACCCAAAGCAAAUAACAUCCUCUGCGCCUCAUCUUCAACAAUACAUUCUGCUGUUGCAGCAGAACUGUAAGUUAUCAUAUAACGAAGAUUCCCUUUUCUGAUUCUAGAAUCCAGUGAACCUGGUGAUUCCACCUCACGUUCAUCCUCCACCCGCUGAAGACUACCAUUGAAAGAGAAAAGCUCCACCUUUGGGUGUAAACUGGAUUGAUUGCAUCCCAUCUGAAUCACGUGGGCUUAAUGGAAGGAACGAACAAUUGUCGGUUUUAAAAGUUUGGUUUGUAACAAUCAUUGUAAUUCCAAAUUUCCAUACUCCUUCCAUUUAAGCAAUUAAUAAUAACAGAGAAUAUGUAUAAAUCUCAAUGUUGUUUUAAAUUUUAUGUAAGAUAGUACAGUUUCAUUCAAAAAAUGAGAAAGAACAAUAAAAAUCCUCAAAUUCUACCACCUUCAAUUCUCAUUCAUCAACAACAGCAUACAUUCAAACAAGUGAUCAAUAGUGUUGAUGAAAAAUAAAUCAUUAGCGAUCAAGUGACGAGGACUAUAGUAAGAUUGGCGCCAUUGUAAGCUUGACAAGCUUUGCCUACUCUAAUUAACAGCAACGAAAGAUUCAGUGCCUAAUCUCUGGACGGAGAAGGGGACGCCUUUGUUAUGUACAUGGUUGCCCUAAAUGGUUCGAUGAUGCUCAUUUUAAACAUUUUUUGUCAAGGUUGUCAAUUUUGCUCCGUUUAGUGUUUCAUUUUUUUAAUUGAAACGGUAUGUUUUGGUUUCGGAGCAUUUCAGUGUGUUGUUUCAGGAUUAUAUAUAUAUUAACUCAAUUAAACAUAAUUUAAAUUUAAAUUUAAAGAUAAAUUAACUUGAAAUUAUGCAAUUUAAAUUUCAAACACAAGUAAAAAAGUGAGAGACUGAUAUGACUUGAUCGACUAGAUGGGUCCAAAGACAACCUUUACGACUGGUAAGAAUAUAGUUUGACUCAAAAAAAUUUAAGAUGAUAUUUUUUAAAAAAUAUAUUGAGAUGACAACAUAUUAAAUCAACCUGGGUCAACUCGAUCGGAUUAACUUUCUAAAUUCGUAAUCCAGGUUAUGAGACCAUAAUAACCUAAAAUAAAGCAAAUCAAAACAAAUUAUAAAGCUGAAUUCUCAAUAAACAUGUUAUUGAAUGGUUAAAUUGGAAAAAUUUUAAUAUAAAAAAAGACACAAAAAAAUGACCUUCAGAGACUAUUGUCGUCACCAGAAUGUUUUGCCCGCCACACAAGCUUCACAUAUCUUUUGCAACUCAGAUUUGGAAACUUUAGAGUACCUUUUUAUAUACUGUAACUUUUCUAGGAGUGUUUGGAUGAAAGUUUUGGAUUAGUGGGGUAUCUAAUGUUGUUGUCGAGCACUUUAGACUCGCUACUUCUACAACAACAUGGAAUGGUGCAGGGUAAAUUCCAAAGAUUAGCUUGGAGACUAAUCUCUAGUAGUAUUACUCGGGGUAUUUGGUUGUUGAGGAACAAAAUUGUUUGUGAGGAGAGAACUAUAAGUUUGUUUGAUUGUUUCUCUAUCAUCCUUUAUCAGGUUGCUAUUUAGUUGUAUACUCUGUAUUCAAACUUUACUUAUACAGGAAAUGAUCUCUUAAGAUCUUUUGAUGAUAUCAAAUUGUGGUGUAAUAAGAAAUCUUAGGUAGUUUCUUUGUUUUUUUGUUGUAGCAAAUCAGUUUUGUUUUCUUUUUUUCCCCCUUUUUUCUUUUUUUUUUUGUCCUAUGAGACUAUUGUCAUCUGCAUUUUUUCCAUGAUAUAGGCCAGUGGGAUGGUCCAUGAGACCAUUGCUAUCAAGCGUUUUUUGUACGAGAUGGGUCCACGAGACCAUUGCCCUGUAAGCUUGGGAAUGGAUAAUAUGCUUUAAUUUCAAUUUAGUUUACAAAAAAAUUAAAUUAAAUGCUUAAGCAUAAAAAAUAAAUCUCAAGUGUUAGAAUGCAAUUACCGAUUAAUUAAUGGACAACGGACCUUAGAUUAAUUAAUAUAUGAUGCAUCUUUCAAUGGAAAUGUAAAUGCUUUACUAGAAUAUUAUUUUUUUUUGUAUUUGUUUUCUGGUUAUAUUUAAUUUUCAUCAAUAUUCCUAACAUAAAUUGCUACGUAUUUUGAAUCUUGAAGGAUUGAAAGAUAGAAAACAGAAAAGAAAAGGAGACAAGGCAGUUCAAAAGAAGAAGAAAAAAGUACGAUAGUGAAAGAAAGAGAAGAGAAUAAAAGUGGAGCAGUUUUUAUUAACUAUAUAAAUUUUAUAAUUACUAAUAUUAAAUUCAAAAUAUGUACAUAUUACAAAUAUGUAAACAUAUCAUAUGGUUUAAAAGAAAUGGCUUUUAUAAACAUAUAUGGCUUAACAAUAUUAAUCAACUCCUAAUAUUUUCAUUUUAUAUAUAUUAAUUAAAGUAAAUAUUAAAACCUAUUAUAUUAAUCUGUGAAGGUAUUUACUCGGAUGCAAAUUAUAUUUCUAAUUUAUUAUUAAAAAAAAUUCUAUAUACUACAACUAGCUUAAGAAAGUCAUGUUUAUCAGGAUCAUAGAGUAAAAAAAAGAAAAAAUUGAAUUGCAUAAAAGUAUCACUAGCUUAAGAAAGUUAUGUCAUCUGCAUCUUUCCUCGAGGAGAGGCAGUGAGACGUCCUCUUCCAACCAUCAUGCAUUUUUUCCAUGAGAUGGGUUCGUGGAAAAACUUUGGUUUAAUUGGGAAUGCUGUUAUUGAUUGGAAAAUUUUUAAUUAAAAUAAAUUUGAUUUUUUGAUUGGAAAAAAAUCCUUAAAUGACAUUAACACAUGACUCCACUUUAUUUUCUUAAGAAAAAAAAUAUUGUAACCAUAUAAGUUUCAAGUUUAAAGGGUUUUCAUUUGAAGGGGUGUGUUAGAGAAUAAUAUAAAUCAUAUCUUAGAAUCUAACCUAAUAGCUUAAGCUUUUGGGUUGAAUCGGUUCUUUGACAUGGUAGCGGAGCCUUGAUGACCAAGCGAUCACGAGUUCGAAUCUCAUCAUCCCCAUUUAUUAGAUAAAAAUUAAACACAAGGUAAUGUGGAUCUGUACAAGUUUCAAGCCCUUCUAUUGGGUUAAGAUGGUAUCUUGAGGUCUCACCUAACAACUUAAACUAUUGGGUUGAGAUGGUUCUUCGACAGGCUACCAGAUGGUGCGGCGCUACACCUCUGUUCUUGCUUUUCUCUGCUUGUUUUCUCUUCUUUUUUUAUUUCUCUUGUUCCCUUUGUCUCUCUCUGUAUUAUCUAUGUUUGUUCAUUUUUCGUCUAUGUCUUUUUGUAUUAUCUGUCUGUGGUUCUCCCCUUCUAUGUGGCUUUUCUUUGUUUGUCUUGAUUUCUCUGGGUUUGUAUUUGGUUGGUUCAACAACCUACGGUGAGGGGAAGUUGAAUAUUAAAGGCUCCCAUGCCUCUCUAGCAAUAAUAUUAUUUUUUAUUUAUCCCCAAAUACAUGUGUCAUUUAUCAAAAUAAUUAAUUUAAUCACCAAAAAAAAACAAAUAGAUCCAACAACCAUGCCAUUCCACAGUUAAUUUUUUUUAUAUUAUGAUUUAGUGCUAUGUUAACCGGGCAACCUUUAAUUACCAUGAUAUAAAAUAAAAAAAUAAUGGGAACAUAAAAUAAAUGUUUUUAUAUAUUUUUUAUUUUAAAAGGAAAAAUUUUACUCUAAUUUUACUCAAAAACUAUUGCAAAAGGAUAUUUAUUUUAAAUUUAUCUAUAUUUUUAUAGUUCAAAUAUUAAAAAUAAAAUAGAAUUAAUCACUAAGUUUUCUGGUUACAAAUACAUUUGUAAUUGUCUUUAUCUCCCUUGUAUUUCUAACCAUUAACGAAUUGAAUAUAUAAUAAAUACUAAUUAACAAAAGAAUAAAUUUAGCUGUAUAAUGUACUAAAGUUUAAAUAGGUGACUUUAGAAUCACCAAGAAGGCAGUGAAUCACACGGGAAGAUUGAAAGAAUAAUUAAAGUGAUUUUACUAACCGACAAGUUGACCCCAAGUCAAAAGUCUUUUGUGGAAAAACAUGAAUAAAAGGUUGACGUAAGACCAUUGCUAUCAAGCGUUUUUUCUAAGAGAUGGGUCCGUUCCACCAUAUAUAUGCUUUAAUUUCAACCACCAUAAAAAAUAAAUCUUAAUGUAGUGUGUUAGAAUGCAACCACCGAUUGAUUAAUUUUAAUGGCCGGUCAUUUAAACUUGGGUGUUUUUUCAGUAUAUAUAUAUAUAUAUAUUCCUCAAUUAUCAUAAAAAAAUAAGAAAAAACUAAUAAUAAGAUUAAAAAUAAAUGUUUUAUUUAUCGAAAUAAUUAAAAGUAAGGUUUACUGAAGGUAUAUACGGGAUUAAUAAAAAAUAACAAUAAAAUCAAUUUAUAAAAAAAUAAAUCAUAGAUUUAGUUUUCCUAAAUUUUAAAUGUAGUGUGAAUGCAUUCCGCAAGAAAAAAAACAGUGCAAGAUUAGCCUUUCAAGAAAUAGAGAAUCUUCCUCUUUGAAGGAAUUAAUUAGUGGGUUGGAAAAAUGUCGUCUUUUGCUCUAAUAUUUUCUUCACUUGGUCUAUAGUUUUACCUUACACUAAUAUUUUCAAGAUUUCAAUUGAAAAGGAGGGUCGUAAAAAAUUUAAUUUUUAUAAACAUACCCUUAAUUAACUUAAUUUGGAUGUGGAUAAUUGUUUGCAAUAUAUUUACAUCCAAUAUAAACAAUUCAUCAAUGAUCAAGUCGGCCUUGGUUAGCUAAAAUAUUGAAAAUACUUGCUCUCUCCUUUUUUCUUUUUUGGCCAUGCAGUUCCUAUAUAUAUAUAUUAGUUGAAAUUUUAUGAUGUCUAUUAAUCCUUUUAAAUUAAAGUCAAGUUAUUAAUUAUAUCCUAUAGAUUUCUAGAAAAACUAAUUCUCUCAAAUUUCGUACAUUUUACUUACAAACUAUAAAAGGUGAUUGCUACAAACUAAAAUUUCAAACAAGGAAGCUUAAAUCUCUUUUAUCUACAUUUGAAAUUUACAAAAAAUAAAAUUAUAUUGGAUUAAGCCUAAACACUAUAUAAAAUUCUUGAACAACACAUUAAAAACAAAUCAAAGAUACUUUUCAAAAUAUCAAAUCAUUAAAUCUUACAUAUCAAAUAAAUCAAGUUAUCAUAUAUCAAAUUAAAAGGAAGAAUUAAAUGAUUGUUUUAUUUUUUAUAAAAAUAUUUUAAAUAGAAAUUAUAAUGUGGAUCAUAUGGCUCAAUGCAAAUUAAGGUCUCACAUAUAGCCAGCUAUAGCAUGGGAUAGCCAGCGGUCAUUCCAUCAGGAGAUUUGUGAAUUCUGAAGCCUUUGCAAUGUGCAUGGCAUGUGUCCAAGAACCCACCAGGAACUCCAUUUUGACUGGGAAACCUUUGACGAACUGUAUUAUAUGUGAUUUGCUCCUGGUAUUAUAAAUUAGAAAGUGUAAAUUGUAAAUCCCAACCAAUAAGAUAUCUACAUAAGAGUCUGUAAAUGUUACAGAUGAUUUAAGUUUGUUUAGCAAAUUUUUCAAGAACAUGUUUGUCUUUGAUAGCUUAUUGUCAUAGCUGUGAACUCUGAAGAAAAUUGAUGUAAGAAACCAAAGUCCAUUUUGUUCUAGAUUGUAGAUGGAUAUAAGCUUGGUGAUUCCCGAUUCUUUUAUUAAUUUCAUUUUAUACAUUCCCUGUGAUGUGUUCUUAAUUUAUAUACCACACCGAUGUCUGUUAGGUUCUGAUUCAAUCGAAUUGGAGCCGAUCAAAAUUGUAAUGACUCAGUUUCUUUUAUGACCUGGAUUGGGCUUCACAUGCCCUUGAUUAUGCCCAAGAAGAAAACUAAAUAAAUAGUAGAUGAGUAGUGUACUGAAAAUAAAUAUUUUCAGCAUAUUACAUAGAUCUAAAACAAUAGCACACAGGAAUUAAAAAAGAGGAGGGAUCGCUAGGGAUACAAGAUUUGCAGCCAAAACUAUGACCUGACAUGUUCAGGAAACAGAAGGGAACUAUGACCUGACAUGUUCAGGAAACAGAAGGGAGGUGUUUCUUUUAAACACAAGGCAGAUUUUUAUGAUCUUAUUCCUUUUGGUCAUUAAAUUUUCUUAAAAGGAGCUUUGGUUUGAUUCCUACAAGCUGGGGGCAAAUCUUCAGCGUUUCGACAGUCAGCCUCAUGAGCAAAAGAAAGACAAUGUGCGACCACUCCAAGCUUCUCGUUGCUCCCCUGUUCCGAUUAGAAAUGGAGAUUCAAGAAGCUAUGCUACUGUCCUGAGACAAGAGUUCCAACGAAAUCUACUGUAAGUUCCCAAGACACUCUUUUAUAACACUUUGGUCAUUUCCAUGACUUUAUCUGCAUAUCUUGUGCAGGCCAGUUCCAUGUUUUGAGAUUUGAAUAUUAUUUUAUUUUAUUGUUUAGCACUUAGUCUAUUCGCCAGGUUGGGAAAAAUAUUCAAAUUAGUUUUGUUGGCAUGUAACCUCACCAAACAAUUUAAGACUUCACUAAACAAUUUGCGUAGACCGUAUUGACUGGGAGUCAACUAUUGUCGUAGUGCUUUUUUGCACUAUCUGUGUGCGUGAAUGGAAAGAAAAGCAGGGUGGCAACUGGGGUGAGAAAAUGAAUAGAAAACUCCAACAAGGGUGUGAAAAUGAGUUACUUCUCCAAAAAGAAUAUAUAAAUUAUUGAAUAUCUAAUGGAAACUGUCGUGAACGCGGAUGCUUGACUUGCUGUGUACCAUUUUGAUUUUUAAACACAACCAUGCCGUAAUUUCCUGGUGAUUUCCUUAUGCAUACUGGUGGUCUUCCAGAAUCUUUUUCCAAACAAUCCUCGUUAGACCCUGCUCGGGGAUUAACCUGGAGUAAGAUUUGUAUCAUGGUUUUUUAUCAUGUUCCAGGUCAACUUGGAUCAACUAAAUUUUAUGAGUAUGUCAAAACGACAUUGUUUUUUAUAUAUAAACAUAAAUAUGAAUCUUGAGCUCUUUUAUAAUCUUAAGACGAAGUAUAUUAAUAGUUGAACCAUUAUCCACCAAGAUACAAUUCAUCAUCUUUUCAUCGAUAUAUCUUUUAAUAAAAAAAUAUCGUUUAUGGAGUUUUGAUUCAAGCAACAGGUCUUCAUCGUUAAAGAAUAUCUAUGUAGUGUAUACACCUUGAGACAAGUCGAAAGAGUUAGUCAUGACAGGUUUAGUAGGAGUUUUCUUUAUAGUUUUCUCAUUUUUUAUGUUAAAUUAGGAAGAGAUCAAUAAGAAACUGAACUUGAAGAUGGACUAUAUCAUUGUUAACUUCUUGAUCCGAAUACUCCAACAUGAUGGUUAGUGCAAAUUUUUUUUUUUUUAAAAAUAGCAAAAACAAAGUAAUUAAACAAGACAGACUUAGGAUUCCACAGAUAAAUAUAUGGCCAUAUUUGUUUCCCGGAAUUCACUUUCCGGGAAGCCACUUUCCAAACUUUCCUGUGUUUGUCUGCCAUUAGAAAAGUUGGUCAACGGAAAACACUUUCCAGUCAAAGGAAAAUUUAGCUUGGUUUCCAGGAAAGUGUUUUCCUUGAAAAUUUAUGCGGAAAACACUUUCUGAAAGUUGUGAAAAAUUUAAAAAUGUCAUAUUAUUUGCUGAUUAUAUCAAAUUUGGUCCUCAAACUUUUGAUUGCUAUAUAUAUAUAUAUUUUUGUUUUGAAUAUUUAUUUUUCAAUUUCAUCUCUUAAAAUUUAAUUUUUAUAUUAACUUUGGUCCUCAUUUUUAUAAUUGUUAUUUGCUUUUCCCUUAUCAUUUUCUUAUUGAAAUUUUUUAUCUAUCAAAUUUGGUUCUCAUUCUUUUGAUUGUUACUUAUUUUAUUUGAAAUAAUUUAUGAAAUGUUAAUUAUUAUUAUUAUUUUAAUUUCUUCAUCUUUCAUUUUUAUUUUAUUUUUUAGAUUUGAUUUUUAUUAUUUUGAUUAUUAUUAUUUAUUUGAGAUAAUUUAUGAAAUUAUAUUUUUUUUCAAUUUCAUUCUCAUUCAACUUUUUAAUUUGUAAGAUUUGUUCAUCAUUAUUUUAAUAAACUUGAGAAAAUAAAAUAUUAAUAAGUUAUUUUCCAGUUCAUUUUCCAUGACAUAACCAAACACUGAAAAAUAUUUUCCAACUUAUUUUUCAUUACACUACCAAACAUCGAAAAAUAAUUCACUUUCCUGGAAUUCACUUUAAAAAAAAAACUACUUUCCAGCAAGCAAACGGGCCAGUUUCAACACUUCUCUAUUGAAACGUUCAACAAUAAGGCUAAGCUAUGAGGUCAACCCACUAAAAAGCACCCAUUAGCUGGACACAUUCAAGAAAAUUGCCGACAAGUUUCGAACUAACACAAUUUUGGGCCGAGAAUGCAAGAAGCAAACCACUGAUUCCCCCACCAGCAACCACAACAAAUUCAGUGCUCCCAUGCUAAGAUCCUCUGAUGUUGGAGAACUAGCGAAAUUUAAUACAAGGCUUCAACACUCCGAAGCCUGCUAGAGAAAUAUUAAAGCAAAAUAAGUAGUAGCAUUAAACAACAGCCAUUUCAUCAGUUUUAAUUUUAGUAUAACACAAUAAUAUGAACCAACCUUGAUUCUCAAAGGCACCCAACUAAUUCAUAGCCUUCAAAUCAAGACUUUGCAAUUCUUUAAAAGGCAGAAACAAAGAUGCGUUGAGAACCCACUCCCCUAACCCCCAAUCCCCAGCACCCCCAAGAGAGAGUUGGAUCACUCGCCUUUCGGUGGUAUCGCACACGAUCCUAGACCACUCACAACAAUUAUUGCCCAGGUAUUUCAACAGUUAUGGCUUGUGUGGGUUUUGGUUCACGAUGGAGAUGAUGGAUACAAUAAUGUAUUUCGACAACAAAACUUUCAAUGCUUGUGAAUGGCUCUCCAACUAAAGAGUUCUUUAUCGAAAAGGGAUUGCGACAAGGGGACUCUUUAUCAACAUCUCUUUUCAAUAUAGCAACUGAGGGUCUUAGUAGAAUGCUAAGAAGAGAUGUGGUUUGGGACUUAUAAAAGGUAUUUGUUUUGGUCACUUUCAAGUUUGUAGAUGAUACACUCAUCUUCAGUUCAUAUGAUUUUCCAUCUCUUCAAAACAUCAAAAUAACCAUGUGAUGUUUUGAGUUGAUUUCUAGGCUGAAGGUUAAUUUCCACAAGAGCUCAAUCACGAGAACUAUUGUUAUUUCUUCAACUGCUAGCAAUCUAAUAUGUAGUAUGGAGGGGAUGCCAUUUAAGUAUUUGGGCCUGCCUAUUUGUGCAUCUUCAUCUCAUGUGGAAAACUAUUGUUAAUAGAAUCAAUAGCAAGUUGGCACUUACCUAUUGGUGAGAGAGUGUGCUUGCUUAAAUCAAUUAUAAAUAAUCUUCCUAUCUACAACCUUUCUUUAUUUCCUAUCACAUCCAUUGUUGCUACCAAAAUUGAGAAACAUAUCAUAUCUUUCUUUGGUUCUUAGGAGGAAGGAGGGAAAAAACUAUGCAAUGUUAAAUGGGCAUCGGUGGUUCCUCCAAAAAAAAACAAAAAGGGCUGGGUAUAGACUACAUUAUUGAUAAAAAUCAUGGGUUACUAACACUUCCAUAGCAAAGAGAUAUGUAUUUUCCCUAUUAAUUUCUCAAGUUACCAUAAUGAGAGUGUGAUGUGACUCCAAUAAAUGUAGGAUAUGUUAAUUAGGUAUACAAUGUCUAUGUGAUAUGGACAUAAUCAUUUUUGGUAUGUCAAAUUCUUACUAUUUCACUCUUAAGAGUAGAAAGAUCUAGUUAGUUGGACUGCAUUCCGAUCUGCAAUCUUCCUAUAUAUCCCAAUUGUUGUAUUUGCUUUAGUGGCUAAGCAAGUUUUAGAGAAACCACUUGAAGAAGUAAGUGCGGUUUUGAAAGAGUUUCAAGAUGUUUGUAAUAGAUUUGAUCCCUAGUGUUAUAUUGACCUCUUGGUUUCAAGCAAGAAACACACUUCAAUAUCAUUAUGCGUAAUUGUAUUCCUAAUAGAGUUAUGAUGUAAGUUAUGAUGUAACGAAGACUCCCUUUUCUCAUUCUAGAAUCCGGUGAUUCCACCUCACGUUCAUCCUCCACCCGCUGAAGACUUAUACCAUUGAAAGAGAAAAGCUCCAGCUUUGGGUGUAAACUGGAUUGAUUGCAUCCCAUCUGAAUCACGUGGGCUUAAUUAAUGGAAGGAACGAACAAUUGUCGGUUUUAAAAGUUUGGUUUGUAACAAUCAUUGUAAUUUCAAAUCUCCAUACUCCUUCCAUUUAAGCAAGUAAUAAUAACAGAGAAUAUGUAUAAAUCUCAGUGUUGUUUUACAUUUUAUAUAAGAUAUUACAGUUUCAUUCAAAAAAUGAGAAAUAACAUUAAAAAUCCUCAAAUUCUACCACCUUCAAUUCUCAUUCAUCAACAACAGCAUACAUUCAAACAAGUGAUCAAUAGUGAUCAAGUGAUGAGGACUAGAGUAAGAUUCGCACCAUUGUAAGCUUGACAAGCUUCGCCUACUCUAACUGUAACGAAAGAUUCAGUGCCUAAUCUCUGGACGGAGAAGGGGACGCCCUUGUUAUGUACACGGUUGCUCUAAAUGGUUCGAUGAUGCUCAUUUUAAACAUAUCAUGUCAGGUUGUCAAUUUCGUUCUGGUUAGUGUAACGGACCCGACUGUACGACUUGAUCAAUGUUAAAAGAUCCCAAUAUAUUCUCUUAGCCUGAGGAUAAUUUUUUUUUUAAUCUAUCAAAAAUUCAGCAGAGUUUUGUUUGUAUUUAGGACAUCCCAAGUUAUCGACCACUAUCAAUUUACUCAAUCAACCCAUCAUCACAAGGUCCCAUAAAUCCGGACCUUAGAUUAAUCAUCAUAAUUCAACACCUUACCCAAUCCACACAAUAUAUAUCCUACGAGUAAGUUCAAUAUCAACAUAACCCACAUAUCAUAUUAUAAAAUUUAAAAGAAAAGGAAAUACUAACAUGCAAAGAAAGCAUUACAACAUAAUAAGUGUUCUUAACCAUAUCAAAAGGGUUAAUUACAAGAUAACUAAAAUACUACAUGCUAAGCUGAACUUUUAUAAAUACAUCAAGGUUUACACAAAAGUAUACUACAUAAACACGUUAUUUCUCUUUUGUUUAAGUUAAAUAUUUACAUAAGCUUGACAAAGUAGAGUCCUAAAUUAGUGAUCUCUCUGGAUAUUUGAUGGACCUGUUAUAUAAAUAAACAUGUCAUUAUGUUGAUAAAAGAAAUAUAUAUAAGCUCAUGUAAUGUAUCCGAAUGAAGUAUUAAUUUCUAUUGGAUCCAUAAGGAUUCUAACAGACAUCUUAUAUUUUGCUUGUAAAUCUUUUAAACCCAAUUUACACUCAUUUGCAUAUUCUUAAUUUGAAUACUCUUAUUUAUUUGCAUGAACCGGGUGACCUUGCAAAGUCUAUUCUUGUAAUCCAUUUCCCAGCAAUCAUAUCACGAAUACCAUUAGCCGAAGCAAAUCUUGUAAUUCAUCUCCCGGCAAUCAUAUCACGGAUGACAUUAGCCGAAGCUAAUCUUGAGAUUCAUCUCCCUGCACUCCUAUCACGGAUGCCAUUAGCCGAAGCUAAUCUUGCAAUCACGGAUGUCAUUAGCCGAAGCUAAUCUUGUAAUUCAUUUCUCAGCACUCCAAUCACGGAUGCCAUUAGCCGAAGUUAAUCUUGUAAUUCAUUUCCCGGCACUCCUAUCACGGAUGCCAUUAGUUGAAGCUAAUCUUAUAAAUACACUAGACUUUAUUUACAUUGAACACGAUAUUUAUUAUAAUUGCAUUCACUAGAGGAAUUUUAAAUUGUAUAAGUACAAAUAGGAGGGAAAAAUCACGCACCUGCUUCGCCUGUUUCGUGACCUCCUCUAACAGAAGAUCCAAUCCUGGUUGCUCCUCCUGAAUCACAAGGAAGUUUUUGGUUAUGAUUCCUUCAAGCUGAUAUUAUAGAGGCUCCAUAUUCAUUCAUUACUCAUAUGUUACUUUCUAUGCAUGUUCAUUUCCUUAUAAUAACAAACAUACAUAAAUCAAGUAUAUUUUCAAAGUUAGUAUCUCAAUGUGCAAGUGUUCGUAUGACUCAAUUCUUUUAUAUUCUUACAUAUAAUAUUCACGUGAAAGUCUACUAUUACUAUCUAACUUUGAACUGUUACUGUCCAACGGUUGCUGUCCAACAGUUGCUGUUUGAACAGUUGCUGUUUGAACUCUUAUCAGAUUUUUAACUAUAUCUAGAGUUCUAGAACUCCAUUUUAAGUGAGAUUGAUCUUGUUGGAAAGCUAAGACACGAGGCUACAAGUUCUCUAAAGGAAGGAGAACCCAGUUCUGCCUCCAGGAUAGUCAAAAUUGCUCAUCAACCCAUCAAUCCUACUGCUCUACAAAAUCAGUCACGACUCAGUCUUGGUUGGUAACCCAUAACUGGAGUUAUACAUCUCCAAAUUGAGCAAGAUUAAUUUCCUUGGUUAGCUAACAUCCAAAUCUACAAUUUCUAUAAAGGAAUCUGAUCCUAAUUCCCUCAUCCUCCUACCCGAAAUCUCACCAAAAGUUAGGAGACAAGUUUGUCCAGAUUCGUUUGCCCCUCCCCUUCACACAAUACUUUCAUAAACUACACACCACACACAUGAAUUAACUUAAUCUUAAUAAUAAGUACUUUUUCUCCAAUUCAUGUCUAAGAACCCUAACCUAUGAUUCAAUAUCAAGGCAUCAAUUCAUUAUCGAUUUGAAAUGAAUUUUUUUAAUAUCAUGUUUAGAACACCUUACCCAGUACAAAUUAAGAUUUUGAUCUCCAACCAGUUGAAGAUUUUCAACUCCCUCCUUUCUUUUCUUCUUGUUUAAUUUCUUGGUAAUCCCUUGCUCUCAAGUGUUUAUCCCAUCUAUAAACCCUUAAUCUUGGAUGGGUUCUCGAAAUUUUAGUGUUUCUCUCUUGAUUUCGCAAGAAUGGGUAUAAAACUCCUUAUUUUCUCUCAUUAUCGUUCCUGCAGAUUUUUGGUGAGGAGAGAGUAUUUAUACUCUAUAGUUUCCCUUAUUUGUAUUUAGGCCCCAUUUCCUUUAAAUUUCUGAAUUCUUGUCUUUUAUUUAACCAUACGCAUGAAUUUCUUGACUUUUAUUUCUCAUAUAGUUAGUUUUCAAUUUAAGCAACCUUUAUUUUUUUAUUUUUUUUCUGAGGUUUACAGUUAGUGUUUCAUUAUUUAAUUGAAAUGGUAUGUUUUGGUUUCGGAGCAUUUCGGCGUGCUAUUUCAGGAUUAUACUGUUCAUACUAUUCAUAUAUAUAUAUAUAUAUAUACAUACUCAAUAAACAUAAUUUUGAUUCAAAUUUAAAGAUAAACUAACUUGAAAUUAUGCAAUUAAAAUUUCAAACACAAGUAAAAAAAGUGAGAGUUGAACCAAUAUGACCCGAUCGACUAGAUAGGCCCAAAGACUACCUGAAUGACUGGUAAGAAUAGAGUUUGACUCAAAAAAAUUUAAGAUGACAUAGUUUUUUAAAAAAUAUUGAGAUGACAACAUAUUAGAUCGACCGGGUUCAACUCAGGUUAACCUUUUAAAUCCGUAAUCCAGGUCAUGAGACUAUAAUAACUCUAAAUAAAACAAAUCAAAACAAAUUAUAAAGCUCAAUUCUUAAUAAACCUAUUAUUUAAUAGUUAAAUUGAAAAAAAAUAAUCUAAAAAAAGGACACAAAAAAAAUGACAUUUCAAAACAAAAUUAUGAAAAUGUCACUAGCAGUCUCGCAAGGCCUUUCUAAACUCCAAUUGCUCUAUAAUUUUAACCUGAGAUAUAACAAUAUGUUAGGAAAAUCUUCAUAAGAUUUCAGUCUGAUCCACCAAUCGAAUUGAAAGAUAUGAUUGAUAUCGUAAAACUAGCUAAUAUUGUUUUAGAAAAAAAAAACAUUAUUUGGCCGGAAUGGAACCGGAACAUUCGAGCCAGAAUUUUGGCGGAAUUUAUGGAACGGGCUAAGACUCUGAGCAAGAUGAAAUUUGUUUCAGUUUGUUUUAUUUUUUAAAUUGGAAAGAGAUAUACCAGUCAUUUUGAAUGGAACAUAACAAAAUUGACAACCUUGUAUCAUGGUUGAUUAGAGUUUUUUUUUUUUUGUCUUUUUUUUCAAAAAUUUUUCCAACAUUGAGUUGAUUGGUAAUCGAGCUUCAUAAUUUAUAUGUUAACAUGCCAAAUUCAUGACCUGAGUCAUGAGACUAUAAUAACCUCAUAAAAGUAUAUUGAACAAAUUACAAAGCAUAAUUCUCAACCACCAGUGUUUAAAAAUGAAAUUGAAAAAAUAACAUAAAAAAUGACUCAAGUCAACUCAAGAACCUGCCAAAUCCGUGAUCCAGGUCACAAGACCUAGAUAACCUCAUAGAAAGCAAACUGAAAAAAUAAUUCGGGUCAACCUAGGUUACCCUGCCAAACACGCAACUCAGGUCAUAAAACUAGGAUAAUGCUAUAUAAAGCAAAUAGCAACAAAUUUUAAAGCAUAAAUCUCAAUCAACUUAUUUUAAAGCAUAAAUCCCAAUCAACUUAUUACAAUUCACUCGCAUUGUUCACUUUAGUGAACAGUGCUACAGUGGAGCCAUGCUCCACUGUUGAGGUUUCUCCCAGACGAGAAGCAAUAAAACGUUUAAGGAAAUAAAUGUUGCUUCUCCAAAACCUGCGGUGCCAUAUGGGUCCUACGUGCUGAAAGCACUUUUAUUUUCUUAACCAAACGUUUAUUAGCGUGGCUGCGGGUGAACCUCACCCGCAACCACGUUACCAAACGAGCACUUAGUCUCAAAGAAGAAACAAUUACUUGGUUCUAUAUCCUUAGCACGUCAAACAUGAGGGUAUGAACAGUAACCAUUGUGUCCACUAUAAAAUAUAAGGGGGUGAACAGUGCGGCUACAAAGUAUUCACCCCACACACUUUAUAUUAUAAGUAACUAGUUUUUGUAUUGGCACUCCGCGGCGGGGUGGUUAUUUUUUUAAGUAAAAAAAUAAUAAUAAGCAGGCUCUUACAAUGCACUUUUUAAUAUAAUUUUUUUUCAAUCACAAAUCAAAAUGCCUAUACAUAUAUUUAGUAAUUAGAUCGAUAUUUGAUAAAUAGGUAACUAAGAUUAAGAUAUUUGAUAUCACGACAUGAAUCAUGUGCUUAGUUGUGUUUAACAAUUAUGUUUCCUAGAGUUUUUUUUUAUGAACCAACCAUAUAUUCCGAUAAAAGGUAACAAAAAAUUCAUACCAAUAUUGAAUGAAGAAACUAAAAAAAAAAACCAAUAAAAAAAAGACUGUAUAAAUACACUAAUUUAUUGACCAUAUUGACAAAACAAGUCAAAACUGUAUAAAUACACUAAUUUAUUGACCAUAAGUAAAUGAUUGAGAUAAUAAUACGAAAAGAAAAACUUUUUACCGGACAAUGAUCAAUCCUGGUGAUGUCCAAAGUGUAAAUCAAACAUUUUAUAUCUUGCCAUGAGAAACAAAUAUAUCACAACUUGUUUUUAUUGUAUUCUAUUAUGACUUGUUUUGUGCCUUACAUUAUUUAAUAUAUUAAAAUAAAUUUAAUAAAUUAUACUGAAGCAAGAUCUAAUAUUAGAAAGUUAACGGAAAUAAUAAAUAUAUUUUUAAAUAUAUUUACAGUUCGGUCCCUUAAUUAACUUUUUGUUUGUAAAAUGUGGAGCUGUCAGCAAUAUUUCCUUAGUUUGUGUCGCUAACUGUGAUUAAAGGAUCAAUUAAUUAUUUAUUUAAAUCAACCAGAGGGAUUAAUCUGUUUGUUUAACAAAAAUACAGACACUAAUUAAAUAGAAUUUAACUCAAAUUUUAAUAAUCAAUAUUUUUAGAUGGAAUCUUGGUAGAAAAUUUAAUCAUCAUAUCCUGGGUAUUUUGGAAACAAAAUUGGAAACUUUGAAUGAUUUCACUAUUACUGCUAUAUGGGGUCGUCAUCCUAGGGCUUGGUAUGCAGUUCCCUCAUUAGGCCUUUCGGGGGGAUAUUAUGUAUAUGGAAUCCGAAUCUUUUUUGUGUCUCUAGCUGUUCUGUUGCUAUGAAUGGCUGUAUUUUGCAUAUUGAAGGCACCUUCACUCGGUCCAAUCUAGAUUGCCUAGUCUCUUUUGUAUAUGCUCCGAAUGUUGGGAACCUGAAGAAUGAGCUGUGGACUUAUCUUGUUACAUUCAGGGAUAGUGUUAGCAUGUCGUGGUGUCUUGCAGGUGAUUUUAAUGAAACCUUAUUCCCAUCAGAUAGGAAAGGCGGCUCACAAAUAACAUCUUCCAUGACAAGAUUUCAAAAUUGCAUUGAUGGUUGUAAUCUUAUGGAGCUCCCCUUAAAUGGGAGAAAAUUUACAUGGUCUCGAGGUAAUGCGGCGAGCCGUAUUGAUAGAAUAUUUUUAUUGGGGGAUUGGUUGCAGGCUUUCCCGUCCUCUACUUUAUUCGGUCUCUCAAAAUAUUCAUCUGAUCAUAGGCCUCUGCAUCUGUUGCUAGACUCUACAAAUUGGGGCCCGAAACCUUUUCGCUUCAUGAAUUGCUGGUGGCUUGCGUCUGAUUUCAGGAUUAUGAUUCAGAGCUUUUGGAGAUCACUCACGGUUUCAAAAUCUGGCAUAAGGAAAAUGGUCCCAGCUCUAAAGAUGUUGAAAGAGAGAUGUCGGCAGUGGAGUAAAGCUACUGUGGGAAACAUGAAUAACAGAAUUGAAGAACUGGAACUUGAAGCUGACUCAAUGGAUCAUCAAAAUGAGUGCAGGGUUUUGACUGCUGAUGAACUGAUUAGAAGUAAUUCCAUUGCCUCCCGGCUCAAAAUCCUGUAUAGAGCUCAAGAGUCUGCCUAGCAUUAGAAGUCAAGAAUUCAGUGGUGUAAGCUUGGAGAUAAAAAUACCCGAUUCUUUCAUUUAGCUGCAACAACAAGACAGAAAAAGAAUCAGCUUGCAUGCCUAGAGGUUGAUGGACAGAUCCUAUCUAAACCAAGCGAUGUGAAUCUAGCUGUCUUUCACUUUUUCCGCAACCUAUACUCCCAUCAGAACAGACCUAGAGCUUCAUGUUCAAACCUGGAAUUCUCAAGGCUGAAGCAUUCAUCCUCGGCUGCUCUUGAAUUGCCAUUUUCUGCAGAAGAGAUUACAGCAGCUGUGUGGGAUUGUGAUGGAAAUAAAGCUCCAGGUCCUGAUGGUAUUAACUUCCUUUUCAUCAAGAAAGCAUGGAACAUUAUAGGUGAGGACAUUAUCCAGAUGGUUGAUGAAUUCUAUCGGACUAAUCUCCUUCCUGCAGGUAUCAAUAGCACCUUUGUUACUCUUAUUCCGAAGAUUAAAGGUGCUAACAAGCUAUCAGAUUUCAGACCUAUUAGUUUGGUGGGCAGCCUAUACAAGAUCUUCUCAAAGAUUCUAGCAACUAGGUUGAAACAUGUUAUGCCAGAGGUCAUCUCUCAUCAUCAAAAUGCUUUCAUCAAAGGGAGGCAAAUUUUAGACAGCGUCUUGAUUGCAAAUGAGGUUCUUUCUUUCAUCAAGAAGAAAAAGGGUAAAGCUUAUCUUUUCAAAUUAGAUUUUCAUAAAGCCUUUGAUUCGGUGUUAUGGGAAUAUAUUAAUGAAAUCAUGGCUAGUAUGGGCUUUGACCUGGUUUAUGCAAUGCAUAUCAACGGCAAAAAUGUCUGUGCUUGUUAAUGGGUCUCCCACGGAGGAAUUCUGCUUAGCAAAAGGCCUACGCCAAGGAGACCCUCUCUCUCCGUUUCUCUUCAACAUUGCAGUCCAGGGCUUGAGUUGUAUGUUGCAGCGUGGCUGUGAUUUGGGUUUGACUUCGGGUAUAAACAUCGGCAAUACAGGGCUUGUCAUAUCUCACUUACAGUUUGCGGACGACACCCUUAUGUUCAGUUCAGACUCUUUACAUAGCAUGCAGAACAUUAAACGUAUCCUAUUAUGCUUUGAACUUGUCUCGGGGCUGAAGGUCAAUUUUUAUAAAAGCAGCAUUGUGGGUGUGGGUGUAGCAGCUCAUACAUGUAACUUCACGGCUCAGCUUCUCAGAUGCAAGCAGGAUCAGCUGCCUCUCAUGUAUCUUGGGCUCCCCAUUGGUGGAAACUUGGGCAGAGCUACAAUGUGGAAUCCUAUUUUGCGCAAUAUCAGUUGCCGAUUGGCUUCGUGGAAAGGCAGGUUCUUAUAUAUUGGGGGCUGUUUGUGCUUGAUUAAAUCUGUGCUCAGUAAUCUCCCCAUCUACUACCUAUCUAUGUUCCCCAUGCCUGUUACGGUAGCCUCCAAAAUUGAUCAGAAACUUCGAUCCUUCCUCUGGUCAGGAAAUGAGGAAAGGCACAAAAUAUGCAAUGUCAGCUGGGCCACUGUUACUCUUCCAAAACAUGCGGGGGGUCUUGGGAUUGGUUCCUUAAGGGACAAAAACACAGCUCUGCUAUUUAAAUGGUUAUGGAGGUUUGGGUUAGAGGAAUCAAGUAUGUGGAAGGAUGUGAUCAAAAGCAUCCACAACACCAAUUGCUCUAAACUGCUGCUGCAAGCUCCUAUUCCAGGAGCUGCAACUACAUGGUCCCGGAUUGUUAAUCAUUGUGUGAGAAAUAAUAAGCUGCAGGAUAUUGUGAAUGAGCAAUCUCUGGUUCUUAUCGGAAAUGGCAAGAAGACUAUGUUUUGGCUUGAUUGCUGGCUUAAUAACCACUGUUUAGCAGAGCACUUCCCUACUCUUUUCCAAUUAUCCAAUGACAAAGCUGCCAGCAUUGCUAAGAUGGGAAUAUGGGAAGGGUAUAAGUGGAUUUGGGUUUUUUCCUGGAUACGUCCACUACGGGGGCGAAACAUUGGCUUGCUCGAUCAACUAUAUGCAAUCCUAUCGACAGUAUUGGUAAGCCAUGGCCAUCUUCUUGGUAUGUUCUCUGUUCCAGUUGGUAUUUUAGACUCUAAUAUUGCUGAGUUAAGGGCUAUUGUCAAAGCCAUUGAACUAUCAGCAUCUAAUUGUCUCCUCCACCAUCAACACCUCAUCAUAGAAUCUGACUCUGUCAAUGUUAUUAGCUAGAUGAAUAAGCCUCACAGCCGUCCCUGGAAGCAUCAUAAUUUGUUCUCCUUUGUUAAUAGACUGAAACCAUAUUUUGGUUCAAUCACCUUCUCCCAUAUCUUUCAUGAAAGUAAUUGCAUGACAGAUUGCAUGGCUAAACAAGGAGUGCGGAGAUCAAGUGAAUUUGUUGCCUGGCUUUGACUCCACCAUUUUUCUGUGGCCUUGCUCUUGUGUCUUCUGCCAUUAUGUCUUUGAGUUAUUUCUGUUAUGUUUUGUAGAGGAAUGUUUAGCUUUGAGCUCAUUCGGAUGGAUAUUCUAUGGUUUUCUUUGCUUUUGUUUAUCUUAGUCUGCGCUUUAUCCUAUAUAUGGCUUUUUGCCAUAGUAAGAUAAUGUGUAGCUUCUGUACUACUCCCGCCAGACUUUGGCGUUUAAUAAUAUACGCAUCUUUCAAAAAAAAUCCAUGUGAAUCGCACGACUUGUCCAUAUCUUUCUUAUUGAUUACAAAUAGCAUUGAGAAUUAAAGAAUAUUAUCUUAAUAAGUUCCAAUUUAUUCUACAAAAACUAUAUAUAAAGAUGUAUACAAAUUAGUUAUUUAUUGUUUGUAAGUAUUAUUGUAUUGCAAAGACAAAAAUAAGAUGCAACUUAUGGCGUGGUCGUCCAACCUGGUUCAGGUUUUGAUCCUGUUAAAAAUCUAUUUUGUUGAAUUGUUAUCUACUUGUGAGUUAUUGGGUUAACUAGAUCAAUUUUUUAAACAAAACAAUAUCAUUUAAAAAAAAAAAAUUGGUUCUGACUUAGAAAUAUAAUAUUAGAAACUUAAAUCUUAUUAUUAUAAAAGACUCAAUGGUAAAUUUAGUUUUGAAAUAGAUUUUUGUAAAAUCAAAUAUCAACUAAGCACCUGGAAAUUUAUUUGAAAUUACAAUAACCUUGUAGAAAACAAACAUAAAUAGAAUUAUUAAAUUCAAUGGAGUCCAUGACCUGAAUUACGGGUUCAACGGGUUAAGCCACGAAGCUCUGAUCGAUUUAAAAUAUUGUCGUCUUAAUAUAAAAAAAAAAUACAUCUUAAAAAAAAUAAAUUAAGCUAGACUACGUUUUUACCUAUUAUCUGGGUUGUUUUUAGGUUCAUCAUUUCGACUGAGUUAUAUUAGGACAACUACUACAUAAUUUAAUUUAAAAUUAAAGCUAAACAAGAAAUUAGGUAAAGAGAUUUUAAGAUUGAUUUGUUGGAUUGGAUUUAAUAACAAUACAAAAAAUCUAAAUAUUUCUUUUUUAUUAAAAAAAAAUUCAAUCCAACUCUCAUCGUAACGCAGUAUAGUAAGAUAAAUAGAUAUAAAUAUUUUGAUGGAUACUCGGGAUAAAAGAUUGUUUGAGGACAUUUUGCUAAUUUCUUUUGUUAUCUAAUCAAUCAAGCUCAUAGUGAAUAAGUAUAUUAAUAUAUACAAUUAAAUUAAAUAACAUAUAAGAGAAAAAUGGUCGCAAGCUAAAGCUAAAGUGAUGCGACGUUGAGCCACUAGUCGAUAGUUGUAACGUCAGUUUGUUGGUUCGUCGUUCGUUUCUCGGGCGAGUUUGGUUGUGCUAAACACAAUGAACCAAUAGAGUGCUUUGCUUUCUUACUUGGAGAUUCUGGAGCCUUGGAUUUUUUGAUAUUUAGGUUAUCUGUUUCUAGAAAAGAAAGAAAGAAAUAUUUAUAUUAUCAAUGCAAUGCAAUGAAACGACUAAAUAACAUUUAAUUAUUAUCAUAGCUUUGUCCUCGUACCUAAGGAAGUAUACUACGUCUUUUUCUCCAUUGUUUGAGUUUGAAAUUAUAUCUGUGAACCCAUUAAUUUAUCUAGAAAAAACAUUUAUUGGGUAAUUGGAUCAAUCAUUGAGGUCGUCAUAUCAUAUAUAAACCAAUUAUUUUAAUUAAAACAAUAUCAUUUUAUUUAAAAUUAAAUUUAUAAUACUAACUGAAUCCCUAAAAACACAAUUAGACCAAUCAAGUUUUAGCAAGUUAAUUUUUUUUUUUAAUUUUUUCAUAUUUAACUUGAAAUUCAAUCCAAAUUAAAUUAUAAAUUAUGGGUUUCUUAAAUUAACACAUGUUGGGUCAGGUCUACCAAUUAUGAUUGGAAUCCAGGGUUAAUAUCUAGAAGAAUUUAUUAAAUUUCUGUAUAAUUAGUCAAUCGAUGAGGGAAUUUAGUUUUGAUUGAUGGAGAAAUUAAUUUAAAGAUACCAUGCAAGAUAUAUAUAUAUAUAUAAACAUUUAAAGGGAAACGGACCCACCAUCAAUUAUUGUUAUUCGUUUAAUUAUAAAUAGAAUGAAGAGAAUGAUGCUCGCUGCACUUUUAUCAGCGACUGAUAAACCCCAGAAGGAGAACACUCUACAGAAUUAUUCCAUACUUUUUCGUAAAUUAUAAAUUAAAAAGAAAUUGGUUAUAACAUGGUUAACGAACACAGCACAAAAAUAAACAGGUGUAUUUCUUACAUAAAUUCUUAUUGUUUUGUUUUUCCAUUGGUUUCAUGAAAUUCUCUCAACAAUUGAACAAAAAACACUACAUCAUAGCUCACAAACAUACAUUUUAUAAGUCAAUUAAACCUCUUGUUUUUCUUAUGUGUCUUUUUAUUGUAAUCUCUGCAAGGUGACACCUGACAGAGCAAUCUGUUGAUAGGUCCAAUUCUGCUUUAUGUUGUGUUUCUUGCUGAGCAAAUAAAGGUCAUGGGUUUUCUUUCUUUCUUUUUCCCUUAUAAAAAUGGUCAUGCGGCCACAGACAGUUGCGAAAAAAAAGAAGCACUUAAUUAUCACUUAUUUGGUAAGUAGCGUACUUAUCAGAUGACCCUCAACCAUCAGUACCCAUUAUAAAUUAAUGUCGACAAGAGUAAAAUUAGGAGUUACCGUGACUUUCCAACAUCUAUCAUUAUAAAUUAAGUAUCAACAACGAUUAAGACUAAUUGUUUUACCAAGAUUCUCAACCAUUGUAAAAAUAGAUUUGAAAAAAAAAUCAUAGCAAAAAUUCAAAAAAAUAAAAAUUGCAUUGCUUUCCAUAUAUAUUUUAGUUUUUCUUAUAAUAAUAAUAAUAAUUAUAGUCUCUCGUGUCUCACAACUGUAUGUGUUUUUUCUUGAAUAAGCGCUAAUGUUCUUUGAGGGGUCCAAGCACCAUAUACUGAAAGAAAGAACUAGUUCAAAUUGAAGCACCAUGAGUUUCUCUACGGCUUGGUUCACCACCUGCUGGUGCGGCAAGUUAUGAACUAGCUGGCUAGUUUUUUGCUUCCUUGGUUUUAGAAGCACCAUGUGUUCAAAGAAUAGUCAACAAAGAAAAAGAAAAAGAAAAAGAGAAGGGCAAAAGGUUAAUUAAAAUCAGCAGGACUGCCAUGAGGCAACCUCAAGUAGUGAACUUGAAGGAAUAAAAAGUGCUGGGAAGUAAUUUUUGCUGAAACUUCUUGUGUAACAUCUUCUUUUGAUGAUGACCUCUUGGAUGGCUGCAUGAAGCUUGUUCCGUUUUAAAUUUCAAGGUUAAUCUAUUUCUAUGAGCAUUGGUGUUUCAAUUUCAACCUUAAGUUGCAACUGAACUUAAAUGAAUAGUGUUGGAUUUGGGCCUUCUAUUUGCUUUAACUUCUACAGGAUUGAAAUGAUAGUGAUCUUAAAGUACAAAAGCAGCAGACAAAAAUCAAUUAGCCACAAUAUAUAGUGUAUGGUUUCCUAGUUUCUCAGUAUAAAGUUGAAUGUUUUGGUGAUAUCUCUACAUCCAAAAUCAUAUAGACAGCUACUGCUGGCACUUGCAGUGGUCAAUGAAUACUAUAGAGUACAUAUUGCAGUUUGAGAUAAGGUUAACUCGUUGCAUUUUCAUAUAUUGAAAGGAUUUCUCUUCUUUUCUUUGUCAGUUACAGAACAUGCAUAGAAGUGUUCUUAUUCAGAGUAAAUGCUAUUGUAAUGUUUUCACGGACUCCCUUGCUUUGCAACUAAGUCACUAAUUAUCUUGGAACAUAGCCAUAAAUAAAAGGUUCUUCCAGUUCAAGAAAAUUAACCAUGAAGCUAGUAGCUAGAAUUUUUAGACAGAAUGGUGGCCAAGUAAACUCCUAUACUCUGUACCUCUGGAAUAAUGCAGGGAAAGGAUGUCUAUGUAUUUUGAUGUCUUAUAUUACUUGACCAACUCUUGCUUAUCUCAUUAUUUGUUUUUACUUUUUGCUAAUGAUUCCACACAUUUUUGAUAUUGGUGUGGUUUAUGACUUCAGGGUUCUUACUCGCUACUGCAACUUCUCUAUACUUGCUUGGUCAUUAAAUAUGAAACGUGAUGAUUUGCAUAUGCAGAAUGGAGACAUUAAAGAGGCAUCUUCUGUUUUCUAGUUAGGAGGGAUUACCAGAACUCAAGAAAUUUGUCGUACAUUUUGAGGAAAAGAUUUAUACCACCGCUACCAAUCAGGUAUUUGCCUAAUGCGAGGUUCAAUAAUUACGAUAUUAUCUAGACAUGAAUAUACACACGCAUUUAUGCUUGUACAAAUGUGUGUGUAGUGUGCCUACAUUUCCACACCUUUCAUUCUGUAUGCAAGGCUGAUUAAGAGUUCGCAUCUUUUUGUUAAUUCUCUUGACAAGUGUUUUAUUUAGAGUGACCAAGUUCAAGUACAUGGGAAGUGUGCAAAAAGCAAAUAGCGAAUCAAUACAUAAAUAAGUAAAUAAAAAGAGAGGAAACAGAAGUCUAUCCUCACAAAAGAUGAAAUGAUAGAGCAUAUAUCCAUUUUCCUCCUCUUGUAACAUGGAUUGCUCUGAGAUCUAAUGUUUUGUUAUUAAUAUCUUAUUUUAGUCUGAUUAUCUGCAUAAAAUAUCUCUGGUGAUGCUUUUGAUGAAGAUCAGGUCUCAAAAUGCCAUGCCCACUGCCCCCAUGGAUCCAGCAGGUAAUAAUGCAUUCGAGCAUCGAAUUUCUAAACAUCUUACCUUUUGUUUUUCUUCUCGCAUUGUUAUCAAACUUUUUUACAUUUUAUUGUUCCAUAUUGCUAUGUAUAUCGCCUUGCUGGCAAAAUGUCAUGAUCACCUCCACAAUACUAAUUCUGUAAUGCGUGUGAAGUGUUUCAUCCUUAACUUGUUAAUGAACGAGGACUAUGAUGCAUGGCUAUUUUAUAUUUUAUGAUUGAGAUGGUAGAUUUUAAAGAUUUUCCUUUUUAGGAGAUAAGACGUCACUUUCUUGCUUUUCUUCCGAGAGUAUUCGAUCCUUUUUUCGUACAAAAUAAUGAUGCCAUGCAUUGAAUUCCCAAACAUAUUACCUUAUGUUUUGUUUGGUCGCAUUGUUAUCAAACUCUUUUACAUUUUAUUGCGGCAUAUUGCUAUGUGUAUGGCAUGCUUUAAUCAAAAAUUUGAUUAAUUGAUGAAUGUUAGGCAAGAAAAUUACAGAAUAUUUUUGUUUUUUGCCUCCUCCUUUUCUUUCCCCCACUCCGAAAAUUGUCAUAUUAUUUUUGUUUUCAACCGCCUCUUCUUCCCCCAACCCUGAAAAUUGUUUAUAUUUGCUUUGGAAGCAUGGCAAACUUCACUGCCUCUCAGCUUAAGGAGAUUGCAGCAGGUCUCGAAGCUUCUGGGCAUCAAUUUAUCCGGGUAGUUAGAAGAAACAAAAAGAGUCAAGAAGACAAGGAAGAUUGUUUACCCGAAGGAUUUGAGGAAAGAAUGGAAGGCAAAAGGAUGGAUACUCCAAGUUUUGAUUCUUGAUUAUAAAGCAAUAGGUGCAUUUGUGACUCAUUGAGGAUGGAACUCAACUCUUGAAGGCAUAAGGCCAAUAUUUGCUGAGCAAUUCUAUAAUGAAAAGUUGGUGACUGAUGUUUUAAAAGUUGGUGCUGUCGUUGAAUAUAUUAUAGCUGUCAAGGUUCUUGAGUUUUCCCAAAUGUGAUGAUAUGAUCUCAAAACCUGCAAGAGAGUUGUUUGUAAGAGUAAGUCAUGAUGAGCUCACGAUAUGCAAAACAGAUAGAAACAAAAGAUAAUUAGAAUUGAUGAGAUGCUGUUGUUCAAUUGAUGUAUGAUUCUCAAAUUAUACAUACAUAUAUAUAUAUAUAUAUAUAUAUAUAUAUAUAUAUAUAUAUAUAUAUAUAUAUAUAUAUAAUUGAUAUUUAUAAAAGCAUUAACUGUAGCUGAUAUAGUUUUAGAGGAAUAUUUGGUACUUUGUUUCCCAAAAAAAAAAAUAGAUUUUUCUGCGAAGUAGGAAAAAAAAAAAAAAAAACUGUUCAAAACUUAUUCAAGAAAUUAUACAGUUAGCGAGUCACAGAUGAUGAAUCUUAAAAAAAAUUGGCAAUAAUAACAGUACUCUAUUACUAUUAAUUAACUUAAAUAUUCAAAACUUAAAAAUAUUUUUUAAAUUUAUCCAUGCCAAUUUAUCUUAAGAGAGUCGCAAUCUGUGACUAGUUAAAUUAUAUUAUUUCUUUAAAUAAAUUUUGCAUUGUGUUAUUUUUUGUUCUAGGUGCUAUUUUGCAAAAAAAGAAAAGAAAAGAAAGAUUAACGUUUCAGUUAUUCAUUGUUCUUGGAUUUGUAGGUAUAACAACUGAAGAUAGCAAUCAAAAGCGAUGGUGACAUGGUAGAGCUUUGAGUUAUUGCUGUGUUCUAAUGAUGAAGAUGUAGGAAAACGAUCUCCCUUCUGCUGUCUGGAGCUGGGCUUCCUCUCCCUGUAAGAACAAGCAACAUCUUAUCUGCGUUGUUGUUAGUGGCCACUUCAUCGACCCAUUAGUGGGUGGAUUUUAAGCUUAAAAAGGAUUUUUUUUAAAAAAAAAAUAAAGGAAGAAAGAAAGGAGAGGGGGGGCAUCAUCACGUGAAAAGCAAGGAGGUUGCCACCCAUUAUAGAGUGUGGGGCACUCUUGCAUCUAAGAAUAUAUGAUCCUGAGGUUGUUCUGGUGAUGGGUAUUGGCCAUUACAUAAAGCUUCGACAAGCCCUUUUAGCUGCCUGUUAUUAGAAUUUGUAUAAUGAGCAUUCAAACUUAAACUUCUUUAAAUGGGAUGAAAACGAGUGAAAAUCAAGAAGUUGGAGGUGUUCAUCUCUAAUGCAUAGCUGAAGAUCCUUUGUAAGAAAAUACAGCUAAAGACAAAGUGUGUGUGUGUAACAGAGAAAUUGUCGAUAAUAGCAAUCAUGUUCUUUGUCUCUUGUGUCAUAUCUUCCAAAAAUCUUAAAGUAAUUGAUGAAAAAGUGGAUAUACCACUUUGUCUUCUUUAUAGCACUACUGGCCAAUAUGAGUUAAAAGCAUUAAAAGGUCGUGAACGCGGAUGCUUGACGAGCGAGUGUUUACUUGUUAAUUUUUUUAGAAGGAAUCUGGAAAAGAAUAAAGUCAUCUAUUUCACUUUGGGACAACAUUCCUCACCUCUCCCCGCCCGAGCUCUCUCCCUCCCUCCCUCCCUCCCUCGCUCGCUCCCUCUUCCGCCUCUCGGAAACCGCCGCAUCCAUUAAGGCUUCAGAUUUCUGCCAGGUGCUUCCUUUUCUAUCAUGCUUUUGUUUUUAAAAUUUAUGGGUGUUUUCAUUUAUUUUAUUGUAAUUAUUAUUCAGAGACAGAAAUCCAUUUUAAUAAGUAAAUUAAAAAAAAACAAAUAAUCGAUCCGAUGAAAUCUCUGCUAGUGAACGCAAUUCGAUUUUAAUAAGUAAAUUAAAAAAGUAUAUAAUCGGAUCCGAUGAAAUCGCUGCUCGUGAACGCAAUUCAAAGAAACGCACAAUCAGCCGAUUCUAAUAUUUUCUUUUGCAACCCCACCCUAAUUUACAUGAUAUUAUUCGAUUUUUCUCACAGUUAUUGUUGUAAUAAUCAAGCCCUGAAUUCUUGAACCCAAAUUUAUCUUAUUUUAUUUUAUUUUUUAGUUUUAUUUUUAAGUGGAGAAUAGAAAUCAAUUCAAAUCUUUUAGGCUCGAUCGAUAAUUUGUUAAUUAGUUUAUGCAGCAGCUGGAGUGGAAGGGAUAUUACUGCCGGAAUGGCCGAAAAAUGAGCUGUUUGGUUGAUUCUUCUUUUUUGGAAUUUACUGAAUUCUUCAAAAUUAUUGUGUUUUUAACAACAAUACGAUAUCCUUGGGUUUCAUGCUCGCUCACAAAUGGAAAAAAGAAAGAAAGAAAAGAACUUUAAAUUUUAUAAUUUGGUCAUGUUAAUGCUCGUCGUUUUCUUCUUCAUUUUCCUAGCUUAAAACAUCCUAGACAAUCUCUUUGGGAUGGGUUAUUGUUUUUGGCCUCUUCAUCUUCUAUUUGUGCUGUGGUAUUUAGUCUGCUGAUAUUCUUUGGGGAUUAAAAUGCCUCGUUUUAUGACUUUGUUUUGUUUUCUUCUUCUUUCUUUAUUCUUUUGGGGAUGUGGUAUUCUCCUCUUUCUAUUUACACUCUUUGCUCCCUACAACAUUUAUUCUUUCAGAAAAGUAAAUACAUACAUAAAUAACAACAGGAGAGGAGGGGGAGGGGGAGGGGGUUUGACGGUAUGUAUUUGGAUGCAUGAUAUCUAAAUUGGUAAGCACCUGAAAAAGGUCCUGAAUCUAAAUUGGUAAGAUGUGAUAUACUGAUAUCUAGAGAGAUAACUUAAUCUAUCUAUUGAAGUAAAGCAUUUAAAUGCGUAUACAAUGUUUUUGGAUCAUUAAAUAUCUAUUUGAUCAGAAUCUGUGAACCUAAAGCCACAAUGAAUACAAAUGCAAGUUUGUCAUUGUAAACAUUGCAUCGAUGAUGCAUCACAGGUGUUGCUAGAAAACAUCAAGUUAAAAUUGAAGCACCAUGAGUUUCUCUAUGGCUUGGUUUACCAACACUCACCAUCAGUUGGUGCGGCAAGUUAUGAACUAGCUGGCUAGUUUUUCGCUUCCUUGGUUUUAGAAGCACCAUGAAGAUUCAGGCCCAAAUCUUGCUUACAAUACUCAAAUACCCAAGAUCCUAGCACCUUGCCCUGAAUGGUCGUGUAUAUUUGUUAUGGCUGUUCAGAUUUUAUGCAUCCAUGUUUGGUAGAAUUCUUUAAUAAAGUACAUGCUAUUAGAUGGAAGUUCUCUUUAAAUCUAUUCAAGUCUGAAUAAACUGAUAUUCCAAUUUUCAUGACUUUGAUUAGGCGGAGAACUUGUGAUGGACACAGGUGAUUGGAGAACUCAAUUGCAGCCUGGCUCACGGCAAAGAAUAGUCAACAGAAUGUAAGUAUCUGUUUGCUAAUAUGUACAAGUGCUGCAAAAUAGUAAAUCUUGUAUUUAAAUGAAAGAAAAAGAGAAGGGCAAAAGGUUAAUUAAAAUCAGCAGGACUGCCAUGAGGCAACCUCAAGUAUCAUACACUGCUGUUUUUGUCUUUUUCAUUUUUCACGUGUUUCUCACAAGAAGUGAACUUGAGGGAAUAAAAAGUGCUGGGAAGGAAUUUUGGUGGAACUUCUUGUGUAACAUCUUCUUUCAAUGAUGACCUCUUGGAUGGCUGCAUGAAGCUUGUUCCGCUUUAAAUUUCAAGGUUAAUCUAUUGCUAUGAACAUUGGUGUUUCAAUUUCAACCUUGAGUUGCAACUGAACUUAAAUGAAUAGUGUUGGAUUUGGGCCUUCCAUUUGUUUUAACUUCUACAUGGUUGAAAUGAUAGUGAUCUUAAAAUAGAAAAGCAGUUGAAUGUUGAAUGGUGUAUGGUUUCCUAGUUUCUCAGCAUAAAGUUGAAUGUUUUGGUGAUAUCUCUACAUCCAAAAUCAUAUAGACAGCUACUGUUGGCACUUGCAGUAGCCAAUGAGCACUGUAGAGUAUAUAUUCCAGUGUGAGAUAAGGUUAACUCAUUGCAUUUUCAUAAAUUAAAGGGAUUUCUCUUCUUUUCUUUGUCAAUUACGGUGCAUGUAUAAAAGUUUUCUUACUUAGAGUAAAUGCUAUUGUAAUGUUUUCACAGAAUUCCCCUGGUUUGCAACUAAUUCACUUAUAUAUCUUGGAGCAUAGCCAUAGCCAUAGCCGUAAAUGGAAGGUUCUUCUGGUUCAAGAAAAUUAACCAUGAAGCUCGUAAUUAAAAUUUUAGACAGAAGGGUGGCCAAAUGAACUCCUAUACCCUGUACCUCUGGAAUAAUACGGGGAAAGGAAGUAAAAAUAGAUGUCUGUAUUCUGAUGCCAUAUAUUACUUGACCGACACUCGGCUAUAUCAUUAGUUGUUUUUAUUUUUUGCUAAUGAUUCCAUUGAAUACAUUUCUGAUAUUGGUGUGGUGUGUGAGUUCAUGGUUAUUUCUCACUGCUGCUAACUUCUCUAUACCUACCUUGUCAUUAAAAAUUAAACGUAAUGUUUUACAUGUGCAGAAUGGAGAUAUUAAAGAGGCAUCUUCCGUUUUCUGGUCAAGAGGGAUUACAAGAACUCAAGAAAAUUGCUGUACGGUUUGAGGAAAAGGUUUAUACUGCCGCCACCAGUCAGGUAUUCGGCUAAUGCUAGGUUCAAUAAUUUCGAUAUUCUCUAGACAUGAAUAUAAACAUGCAUAAGUUUGUGGAUUUAUGCAUGUACACGUGUGUGUAGUGUGUCCACACUCUCACUGGUCAUUCCGUAGAAGUUCUCAUCUGUUCAUUAAUUCUCUUGACAAGUGUUUUAUUUAGAGUGACCAAGGUUCUUUUCAAGUACAAGGGAAGUGUGCAAAAUGCAAAUAACGAAUCAAUACAUAAAUAAUUAAAUAAAAAGAUAGGAUACAGAAGUAUAUCCUAUAUCCUCACAGAAGACGCAAAUAUAGAAAGCCUAGCAUAUUAGAAAGAGCAUUUAUCCCUUUCCCCCCUUCUCUUGUAACAUGGACUGCUCAGAGAUCUAAUGUUUCCUUAUUGAUAUCUGAUUUCAGUCUGAUUAUCUGCGUAAAAUAUCUCUGAAGAUGCCUCAGAAUACCAUACCCACUGGCAAUGGUAACAAACCCCUGUAUCCAGGGGGGAAGUGUGCAAAAUCCAAGCUUUGAAUUUCUAAACAUCCUUACCUUUUGUUUUAUAUUUCGCAUUGUUAUCAGACCCUUUUACAUUUUAUUGCUGCAUUUUGCUAUGUAUAUACUAAUCCCUGUACUUUUACAUUAUGUUAAUAAACUGGUCCCUUCAUUAGUUUUUUGUUAGUCAAAUGUAGAGUUGUUAGCAAUAUUUCCUCAAUUUGUUCCACUAACUUGACGUUAAAAUGUGACCAAAGAAUCAAUUAAUUAUUUAAAAAACUUGAGGGAUUAAUUUGUUUGUUUCACAAAAAAAUACAGUGGUUAAAUAAAAUUUUACUCAAAUUUUUAUCAUCAUAUUCGUGAGUGUUUACUUGUAAAUAUUUUGGAAUGAACACAGUGGUUAAGUUUAUGUUUUGCGCAGCAUAAAAAAAAUCAUCUAGGCUUAAAUAAUUAUUUGGCAUCAUAAUUAAAACUCUAAUCCAAAUUUCUCUCAUCUGGCUUCUUAUCUAUAUCAAGUUUAAAAUUAACCAAUGUGAAAGUUGCUCUAACAUGAUAUAAUUAAUGUGAUGGGUUCCAAGUCAAUUCAUAUGACCAGUAAAAAAACAUAAUUUAGCUUUAAAAAAAAAAUUCAAGAUGAUACUUGUUUUGAACAUUGAUACGACAUCUUGGAUCGACUCUAGUUUUGUGACGUAACUCUUUAAACCCAUGACUUGAAUAAUGGAUUCUAUCUGGUUUAAUUUUUUAUAAAAAAAAUUAUUUUUUACUUAAUAAUAUGAUAAUAAAAAUAAAAACUCGUAAAAUUGAGCACUAAUCAAAUAUUAAGAUAUUUAUUUGAGACUGCAAUAACAUCAUUGAAAGCAAAUUGAAACAAAAUCAAUUCAAAAUCAAAUAAAUGUUAAACAAAUAUUAAAAGAUGAAACCAGACAAAAGCCAAAAAGGAUUUAAUUGAAAGAAAGAAAAUAUUGGAAUGUAGAGUUUAAAAACUAAGGAAUAAUAUUUAUUAAACUUGAUCCUAAUCUAUCGACUUGACUUCUUACCUAACAUAUAUUUAAAAUUAAUUUGUAAGGGAGUUGUCUGUACAUUACCUAGUUGACUUGACAUGUGCAAAUUAAAGCAACCUGAAUGACCAAUAAAAACAUGGUUUGGAUUUUAAGAAAAAAAAUCAAGAUAUCUUUUUUUUUUAAUAUUGAGACGAAAAUAUAUUAGAUCAACUCAAGCUCCGUGGCUAAACUCGUCAAAUACGCAACCCAGAUCAUGAACUCCACUAGAUUUAAAAACUAUUUUUUUAUAUAAUGAUACAAUAACUAAUAUAAACACUUAUAAAAUUGAGAACUAAACAAAUUUAGUGACGUUUAUUUGAUAUUGUGAUAACUACAUAUAAAGAAAAAAACAAAUUAUGACCAAUUCAAAAUUAACAAAAUAUUAAAGUGAAAUUGAAAGGAAAAAAAGGGCAAAAAUCAUUCAAUCAAAAGAAGAAAAAAUUAGAAGAUAGAAUUUUUUUUUUAAGGGAGGAUAUGAAUAGCAAAAUAGGAGGGAAAACCCUAACUUUUUUUAGUAUAAUAAAUGAUGUUUAAUUUAAUUAAAAUCUUUAUCUCAUACAAUUAGACCUAAAAAGAGAAGAAAAUUUCUAAAGAUUGAUUUGUAAAAAAACAGAAAAAAAAAUCAAAUCAAGAAGCGAAAAAAUACAAGGACCAAUAUACACACACAUAGUGAAAGAGUUAGAAAAGCAUAACUUUUUUAGUAUAGUAGUUUAUUUCUAAUUAAAUUGAAAACUUUAUCUCAUAUAAUUAGGCCAAAAAAGAAUUAAAUAAAAAAAAAAGGAUUAAUUUAUAAAAAGAAAAAGAAAAAUAAAGAAUACAGAACCAAAUCAACAAAGAAAAAAACUAAUUUUUAAAAAAUAAAGUGCUCCACUAUUCAUAUAAAAUAGAACAUCAUUAUAGUAUCCAAUUAGACAGUGACCCAUAUUACUGGCUAUUUUAAUUUUUUUAAAGAAAAAAAAGUUUCAGUAUUUUCAAAUGUGAUAAGUUUUUUUUUUAUAAAAAAAAACAUAUAUGUGUGCAAGGGAAUAGAGAUUUGGUUUGAGAAUACAUGCUAAAAAUCUAAACAUGAACUAAAACAAAGUGGAAUUAAAAAGAGUAAAAAAAAAAAACCUAAAAGAGAUCCAUGAUUCAUUAUAUAUAUAGACUAUGAGGUUACGAGGUAAAAUAUUAUGGAUUAGCAUAAUAUAAUUACUUUUUACCCUUCUCUACACAACAAUUACCUUGCUAAUAGGGGUAAAGUUGUCUUUUUCAAUGAUUUUAAAGGUUAUUUAUAAAUUCACUGGAGAUAAUUUAGUAGGUUUACUCCUUUUUUGCAUAUUAAAACUACAUCAUUGCCUUUGCAAGCCAAAAAAAGAAAAAACAAUUAACCUUUUGUUUAAGAUCUAUUUUGUAUUUUGUAUUUGAUUUAUACAGUAAAAUGACAUUAAUGCCUUAGAGAGUUAAAAAAUCAUCGACUUUAAGUUACUGGGCCUUAAACUUUGUUAUUUAUUUUGGUUUUUUUUUAUAGGGUUAUUUCUAUCUCAUAUCUCAAGUUGCAGAUAAGUUAGGUUGGAUGCAUACUUAAUUAAUUAAUAAAAGUCAUGUAUAUAUUUUUGCAAAUUGGAUGCACACUUAAUUAACAUACUUAUUGAAUAUUAAGUCAGGCAAAAAAUCUAUAAAAAGAAUAUACAAGUGAGCCAAACAACAAUAUUAAGAACGAAUAAGAGGUAGUAAAAGAAGAUGAUACCAAAGGACGCAAAAUCACAAAAAUUCAUGAAACUACAUUAGGCUCUCUACAAGUGAAUUGUUUAAAAAGUUAAAAGAAAAUAAAUGCACUUUUGUCCACAGCAACAACUAAAUGCACUUUUGUUCAAUACCAAGAAAUUAAACAUUUUUUAAAAAAAAAACUAAAUGAAUUGUUUAAAAAGUUAAAAGAAAAUAAAUGCACUUUUGUACACAGCAACAACAACUAUAGCAAAAUGCUGGGCUGUAGAAUCUAGAUGAUUGUCCACAGCAACAUGAAAAAAUCAUAUAUGCUUAAGUAACUAUUUGGCAUCUCAAUCUAGUAAAUUAAUCUUAAAUUUCUUAUAUCCGACUCUUUACCUAUAUUAAAUUUAAAAUUAACCAACAUAAAAAUUGUUUUAAUAUGACUUAAUCGAUAUAGUUGGUUCAAAGUCAAUCCAUAUGACCGAUAAAAAAUGUAAUUUGGCUUAAAAAAUUUCAAAAUAACAUCUUUUUUAUAACAUUGAUACGACAAUAUAUUAGAUUGACCCUGAUUUCAUGACUUAACUCUCUAAACCCACUACCUUAAUAACGGACUCCUUCUAGUUUAAAAACUUUUUUUUAAUUAUUUUUUACUUCAUGAUAUUAUAACAAAAAUAGAUGCUCAUAAAAUUAAGCACCAACCAAAUAUCAAGAUAUUUGUUUGAGAUUACAAUAAUAAAUAUCAUAAAAAGCGAAACCGAAACAAGACCAAAUCAAAAUAAAUCAAAUGUUAAAGGAUUAAACCAGGAAAAAGCCAAAGAGGAUUCAAUUAAAAGAAAGAAAAAAAAAAUAGAAGGUUGAGUUUAAAAACAAAGUAACAAUAUGACAUUGUUAUUAAACUUAAAGGAAAAAAAAACUAAUUUAAAAAAUUAAAGUGUUUCACUAUUCAUGUAAAAAUGAAAUACCAUUAUAGUAUCCAACUAUAUAGGUGACCUGCACUAUGGGUUAUUCUAUUUUUUUAAAAGCAAAAAAAUAAAGUUUCGACAUUGUUAGAUUGUGAGAAAAAAAAAGUUUUAAAAAAUAUCCGUGUACAAAAGAGGAGAGAGAUUUGGUUUGAGAAUGCAUGGUAAAAAUCUAAACAUGAACUAAAAAACAAAGUGGAAUUAUAAAAAUUAAAAAAAAAACUAAAAGAGGUAAAUGAUUCAAGUGAUUCAUUAUAGACUAUAAGGUAAAACACUAUGGAUUACACACAAUAUAUUUACUUUUUUCUCUUCUAUACACAAAAUAAUUGUCUUGCUAAUGGGGAUAAAGUUGUUUUUUUAAAGGGAUCUAAAGGUUAUUUGUAUAUUGAUCGGGGAUAAUUUAGUAGAUUUACUGCUUUUUUUGAACAUUAAAACUACAUCUUUGCCUUUGCAAGCAAAAAAAAAAAAUUGUCCUUUCGUUUAGGUUUAGGGUUUAUUUUAUCUUUCCUAUUUUUUUUCAUAGUAAAAUAACAUCAAUAUCCUUGAUAACAAUACAACAACAAAGGAAAAUACCAAUAUUUAAAAUACAACAACUCUUUUUUUCCCAUCUUCUGUUUUCUUUUUUUCAUAUCAAUACAACAACAAAGAAAAAUACAAAUAUUUAAAAUACAACAUAAAAUUUAUUUUCCUGUAGAAUCAAUGUAACAUUAAAGAGGCAUCUUCCGUUUUCUAGUCAGGAGGGAUUAUAAGAACUCAAGAAAAUUGCCAUAUGACUUGAGGAAAAGAUUUAUACUACCGCCACCAAUCAUGUGUUUGCCUAAUGCGAGGUUCGAUAAUUACGGUAUUCUUUAGACAUGAAUAUACACACGCAUUUAUGCAUGUACAAAUGUGUGUGUAGUGUGCCUACACUUCCUCACCGUUCAUUCUGUAUGCAAGGCUAAUUGGGAGUUCACAUCUUUUUGUUAAUUCUCUUGACAAGUGUUUUAUUGAGAGUGACCAGGUUCAAGUAUUGGGGAAGUGUGCAAAAAGAAAAUAGCAAAUCAAUACAUAAAUAAUUAAAUUAAAAGAGAGGAAACAGAACUAUAUCCUCACAGAAGAUGAAAUGAUAGAGCAUAUAUCCAUUUCCCCCCUUCUCUUGUAACAUGGAUUGCUCUGAGAGCUAAUGUUUUGUUAUUGAUAUCUGAUUUCGGUCUGAUUAUCUGCGUAAAAUAUCUCUGGAGAUUCUUUCGAUGGAAAUCAGGUCUCAAAACGCCAUGCCCACUGCCCCCAUGGACCCAUAAGGUAAUAAUGCAGCCAAGCAUUGAAUUUCUAAACAUCUUACCUUUUGUUUUUCUUUUCGCAUUGUUAUCGAACUCUUUUACAUUUUAUUGCUGCAUAUUGUUAUGUAUUUCGCCUUGCUGGAAAAAUCUCAUGAUCACCUCCACGAUGCUAAUUCUGUAAUGCAUGUGAAGUGUUUCUGAUAAGGUCCCAAUCAAGAGUGAUACACAAUUGCAGAAAUGCUAGGAUUCUCUUAGGGUGAGAAUUUACCACAAUAUUGUUUGGAUAAACAUAAUGCUAUUCUUUUUAUUCUUCUUCAUACAUAUAAAGAACUAAACCAUAACAACUUUCAGCAAAUCCAGCCGAAAUGGAAAUAACAGAUUACAAAACAGAAAUGCAAAUAAUGUGAAAGUGGCUGCUUUAUUUUCUCCCAUUGAAUCGGAAGCAUGAUUCCAAUUGACUUGCUUGUAACUCCCUUUAAUCACGAUAUCUUUUAAUCACGAUAUUUUAAAUUCUUCUUUAUGACACGUGGGGUCCUUCGUGGCAGCAGCUCUCCAAGCUGCGUAUCAUUACCCCCCACAUCAAGUGGAUGCUUGUCCCCAAGGUCCAAGCUUGGGUGGUUCGUUAGCAGUUCAGCCGUUGGUUCCCAGAUGGCAUCAUUUGUAGACAAAUGUUUCCACUUCACCAAACUCUCCUCAAUAAAUCUUGCCCCAUGUGGAAUCCAACGUGUGUCCAGAAUAGCUUCUGGUGUGACCACAAUGGUGCCUUCUUCAUCAAUAGGUGGAAGUUCCAUACUAGUGUCUGCUUUGUCACCCAACUUCCUUUUAAGCAACGACACAUGAAAAACUGAAUGUAAACGUGCCCCCUCCGGAAGCUUGAGUUUGUAGGCCACAUCACCGACUCGCUUUUCAAUUGGGAACGGACCAUAAAACUUGCAAGCAAGUUUUUGAUGAGCUCGUCGAAAAGCAGUCUGUUGGCGAUAAGGUUGUAAUUUGAGAUACACAAGGUCACCUUCUAUGAAUUCGACAUCCCUUCGCCCACGAUCAACCAACUGUUUCAUGCGAUUCCUAGCAUUCGCUAAAUUCUGCUUGAGAUUCCUAAGAAGUGUGUCCCGUACCUGAAGACUGUGAUCAACUUCAUUAACUGGUGAAGAGCCUGUAGCAUAAAGUGGAAAUGUAGGUGGUAAGCGUCCAUAAAGAGCUUGAAAAGGUGUCGUUCCUGUUGAUGAAUGGUAAGCUGUAUUAUACCACAGCUCUGCCCAAGGAAGAAAUUGGCUCAACUGUCGUGGUCUUUGGUGAACAAAACAGCGCAAAUAUUGUUCCACACAAUGAUUAACCACCUCUGAUUGACCAUCCGUUUGAGGAUGAUAUGCUGAGCUCAUCUUAAGCUGAGUACCAGACAUCUUAAAAAAUUCCUGCCAAAACUUACUAAUAAAGACUUUAUCUCUGUCGCUCAUAAUAGAACUAGGCAUGCCAUGUAGCUUCACCACACCAUCUACAAACUUUUCUGCCACCAUCUUUGUUGUGAAAGGAUGUGUUAAGGCCAAGAAGUGAGCAGAUUUGCUUAGAUGGUCCACUACCACUAAAAUGGUAUCGCGACCAUGUGAAGUAGGGAGACCUUCAAUAAAAUCUAUAGUAACGUCAUCCCAUACCUGACACGGAAUAGGAAGAGGUUGCAAGAGCCCAGCUGGUUUGAGAUUAUCAGCUUUAGUUUUCUAGCAUGUCACACAUGUGUGGACAUAUUCUUUGACAGAAUGAUACAUAGAUGGCCAAUAAAACUGCUGAGAUAGACGUUUGAAUGUACCCAAUAUACCAGAAUGGCCGCCCAUCUUUGUAUCAUGAAAUUCCUGUAGUAAUUGUUCUAUCACAGCUGUGUUAGGAGGCACCACAACACGUGUUUUGAAGAAAACUAACCCAUCUCGCCAGGUAUAAGGUUUUCCAGGACUAUUUUGAGCUUGCUGAAUAAUUUGUUCCAUAUAUGGGUGUCCAGUGGAGGCCUUUUUUAUGUCUUCCCAUAAAGUUACUUGUGGCACAGACAACGCAUUAAGAAUAGGGCUUCCAGACACUCUUGAUAAUGCAUCAGCAGCUGAGUUGUCGCGUCUUGGGCGAUAUAUGAUUUCAUAGUCAUAGCCAAGUAAUUUAGCCACCCAACGUUGUUGUUCUGGUGUCCCAAUUCUUUGCUCCAAUAGAUACUUUAGACUGUGCUGGUCCGUUUGAAUGAAGAACUUUUUGCCCAGUAGAUAUGGUCUCCAAGUGCGUAUUGCCUGAAGGAUGGCAAUCAUUUCUUUGGCAUAUGUUGACCAUGAAAGUUUGGCCACUCCGAGUUCUCGGCUGAGGAAAGCAAUGGGUUUACCUUGCUGUGUCAACACUGCACCAAUACCCUCUCCAGAAGCAUCAGUUUCAAUUGUAAAUGAUUCAUUGAAAUUUGGCAUAGCUAAAAUAGGUGUGGUUGUCAUAGCUUGUUUGAGCUGUAGGAAAGUUGCCUCCGCCUCUUGACUCCAUCUGAAUUGCCCUUUCUUCAAGAGAUUGGUUAAUGGCUUUGCCAGCAGACCAUAGUUGCGCACAAAUUUUCGAUAAUAACCUGUAAAGCCUAGAAAACCAGGUAAGUCUGAAAUAGUGCUUGGCCUUGGCCAAUUUACCAUAGCUGUAAUUUUGCUUGAAUUAACCUUGACCCCUUUAUUAGUCACAAUGUGACCGAGGUACUCGAGCUCUGACUGCCCAAAUGUAUAUUUGCCUUUACAAAAUAUGUAUGUUGCCGUAGAAUUUCAAAAACCUUUGUAACAUGUUCAAGAUGCAUGGUCCGGGCUAUAAAUCAAAAUAUCAUUAAAAAAAAAACUAAUAUGAAUUGACGGAGAUGAGGAUGAAAAAUAGAAUUCAUAAUAGCUUGGAAAGUGGAAGGAGCGUUGCAAAGACCAAAGGGCAUGACCAUAUAUUCGUAGUGGCCAUUAUGGGUACGGAACACAGUUUUGUGAGUGUCUUUUGGAUUUACUCGUACUUGAUGGUACCCUGCUCUUAAGUCUAAUUUUGUAAAGAAGGCAGCUCCAUGGAGCUCAUCAAGCAUGUCAUCAAUGGUAGGAAUAGGAAAUCGAUCCUUAAUGGUUACGCUAUUGAGAGCUCUAUAAUCAGUACAAAAACGCCAAGUGCCAUCUUUUUUUUUAACUAACAAAACAGGUGAAGAAAAGGGACUAGUACUUGGUUUUAUAAGUCCCAAUUUAAGCAUGUCUUGAACUUGUUUUUCAAUUUCAGUUUUUUGAAAAUAGGCAUACCUGUAGGGCCUCACAUUAAUAGGCUCAGUAUCUUCUUUAAGAGGAAUGCAAUGAUCAACUUCACGAGCUGGAGGUAACUGUGUGGGCUCAUAAAAAAUGUCCUCAAAGUUGUUGAUGAUUUCCUUCAUAUCUGUUUGCAUAUUGGGUCGUUCCAUCUUUUCUAUGGAUUGACAAUACACUGUAAAAGUGGAACAGCCAUGACGGACAUCUUUAGUAAUUGCUGAUAGUGAAGCAGGUUGUAUAGCUUGGCUAUUAGAACCAUUUAAUGUUUGAGCUUGAUUCUUCCACCAAAAGUCCAUUGUAAAUUUUUUCCAAUUACACACCACUGGUCCGAGUUGUUCAACCCAUUGUACACCAAGAACAAGAUCAAGGCCUGUGAUAGGUAUUGAAUAAAGGGUUAAUGAAAAUGGAAUGUUUUGGAGAAUAACCUGGACUUGUUCAAACCUUCCUUGGCACUUCAUUUGAUUGCCAUCUGCCACCCUUACAGUGAAGGGUCUCAUAGGAAUAACAGGUAAUUGAAGCUCCUCUGCUAUUUUAGAAUUGAUGAAAUUAUGGGUAGACCCACUGUCGAUGAGCACUGUUAGAGUGUGAUUCCCAACUCGUCCUUCAAUCCUCAUGGUUCGUGGUGUGGACCAACCCGUGAGUGCAUGGAGUGAAAUUUCUGGCUCAGUGUUCUCCUCAGCUAUGUCCUCUACUGGAAUGUCAUCAGUAACUUCUUCGCACAUGACUCUGACAGGUUCACUAAGGCUUUCUAGUAAUAACAGUUGCGGUCUUUGGCACUUAUGUCCAGCAGUGAAUUUGUCAUUGCAAUUGAAACAAAGCCCUUGUGCACGCCGUCUCUGCAUUUUAUCCCAUGUUAGUCUUUUUAUCGGAACUGGAAAACUGGAUUUUGGUGGGGGAAAAGUCAAUGGUGUGCGAGUUAAUUGUGUUGGCCGUGUAAAUUUCCCUUGCCGCAUUAUUUGUUCAUCCUUCAUUUUAUCUAAACUGAUAGCCUCUUUCAAAGUCCGUGGUUUGAACAUCCGAAUAGCAUCAGAAAUUUCUACUUUAAGUCCACCCAUGAAUGUUGUAACAACCCCGAUUUUUCUACAUUCUUUUUCGCGAUAUAUUGGAAAUUUUCAGGUAAAUUUUUUUUUUUGUGAUAUACAGGUUCCACCAAAAUUUCUACCAAAAUUUCGGCAGAGUCUCCCCUAUACUGGUAGGUCCCAGGUUAUCGACAUAUACCAUGUUUACACUUCUAAUAUCUCACAUCUCAUAACUCAAAAUCACGACCCAAUCAUCCUGGGUCUCAACCCAACUCAUUAUCAUCAACACAACACAUCUUAUUCAAUAACAUCAUAUAAUAUAGUUCAAAUGAAAGAUUCAAUUUCAACUAUAAAUAUGCAUGGUCAAAUAGGUACUAAGAGUUUAAACCAUUAGAGUAAAGACAUACAUUCAAAUUUACGGAUUAAUAUUACAUCUCAAGUUUUAUAAUUUACAUAGUCAAAAGCAAAAGAUAUCUAAACUAGCAUUACCCUUGACGCGACCCUGAUGGACCUGAAAAUAGAAAUUAACAUGUACACAUAAAUAUAAAAGAUAGUAACAAGCAAUAACAAUGGCAAACAAUAAUCUCUACGGAAUUUCUUUUGAUAUAUAAAAUUAGGCAUAAACCUCUUUUACAACAUAUAUUUUACAUUUAUUACCAAUAUCCAUCUAAUAUCCUAUCUCAUUUACCAAGAAUAAUUCCAUCUUGGAAAUCUCAACACAACUCAACGGUUUGCGAACACCAUCUCUUUAUAAAUCAAUUCUCACUUGAUACCAAGAUAUUCCUCUCUUGGUAUUAUUAGCUUAUCUCAUUCUUUUGGAAUAACUAAUUAAUAUUUUCCCUUUUCUGAAUCUGUUGCUAGAAGGUAAUCACUGAAACUAAUAAAUCUCAUUAGUAUCAUUAGUCUUCAAAUAUUGGGCUAGACUAAUCAAUUUAAGAAAUACUGGCACCGAUGAAACUUCAUCGAUACCAUUAGCAAUCCAAACUUGGAUGGCUAAUCAAUUCCAUUUGAUUCUUCCAUUCGUACCGAACCCCUUUUAUCUUUCUUAUUAACAUCAUAUGCAUUGUAACCACGGUUGCCAAGUAUCAUUUGCACACAAUCUUAGUUAUCGACACUACGGUCACUAAGCAUCCUUCACAAAACCUUGGUCACCUUCAUCACAGUGCCAAGUAUCAAUUUAUGCCCUUAGCCACCAUCAUUAUGGUGUUAAGUAUCAUUGUAAUGUAUCCUUAGCCACCGACACUAUGGUAACCAAUUAUCUAUCAAUUCACCUCCAAUCUCCAAGUCAUUGUGUCUACCCAAUAACCACAUUAAUUAAUUUACUCAAUAUGUUAGUCAUAUAUUAAUUAUUUUACUCAUAACAUUUAGAAUUUACUAUUUCUAACUUCAAUCAAUUAAUUCACAUAAUCUUUUCAAAACUUAACUAUCCGGCUAACUCAUCUCGAUUGCCAAUAAUUCUGGUAAUUUCAUAUAAUUACCCACACUUUUGGUUAACCUCCAUCGGUUACCAAUACAUCUGGUAAUUCCAUACGAAUUACUCAGCCUCCAGCUAACUUCUUUUGUUUGUCAAUUAAUCCUGUAAUUCCAUACGAAUUACCCCAUAUCCAGUUAACCUUCUUGUUAACCAAUAAACCCGGUAAUUCUCUUAAUUGUCCAAGAAAUCUGGCUAACCCAUCUUGGUUGCCAAGGUCAAUCCGGUAAUUCCAUACGAAUUACCCAUCAUCCAGCUAACCUCUCUUGUUAGCCAAUGAAUUCGGUAAUUCCAUACGAAUUACCCAUCAUCCAGCUAACCUCUUUUGUUAGCCAAUCAAUCCGGUAAUUCUAUACGAAUUACCCCAUAUCCAGUUAACCUUCUUGUUAACCAAUAAAGCCGGUAAUUCUCUUAAUUGUCCAAGAAAUCUGGCUAACCCAUCUUGGUUGCCAAGGUCAAUCCGGUAAUUCCAUACGUAUUACCCAGCAUCCGGCUAACCUCUUUUGUUAGCCAAUGAAUCCGGUAAUUCCAUACGAAUUACCCAUCAUCCAGCUAACCUCUUUUGUUAGCCAAUCAAUCCGGUAAUUCCAUACGAAUUACCCAAUAUCCCGGCUAACCUCUUUUGUUAGCCAAAUAAUUUCGGUAAUUUCUCUUAAAUUACCAAUAAUUCUCAUUUGUAAUAAUCACUCAACUUAUUCAUUUGUUUCAUUCUUUUAACAUCAAUUAAACACACAACACAAAUAUUUAAGAAAAACUAAUAAUUACAAAAUAAGGUGAUGAAUCACCUACCUAGAAUAGGUGCACGUGCUGCCACUCCAUGCAAUUGUCCAGUCCCCACAGCUUUCCCCUGUACCACCAGGGAUUCAAUUUUUAUCAACAAUACAACCAACAUCACAUCUUCAUUUAAUUCUCAUUCAACUAGUAUUCUCAAACUAAUCACAAGGAAUUUUCUUUAAGAUCUCAUACUCUUACUCAUUUUAAUGUUUAUAUUUAUUCUUAUAAUUUUGUUAUCAAAACCAUCACUCAACAGCAAUUCCAAGCAACGAUUAAAAAUUGUCUAAUUCCGAUCAAUUAAGCUUAACCAACCCAUAACACUAUCUAGUGUCUUAAUCAUAACUAAAGUUGUAAAACUCAGUUUUGGGCGUGAUUUAUAUCUCUAUGAAAGGCUAAACAUAGAGAUACAAAUUUUAUGAAGAAACCAACUCCAAAUUAUUUUGUUUUAAGGCUUAAAAUCAACAAUCACAAUAGCCCUUCUUUAUGGCUAAAAUUUUGGACAACGAGGAUUUUCAUUCCUUGGAAAUCCUUUUCAACUUCCAACUUAUUUUCAUGCAAAAUCAACAUCAUCCAAGGUCAUUUGGCAUCAUUAAAUCACAAGUUCAAACCAAUUCUAAAGCAAAACAUUCAAACAAUUUCCCUACCUCUACAAUAUAGCAAGAUUAGACCAAAAUAAGGAAACUCAUUCCUUUUGAGAUUUCUCCUAUUAUUAUUAUUAAUACAACAAAAUGAUGAACUAUUCAUUUUCUUUCGCUUUCUCCUCGUGCGAUUAAACAUAUACGGCAAACCUUAACAAUUAAUAUUCUCAGAUCAUUAUCACAACAAUAAUUUCACUCUACUAAUUGGGAUCCAUGACAACCUUCAUUAACUAACCAUUUGCUAAAAACACUUAUGGCUAGCUUUAAAUAUGUUUUAUUUUUUUCAAAUUUUUUUCAUUUCAAUUUCUUCAUGGUUCCACCCCAUUUAUAUCCACACAACCAACAAGUUAGCUUUCUAUUCAAUCAACAUGUUCUAUUCAAUCAACACGUUCAUAUAGCAAUAUUCUUUACUAUUCUUACACAACAAUCAUUCUUCCCCUCAUAUAAAGAAUACACAAUUAAUCUAUAAUAUUACUAAUAACAGGAACAUAUUUUAUCAUUACAUCUUCCAUAAAACCUACACCCACACAAUUCUAAUUUCAUCAAAACAUGUAUUUAAUCAAGCUUACUACAUUUUGCAAAAACUAGCAAUAGAUUCAAAAAGCAAUAAGUCAUCAACCUCUGAUUAUUGUUUCCCACCCAACGGUCAGACUACAUAUCAUAGCGUUGUGCAUAAUAUAUCUCAAAUUCAUAAUGAUCCAACGGUUAAAUCUCCCUAGAUCUGAAGAAAACCGAGCUUACCUGAAAAUGAACGAGCUACUGUUCAACAUGCACGCAACCUUGCCGGAGAAAUAUGUUCCGAUCUCCACUGUCCAGAAUGAAUUUAACAUCUACGCGCACCACAUAUCCAACAAUUAGCAUGAUCCAACGGUGGAAGAGAGAGAAAUCGGCCGGCGACCAAACUGCCCUGCAGGUGCAUUUCCUUUUUGUUUUCCAUGAAAUUCCAGAUGAUGAUUUCUGUCAAAUGGAUUGUGUUCCUUCCAAUCACUCCGGUCAGUUAGUAGAGGAGUGUAAUGAGAACAACACGUCCAAAACGCAGCUUGAUCCAACGGUUGAUUCCCGAGAUAUGACCACCGGAGCAUUAUUGGUUUUCUCCAAAAUUUGCAGCUCUCUCCCCUUAUCCGCUUUUCUCUAUUUUUUUUCUUUUUUUUCUUUCUUUUUUUCUUAACUGGUGGCCUCUUUGCAGAUUUAUAGGCACCUUUUUUUUUCAUAAUUACAAUUUUGUCCCUCUUUCAUGCUUUUAUGUAUUUUAUUUUAUUUUUCAUGUAAACUAUCUCGUUUAUUUCUGUUUAAAUCGCUAGUCUUUACCAAACUCUGAUUGGGAUGAGAUAUUUAACCAAGGUAGGAAAACAUAUUAAUAGGCUUCAUACAAAAUUUCAUCCCGAUCCGACGAUUGGAUUGAGAGCUCUGCUUCCUAAUGUAAAAUUGAUCAGUUCAUAACUUUUCGUAAACAAUCUAGAUUUUUUUUUUGUUCAAUCUUCACAAAAAAAAAAAACAUAUCAAUUAUCAUUCUAAACCUUUAAGGUCAUUUAAUUAUUUUGGAAUGUAUUCAUUUUAGGAUUUCCACCUUUAUUUAUUUAUCGGGCUUAUUAUCGUUUCAAAAUAACAUCACUGAUUUUUAAGCGGUGCUUGCACCUUCAGUCCUACCCUUUUCAUUGUACUAUCAUUUAUUAUAAUGUAUUCUUUAUUACCUCACUUAUUUCCUAAAAAUAUUUUGUCAUUUUUCUCAUUAUUUCAUCCAUCAAAACACGUUACCAGUUUCUCUAUCCUUAUGAAUUCUAAACCAAAAUUCAUUUUAUGAAGGUCAUCUCUUCUAUUAUAUAUCAUUAUUUAUCUAUUAUUUCUAAUCUUGGUUUCCAUCACUCAUUGAAAUAUUACCACUUUCAGUCUUAUGUUUACAUGAGGGUUUAUACAUCUACAUAUUUAAAUUAUAAAUUUCCAGGGUUUCACAAAUGUGCCCACCAGCGCCUUUUGAGUCCAACCAUGAACUCGAUUGCCCAACCUCUCAAAUUCCUUCUGAUAGUCCCUUAAGGAACCCACUUGUCUGACCUUUGAUAAUGCUUCAUCAAAAUCCUCAUAUUCUGUGGGCCCAAACCGUGCCCAAAGCUCUUCUUCAAAUAUCUCCCACGUGACAGUGCGCCCUUCUUCCUUGUGAGCUCGAUGCAACCAUUGCCACCAUUGGUUGGCUUCUCCUUCCAAAUGGAAUGAGGCCAAUGAUACUUUUUGAUUGUCCGCAGUCUCUUGAUAUUCAAAAAAUUGGUCCACCCAAUUGAACCAUUCGGUUGGAUCAUCCCCAGAAUAUCGUGGAAAGUCUAACUUGGCCAUUUUUUAUGAGAAGACGUGGCGUCCACACUCAUUAUCAGUUUUCUUCUUUCCCCCAUCAGUGUCAUCCCGAUAUGUGCGUGAGAAGCCAUCCCGGUCGUUGUUGUGGUAACUUGAAGACGCCUUGGAAGCGAUCAUGACCUCUGAAAGUUUGUUGAUGGUUUCCUCCAGGCUGUGCAAUCUAUUGAUCAUGUAAUCUUCCAGUCGCUGCAUGCCAUCUUGGACUCCACCAAGUCCUGUCUCCAAAAGCUCAAUUCGUUCUUUGUUUGUUGCCAUUGCGUAGGCUCUGAUACCAAUUGAUAAGGUCCCAGUCAAGAGUGAUACACAAUUGCAAAAAUGCUAGGAUUCUCUUAGGGUGAGAAUUUACCACAAUAUUGUUUGGAUAAAAAUAAUGCUAUUCUUUUUAUUCUUCUUCAUACAUAUAAAUAACUAAACCAUAACAACUUUCAGCAAAUCCCGCCGAAAUGGAAAUAACAGAUUACAAAACAGAAAUCCAAAUAAUGUGAAAGUGAUUUCUUUAUUUUCUCCCAUUGAAUCGGAAGCAUGAUUCCAAUUGACUUGCUUGUAACUCCCUUUAAUCACGAUAUCUUUUAAUCACGAUAUUUCAAAUUCUUUUUUAUGACACGUUGGGUCCUUCGUGGCAGCAGCUCUCCAAGCUGCGUAUCAGUUUCAUUCUUAACUUGUUAAGGAACAAGGACUGUGAUGCAUGGCUAUUUUAUAUUUUAUGAUUGAGAUGGUAGAUUUUAAAGAUUUUCCUGUUUAGGAGGUAAGACGUCACUUUCUUGCUUUUCUUCCGAGAGAAAGUAUUUGAUCCUUUCUUCAUAUAUAAUAAUGCUGCCAAGCAUUGAAUUUCUAAACAUCUUACCUUUUUGUUUUGUUUGUCGCAUUGUUAUCAAACUCUUUUGCAUUUAAUUGCAGUAUAUUGCUAUGUGUACGGCAUGCUUUAAUCAAAAAGUUGAGUACUCGAUGAAUGUUAGGCAAGAAAAUUACUGAUUAUUUUUGUUUUCUGCCUCCUCCUUUUCUUUCUCCCAACCUGAAAAUUGUCAUAUUAUUUUUGUUUUCAGCCGCCUCUUCUUCCCCCAACCCUGAAAAUUGUCUGAGGACACUUUUAUGCUUUGAAUCAAAUCCAUCCUAAUUCUUUCGCUCAUAACUUUAUGUGUGAACUGCCGAUGUUUGAUCAUUUGUCUUCCUUGUUCAGUGCCUUCUUUUUUUCUUUGACAUGGUUUCCUUUUUUCCUUUUAUCUUGAACAGCAUCCCAUAGUAUGCCCCCUCAAGUUCAGAAUCAUGGGCUAUUUCUCCCUAUCCUAUUGUCCACUGAUCAAUCUCAAGUACGCUAGCAGUUGUUAUCACAGAACAUGCAGAAUUGCAUGGCAUCUAAUGCAAUUCAAAGUUCUGCUGGUUUACUAGCGGCACUGCCUCUUGUCUCCGGUGUAACCCAGACUAUCCCCAACACUGUUGUCCAGAAUCCUAACAUGCAGAGUAUCCCCGGUGUUUCACAGAACUCAGUGGGGAAUUCAAUGAGACAAGGGAUUCCCUCCACUAUGUUUGCCAAUUCUCAUAAAGAAAUGCCAGGUAAUGCUCUUUUUGGUAGCUUUAUGUCUUCCACUUAUGGCAUUAGAAAUGCCACUGCUAUUGGAACUAUUGCAAUCACACAUGCAUUUGGCAUCACACGAUGCCCUUCAGUGCUCUGCACCAACUUUUCACCUCCCAUAAUGGUUCUAGUCAGUAAUGCUUUUUUAGGUAGCUUUAUGUGCUACUGCUGCCACUUAUGGCAUUAGUAAUGCCACUGCUAUUGAAACCAUUGCAAUCACACACACAUUUGUUACCCACAUCAUACCCUCCAGUGCAUUGCACCAGCUGUUCACCUCUCAUUCUGGAUUUAUAGGGUUUGUCCGUCUGUUUGAAUGAUUACAUAACGUUUAGAUGGAGUUCCUAGUACUCCUAGUUCAAAAAGACUUGUAUUCCUCUGUAGGAAAAUACUAAUAGUCCUAUCUAGAAUAGGAAAACCUAAUGAAGCUCGCUAUACUUUGGGAUAAUAAAAUACUAAAUGGAAAAUAAAAUGAGACUUGCAAUAUUCCAUAAUUUUCAGCAAGCGUGAAAAUUACAGAAAUACCCUUGUAUAUGGAAAACACACAAAAAUACAUGAAUUCUAAUCUUUGUUGCCCGCAUUGAAAUAUUUGUAGCAUCCCUAGAUUCUACAGCACAGACUGGACAUGCAAAAGGCGCUGAUUGACAAGAGUAGAUCUAUCAAAAGGUAAUUUCUGUGAUUUACUGUUCAUUAGAUGGAGUUCAUGUAUGCCAUAGUCUUAAAAAUAAAAGUGCACUAUUUCUGAAUGACUUACAGUUUAUCUUUUGUUAAGUGAAGAGUUAUUUGCACGAUUGCAAUCAACUUGUUGUGAAAAAUUUCCAGUAUUGAAUUUUAUAGAAAAUGAGGUUGAAAUUCUGAAUGUCUCAAGUCAUAACUGCAUAUUUGAUAAGGACAUUUUUCUUGUGCUUAAGUGAGUAUUAAAACGGGAAUAAGAAUGGUUGUUGUUAAGGAUCCAUGGGGUCAUGCAUAGGAUCUAAGGCUAAGAAGCGUCGCUAAAGUUGUGAAAUCCAUUGACUUGAGCUAGAACAGCAGAAAACAAUGAUGUGUAGUUUGCAGGGAGACAGUAACUGAACUUAACCAACCCCUGAAUCUUGUCUAAUGGUGUACUUACACAGUCCUUUGCAUCUUUCCAUUCCAUCAAUAUCGACAUCCUGUUGAGUUUCUAGCAUUAAUUCCACUCUAUUAUUUUUAUCUCAACUAAUUUAUGUUGUCCUCUGCCCUUUUUUUGUUAUUUUAUUUUUAUCAAUUCCCUUAAGUUUGUUUGUUUUACUUUCUUUCUGACUGGCACCUGAAGAGAUCAAGCAUAUGAGCGAUAAUGUUUUGCUGGUUAUUUGUACUUCCUAGAUCAAAGUUAUGAAGGAGACUUAUUUCCCUGAAAUAAAUGAAAUGUAUCAGAGAAUUGCUGCCAAGUUACAGCAGGUAAAUUGUCUCUGAAAUUUCUUCCGGAUUAUCUGUGCAUGCAUGAUUAUCUGCAAUUUCCCCAUGUUGAGUUUUGUAUUAGUUUGUUUUCCUCAUCAGCAUUGCCUGUCACUGUAUCAUCUGCACUAUUCACCUACCCCACCCCCAACCGCCCCCACAACCAUGCAUCGACACAGAAGAAGUGGAAUAGAAACAUUUUGUUUCACUAAUGUUUUGCUACAAAGGAUCAAUGCAAUUUUUAAUUCUCGUGUAUGUUAACUUUGCUUUCUAGCAUGACUCUCAUCCGCAACAACCGAAGUCGGAACAGCUUGAAAAGCUGGAGGUAUUCAAGGCCAUGUUGGAGCGCUUGAUAACAUUCUUACAGGUCUCUAAAAACAAAAUCACACCUAGUUUCAAGGAGAAAUUGGGUUCCAAUGAGAAGCAUAUUGUAAGUUUUCUAAACCCAGGCAGAUCAGGAAGCCAAUUCCUAAUCUACAGCGAGGACAACUUCCCCAGCCUCAUGUGCAACCUAUGCAGCAAUCCCAGUCUCCAGUUCCUCAAUUGCAGUCCCAUGAAAAUCAACUGAAUACCCAGUUGCAAUCAAUAAAUGUGCAAAAUUCUAUACCAACAAUGCAGCAGAACAAUAUGUCAAGCUUGCAGCAUGGUUCUCUUUCAUCUUUAUCUGGGUUUUCUAUGUCACAACCAAUCAUGAUGAUGUGGGACGAGAGAUUUUACGAGAAGAAAAGGGGGUAGAGAGAAUGAUAUUGUAGCAAAAAUAACUAAUCAAAUAGAAAGGCUGAGCUUAGAGACAGCACACUACAAAGGAAGCACCCAAUAGCUAGACAUACAAUCAUAACAAAUUCAUCUUCUAAAGUUGGAGAACUUGCGAAAACUAGCAACCAUAAAAUAGUAACAAGUAUCUAUGCAAUCUUCGAUGAAGUACAACCACCUACGUCGCCAAUAUGGAUUGAUGUAGAGAACUGCUGCAAUCGUCAUCACCACAACUGUGUAACAUACACUGAAACUGAUGUAGAAAAACUCCAUGUCUAUGAAACCAUCAUCUUCUUGUUCAUCAUGAGGCACUGGCUGGGACAACACUACUUCUUCACUACAAUUGUUUCGCAAUGGAGGUCCACACAAGAAAGGAUUUCCUUCGUAACAGCUUUCAUCGAAGGUCCCAAACUGAUAUUUUCUCUCGGGUGUCUUACCUGACAAGUUAUUGUGCUCCACACUAAAAACUUCUAGUGUGGUCAUUUCAGUAAGUUGUGGAGGGAUGUCACCAUUCAAGUUGUUGUAAGAAAGAUCCAAACUCUCAAUCCGCUUCAGGUUUGAGAAUGUUGCAGGGAUAGAUCCAGUGAGAUUGUUGUGUGAUAAGUUUAAUGACAGUAUCUCGCUUAAGUUUCCAAAUUCUGGUGGGAUUGCUCCUACAAAGUUGUUAUUGGAGAGAUCAAUACCAGACAUGUAGAUGAGAAUUUUCCCUUUGUAACCAUAAUACAUAUUUUUAGUUGUAAAUUCUAUCACUUCUUCUGUAAAGUUAGUCCAAUAACCCUUUAAUAAGGUGUAUAUGCUAUCCACUUGUGGUGGACCCAUUAUUUCAUAAUAAGCCUUUUCUAAGAACCCUGGUAGUAAAAGAACAUCGAGAUUCACUAAUGCUUUCUGGGAACUUUCUUUGAAAGUAAGAUUUUCCAAACAGGAGGGUAAUGGACCAGAAAGCUGGUUUUGUGAAACAUCCAAAAUGCUUAAUUGUUUUAAUAAGCAUAACUGAACAGGGAACUCACCAUCAAAGUGAUUAGCUCUCAGAAGAAGAACACUCAAUGAUGAAAGAUUGCCAGCCCAAUUUGGAAUUGAGCCGGUGAAGCUGUUAUCUCUAAGAUCCAUCGUAACCAGGGAAGAGCUAUUAUAAAAUCCAUAUUUUAAUGGACCGCUCAAUCUAUUUUUGGAUAGAUGCACAUGGGUUAUUUGUGGUGAAUUGAAACAAGAUGGAAUAUAUCCAAACAAAUUGUUCUCAGAAAGGUCCAAAUAUUCAAGCUGGUCAAACUUACAAAAAAAGUCUUUUGGGAUAGGACCCUUAAAAUGGUUUUUUGAAAAAUCAAUUGCUCUAAGGUUCGUCGAAUUGACGAACCACCUUGGAAGCAUGCCUGAAAAUUGAUUGUUACUCAAAUCCAAUACAAUCCACGUUUUCCACCCGUUUAAUGGAAAAUCUGAUAUUUGACCCCAAAAGUUGUUAUCACCUAGAUAGAGAUAUUCUGAGGUAGAAGAAUUGAACACGGAGGUUGGUAUUUGCCCACCCAAAUUGUUGUUUGACAGCUUGAGAAACAUUAAUGUUGUUAGUAGUUCUAGUUUUACCGUGGACAAUUGAUUGUUGGAUAAAUCUAAAACUCUCAAAGAGCUAAUAUUUCCUAAACAAGAAGGAAUACAACCCGUGAAUCCAUUCUUAGCCAUCCUUAAUCCCUUCAGAUUUGGAAAGAUCAAACAAAUAUCCUUUGGAAUUUGACCGCUCAUGUUGUUGUUGGAUAUAUCCAAUUCGGUCAUUUUCGGAUAUGGGUGAUCUUGCAACUGCAAAGUACCAACAAAGGAGUUCCCGCUCAGAUAUAGUUGCUCCAAUCGUGUAUUGUUCUUAAGCAACCACGAUGGAAACAUUCCGGUGAUGUUGUUGUGGGAGAGAUCAAGGAAUCUUAAGUGGUAUUGGUAAUAGAGGAAGUUGGGAAUUUCUAUAUUGAGUGCUUCCGUUGUUUUUGUCGAGCUAAAAAAGACUAGUUGGAACUUUGGAAUCAACUGAUCAAAUGCAGCAGGUUCUAUUACUAAUCUGUUGUUCUCAUUGCAGAAGAACUUGAGGCUUGAGUGGUUCAUAAAAGGUUUCAUUGAAGUGGGAACUUCAAAGAGGUUAUUUGAUAGUGAGAGGAAUUCAAGGGAUAUGAGGUUGGUAAGGGGACCGAAGGCAAUAUUUCCAGUAAAUUGGUUUUCAGAAACAUCUAAUAGUUGUAGAGAAGACAAGUUCCCCAAACAAUAUGGGAGUGAACCUCCUAAAUCAUUUUCAGAGAGAUCUAAUUGCUUCAGAUUCUUCAUUUCACACCAACCUGUACAAUUUAUGGAUAUAAAGUCGUUAAAGAUGAAGGCUAAGUCAAACAUGAUAAAAUACUAUCAUUAAAUUGAUCAUUGCAUAGAUAUAAAGUCCUUUUUUAUAUAUAUAUAUAUAUAAUGUAAUGAAUAUUAUUGAUUAUUCAACAUAGUUUUAAAUAAUAUAAUAUUUUUUAAAUUUAUAAUAUUAUAAAUUAUAAAAUUAUUGAUACUUGCAAUGAAGACCAAGUCUCAAAAUACCAUAUCCACUGGCAGUGGUAAUGCAGCGAAGCAUUGAAUUUCUAAACAUCCUUACCUUUUGUUUUAUAUUGCUAUGUAUAUACAAUGCUUUAAUCAAAACCUAUAAUGCAGGAAUAUCUGCAGAUGGCCAUUCCCAAAGGGAAAACUAAUCUUCCCUAGAAUAUUACAAAGUGCCAUUUCUACAGUGAGACACUGAAUAGUGAAAUUAGUGUUUCGUUUUUGUUGUUUUGUUGCUGAUAACUAGAUCUGUUAAAUCUUUUCCCUGUACUUUUACAUUAUGCAGUAAACUGGUCCCUUCAUUAGUUUUUCGUUAGUCAAAUAUUGUAGAGCUGUCAGCAAUAUUUCCUCUGUUUGUUCCACUAACUUGACGGUAAAAUGUGAUUAAAGAAUCAAUUAAUUAUUUAAAAAACGUCGAGGGAUUAAUUUGUUUGUUUCACAAAAAACAGACACUGGUUAUAUAAAAUUAUACUCAAAUUUUUUUCAUCAUAUGCGUGUGUUUACUUGUAAAUAUUUUGGAAGGAACUAGUUUAUGUUUUGCGCAACAUAAAAAAAAUCAUCUAGGCUUAAGAAACUAGCUCGAUCUAGUGGAUUAAUUUUUAAUUUUUUUUAUUUGACUUUUUAUCUAUAUCAAGUUUAACAUGAAAGUUAAUGUCUUUGUUUAAUUCGCAUGAUAACAAUUCUAUGUCUAAGAUCAUUUGGUUGGCAUACAUAUGUAAACCUAGGUGUUGUUAGUUCGAGGGAAGGAAGACACAAUAAAAAAUAAACAAACAUGGAUGAUAUGUCAUUUAUGUUUUACUUUUUUUAAUUAAAAAAACAGGCUUAAUAAAAAAUAUCAAGCGAGGUCAGAUGCGCGAGCCUUGUUUUAUAAUUUUUUAUUCAAAUUUUAAUAAUUGUUUUCAAUUAUUAUGCAUAUGACAUAAAAAUCUGUUCAUGAAAAUUAAAUUCAAAUCACUUUUUUAAUCUUAGAAUUUUUAGAUAUAUUUUUAGCAUAAUUUUAUCAUAUUUAUGAUUUUUUUUAACUUUCAAUCACAUGAAUAUAUUAUUUUGAUACAUUUUUAAUUUGUUGUGACAAUUAUAGAAUAUUCUUUUAAUAGAAACAAUGAUUCUAGUUAAGAAAAAAAUCUUGCAUUCAUCGAGAUAAACAAGAAAUAUGUUAAUAAGAAAAUUUAUCUUGAUGGAGAAAAAUUCAAAACGACUAAAUUUUCAAGUUUAAUAACAAUGCCAAGGAGUUUCCUUAGACUUGGAUAUUUUGUUCUACGUUUAAAGUUUUUUUUAUCUCCAUAACAUAGCAUUAGCAUACAAACUUGUAUAUUUUUAAGACAGCGUUUGGUUACUAUCCGGGACAAUAAAGACAAAGACAGAGGAGACAAGACAUAAAAGAAGAUGGAGAUAGAAUUGUGUUCAGUAGUGAUGUACAAGAUAAAAUAAUUGUCUUUGUAUCAUAUUUAGUUAUGUUGAAUAAGAAAGAAUAAAAUACAUAAAAAACUAUUUUACCUUUAAUAUGUAUUGUUGUCAAACUUCCAUAUUUAAAAAAUAAUUAUUUUUAUUUUUUUACUUUAGUUUAUAUUGAAUGUUGAAAUUAUUAAUAUUAUAAUAACCCUAAUUAUAAAACCAGGACUGAUUUGACAGGUUGGUUUAAGGCGUAGACUUGCCCGAGUUUUAGAAAAAUAGAUUAAUGAUUAACUAGACCUGACCUGGUAAAAAAUAUGAGUCAGGUUAAGAUAAAACACAAGUAAAAAACCCAUUGACUUUUUUGAAAAAGAAAAUUGGUCAAAACAAGGUUUCUUUGACUAUUUUUUUUAAAAAAAAAUUGGGUCAAUCAGGUUGACCUUCCCAACCCAUGACCUACACCUUUCCUUUGGUCAACUCCUAAGUUGAGUUUUAAAACUAUGAUAUUAAUAAUUUUUAUCCAUACUCAGGUCAACCUGUGUUGACCCUCUCGAUCCAUGACCUAGGCCUUACUUCUGUCGACUCCCGAGUCGGGUUUUAAAAUAUGAUAAUAACUAUUUUUAUCCUUACAUUAAUCCGGGUCGACUCUCUUGAUUCGUGACCCGAGUCUUACCCCAAAUUGACUAUCGAAUCAAAUUUUAAAACUAUGAUUAUAACCACCUUUAUUUUAUGUUGACCCGGGUCAAUCCGGGUUGACCCAUAUAACACGUGACUCAAGCCUUAUCCCGAGUCGAUCCCCGAUUUGGGUUUUAAAACUAUAAUAAUAACUAUUUUUAUCAUUACAUUUACCUAGGUCAAUAAUCAACCUCACUUGUGACCCCAAAAUUGCCCGGGUCGACCCUUAAAUCGAGUUUCAAAAUAUGAUAAUAACUAUUUUUAUUUUUAUACUAAUACAGGUCAACUCAACUCGUGACUCGGGCCUCAACCAGUGACCCAGAAUUUACCCCGGAUCGACCUCAAAGUUGGAUUUUAAAACUAUGAAAAUAAUUAUUUUUACCUUUAUAUGUCUUAAUUAGACAAUUUAGAAUUGAGAGUUUUUUAUAAGGAUAUUUUAGAAAUAAAAAAUAAUAAAUAUUGUCUCUAUAAACAUGUCCCUUCUAUACCUCAUAUUUUGAAAAUAUAAAAAUUCACUCUAAAAUUAUUCUAGAGACAAAUUUAUUUUUAUGUAUUUGUCUUUAUCUCUUUAACCAUAUAUAUUUAUAUCUUUAUUGUCUUCAUCCUUUUUAUCACACGACAAUGACCAAACAUUACCUAAAGGAUCUACAACUACUGAUGACAAACUUGGCUUUAUUUCAUCUUUGAUUUCUUCUCAAUGAUAUCUCACCUAUAUGUGUGGAGGCACUAGAUCGUUGAUUGAAAGGUUGACUUUGAAAAAAUAUAUUCAUAAAGUAAUGUUUGAAUCUUGGUGUUUUUUAUUGGCUCAAAAAAAUUACCAACCCACCAAAACCAACAUGUAUGAAACAUUUAGAUUUAAUAUUAUAUGUAUAAUUUAUUAUCAUAAUUGAUAUGCUAUUCAACUCACUAACUUAGUAGGAUGACCUAUAAUACCUGUUGAUCUAGGAUUUUAGCCGAAUCAAGCUUUAAGCCAGAUAUAAUAACUAUGAUUUUAUAAAAUUACUAUGAACUUCCCUUUUAUGUCUUCUUAUUUACUCAUUUGAUUUUAUGAAGUUAAGAUGUUUGCAUUUAUAUCAUGAUUAAACUCUAGGAUAACAUUUAGUUAUUACUUCAGGAUAACAAAAAUAAAGAUAGUAAAGACAAAAUUAUGUUUGGUUGAAAAGACAUAGAUAUAAAAAUAAUUUUUUUCAUGGGAUAAUUUUAGAGUGAAUUUAUGUACUUUCAAAAUAGAAAGUACAAAUAAGAUAUAUCUUCAUAAACAAUAUUUUUUAUUUUUAUUCCUAAAAUAUCAUUGAAAAAACUUUCAAUUCCAAAAUUGUCUAAUUAAAACAUGUAAGAACAAAAAUAGUUAUUAUCACAGUUGUAAAAUCUAACUCGAGGGUCGACCUGGGACAAGGCUUGGGUCAUUGUUUGGGUUGACCAUUGACCCGAGUCAACAAAAAAAUAAAAAUAGUUAUUAUUAUAAUUUUAAAACCUAACUUGGAGGUCGACUCAGGGCAAGACCCGGGUCAUAGGUCAGGAGGGUCAACUCUGGUUGAACUGAGUUAAUGUAAGGAUAAAAGUGGUUAUUGCAAUAGUUUUAAAACUUGACUCAGAGAUCGACCUGAUGUAAGCUCAGGUCUUGGGCUAGGAGGGUUAAUGCAUGGAUAAAAAUAAUUAUUAUCAUGAGUCGAUUUGAGACAAAGCCUAGGUUAUGGGUUGGGAGGGUCAACCCGAGUUGACCCAAUUUUUUUUUUUAAAAGAAUCAACACAACUUUGUUUUGACCAUUUUUUUUUAAAAAAAAAUAGCUGGUUUUGCCCUAUGUUUUAUCCCGAGUCGACCUGUGUUUUAUCCCGAAUCAACUCGGUUUUUUAAUUCACCUAUCUAUUCUUAAACUUAGAUUAAUACAGGCUUAGAGACGACUAGGUCCCGAAUAGAUUCACUAGGUCAGUCUAGGUUUUAUAACUAGGAUUAUUAUAAUAUUAUUAAAAUUAAACUAAAGUAAAAAAAAAUCUAAUUAUUUGUAUAAAUAUGUAAGUUUAACAAUAAUGCAUAUUAAAGGUAAAAUAAUUUUUUUAUUUUUUAUUUUUUUUAUUUAUCAUUAUCAAAUAAGAUAUAGAGACAGUUACUACCAAACACAAUUUUAUUUUCAUCUCCUUUUAUAUCUUGUUUUCAUGGUCUUCUUCCUUUUUAUUCAGGACAGUAACCAAAUAUUACCUAGUUAUAACAUAUAGAAACAUAUAAGUUGUCAAGUUCAAGCCUUUCUCUUAUCGAUUUAAAUAAAUUGAAACACAAUUGCAAGAAGAUUCGAGUGUGUUUGGUAUUGUGAUAGCUUUUGUGGUUGUGAUUUGAAAAAAAAUUGUUUUAUAAAAAAUACUUUUGGUUGAGGUUGGUUUGGUAUUUAUAUAUAUUUGGUUCAAACUGUGGUUGAAAUUGAGGUUGAACAAAAAGUAGUUUAAUGUGUUUGGUUAAGAAUGCUUUUCAAAUUGAGGUUAUAAAAUAAUUAAAAAAAGAUAUUAAUAUUAAUGGUUUUUAAUUUAAAUAUUGUAGAUUUAACUACUGUUAUUACAUCAUGAAAUAAAUAAUACUUUAUAUAAAAUAUUUUUAUUGUUCCAUUAAACUAUCUACAAUUCCAUCACGUACGAAAUCCAUCCGACAAGGACUACAGUUUCCUUGGUUUUUUAAGUGCGCAACAACAUCAUGUAAAAUAUCAUCAAGAACAAAAUUAGGAUUGCGAUCAAAUUCUGUAAAUGUUACGUCAUUAAGCGAUCUCCUUCUAAUUUAUGUAGUGUCAUUGAAUAAUGUUAAACAUUAGUUUUUUUGAAUAAAAUACAAUUAAAAAUAAAAAAAUUGAAUUUUAUUUUAUUUUACUGGGUCGGACCCGGUUCAAUGCAUUUAGCUUUGAACCGGACCCAAUUCGGCCGGAAUAAUAAAACAUUCUCCACUGUUCACGUGAACAGUGGAGAGUGAAGUAAUUCACUCUCACUAGGUGGAGACAACAGAAGAAAAGAAAAGGCAGCUUUGAGCUGCUUUCAAUGACACUGCAUUUUAAACAUAAAUUAUAAUGGAUCCUGUAAACAGUAAAUAAUAUUUUAUUAAUUAUCACAUGAUUGAUUUCUGUGGUUUGUUACAAAAACAGAAGCAACCACAGAAAUAAUCAGGUUCAAAGAAGAAAAGACAUAUGAUUAAAGUGCCACGCAACCUUUUGACAUUAUCAGUAUUUUGAUGUAUUUCCAUUAAUUUAUAAUAUACAAGUAUAUUUCCACGUUUCUUUUAUUUGGAUAGAACAUCUUUCCAAUAGAAUUUGUUUUUAUUAGAAUUCCAUAUUCAUGAUAUUUUUUUAAUAAUAAAAAUAGCAUUGGAUGAGUUUGUAUGUCAAUUGAAACUAAAAAUGUGUUAGAUACGAUCGAUGGAUUGAACAUGAUAAUAUAAAUAUCAAAUAAUGUUUAAUUAGAUUAAAUUGAACUAGAGAAUAUAUGUUUUUAUUCUAUGUUUGGUGCACACAAAAUAAGAUCAAAUAAUUUUAUUUUUAUCAUUGAGAUUUUUUCAAUCAUUUAUUUUAGUCUUUGCAUUUUAUUUUUAUGAUAUUUUAGUCCUUACUAGAAUUUCUUUAUCAUCUAGAACAAUCUAGUUCUUAAAUCAAAAAGGUUUUUGCAAUUAAACUCUUACAUGUAAAUAUUUAUUUUAAUAAAAUUGGUCAAAUUUUGGUUUUCCAAAUUAAAAAAUAAAUAAGUGAUAAAUAAAUAAUAGAUAAUAUAAAAAUUAAGAAAAAAUAAUUUUGUACAAAUUUUUUGUCCUGAGGAAAACUUUGGACAAGACAAUGACAAUGAUCAAUCCUUGUCAUGUCCAAAGUGUAUAUCAAACAUUUCAUAGCUUGCCAUGUGCAACAAAUAUAUCACAACUUGUUUUUAUUGUAUUCUAUUAUGAUCUCUUUUGUGUUUUAUAUUAUUUAAUAUAUUAAAAUAAAUUUAAUAAAUUAUACUGAAGCAAGAUCUAAUAUUAGAAAGUUAACGGAAAUAAUAAAUGUACCUUUGCCCGUCCCUUCAACAAAAUGCUGAGCUGUAUACUAAUUCUCAGAGGCAGUGAUAACUAGUUGUUCUAACUAAUCCCUAUACUUUUAAAUAUGUUUACAAUUCAGUCCCUUCAUUAAUUUUUCGUUAGUAAAAUGUUGAGCUGUCAGCAAUAUUUCCUUAGUUUGUGCCGCUAACUUGACGGUAAAAUGUGAUUAAAGGAUCAAUUAAUUAUUUAAAUCAACUUGAGGGAUUAAUCUGCAUUUGCUUAACAAAACGACAAACACUAGUUAACUCAAAUUUAAGGUAUGUUUGUUUUUAUAUUUCAAAAACGUUUUGAAAAAAUUUGAAAAUUUUUUAUUUUUUUCUUUGCUUCAAAUUAAUAUUUUUUGGUAUUUUUAGAUCAUUUUGAUAUGCUAAUAUUAAAAAUGAUUUUUUUCAAAAAACAUAUUUUAAUAUAUUUCUGAGUGAAAAACAUUUUAAAAAAUAUCUGUAACCACACUCUCAAACAAUCACAUUCCCAUACAGGUUAAUCAUCAUAUGCGUGCAUGCGUGCGUGCAAGUGGGGUUCAAUCCGGGUGCCCUAGCAUUAUAUUAUAAUACUUAUAUAUAUAAGAAACCCUGUAUGGAUUCGUACAACACUGGAAUGCAAUGAUUGAAUGAAAUAUUACAUGGACAUUGGACCUGCUGUGUAAACAUGUUUAGGAUGGAUGCGACGACAUUUCAGAGUUUUUGCUUUCAACUUGGAAACCAAUGUCAUAACCCAAUUCUGGGUUAUUCCCCAAAAAUCAUUUUUUUUUCAAAAUAAAAAUCAAAAUAAUAAUAAUAAAAGCUGGAAACGUGGAGAAGGCAAACCGGGGAAUCAAGUUGUAAUUUUGGAGGAAAUUCAAGGCCUAAUUGUACCCCAUUAUGCCAAAAAAUGGAGGAAAAAAAUGCAAAUUCAAGGUCAAAUUAAAUGACUAUUGGAUGAAUUUGCAUAAAAAUUAAGUCCAAGAACAUAAUUAAAUUUUUAAUAGGCCAAUUUGAUUUAAUCAUGGGCCAAAUUGAAUUUUAAUUAUGUUUAAGAAUUAAUUUGGGUCCAAUUGAAGGAUUUAGUUAAGUGCAAGGACUUAAUUAUACUUUAAAUGGGUAAAAUUAAUUUUAUUUGGGGCUUAAUUGGUGAAAAAUUAAGUUUGGGAGCCUAAUUUGGGCUUAAUUGAGAAGAUUGGAAUUUUAAGAGAUCAAAUUUAAUUUUUUCCAAGUUAAUUGCUUGAAAUCAGGGGCCAAAUUGCAAGAAAAUUGAAGUUUUGGGGUCAAUUAGGGGUUAAAUUGACAAAAUUUGCAGCCAAGGACCAAUAUGCAAAAAGUGCCAAACUAUAGGGCCUAUUGGCAAAAUCCAGGGUGAAAUUGAAGAAAUUGAAAGUUUAAUGGUUGAUUAGGGGUUAAAUUGCAUAAAUCCAAGACUAAAGACUUAUAUGCAAAAGGCGCGUAAAUUUGGGGUUCCAAUUGAAGUUCAGCAAGGGCGUAAUUGCAUUAAAUCAAAAGUUUAUGGUCAAUUAGGAGUUCAAUUAAAACAAAUUGAAAUCUGGAGGACUAAAUUAAAACUUAGUUAAAAUCCCUAAUUCAAACCUAAAACAACAUUGUUUUGAAUAAUAAUAAUAAAAAAAGAAUCAGACAACACGUCGUCUGGUCAUUAUUUAUUGUCUUCUUCUUUUACCCGGUUAAUCAUCAUAUGCGUGCGUGCAAGUCAGGGUUAUUGUGUUGUCUAUUCCGUGUGUAAUGUGGGGUUCAAUCCAUGUGAAUCGCACGACUUGUCCAUAUCUUUCUUAUUGAUUACAAAUAGCAUUGAGAAUUAAAGAAUAUUAUCUUAAUAAGUUCCAAUUUAUUCUACAAAAACUAUAUAUAAAGAUGUGACAAAAUCUUAAGUUCCAUUUUAUUCUACAAAAACUAUAAAGAUGUGACAAAAAGAUGCAGCUUACGGAUCAAGCCUGGUUCAGGUUUUGAUCCUGUUAAAAAUCUAUUUUGUUGAAUUGUUCAUCAACUCGUGAAUUAUUGGGUUAAAUAGAUUAAUUUUUUAAACAAAACAAUGCCAUUUUUUUUAUAUAUAAAAAAUUUGGUUCUGGCGUAUAAAUAUAAUAUUAGAAACUUAAACCUUAUUGAUUAGCAAAAACUCAAAGGGAAAUUUUGAAAUAGAUUUUUGUAAAAUCAAAUAUGAACCAAGUACUAGAAAGUUUGUUUGAAAUAACAAUUACUUUAUAGAAAGCAAAUAUAAAUAUAUUUAUUAAAUUUAAUAAAGUUUAAAAUCAGCAAGUUAAGCUACGAAACCCUGAUCAAUUUAAUAUAAUGCCGUUCAAUACAAAAAAAAAAUACAUCUUAAAAAAAAUUUAAGUUAAAUCAUGUUUCUACCUAUUAUUUAGGUUGUCUUCAGACUUAUAAAGUCGACUAGGUUAUAUUAGAAAAACUUUUAUAUAAUUAAAUUUAAAACUCGAGUUAGGAAAUUUUAAUAUUGAUUUGUUGAAUCGGAUUUAAUAACAAUACCAAAAAUCUAAAAUUUACUUUUUUAAUCAAUUUUUUUUAAUUCAACUCGUAUCAUAACACAGUAUAGUAAAAUAAAUAGAUAUAAAAUAUUUUGAUGGAUCCUCGGGAUAAGAGAUUGUUUUAGGACAUUUUGCUAAUUUCUUUUGUUAUCUAAUCAACAAGCUCAUAGUGAAUAAGUAUAUAAAUAUAUACAAUUAAAUUAAAUAACAUAUAAGAGAAAAAUGGUCGAAAGGUAAAGCUAAAGUGAUGCGACGUUGAGCCACUAGUCGAUAGUUGUAACGUCAGUUUGUUGGUUCGUCGUUCGUUUCUCGGAUUUAUUGAUCUUUAGAUUGUCUGUUUCUAGAAAAGAAAGAAAGAAAUAUUUAUAUUAUCAAUGCAAUGCAAUGCAAUGACUAAUAAGAGCUUGAAAUUAAGAGGUUUGCUUUCUCUAUAGUUUCAGGUUCGAACCCUGUGGUUGCUCAUAUGAUGGCCACUGAAGAUUUACAUGGUCGUUAACUUUAGGGCCCGUGGAAUUAGUCGAGGUGCGCAAAUUAUUAUCAUUUUAUCAAUGUAUACUACAUCUUUUUCUCAAUUGUUUGAGUUUGAAAUUAUAUCUGUGAACCCAUUAAUUUAUCUAGAAAAAAAAAAUUUAGGUAAUUGGAUCAAUCCUUGAUAUCAUAUAGAGAUAAAUUAAUUGUUUUGAUUAAAACAAUAUCAUUUUAUUUAAAAAUAAAUUUAUAAUAUUAAUUGAAUCACUAAAAACACAACUAGACCAAUCAUGUUUUAAAUAUUUUUAAAUAUUUUUAUAUUUAAUUUGAAAUUGAUUUAAAUUAAACUUUAAAUUAUGGGUUUUUCAAACUAACAUGUGUUGGGUUACGUCGAUUGAGUUAGGUAUAACAUAUCUAGAAGAAUUUAUUAAAUUUCUCUAUAAUUAGUCAAUCGAUGAGGGAAUUUAGUUUUAAUUGAUGGAGAAAUUAAUUUAAAGAUACCAUGCAAGAUAUAAAAAAAAACAUUUAAAGAUAUCAAUUAUUGUUUUCCGUUUAAUUAUAAAUAGAAUGAAGAGAGCGAUGCUCGCUGCACUUUUAUAAGCGACUAAAGUAGUUUCCAUCUUAGAUACAGUUAGAAUCUCCCAUAUCUGUCAAAAUGCCAAAAAAGCUAUUCGCAAAGAAACUCUCAAAAACUGACAUUAAUUAAAUAUAGAAUGGCAGUUCCAAUGGAAAGCCUCUACGCUUUCCAAAUCCCAGAAGGAGAACACUCUAAAGAAUUUGGUGUCACUGGCAUCCAUGGCAAGAGGUGGAGGUUCCGAUGUUGUACAAGAAAAACUGAGUUGAUCACCUUAAACCAGUCAUGUUUUCAGUUUGGAUUGAGUUCGCCAAAAAAAAGGGUUCUCAAAAAAGGUGAUGAAGUCACCUUCUCUGUGCUGGACAUGAAGGGAGCUGAGGAUCUGGAAUUGGGAAUUCAAGCUCGGAAAAGAAUCAAGCUAUUCGGCCAAGAUUUUUGGAGUAAUCCUUUGUGAAGAAGAAGAAGAAGAAGAAGAAGAAGCUACUCCUCGCAUAAGUAUAGAUUUUGUGCACCGAAGAUUGUGUCUGUGAGUAAUAGAGCUGGUUGCCUAUGUACAAUUAGUAUGCUUUGGCAGGAACUUCGUGACUGGUCCUUGGAUAGCUGAGAAAGCCAAGUCUAUGGCAACUUCAGGGGAAUCCAGGAGCAGGAAAAAAAUCAAGGUGAAAGGAUAUGAAUUUGCUAGUGCAACUGCUGCAAAGGAUCUAGGAGACAUAAAUUUGCGAACUAGAGAAGAGUUAAUUUUGAGCUCUGCAUUCUUCUUGCAUGUUCAUCUGUUUCCCGUUGUGGUUGAUCUUAGCAGUUCUCAGUAUAGUAAUUUGCAUUUCCUUCUAGAUCAGAUGAUUAAUGGAUUAUCAGGCAUGGACUGCGAUGUAGUCGGUGCUAGGGAAUCAACAAAGUUAACUCAUUGUAUUUUCAUAAAUUAAAGGGAUUUCUCUUCUUUUCUUUGUCAAUUACAGUGCAUGAUGUAUAAAAGUUUUCUUACUCAGAGUAAAUGCUAUUGUAAUGUUUUCACAGAGACUCCUCUAUUUUGCAACUAAUUCACUUAUAUAUCUUGGAAACAGAAAGGCAAUCAACGAAGAGUAAGGCAUCUUCUGAAGAAACAAAGAAAUUUAAUGCCCUAAACUAAGCAGCAGGUAGAAGGCAAAAACUGAGCUCAAAUUUUCAGUAAGGGACAAACGAAAAAAACCAAAAAGAAAGCAGAGAAAAAUACAGACUCAAAUUCACAACACCCAUUUUCUUUCCAUUGGAACACUUUAAAUAGUUUAUUAAAUUUAUAAUGAUCUGAUUUCUACGCAUAUUACAAAAUCAACUUCAUGAUCAAUUCUCUAUAAUUUCGGCAUUACUAAAAACAUCCAAACUAAUAAACUAUUAGUUAUUUUAGCCAUUUUAAUAAACAUUUUAGUUAUGAAUUCACCAAACAUUUUGAACAAUUCAUAUGGAUGAAUUAACAUGUUAAUUUUAGAUUUUUUAACUUAUUAAUUCCUUCAUGAAUUACUUCUAAAGCAUGUUAUAUAUAUCUAAGCACUUUUAUAUAAUAUAAUUCUAUCAAAUUCACUUUUACCCAAUGUAUAAUAUAAACAUCCAUAAAAAAUAACUUAUAUUGUCAAUGCAAUGAAAUGACUAAAUAACAUUUAAUUAUUAUAAUAGCUUUGUCCUCAUACCUAAGGAAGUAUACUACGUCUUUUUCUCGAUUCUUUGAGUUUGAAAUUAUAUCUUUGAACCCAUUAAUUUAUCUAAAAAAAAAUUUAGGUAAUUGGAUCAAUCCUUGAGGUCAUCAUAUCAUAGGGAUAUAAAUCAAUUAUUUUUAUUAAAAAUAAUUUUUUUUUUAAUAUUUUCAUAUUUAACUUGAAAUCGAUUCAAAUUAAAUUUUAAAUUACAGGUUUUUCAAAUUAACAUGUGUUGGGUUAGGUCUAAUAUAUCUAGAAGAAUUUAUUAAAUUUCUCUAUAAUUAGUCAAUCGAUGAGGGAAUUUAGUUUUAACUAGUUACAUGACCCGCGCGAUGCCACGGGUCAAUUUUGUUUUGCAUAAAAAAUAUCAAAAAAAGCUAAGAUCUAAAAGUGUUAGGUCUUUCUAUAAAGUUAUACCCAAAAGUCUUGGGUUUGGCUACAACGCCUGAUCCAAAAAUAAUAUUUAUAAUAUUAAUAAUAACAUUAAACUUGCAUAUAUCCACGAAUAUGUACAAUAUUUGAAACCUAUAAUGCAAGAAUAGCUGCAGAUGUACAAUAUUUUUAAUUUAAAGAAUCAAUUAAUUAUUUAAAAAACUUGAGGGAUUAAUUUGUUUGUUUUACUCAAAUUUUUAUUGUUUACUUGUAAAUAUUUUGAAAGGCACAACAUGAAAAAAUCAUAUAUGCUUAAGCAACUAUUUGGCAUCUUAAACUUAAUCUCGUAAAUUAAUCUUAAAUCCUUUUUAUUUAACUCUUUCCCAGUAUCAAGUUUAAAAUUAAUCAACAUAAAAGUUGUUUUAAUAUAACUUAGUUAAUUUAAUGGGUUCAAAAUUAAUACAUAUGACAUGAGAUCUACCAGCCAUCAUCUGGCCGGAAACGGGCCGCGAUCGUCGACUGCCACCGAAGCUUCAAGUCGUCGAUUCUCGCUCAUCAGCCAUCAACGGCCGUCAAGACCACCACCAUAAGAAUCCUCGACAUCAGAUCUACCAGGAUCGACCAUCGGUUGGCCAGAAAUCGCGCCGGAAAAUCUCCCCGCCGCCAACAGUAGCCGCGCGUGUGCCACACGCGCCGCCAGUGGCAUUUUUGUAAAUUUUGGAGAAACCCGAGGGUAUUUCAGUCUUUUACCUAUACAGUGGCACUCAGGUAAUUUUUCGGGGUUUCUACUGGUAUUUUUGAUAUUUUUUAUAUAUAAAUGCUUGUAAAUUUUCUUGCAUGUUGUAAAAAAUACAAAAACCAAAGUCGACACGUCUCUUUUUUUAAAAGGACCGAUGUCAAAAAUGUAAAUACCAAAUAUGGCAUAUGUCCAUUAUUUUUUUUUGGUGACCCAGACGUAAUUCUCCUUUUUAGGGUUGAAACGUCAUAUUUUAGACAAGUCUCCUAAUUUUUAGGGACUGAUGUCAUUUUUAACGUGUCUCCUAUUUUUAGGGACCGACGUUAACCAUUUAAAAAAACAAAUUACCAAUAAACCCAAAAUAUAAUGGAUUAUAUCCAUUAUUUCUUUUGGUAACUCAGACGAGUCUCCAAUUUUUAGGGACUGAUGUCAUUUUUAACGUGUCUCCUAUUUUUAGGGACCGACGUUAAUCAUUUACAAAAAUUUACAAAUAAGCCCAAAAUAUAAUAGCAUUUGAAUCAAAUAAAAACACACAAGUAAGGGUAACCUUUCUUUUGAAAGGAUGUUUUAAGGGUGGUGUCUACCUUCCCUUAAUCAUAACUAACCCCGUACCCGAAUCUCUGGGACCAGUGUCUAAUUUGGGAUUUCUAGUUCCCUCAAAUUACUAGAUGGCGACUCCAAUAAAAUCUUUGUUUCCCCCAAUCGAGAAAAAAACCCUUUUUGUUAAACAAACAAAAAAAGCGGGAGCCGUCGCCCGACGUCGUGUAUCGACAAAUGUCUGCAAAUCUUGUGGUCAUAUACAGGGUGCCGGUUUUCUUUCCACGAGCCAAAACCAUUGCUCCCUUUGAUACCUUCCACAUACCUCCAGAAAAAAGGAUUGAAUGACCACUAUCAUCAAGUUGUCCGACCGAGAUCAGCUUCUUCUUUAGAUCAGGAACAUGCCUUACAUUUUGCAAGGUCUAUAUAGAUCCAUUCAUUGUCUUGAUUUGUACAUCUCCUAAACCCACAAUAUCCAAUGGUUGUCCAUCGGCCAGAUAGACUACACCGUGAUCUCCAGCAAUAUAGUUUUGCAUCAUUUCAUGGUGUGGUGUACAGUGAAAUGAAGCACCAGAAUCAAGAACCCAAUCAUCAACAGGACUAUGCACAGCAAGAAUCAAAGCAUCUUGCACCUCAUUUGUGGUAGCGUUUGCAGAGUCAGCUUCAGGUUUUUUCGGUUUUGUGCAAUUCCUCAUGAAAUGACCGGGUUUGCCACAAUUCCAACAUUCAACCUGUUUUCUGGGUCCAAACUUGCUUUUACUUCUAUAUCUUGAUUUUGAUCUGCCUCUGGAUAAGCCUCUAUCAUGUCUCCUCCCUCGAGUGUUGAUGUUGAGAGCUGAUCCUGAGCUUGAACUUUCACCCGAGUCUUUCCUUCGCACUUCUUCAGCCAAAAUCAAGUCUCGAAUGUCAUCAUACUUCAGUUUGGAUUUUCCAGCUGAAUUGCUCACGGCUGUCCUCAUGCCUUCCCAACUGCUUGGAAGUGAAGCUAGCAAGAUGAGUGCACGAAUCUCAUCAUCAAACUCAAUCUCAACAGAUGAUAAUUGAUUUGUGAUGGUAUUAAAGUUAUUGAGGUGUUGUGUCACAGAAGUGUUUUCGACCAUCUUCAAGUUGAACAACUUUUUCAUCAGGUGCACUUUAUUAUUUGCUGAUGGCUUCUCAUACAUCCCAGACAAGGCUUCCAUCAAUCUUGCAGUGGAUCUUUCUUUCGUAACAUUGUGAGCAACUCUUCUUGAUAAGGAUAACCGGACAAUGCCCAGAACUUGUCUAUCAAGAAGUAGCCAAUCUUCUUCUUGCAUAUUUUCUGGUUUGCUCCCCAACAAGGGAAGAUGAAGUUUCUUCCCAUAUAGAUAAUCCUCAAUUUGCAUUUUCCAGUAUCCAAAAUCUGUCCCGUCAAAUUUUUCAAUUCCAGCUGCUUUUAUUUCAUCUGCCAUUUUUACUGCUUCUCCGAUUCGAAUUUCCCAAAUCUGACCUUACAGAUGUGUCCGGAACAGCCGAAAACCUUGGAAAUGACACUGAGAUAACCCCAAUCGGACUUCGGAUGGCUCAGAUUUUAGCAAUCAAAGUUUUGGAUUAACGGACGGUGCAGAUGCAGCCGCGUGUCAACCAGAGUACCGCCUGCGUCGCACCGGAUCAAAACCUCAGUAGCGGUUCUGAUGAAGCCACGUGUCAGCAGAUUAGGUCCUGCGUCACACCGUAUCAAAACUCAGUAACGGUUAUGAUGAAGCCACGUGUCAGCAGAUGAUGGCCUGAGUCACACUGGAUCAAUACUCAAUAGUGGUCCUGAUUUAACCACGUGUCAACUGAUUGGAUCUUGCGUCGUACUGGAUCAAAACCCCUCAACGGUUGUGAUGUAGCCACGUGUCAGAAUAUCAGCUUCUGCGACACAUCGGAACAAAACUCAGAGAUGACGUGGCAGGUGACGUGGCAGGUGACGCGGACGGUGACCGUACGGCUGUGCUGACGUGGCGGGUCAGCCCGACCCGUUUUGCAGAAGUCGGGCGAAGAUGGAGCGUGGCGCGCGUACGGCGCGUUGGUGCGCGUGGGCAGUCUGGGCGUCGGCGCGUGUUGGCGCGUGCGGGCAUGCAGGACGUCGGUUCUUCGCCGGGUUUUCAACAGUGGAUUCGUCCGGUUGUCCUCUACACGAUGGUAUGUUCAAAAACACGUUUUGAGAACUUUGAUUUUUGAGUUUGGAUCAAACACCCUCUUUGUCAAGAACAAGCUCUGAUACCAGUUGUUGGGUAAUUCCAGAACUCAAACACACAUCAAUUUACGUGGUUCGGCAACUUGCCUACUCCACGGAGCUACUGGUUUGUAUUAAUCAAGCUUAGAAACAAUACAAACAACAAAACAAGGAGGAGGAGAAAAUCUUCUCUACUCAACUCAAGCUCUCUCUCUCUCACGUUUUUCUCUCUGUGUUUUCACUCUUCUCUGUGUUCUUCACGCUUCAACCCUCCAGCUCUUCACUGAGCAUACAUAUAUAUUAAGCUAGGAGUGAAGGGCAUAAAUCAUGCCAUGAUUUAUGCCCACCGUUUGCCUCCACUUGUGCUAAGUGGAGAUUAGGUAUUCCCACUAAGCACAUAGUGGAGGUGGGACAUUGCUUGUCUCCAAAUAGCUAACAUAACUGAGGUGGGGUCGCCCUUGAAACAUUGGUAGAUGUAAGUGUUGCUCACAUGCAUAGAAUAUUUUUUUUCUACUUAGUAGUGGUUUUGGCAAUUUUUUUCAGACAAGUCUUGAGAGUUGAAAGAGUAAUCACACCCGAGUCAACCAACAAUCCAAAUCAGCUCCCUUCCUAAUGGUUCAGGAAUGAGAAGUCCAGCUUAUAUAUUUGAUAUAGAGACGGUACACUACAAAUUAAGCACCCAAUAACUAGACAAACAAUCAUGAUAAACUAGGAACAAUUGUCUUCCCAGUAACAAAUUCACCUUCUCACGUUGGAGAACUUGCGAAAACUAGCCACCACAAAAUAGUAGCAAGUAUUUAUGCAGUCUUCGAUGAAGUACGACCACCUGCGUCGCCAAUAUGGAUUGAUGUAAAGAACUGCUGCAAUCGUCAUUACCACAACUGUGUAACAUACACCGAAGCUGAUGUAGAAAAACUCCAUGUCUAUGAAACCAUCAUCUCCUUGUUCAUCAUUAGGCACUGGCUGUAACGGCACUGCUUCCUCACUACAAUUGUUUCGCAAUGGAGGUCCACACAAGAAAGGAUUUCCUUCGUAACAGUUUUCAUCAUCAAAGGUCCCAAAUUGAUAUUUUCUCUCGGGUGUCCUACCUGACAAGUUAUUGUACGCCACACUAAAAACUUCCAGUGUGGUAAUUUCAGUAAGUUGUGGAGGGAUGGCACCAUUCAAGUUGUUGUAAGAAAGAUCCAAACUCUCAAUCUGCUUUAGGUUUGAGAAUGUUGCAGGGAUAGAUCCAGUGAGAUUGUUGUGUGAUAAGUUUAAUGACAGUAUCUUACUCAAGUUUCCAAAUUCUGGUGGGAUUGCUCCUACAAAGUUGUUAUUGGAGAGAUCAAUACCAUACAUGUAGCUCAGAACUUUCCCCUUGUAACCAUAAUACAUAUUUUUAGUUGUAAAUUCUAUCACUUCUUCUGUAAAGUUAACCCAAAAAUCCUUUCCCAAGUUGUACAUACUAUCCCCUAGUGGUGGACCCAUUGUUUCAUAAUAAGCUUUUUCUAUGGACCAUGACGGAAAACCAUAUCCGAGAUCCGCGAGCGUUUUCUGGGAACUUUCCUUGAGAGUUAGAUUGCCCAAACAUGAGGGUAGUGGACCAGAGAGCUGGUUUUGUGAAACAUCCAAAAUACUUAAUUGUUCUAACAAGCAUAACUGAACAGCGAGCUCACCAUCAAAGUUAUUAGCCCUCAGAAGAAGAACACUCAAUGAUGAAAGAUUGCCAAUCCAAUUUGGAAUAGAGCCAAUGAAGCUGUUGUCUCGAAGAUCCAUCGUAACUAGGGAAGAGCUGUUAUAAAAACCAUAUGUUAAUGGACCGCUCAAUCUAUUUUUGGAUAGAUGAAUAUGGGUUAUUUGUGGUGGAUUGAAACAAGAUGGCAUAUAUCCAGACAAGUAGUUAUCAGAAAGGUCCAAAAAUUCAAGCCGGUCAAGCUUACAAAAGUCUCUUGGGAUUGGACCCUUAAAAAGGUUUUUGGACAAAUCAAGUACUUCAUCGUACGUAAAAUUAAAAAAGCUUCUUGGAAGCAUGCCUGAAAAUUGAUUGUUACUCAAAUCCAAUACACUCCAUACUUUCCACCCAUAUAAUGGAAAAUCUGAUAUCUGACCCCAAAAGUAGUUACCACCUAGGUAGAGAUAUUGUGAGAUAGAAGAAUUGAACACCGAGGUCGGUAUUUGCCCACCCAAACUAUUGUUUGACAGCUUGAGAACCUGUAUUGUUGUUAAUUGUUCUAGUUUUACUGUAGACAAUUGAUUGUUGGAUAAAUCUAAAAAUGAAAGAGAGCUAAAAUUUCCUAAACAAGAAGGAAUAUAACCUGUGAAUCCAUUGUCAGCCAUCCUUAAGAUCCACAGAUUUGGAAAGAUCAAACAAAUAUCUUUUGGAAUUUGACCAUUUAUGUUGUUGUUGGAUAUAUCUAAUUCGGUCAUAUUCGGAUAUGGGUGAUCUAGCAAUUGCAAAGUACCAACAAAGGAGUUCUCGCUCAGAUAUAGUUGCUCCAUUCGUGUAUUGUUCUUAAGCAACCAUGAUGGAAACAUUCCGAAGAUGUUGUUGUGGGAGAGAUCAAGGGUUCUUAAGUCGUAUUGGUAAUAGAGGAAGUCGAGAAUUUCUACAUUGAGUGCUUCCGAUGUUGGACUACUUGACAAGCGGAAAAAGACUAGUUGGAACUUUGGAAUCAAAUUAUCAAAGGCAGCAGAUUCCGUUACUAGUCUGUUGUUCUCACUGGAGAAGAACUUGAGGCUUGAGUGGUUCAUAAAAGGCUUCAUUGAAAUGGGAACUUCAAAGAGGUUAUUUGAUAGUGAGAGGAAUUCAAGGGAUAUGAGCUUGGUAAGAGGACCAAAUGCAAUAUUUCCAGUAAACUGGUUAUCAGAAACAUCUAAUAGUUGUAGAGAUGACAAGUUCCCCAAACAAUCUGGGAGUGCACCUCCAAAAUUAUUUCUAGCGAGAUCUAACUGCUUCAGAUUCUUCAAUUCACACCAACCUAUACAAUUUAUCUUGAAACAAUCAAAACAAUGUUGAAAGAAUCUUUUAUUGAUGAUGUAAUUAUAGGCGGAUGGAGAGUUGUUAAUUUACCUUGAGCGGGUAGGGUGCCAUGGAGGUCACAUUCAGCAACAGACAAAACUUUAAGAGCAGGCAAUGCUCCAGUGUUCUGGAGAAAGUUUAUUGGGAGAGAAGUAUUAUCUAGAUGCAAUUCUUCAAGGGUGCUAGAAUUGAAGAAAGUCCCUGUGAAAAAGAAAGAAGAAGAGAUAUGAUGAAAAUAGUGGUGGUACAGAAUAGCCAUUCCAUUCAAUAUUAUUAAUUAAGAUUUUAAGAAACUAAACUAUGAUUAACCUUGACUUAAAUUAGUAUCCUUGAGAGAAAGGGUCUUCAGCGAUGGCCAUGAACGCAAUGACUGCAGGAUGUCCAGAUUCCUUAAACCUAUGAUAUUUGGAUAGAAACAACAAAUUGCUUGAAGAAUCUAGAGAUUUCAAAAGGUAUUGUUAAGAAAUGAAGUAAAUAAUAGAAGAUGCCAAGAGAUAUUCAUAACUUUACCAUUGAUAGUCGUCGAUCCUAGCAACAUAUUGCCUGAUAAAUUUAAAGACUUGAGAUGAGAAAGUCCACGCAGAUGUGAUAAAAUGCUGUCAUUGAAUAUAUUAUUAUGGCUCAGGUCCAGGUUCUCGAGUUUCCCCAAAUGUGAUGAUAUGAUCUCAAAACCUGCAAGAGUAAGUCGUUAAAGUCGUUAUAUAAAAUAUAAUUCUAAUUUUGAUCUUAUUGGAAAUAUUACGAAACAAUUUUUAAAUAUCAUUCUAGUUUCGAUCUUAUUGGAGAAAAAAAAACAAUUUAUGGAUAUAAAGUCGAUAAAGAUGGAAGCUAAGUUAUGGAUAGACUUACAAAACAAGAUAAAGAAACUUAUAAUUAAGAUCUCAUCGGUAAUUAAAACAAGAAUAAUAAUCGAUCCUAGAUAGCAACAUAUUGUCCAAAUAUUUCACCAUAAAAUCACCCAUCACCAUUCACCACGACCAUAAGGCAAAAUCCUCCACCACAUAAUAAUAUUUUGAUUAAAAAAAGGUCCAAAAUAAUAUAAAACCAUGAUUAAAAAGGAGAGGAAAUAAUAAAUGGCUACAAACAAGAAUUAAAUAUCAUAUAUGUGGGUUUUAUGUUGUUCUCUUUAUUGAUAAAACAGUCGAGAGUUUUUCUAAUAGAGAAAUUGGCUGUCGAGAGUGAUUUGUAUUGGAUAGUUUUUUUGAUAGUUUUUAUUAAAUAGAUAUAAAGUCCUCAUUUUUGUUGAUAAAGAAACAAUAUAAUUAAGAGAAUGUCAUGUGAAGCAUUUAGGUAGGUAGAAACUGUGUAUUAUACCUGAUCCUGUCAGCUGAUUGCCUGACAGAUACAAAGAUUUUAGGGAUGAAAACCCAGUUAGAGAUGGAAAAAUGCUAUCGUUGCAUUGAAUCUCACUUAGAUGAAGGUUCUCCAGCUUUUUCAACCUUGAUGACAAGUCUUUGAGACCUGCAUGAUGUUCCUCAAUAGCAUAUUGGAAGGAAAUAAACGCAUAGAAAAAAAAUGAUAUGAGAAGGAGAAAAGAAAAGGUUUCAAAGCUAAAUAAUUAAAAGGUUACCAUAGAAGCUACCUCCUAAUCCAGCUGUCAACCCAUCGGUAAUUAAAACAAGAAUAAUAAUCGUUAAAUAUCAUUCUAAUAAUAAUCCAUGGCAAGUUCAAAUCCGUUGGUAACUGAAUUCCUCUAUCUAUUUAGUUAGUAAGAUGCUUAGUUGUCACUAAUUUAGUAAUUAUAAUUUGUUCCUCUGUUUUCUAGCAACUACUUUCCCAAUUUUAUCCAUUCACCACGACCGUAAGGCAAUAUCCUCCACCACAGAAUAAUAUUUUGAUUAAAAAAAGGUACAAAACCCAUUAUUAAAAAGAGAGGAAAUAAUAAAUGGCUACAAACCGAAAACCGGUCCAAUAUGUGGGUUUUAUUUAAAAAGAUAAAUAUAAAAUAUAUAUUUAUAGGAGAGUUUUGAAGUGAACUUCUGAUUACUAAUUUAAUCUAAAUAUUACAACACUUUUGGCAUAAAAGGGCUAAAAUAAGAAUAAAAUAUAUGCCUCUUGGACCUAAUUCCAAGUGCCUCUUUUCUUGAUAUAAAGUCCUCAUUUUUGUUGAUAAAGAAACAAUAUAAUUAAGAGAAUGUCAUGUUAAGCAUUUAGGUAGAAACUGUGUAUUAUACCUGAUCCUGUCAGCUGAUUGCCUGACAGAUACAAAGACUUGAGGGAUGAAAAUCCAGUUAGAGAUGGAAAAAUGCUAUCGUUGUAUUGAUUCUCUCUUAGAAGAAGGUUCUCCAGCUUUUUCAACCUUGAUGACAAGACUUUGAGACCUGCAUGAUGUUCCUCAAUAGCAUAGAAAUGAUAUGAGAAGGAGAAAAGAAAAGGUUUCGAAGCUAAAUAAUUAAAAGGUUACCACAGAAGCUACCUCCUGAUCCAGCUGUCAACCCAUUGAAUGAUAGAUCCAAAGACUUGAGAGUGGAAAGGUUACCAUUGAAACAUGACAAAAUGCUUUUAUCAUUAGUAAAUUUGUUAACACGUAGGUCAAGAUUGCUCAGUUUUGAUGAUAGGACUUCGAAGCCUGGGAAGAGAAUCAUCAAAGCAAGAUAAUUGACAUUAAACACCAACCAACCAACCUUCAUUUAUUUUAUGAUUAUAAUUAAGUGCAGAAACAUUGAACUAACCUUCAUUCUCCAUGCAACCAACCAAUCCAGUACCUCCCAAAUCAAGACCUCGCAAUUCUUUGAAAGGCUGAAACAAAGAUGCGUUGAGAACCCAAUCGCCCAAGUGGAAAUCCCUUGCCCCCCAAAGAGAGAGUUGGAUCACUCGCCUUGUAGUGUUAUCACACUCGAUCCCACGCCACUCACAACAAUUACUAUUGGUGUCCACCCAAUGAUCUCUCCAGGAAACGCCAUGUGGGUUGAUCAAAGAUUGGAUCUCCAAGAGACCAAUCCUCUCCUCCUCCAAACACCCAUAACAACGACCAUGCCAUUCGCCAACCAAAGUGAAUAAUGCUAGCAACAUCCAAGCCCCAAUUCUUUUCAUCAUCAUCUUAGAUAAUUCUAUGAACUGCUACGUAGAAUAUUGUUGUUUGUUAUGUGCCUUUGGGCAACCAUAGAGGUCCUAUUUAUACUACACUCUGGCCAUUUCCAUGACUUUGAGAUGUUUUCUUUAUUUCAUUUCUUUUUGGAAUAUUUUUGGAUUUGAAUAUUAUUCUAUUUUAUUGUCUAGCACUUAGUCUAUUUGCCAGGUUGGGAAAAAUAUUCAAAUUAGUUUUGUUGGCAUGUAAACCUCACCAAAUAAUUUGCGUAGACCGUAUUGACUGGGAGUCAAUUAUUGUCGUAGUGCUUUUAUGCACGAUCUGUGUGCGUGAACGGAAAGAAAAGCAGGGUGUGAAAAGCAUUAAAGGUUGUGAACGCGGAUGCUUGACUUGCUGUGUACCAUUUUGAUUUUUAAACACGGCCAUGCAGUCAUUUCCUGGCGAUUUCCUUAUGCAUACUGGUGGUCUUUCAUAAUCUUUUUCCAAACAAUCCUCGUUAGGCCGGCUCGGGGGUUAACUUAGAGUAAGGCAUCGUUUGACAUUGCGUUUGUAACUGCGUUUUAUUAAAUUUUGAAUUUUUUAUUUUUGCUAAAAUUAAGUGUAGCUUGUACUUUUUGGAUCUUUUUGAUGUGCUGAUGUUAAAAAUAAUUUUUAAAAAAUAAAAAAAUAUCAUUAGCAUGUAUUUCGGCACGAAAAGCUAUUUGAAAAGUACCCGCAACCACACUGCCAAACACGCUCUAAGAUUUGUAUCAUCGUUUUUUAUCAGAUUCAAGAUCAACUUGGAUCAAUCUUAAUUUUAUGCUAUUGUUUUUUAUAUAUAAACAUAAAUAAAAAUCCAGAUCUCUUUUAUAAUCUUAAAGGUAGUAUAUUAAUAGUAGAACCAUUAUCUAUCCAGAUACAAUUCAUCAUCUUUUCAUCGACAUAUCUUUUAAUUAAGAAAAGCUGUUUAUAGAGUUUUAAUCUAAGCAAUAGGUUUUCAUCGUUAAAGGAUACCUAUGUGGUGCUAAGUUCUUCUAAAGUUGGAGAACUUAUGAAAAUUAAUGCAAGGCUUCAACACUCCGAAGCCUGCAAGAGAAAUAUCAAAGCAAAAUAAGUAGCGUUAAACAGCAGCCAUUUCUUCAUUUUUAAUUUUAGUAUAACACAAUAAUAUGAACCAACCUUGAUUCUCAAAGGCACCCAACUAAUUCAUUAGCCUUCAAAUCAAGACUUUGCAAUUCCUUAAAAGGCAGAAACAAAGAUGCGUUGAGAACCCAAUCGCCCAAGCGGAAAUCCCCAGUACCCCUAAGAGAGAGCCGGAUCACUCGUCUUUCGGUGGUAUCACACACGAUCCUAGACCACACACAACAAUUACUGCCCAGGUAUUUCGACAGUUAUGGCUUGUGUGGGUUUUGGUUCACGAUGGAGAUGAUGGAUACAAUGAUGUAUUUCGACAACAAAAUUUUCAGUUCUUGUGAAUGGCUCUCCAACUAAAGAGUUCUUUAUGGAAAAGCGAUUGCGACAAGGGGACUCUUUAUCAACAUCUCUAUUCAACAUAGCAACUGAGGGUCUUGGUAGAAUGCUAAAAUUAAAAGGAGAUGUGAUUUGGGACUUAUAAAAGGUAUUUGUUUUGAUCACUUUCAAGUUUGUAGAUGAUACACUCAUCUUCAGUUCAUAUGAUUAUCCAUCUCUUCAAAAGAUCAAAAGAACUAUGUGAUGUUUUGAGUUGAUUCCUAGGCUGAAGGUUAAUUUCCACAAGAGCUCAAUCACUAGAACUAGAACUAGAAUUGAUGAUGUUGUUAUUUCUUCAACUGCUAGCAAUCUAAUAUGUAGGAUGGAGGGGAUGCCAUUUAAGUAUUUGGGUCUGCCUAUUUAUGCAUCUUCAUCUCAUACAUCCGUUUGGAAAACUAUUGCUUGAUUAACUCAAUUAUAAAUAACCUUUCUUUAUUUCCUAUCCCAUCCACUGUUGCUACCAAAAUUGAGAAACAUAUCAUAUCUUUCUUUGGUUCUCAGGAGGAAGGAGGGAAAAAACUAUGCAAUGUUAAAUGGGCAUCAGUGGUUCCUCCAAAAAAACAAAAAAGGUGGGUAUAGACUGCAUUAUUGAUAAAAAUAAAGCCUUGUUUUUCAAAUGGCUAUGGAGGUUUGGGAGGUCUAAUACAAGACUAUGAAAAGAUGUUAUCUACAACAUCCACAACCAAAAAGCGUAUUUGAACAUGCCUUUAGUUUGUGUUAAUUUAAAGGGUAGUACAUGGUCCAGGAAUGUCGUUACUUUUUAUAAGAACGAGGGACUUCAAAAUAUUGCCAAGAAAGAAGUUUGUGGUUUGGUUGGCAAUGGUAGAGAUAUUAACUUAUGGAAUGAUGUCUGGCUGAUAGAUUCUUGUCUUGCAGUUCAAUUUCCUAGACUUUAUAGUCCACCUGAAGAUCAUGUCUCCCCUGUAGCUACUGCAGCAGUAAAAGCUUCUAUCCAACCAGCCAGUGUGAGGCCUUCCCCUGUUGCUAGCAAUGUAGCUUCUUCAAGUAGCUAAAGUUCUGCUUCAAUAAAUGCCACGACAUCAGCAAUAACUGGUGCUACAACAAUGAGCUUCAACUACCCAAACUUCCCUGGCAAAAUUGCAGAAUGGUGCGUACGAGAUUCUAAUCCCUGAACAUGUUGGGGGCCACGAUAGCCUACAGAGGAACCCAUCCUCAGGCUAUGCCUUUCUUCAAUGGAUCAAUUCUAUUCUUCUUGAAUGUUUCAUCCUUCAUAGCUUCAGCGACAGCAACAACCAUUCAUACAGACACAACAAAGCCAACAGGGUCAUCAAAAUCCAAGUAUUUCUAGUGGCUCCUCGUCAUCCCAGAAGCAUUUGCUGAAUUAGGUGGAAUCAGCAGCGGUCAUCAAGAUCCAACCAUUUACAGAAUCAUCAGCAGAAUCAUUCCCUGCCGAACUAGCAGCGGCAGCUGAUGCAAAAUCAGAAUGUUACUCACAAACACCUCCUCCUUUUGCAAUGUCAUUUGCUCCAUCAACGGAACCACAACUUCCCCAGGUCUUGAUGUUUCAUUGCUGGUACAGAAUCAUGCUCUUCUCCAAAGCCCUCCAGAGGCAGCAAGUCAUGGCUAUCACUUCAUCACUGCGGCCCAAGCAACACAGCAGACGAAUUACCGUGUGCCUGAAGAAGGGAAAAAUGGAGGAAAUGACACUUCAAAUAUGGAAGGAGAGAGAAAGGCCGAUAUGGUUGGAGGACAGACCCCAUUAACUGGUGGGCAGUCAAUUGUGUUCUCUCGGCUAGAUUUUGUGUUCUCUCGGCUAGAUUUAACAGACUCCUCUGUUUCAACAAUGCCUGUGAACAAUGUUGUUGAUAGCUCAGCCCGAACUCUUAACCUUGGGUCCACUCUUGCUCGGACCUCAAGCCCUGUUAUGUCAGCUACUAUUGGCAGUGUAAAUGCACCAAGUAUACAACAACAGAUGCAGUGGAAUCAGCAGCAGCAGCAACGAAGUCAGCAAAUCCUUCAACUUCAGAAGCGUCAACAAUUUGCAGCUGCAGCUUCCACUCGAAGUGAAACACCAACAACUAGUAAUGGAAGUGUUUAUUCGGACCACAUCUCAUCAUCAUCAUCUAUGGGCACCAAGUUACCUAAUGCACUUUUGCAUUUCCUCAAAAUCUUGUUCAAAGCGGCAGUAGCAGCAGCAGUUAACAAAGCAUGCACUGCAACAGGCUCAACUAAUCUACGCUAAUGCUUUUAUGCAAGCUCAAGCUCAAGCUCAAGCUCAACAUGUGGCAAAUUCAACAAGCUUUGCAUCAACAGCUAGUGGGUUUCAUCUGCAAAGACAUCGCAAUGAGCAGCAACCGCAAUGCAUCGGCAACCUCUUCUACAAGGAUGUUGUUGUUAUGUCAUCCGAUCAUGUAAAUUUUUGUGACUCCCAACCUCCUAGCAACCACGAGAGGAUGUUUCCAGUUUUUUUUUUCAACAGCUAAUGCUUAGAUAACAAAAAUAGAGGAAUAACUGAUAGAGCUCCAGCAUUCGAGCAGAGUUUAAUAAAAAAAUAUAAAGUAAGGUUAGAUGCGUGAGCCUUGUUUUGUAAAUUUUUAUUUGAAUUUUAAUAAUUGUUUUUAAUUGUUAUGUAUAUGAAUAAAAAUUUGUUCAUGAAAUUUCAAUUUAAAUCACUUUUUUAAUCUUAGAAUUUUAAAAUAUAUUUUGAGCAUGAUUUUAUUAUAUUUAUGAUUUAUUUUAACUUUCAAUCACACAUAAAAAUAUAAACAUACUAUUUUGAUUUUUUUUUAAUUUGUUCUGACAAUUAUAGAAUAUUCUUUUAAUAUAAAAAAUGAUUCUAGUUAAGAAAAAAACUUGUAUAUUCACCAAGAUAAAACAAGAAAUAUGCUAAUAAAAUUUUUUAUCUUGAUAGAGAAAAAUUCAAAACGACUGUAUUUUCAAGUUUAAUAACAAUGUCAAGGAGUCCCUUAGACUGGGAUAUUUUGUUUUACAUUUAAAGUUUUUUUGAUCUCCAUAGCAUAGCACUAGCAUACAAACUUGUAUAUUUUUAAGGCAGCGUUUAGUUACUAUCCGAGACAGUAGAGACAGAGACAAUGGAGACAGAGGAGACAAUACAUAAAAGAAGAUGGAGAUAGAAUUGUGUUCACUAAUAAUAUAUAAGACAAAGUGAUUGUUUUUGUAUCAUAUUUGAUUAUGAUAGACAAGAAAGAAUAAAAUAUAAAAAAAAUAUUUUACCUUUAAUAUGUAUUGUUGUCAAACUUACAUGUUUUAAAAAAUAAUUAGUUUUAUUUUUUUACUUUAGUUUUAUAUUGAGUAUUGAAAUUAUUAAUAUUAUAAUAACCCUAGUAUUAAAACCAGGAUUAACUUGACAGGUUGACCCGAGGCCUAUACUGGUCUAAGUUUCAGAAAAAUAGAAGAAUGAUUAACUCGACCUAACCUAGUAAAAAACAUGAGUCAACUUAAGAUAAAACACGGGUCAAAACCCAUUAAAUAUUUUGAAAAAGAAAAUUGUUCAAAACAAGGUUUCUUUGACUAUUUGUUUUUAAAAAAAAUUAGGUCGAUCGGGUUAACCUUCUCUUGGAUUAACUCCUGAGUUGAGUUUUAAAACUAUGAUAAUAAUCAUUUUUAUCCAUACAUUAACUCAGGUCAAUCUGUGUUGACCCUCUCGACCCAUGACCUAGGCCUUGCUUCUGUCGACUCCCGAGUCGGAUUUUAAAAUUAUAAUAAUAAUAAUUUUUAUCCUUACAUUAAUUUGGGUCAACUCUCUUAAUUCGUAACCCAAGCAUUGCCCCAAGUUGACUAUCGAAUUAAAUUUUAAAACUAUGAUAAUAACCAUCUUUAUUUUAUGUUGACUCGGGUCAAUCUAGAUUAACUCAUCUAACACAUGACCCAAGUUUUAUCCCGAGUCGAUCCCUGAUUUGGGUUUUAAAACUAUGAUACUAAUUAUUUUUAUCAUUACAUUAACCUAAGUCAAUGAUCAACCCCACUCGUUACCCAAGAAUUGCCCAGGUCGACCCCCAAAUCGAGUUUUAAAAUAUGAUAAUAACUAUUUUUAUUCUUCUACUGACACAGGUCAACUCGACUCAUGACUCAAGCCUCAACCAGUGACCCAGAAUUUGCCCCGGAUCGACCCCCAAGUUGAAUUUUAAAACCAUGAAAAUAAUCAUUUUUACAUUUAUAUGUCUUAGUUGGACAAUUUGAAAUUGAGAGUUUUUUUAUAAAAAUAUUUUAGGAAUAAAAAAUAAUAAAUAUUAUCUCUAGAGACAUGUCUCCUCUAUACCUUACGUUUUGGAAGCACAAAAAUUCACUCCAAAAUUAUUCUAGAAACAAAUUUAUUUUUAUGUAUUUGUCUUUGUCUCUUCAACCAAAUAUAUUUAUAUCUUUAUUGUUUUUAUCCUUUCUAUUAUAGGACAAUGACCAAACAUUACCUAAAGGAUAUACAACUGACAAGGAUGAACUUGGCUUUAUUUCAUCUUUGAUAAUUUCUUCUCGAUGAUAUCUCACCGAUUUGUGGAGGCAAUUGAUCAAAACCUAGUUGAUUCAAAGGUUGACUUUGAAAAAAUAUAUUCAUAGAGUAAUGUUUGAAUCUUGGUGUUUUUUAUUGGCUCAAAAAAAUUACCAACUCACCAAAACCUGUAUGAAACAUUUAGAUUUAAUAUUAUAUGUAUAAUUUAUUAUAAUAAUUGAUAUACUAUUCAACUCAGUAACUUAGUAGGAUGACCUAUAACCUGCUGAUCUAAGAUUUUAGCCGAAUCAAGCUUUAAGCUAGAUAUAAUGACUAUGAUUUUAUAAAAUUACUAUGAACUUCCCUUUUAUGUCUUCUUAUUUACUCAUUUGAUAUUUUUUUUUAUGAAGUUAAGAUGUUCACAUUUAUAUCAUGAUUAAACUCUAGGGUAACAUUUAGUUAUUAUCUUGGGAUAAAAAGAAUAAAGAUAGUAAAGACAAAAAUAUGUUUGGUUGAAAAGAUAUAGAUAUAAAAAUAAUUUUUUUCAUGGGAUAAUUUUAGAGUGAAUUUAUAUAUUUUCAUAACAGAAAAUACAAAUAAGACAUAUCUUCAUAAACAAUAUUAUUUUUUAUUCCUAAAAUAUCAUUGUAAAAAACUUUCAAUUCCAAAAUUGUCCAAUUAAGAUAUGUAAAAAUAAAAAUAGUUAUUAUCGUAGUCUUAAAACCCAACUUGGGGGUUGACUUGUAGAAAGAUAUGUGAUCUUUGUUGACCCAAGUCAAGGUAAAAAUAAAAAUAGCUAUUAUCAUAGUUGUAAAAUCUAACUUGAGGGUCGACCUGGGACAAGGCACGGGUCAUUGUUUGGGUUGACCAUUGACCCAAGUCAACAAAAAAAUAAAAGUGGUUAUUAUUGUAAUUUUAAAACUUAACUUGGAGGUCGACUCAAGGCAAGGCCCGGGUCAUGGGUCAGGAGGGUUAACUCUGGUGGAACCGGGUUAAUGUAAGGAUAAAAGUGGUUAUUACAAUAGUUUUAAAACUCGACUUAGAGAUCGACCUGAGGUAAGCUCAGGUCUUGGGCUAGGAGGGUUAAUGCAUGGAUAAAAAUAAUUAUUAUCAUAAUUUGAAAACUUGAUUCAAGAGUCGACCCGAGACAAAGCCUAGGUUAUGGGUUGGGAGGGUCAACCCGAGUUGACCCAAUUUUUUUUUAAAAAAAAAGAAUCAACACAACCUUGUUUUGACCAAUUUUUUUUAAAAAUAACAGGUUUUGCCCCGUGUUUUAUCCCGAGUCGACCCGUGUUUUAUCCCGAAUCAACUCGGUUUUUUAACUCACCUAUCUUUUCUUAAACUUAAAAUUAAUCCGGGCUUAGAGACAACUAGAUCCCGAAUAGAUUCACUAGGUCAGUCUAGGUUAUAUAACUAGGAUUAUUAUAAUAUUAUUAAUUUCAACACUUAAUAUAAACUAAAGUAAAAAAAAGUUCUAAUUAUUUGUAUAAAUAUGUAAGUUUACCAAUAAUACAUAUUAAAGGUAAAAUAAUUUUUUUAUAUAUUUUUUUUAUCAUUAUCAAAUAAGAUAUAGAGACAGUUACCGCCAAACAUAAUUUUAUUUUCAUCUCCUUUUCUAUCUUUUUUUUCUUUAUUUUCAUGGUCUUCUUUUUUAUUCAUAACAGUAACCAAAUAUUGGCUAGUUAUAACAUAUAGAAACAUACAAGUUGUCAUGUUCAAGCCGUUCUCUUAUCAUUUUAAAUAAAUUGAAACACAAUUGCGAGGAGAAGAGUGUGUUUUGUAUUGUGUUAGCUUUUGUGGUUGUGGUUUGAAAAUUGUUGUUUUAUAAAAAAUACUUUUAGUUGAGGUUGGUUUGAUAUUUAUAUAUGUUUAGUUAAAAUUGUGGUUGAAAUUGAGGUUGAACAAAAAGUAAUUUAAUGUGUUUGGUUAAGAAUGCUUUUCAAAUCGAGGUUAUAAAAUAAUUAAAAAAGAUAUAUAUUAAUAUUGAUAGUUUUUAAUUUAAAUAUUGUAGAUUUAACUACUGCUAUUACAUCAUGAAAUAAAUAAUACUUUAUAUAAAAUAUUUUUUUAUUGUUCCAUUAAACUAUCUACAAUUCCAUCACAUACGAAAUUCAUUCGACAAGGACUACAGUUUUCUUGGUUUCUUAAGCGCACAACAAUAUCAAGUAAAAUAUAAUCAGGAACAAAAUUAGGAUUGCGAUCAAAUUCUGCAAAUGCUAUGUCAUCAAGCAAUCUCCUUAUAAUUUAUGUAGUGUUAUUGAAUAAUGCUAAACACUAGUUUUUCAAAUAAAACAUAAUUAAAAAUAAAAAAAAAUUGAUUUUUUUUUAUUUUACUGGGUCAGACCCGGUUCAAUGCAUUUAGCUUUGAAUCGGACCCAGUCCGGCCAGAAUAGUAGAGACAUUCUAAGCAACUUCAAGUGAGUCUCGUAAACAGUAAAUAACGUACCAAACAAUUAUUUUUAGUAAAGCAGAAGCAACCGAAGAAGAAGAAGAAGACAUGUGAUUACGGUGCCAUGCAGCAUUUUGACAUUAUGAGUAUUUUGAUGUAUAUCCAUUAAUUUAUAAUAUACAAGUAUAUUUCCAUGUUUCUUUUAUUUUGAUAGAACAUUUUUCCAAUAGAAUUUGUUUUUAUUGGAAUUCCAUAUUGAAUGGAUGUCAAUUGAAACUAAAAAUGUGUUAGAUAAGAGCAUACUAAUAUAAAUACCAAAUAAUGUUUAAUUAGAUUGAAUUGAACUAGACACCAUAUGUUUUUAUUCUAUGUUUGGUGCACUAAAGAUAAGAUCAAAUAAUUUUGUUUUUAUCAUUGAGAUAUUUUCAAUCAUUUAUUUUAGUCUUUGCAUUUUAUUUUUAUGAUAUUUUAGUCCUUACUAGAAUUUCUUUGUCAUCUAGAACAAUCUAGUUCUUAAAUCAAAAAGUUUUUGCAAUUAAACUCUUACAUGUACAUAUUUAUUUUAAUAAAAUUGGUCAAAUUUUGGUUUUCCAAAUUAAAAAAUAAAUAAGUGAUAAAUAAAUAAUAGAUAAUAUAAAAAUUAAGAAAAAAUAAUUUUUGUACAAAUUUUUUGUCCAAUCCUUGUCAUGUCCAAAGUGUAUAUCAAACAUUUUAUAGCUUGCCAUGUGCAACAAAUAUAUCACAACUUGUUUUUAUUGUAUUCUAUUAUGAUCUGUUUUGUGCCUUAUAUUAUUUAAUAUAUUAAAAUAAAUUUAAUAAAUUAUACUGAAGCAAGAUCUAAUAUUAGAAAGUUAACGGAAAUAAAUGUACCUUUGCCCGUCCCUUCAACAAAAUGCUGAGCUGUAUACUAAUUCUCAGAGGCAGUGAUAACUAGUUGUUCUAACUAAUCCCUAUACUUUUAAAUAUGUUUACAAUUCAGUCCCUUCAUUAAUUUUUCGUUAGUAAAAUGUUGAGCUGUCAGCAAUAUUUCCUUAGUUUGUGCCGCUAACUUAACGGUAAAAUGUGAUUCAAGGAUCAAUUAAUUAUUUAAAUGAACUUGAGGGAUUAAUCUGUUUGUUUAACAAAAAUACAGACACUAGUUAAAUAGAAUUUAACUCCAAUUUUAAUCAUCAUAUGCGUGCGUGCGAGCGAGCGAGCGAGUGUUUACUCGUUAAUGUUUUUUUAGAAGGAAUCUGGAAAAGAAUAAAGUCAUCCAUUUCACUUUGGUCCAGCAUUCCUCACCUCUCCCCGCCAGAGCUCUCCCUCCCUCCCUCCCUCCCUCCCUCCUCCGCCUCUCGGAAACCGCCGCCGCCAAGAAGGCUUCAGAUUUCUGCCAGGUGCUUCUAUUUCUAUCAUGUUUUUGUUUUUAAAAUUUAUGGGUGUUUUCAUUUAUUCUAUUGGAAUUAUUAUUCAGAGACAGAAAUUCUAUUUUAAUGAGAAAAUUAAAAAAAAUAAUCGAUCCGAUGAAAUCUCUGCUAGUGAACGCAAUUCGAUUUUAAUAAGUAAAUUAAAAAAAUAUAUAAUCGGAUCCGUUGAAAUCGCUGCUCGUGAACGCAAUUCAAAGAAACGCACAAUCAGCCGAUUCUAAUAUUUUCUUUUUCAAUUUUUCCCCUUAAUUUACAUGAUAUUAUCCGAUUUUUCUCACAGUUAUUGUUGUAAUAAUCAAGCCCUGAAUUCUUGAACCCAAAUUUAUUUUAUUUUAUUUUAUUUUAUUUUUUAGUGGAGAAUAGAAAUCAAUUCAAAUCUUUUAGGCUCGAUCGAUAAUUUGUUAAUUAGUUUAUGCAGCAGCUGGAGUGGAAGAGAUUUUUCUGCCGGAAUGGCCGAAAAAUGAGCUGUUUGGUUGAUUCUUCUUUUUUGGAAUUUACUGAAUUCUUCAAAAUUAUUGUGUUCUUAACAACAAUACGAUAUCCUUGGGUUUUAUGCUCGCUCACACAUGGAAAAAAGAAAGAAAGAAAAGGACUUUACAUUUUAUAAUUUGGUCAUGUUAACGCAAAAAAAAUAAAAAUAAUAGUUUAUGAUGACUCAUUGUUUGGUUGAUAACCCUACAUGAUAUAUCUUUCUUUUUAGGACUUCCUAGCUGGUCUUGAGUAUGAGGUGAAAGCUUGAGGAGGGCAGUUGGUCCUAACCAAGGACUGUAUUGUGAUUGAUUGAGUUGAAAGUUAAGAGCAUGUGGAAGUGUAAAACAAAUGACUUUGUUCACUUCACCCCAAAGGCGCACCUGUGCAUCUAGUUAGGAAGAACAUUUUAUAACUUACCUCAAGGUCGAGCAUGGUCAGGGUUAUUGUGUUGUCUAUUCCGAGAAAGAUGUGCCUGCAAAUUUAAUCUUAUUUCAACAAGAGUUGUUAAGUUAAUUCUUAUCAGUCCUCUUUAGAGUUGAUGAUGACAUGAAAUAUUCAUGGUUAAUGCUUGUCGUUUUCUUCUUCAUUUUCCUAGCUUAAAACAUCCUAGAAAUCUAUCUAUUGAAGUAAAGCAUUUAAAUGCGUAUACAAUGUUUUUGGAACUUUAAAUAUCUAUUUGAUCAGAAUCUGUGAACCUAAAACCACAAUGAAUACAAAUGCAAGUUUGUCAUUGUAAACAUUGCAUCAAUGAUGUAUCACGAGUGUUGCUAGAAAACAUCAAGUUAAAAUUGAAGCACCAUGAGUUUCUCCAUGGCUUGGUUUACCAACACUCACCAUCUGAUGGUGUGGCAAGUUAUGAACUAGCUGGCUAGUUUUUUGCUUCCUUGGUUUUAGAAGGACCAUGAAGAUUCAGGCCCAAAUCUUGCUUAUAAUACCUAAAUACCCAAGAUCCUAGCACCUUGCCCUGAAUGGUCGUGUAUAUUUGUUAUGGCUGUUCAGAUUUUAUGCAUCCAUAUUUGGUAGAAUUCUUUAAUAAAGUACAUGCUAUUGGAUGGAAGUUCUUUUUAAAUCUAUUCAAGUCUGAAUAAACUGACAUUCCAAUUUUCAUGACUUUGAUAUGCUCUUACUCUUCUGUUGUUCCUGACUUUCUUUUUAGGGUCUAUUCUAACAUGCAAUAUAAUUAUUAUUUUUUUUUUUGGUGAUUGAAGUGAUUUUUUUGGUUGGCCAAAACCCCAUGGAUGCCAAUAAUUGGAGGCCCACUGCCCCAGGCGGAGAACCUGUUAUGGACACAGGUGAUUGGAGAACUCAAUUGCAGCCUGACUCACGGCAAAGAAUAGUCAACAAAAUGUAAGUCUCUGUUUCCUAAUAUGUGCAAGUGCUGCAAAAUAGUAAAUCUUGUAUUUAAAUGAAAGAAAAAGAGAAGGGAAAAAGGUUAAUUAAAAUCAGCAGGACUGCCAUGAGGCAACCUCAAGUAUCAUACACCUCUGUUUUUGUCUUUUUCAUUUUUCACGUGUUUCUCACAAGAAGUGAACUUGAGGGAAUAAAAAGUGCUGGGAAGUAAUUUUUGUUGGAACUUCUUGUGUAACAUCUUUCGAUGAUGACCUCUAGGAUGGCUGCAUGAAGCUUCUUCCGCUUUAAAUUUCAAGGUUAAUCUAUUGCUAUGAGCAUUGGUGUUUCAAUUUCAACCUUGAGUUGCAACUGAACUUAAAUGAACAGUGUUGGAUUUGAGCCUUCCAUUUGCUUUAACUUCUACAGGGUUGAAAUGAUAGUUAUCUUAAAGUACAAAAGCAGCAGACAAAAAUCAAUUAGUCACAAUAGUGCAUGGUUUCCUAGUUUCUCAGUAUAAAGUGGAAUGUUUUGGUGAUAUCUCUACAUCCAAAUUCAUAUAGACAGCUACUGUUGGCAUUUGCAGUAGCCAAUGAGCACUGUAGAGUAUAUAUUGCAGCGUGAGAUAAGGUUAACUCAUUGCAUUUUCAUAAAUUAAAAGGAUUUCUCUUCUUUUCUUUGUUAAUUGCAGUGCAUGUAUAAAGGUUUUCUUAUUUAGAGUAAAUGCUGUUGUAAUGUUUUCACAGAGUUCCCUUGGUUUGCAGCUAAUUCAUUUAUAUAUCUUGGAGCAUAGCCAUAGCCAUAAAUGGAAGGUUCUUCCAGUUCAAGAAAAUUAACCAUGAAGCUCAUAGCUAGAAUUUUAAACAUAAGGGUGGCCAAGUGAACUCCUAUACCCUGUACCUGUGGAAUAAUACGGGGAAAGGAAGUAAAAAUAGAUGUGUAUUUUGAUGCCAUAUAUUACUUGACCGACACUUGGCUAUAUCAUUAUUUGUUUUUACUUUUUCCUAAUGAUUCCGUUGUAUACAUUUCUGAUAUUGGUGUGGUGUAUGAGUUCACGGUUCUUUCUCACUGCUGCUAACUUCUCUAUACCUGCCUUGUCAUUAAAAAUUAAAUGUAAUGUUUUACAUGUGCAGAAUGGAGACAUUAAAGAGGCAUCUUCCGUUUUCUGGUCAAGAGGGAUUACAAGAACUCAAGAAAAUUGCCGUACGGUUUGAGGAAAAGAUUUAUACUGCCGCCACCAAUCAGGUAUUCGGCUAAUGCUAGGUUCAAUGAUUUCGAUAUUCUCUAGACAUGAAUAUACACAUGCAUAAGUUUGUGGAUUAAUGCAUGUACACGUGUGUGUAGUGUGUCCACACUUCCUUACUGGUCAUUCUGUAGAAGUUCUCAUCUUUUCGUUAUUUCUCUUGACAAGUGUUUUAUUUAGAGUGACCAAGGUCCUUUUCAAGUACAAGGGAAGUGUGCAAAAUGCAAAUAACGAAUCAAUACAUAAAUAAUUAAAUAAAAAGAAAGGACACAGAAGUAUAUCCUCACAGAAGAUGCAAAUACAGAAAGCCUAGCAUAUUAGAAAGAGCAUAUAUCCCUUUUCCCCCUUCUCUUGUAACAUGGACUGCGCAGAGAUCUAAUGUUUUGUUAUUGAUAUCUGAUUUCAGUCUGAUUAUCUGCGUAAAAUAUCUCUGAAGAUGCUUACAAUGGAGACCAAGUCUCAAAAUACCAUACCCACUGGCAAUGGUAACAAAACCCUGGAUCCAGGAGGUAAUAAUGCAGCCAAGCAUUGGAUUUCUAAACAUCCUUACCUUUUGUUUUGUAUUUUGCGUUGUUAUCAAACUCUUUUACAUUUUAUUGCUGCAUUUUGCUAUGUAUAUACCAUGCUUUAAUAAAAGAGUCGAGUAAUUGAUGAAUGUUCAAAAAAAAAUUACAGAUUAUUUUUGUUUUCUGCUCCCCACCCCCCCACAACAAAAAAAAAAAAAAAAGUCAAAUGACACUUAUGCUUUGAGGUAAAACCAUCUUAAUUAUUUCCCUCAUAACUUUACGUGUGAACUGUCAUUGUUUCAUUUGUUUUUCUUGUUCAAUGCCUUCUUUUUUUUUCCUUUGACAUGGUUUUCCUUUUUGCCUUUUAUCUUGAACAGCAUCUCAUAGUAUGCCGCCUCAAGUUCACAACCAAGGGCAGUCGCUCCCUAACUCAUUGUCCUCUAAUCAGUCUCAAGCACGUCAGCAGUUAUCACAGAACAUGCAGAAUAGUAUGUCAUCUAAUGGAGUUCAAAGUUCUGCUGGUUUACAAUCAGCAAUGCCUUCUGUCUCCGGUUUAACCCAGACUAUCCCAAACACUGUUGGACAGAAUGCUAACAUGCAGAGUAUCUCUGGUGUUUCACAGAACCCAGUGGGGAAUUCAAUGGGACAAGGGAUUCCCCCCAAUAUGUUUGUCAAUUCUCAGAGACAAAUGCCAGGCAGGCAACAGGUUGUUCCUCCACAGCAACAGCAGCAGUCCCAAAAUCCUCAGCAGUAUCUUUAUCAGCAGCAGAUGCAACAUCAGCUUUUAAAGCAGAAGCUUCAACAGGGAAAUCAUCCACACUCACUUGUGCAAUCUCACAUCCACCAGCAGCAGCAGCAAAAUUUGUUACAGCCAAAUCAGUUGCAAUCUUCUCAGCAAUCUGGUUUGCAAACAUCAACUGUUAUGCAGCCUUCAAUGAUGCAAACUGUCUCUGGCCUUCAACAGAACCAACCAUCUUCUGUUCAACAGUCAACACAACCAAUGCACCAGCAACAUCCACAAUCAGUCCUUAGGCAGCAGCAGCAACAACCUCAACAGUCUGCUGGUAUUCAUCAGCAGCAAACACCAAUGAUGCAGCAGCCACUAUUGCCUCCACAACAGCAGCUAAUGGGGCAACAAUCAUNNNNNNNNNNNNNNNNNNNNNNNNNNNNNNNNNNNNNNNNNNNNNNNNNNNNNNNNNNNNNNNNNNNNNNNNNNNNNNNNNNNNNNNNNNNNNNNNNNNNACAGCAGCUAAUGGAGCACAUCAAGUACACUAACAUGUCGCAAAAUCAGUUAAUUGGACAACAAAACAUUGUUGGGGACUUGCAGCAGCAGCAGCAGCAGAGAUUGCUAGGGCAGCAGAAUAACCUUCAAAAUCUGCAGCAGCAGCAGCAGUUAAUGGCUCAACAAAAUAACCUCUCAAGCAUGCAUCAGCAACAGUUGGCCCCUCAAAGUAAUGUCACUGGUUUACAGCAACAGCAGUUGCAUGGAGCUCAGCCUGGUAACUCAAGCAUGCAAUCUAAUCAGCACUCUCUACACAUGCUGCAACAGCCCAAGGUUACGCUGCAGCAGCAAGCACAACAAAGUGGAAGUGGUUUGUUGCCGAAUCAAGGGCAGCAGUCACACUCACAGCUGCCACAGCAGCAAUUGAUGGCACAGAUUCAAUCACAGCCUGGACAGCUGCAACAGCAAUCAAAUCCAUUACAACGUGAUCUGCAGCAAAGGCUUCAAGCAUCAGGCUCCUUGCUUCAACAGCCGAAUGUGAUUGAUCAGCAAAAGCAGUUAUAUCAACCUCAAAGAGCCCUUCCAGAAACGUCCUCAAGUAAGUUUUUCUCAUCCUUGCAGCUUUCUAGCCUUGCUCCAACUUUAAUUUUGCAGCUUUGUGCUUUCAUGUUAGAUUAUAACAUAUUUAUUUAAAUUUUUUGAAAAUACAAUAAUGGUUCAAGUCAGUAAUGCUCUUUUAGGUAGCUUUAUGAGCUAUGGCUGCCACUUAUUGCAUCAGAAAUGCCACUGCUAUUGGAACCAUUGCAAUCACACAUACAUUUAUUUGAAUGAUUACAUAUCGUUGAGAUGGAGUUCCUAGUACUCCAAGUCCAAAAAGGACUUGUAUUCCUAUGUAAGAAAAUACUAAUGGUGCUAUCUAGGAUAGGGAAAACCUAUUAAAGCUCCUUAUUCUUUAGGAACAAUAAAAUACUAAAUAGAAAUAAAACCAAGACCUACAAUAUUCCAUAAUUUUCAGCAAGUGUGAAAAUUACAGAAAUACCCUUGUGUGCGGAAAACAUUCAAAAAAUACAUGAAUUCUAAUCUUUUGUUGGCUGCAUCAAAAUUUUUGUAGCAUCCCUAGAUUCUACAGCAGAGACUGGACAUGCAAAUGGUGCUGAUUGGCAAGAGGAGAUCUACCAAAAGGUAAUUUCUAUGGUUUACUGUUCAUUAGAUGAAAUUCAUGUAUGUCAUAGUCUUGCAAGAUUUCAAUGGAAAAGGUCUCCUGGAAUAUGGUACAAGGGAGUUUUAUUCAGCUAUGGUUGUGAUUAGUUAGGAAGCAUUGUAAGUUCCAUGAUUGCAGCAACUAAGAAACGAUAAAUUACUGAUAAGAUGAUUAAAGGUAAAAUAUUCAGAUUUCUAGGUCAAGAGGGUUAUUUUCUUGGUAUUGACACGACAAUUUUUUCUAUUGCAAAUCUCUCCCUUUCAAUUUUUUCCCUGUAUUUCCAUACAUUUAGUGUGGUGAAUUAUUAUUUUAUUAUUUCCAACAAGUCCAAUUGACAAUACUUCUUACUGUAAUAGACCGACUUGAAAACAAGAGUGAACUGUUUCUGAAUAGUCAUCGUUAUAUUUGGUUAAGUGAACAGUUAUUUUCAGGAUUACAAUCAAAUUUGUUCUGAAACAUGUGACAAUGGAAGAAAGGAAAAUAAGUGGACCUAAUCCAUUGAAUCAUGACCAUGUCCAGUAUUGUUGAAUUUUAUAGAAAACGAGGUUGAAAUUCUGAAUCAUUUAAUGGCUGUAGUUGCAAUUCAUAACUGCAUAUUUGAUGAGGUCAAUUUUUUUGUGCCUGGGAGGGUACUAAAACGGGAAUAGGAGUGGUUGUUGAUAAUUAGGAUAUAAGGGUUGUAAAUCCAAAGUUAUAAAGCUAGGAAGUGUUUACCAAAGUCGUGACAUCCAUUGACUUGAGUUAGAACAAUAGAAAACAAUGGUGAGUAGUUUGCUGUGAGACAAAGUAACUGAACUUGACCAACCCCUGAAUCUUGUCUGAAGAGGUAACUACACAAUCCUUUGCAUCUUUGCAUGCAAUCAAUAACGAUAUUCUCUUUUGAGUUUUCGGCAUUGAUUCCACUGCUAUUUUUAUCUCAAACAAUAUAUGCUGUCGUCUGCCAUUUUAUUUAUUUAUUUAUCAGUUCUCUCAAGUUUGCUUAUGUUUCUUUCUGACUCUGGCACCUGAAAGAAUCAAGCAUAUGAUUGAUAAUGUGCUUGCUGGUUAUAUGUACUUCCUAGAUCAAAGUUAUGAAGGAAACGUAUUUGCCUGAAAUAAAUGAAAUGGACCAGAGAAUUGCUACCAAGUUACAGCAGGGAAAUUGUCUGUAAUUUUUUCCGAUUUAUUUUCCCACACAUGAUUCAUAAACCCCCACAGUUGAGCUUUUGUAUUAAUUUGUUUUCCCCAUCGGCAUUGCUUGUCACUGUAUCAUCUGCACUAAUUACCUCCCCCACCCCCAACCACCCCACAACCAUGCAUUGACACAGAAGAAUUGGAAUAGAAACAUUUUUUUCACUAAUGUUUUACUAGUUUUGCUACAAAGGGUCAAUGCAAUUUUUAAUUCUCGUGUAUGUUAACUUUGCUUUCCAGCAUGACCCUCUUCCGCAACAACCGAAGUCAGAACAGCUUGAAAAGCUGAAGUUAUUCAAGGUCAUGUUGGAGCGCUUGAUAGGAUUCUUACAGGUCCCUAAAAACAACAUCACACCUAAUUUCAAGGAGAAAUUGGGUUCCUAUGAGAAGCAGAUUCUAGGUUUUCUAAACCCAAGCAGAUACAGGAAGCCUAUUCCUAAUCUUCAGCAAGGACAACUUCCCCAACCUCAUAUUCAACCUAUGCAGCAACCCCAAUCUCAAGUUCCUCAAUUGCAGUCCCAUGAAAAUCAACUGAAUUCCCAGUUGCAAUCAAUAAAUAUGCAAGGUUCUGUACCAAAGAUGCAGCAGAACAAUAUGUCAAGCUUGCUGCAUAAUUCUCUUUCAACUUUAUCUGGGGAUUCGACGUCACAAUCAAACAUGAUGAAUCCAAUACAACCAGGCUCCAAUUUAGAUUCUGGAC
rnacentral:lncRNA from 1 species